UUAGUUUCAGCCAAACUACAUAUUCAUACCUAGCUGAACUGAAAUUAAACUUUCCAUGGCAUACCAGAGCGCCUACAAUAUGAAUUACCAGAUACUACUAUGCUUGAUACUCUUCUCCUAGUCCUUCUCCUGCCACUGCCAUCCCAUUCUGCUGAUCCAAGCCCAUUGCAAGAUUUCUGCGUUGCAGAUCUUGAUUCCUCUUUAUACAUUAAUGGCUUUCCGUGCAAAAACCCUGAUAACGUAUCUUCACAAGACUUCUUCGCCAAUGGGUUCCAACAAAGUCCAGGAGAAUUCAAUAUUUUUGACGUCAAUGUCACUCGUCAAGAUGUUCAGCGAUUUCCAGGACUCAACACUCUAGGGCUGUCAAUGAACCGAGUGGUUUUGAAGCCUGGAGGGCUGAAUGCACCCACGUCCACCCUCGUGCAGCCGAGCUGGCUCUAGUCAUGGAUGGAAAACUGUUUGUAGGCUUUGUGACAACCGGAAACGUUUUCUACUGGAAAAUUGUGACUUCAGGAGAGUUUGUUUGUGAUUCCUCCUGGCUAGUGCACUUCCAACUGAAUAUUGGACACGAGAACGCACGCUUCUUCGCCUCGUUCAACAGUCAAAAUCCAGGGAUUCAGUUCGCCCCCUUGCUCUUUUUAACUCCACGCCUUCGAUUCCUGAUCUCGUGUUGAGUAAAGCAUUUCAAGUAAAUCAAAGUAUCAUUGAGCUCAUUAAGUCUAGGUUUGCAACUGUGUCGACUGUGUCGACCGUGCUUAAGUCAUCUUACUAACAUCCUAUUCCAGGGUGUUGUUCAUUAUAGUUGGCAUAUUAAAUAAUAAAAUCUUCUAUAUUAUCGUUUAAUUGUAUUUUGGUCAAGUUAAUUUUUAGUAGUUUUAUUGGCGUCAAAUUAGGAUAGUUUUACUAUUUAGAAACUAGUAUUGUAUUAAAUAAUUUCCUAUGCUUGUCAGUAGUCAUGAUAUGUAUUUGGUUGGAAACAAUAAAAGUUUGAGUCUUGUCAUUGAUAUUAGUCCUCUUCAUGUAAAUUAGCCUCCAUAUAUAUAUAUAUUGGUUUUGUGAAAGUUAUCUCCUAUAAUUUUUUUUUGGAUAUAAUUAUUAGGCUCUACAUCUGGUAUCGAAUCCUAUUUGCAUGAAAUUAAUCUUUGGGUGAGUUGUCAGAGUUAGGACACAAGAAUUGCCGGGACUGUUCAAUUGAUCACGUAAGGGCCAUUAUGUUGGUUUUGGAGUAUUUAAUUGGUCAAAAUUUGGCCAUAAAAUUGGUGUGAAAAUUAUUAACUUGAUUGUGGAUAUUGCUAAUGGUGACAGUUUUUGACAUGGUAAGUAAACAAACACAACACAAAAAAAAAAAAAAAAGUAAACACAACACAAAAAAAUCCUAAAUGAAACAAUACACGGAAUAAUUUAUGUCAAAAAUGGAUCCAGCGCGAACAUGACGCGCAACAGAAUGGGUUGUAUUGGGCCAAUCCGUAGGUUGAUAUGACUAACAUGUUUUUGACACGUUAAGAAUUUUGAAAAAAUGCUACUCGUUUCCCUCCUAAUACUACACUUAAAAAAAUGGUUUUGUAUUAAGUUUUAUAGUUUAAGAACUAAAAUAAUAUAAUCAACCUACUAUAAGAAUACAUAAAAACACAUAAAUCGAGACUCUACAAAUUCACAUAUGCAACUGUUAUGAUUUUAAUUUUUUGCUUCCUUCCUUUAAUAUUCUUAUUUUCUCAAAUUGAUAAGCAUAAACAACCUCUAUGAUUUUAACUUUUCACUUCCGCCUUCACUCUUCAAAUUGAUCGAAACUUACCUUUAGAUCAAAAUUGCUCAAUUUUUCUUCCUUUCUUGUGAUUAAAUAUCUUUUCUAGGUAAUCUUUAAUAUUUCGGCAAAUUUAAUUUCUAUCAUUUUUGUCUAUUUUAUUUGAGCAUUUUCUAGUUUAUACUGCUCCUCUAUUUUAUCAUUUUCCCUAUCAUUUUCUUUCUAAAGUUUUUCUUUCUUGUGAAAGAAAAAUAAAAUAGGCUUUUUUCUGUAUAUUAUUAAUGAGAUAAUCAUGCAUCCAAAACUUAUACAAGUAAAAAUCCAAUGACAGGCUACAGCUAAAUUAGAUUAAGAGAAUAUUACAUAUUUUUUGAAAGAGAACCAUGUUUUAUUUUUCGGCAAUAUUUCUCCUAUAAUUUUGAUAUAAAAAGUUAAAUGAGUCAAUUGGGCCAAAACAUGAGAUGAACCUGUCCAAAUGUAUGGAGUAUUGCAGCAACAAAUCUUUUUGAAGAUUAAGAAUUCAAAUUUAUAUUAAUGAAAUUUACAAAUGAGAUUAUUAUUGCUGAACUUGAUUCAAUAGAGAGUUUGAUUUAAGGGAAACAAUGUUGGCAUAUUAAAUUAAAGCUAAAAAUUUGAAUUUCUAUACUAUUAUUUAGUAGUAUUUUGGUCACAAAUUUUUUUAGUAGUUCUAGAGAGCUAAGAAAUGGUAGUAUAUUAAGAAUUGGAGGCUCUAGGACAUAGAGGUUCUGGGUUCAAAUCUCCAUUCCUCCUCCCAUUUCUUAAAUCCUAUCCCUCCCCUUGAUUAGAAAAAGUUAAAAUAAUUAUUUAGAAAUUGGUACUGUAUUAGAUAAUUAUUGUAGCUAUCAAUACUUGUUAUCAAAUCAUGUAAUCUGUAAGUAGAGUCAUAUUACCAUACCACUUGAGAAGAUUGGAAGUUUAAUAGCCUUGUUGUUGUGGUGUUAUUAAUAUUUUAUUAUUAAUAUCAUUGUUCUUUUCUCACAUAUAUGUGUAUAUGUGUAAAUUAGCCUCCCAUAUAUAUUGGGUUUGUGGAAUUUAUCUCUCAUAAUGAUCUUUUGACUAUAAUUGUCACGCCUCGUGCCUAGAACGUAGCACCACACACGCCAUAGACAAUGCUAAAGGCGUAAGGCAACAAAUUUCCAAAAGCAACUACAUUUACCUUUAUAUAAACUUUUUAAAUCCGCAAAUACAAGAUCAUCUAUAUAACAGCAAUUUUGUGUCUUCCAAAAUAAAAGCAAGAUCAAACCUUCUACAAUAUGUACAAAAUUCAAAUCCUAUCAUAAGGUAUCUUAUAUAUAAGUACAAAAGUCAUCCUCUAACCCAAAGUCAUCUCCAUCUCCAUUACAACCCCCAAGAGCUAUCAAGGUCUACUUCAAUGAACUCAUCAUUAACUGCAUAAUUAUAACAAAGGGGUGAGCAAAAUCUCACUCAAUAAGUAGUGCAUGUAUCUCAUUAUUUGCCUGAGCAAUGUUACAUACAUAAUAUAUAUUUCAAACGUCAUUAACUUACACAUAUAACUUUAUAAGAACAUGGUUGCUAUAAACAUUUCAACGGCAUAUCAUACAUCACACACACAAAAGGAGCUCAAACCAUAAGACAACAAUUGACCCAGGAUAUCCAGUUGUUAACUUAAACUUAACCAGUUAACACAGUUCAUAGUGCUAACUACCACAUAGUUAGCCCAUUUCAUAUUGCUCACUACAACAUGGAUAGCUCGGUUCAUAUACCAACUACUUGUGAGGAACUAGUCCUAUCAAAAGUCGCUUAUACAAGAGCUCAACAAACAUAACAUUUCAUUUCACAAAUGACCAUGGCAAGAGUAAUAACAAAUAUCACAAAAUUAUACUUGCUCAUGCCAUUUUAGCAAUUAGACAAGUAGCUUUCAAAAUUUAUCAUUCAAAAGAUAAAGGAUACAUGCACCAGUUACCUCGAUCCAAUCGAUACCCACGCUAUUUCAAGUAAUCGGAAAAAUAGCUACCUUCUCACCUAGACAUAAUGAUAAAAUGUUCAAUUACAAUCUUAAAGAUACCAAACUACUCCAAAUUAUCAUAAAAACGAGCCUAAUACUACCCUUAACCACUAAUUCCUAAUAAAAGAUCAUUUCCUCAUCAAAGUAGGACAUAAGGGUUUACUUUAAAGGGUCACUAACUUCCAAAAAUACAGAAAUGGUCAAGAGAUUUAUAUAGAGUUAAAGCCCUCUGAAUCUAGUUUCCAACGCAAUAAACGGCACCUAAAUCCGAAUUUUCUACACCAAGUUAUAUCCAAAGCAUUGAAAUAUGUCUAUACAGAAAAUUCAAUCUGUCCGAGAAUUAUAGCCAAUCCAUCCGAGGAUUUUAGCCAAUUCGUUCGAGGAUUAUAGCCAUGGAUUUCUAGCAAGUUUUCAAGGCAAAAACAAGUCAUUCUUUCCCUCAACAUUUCUCCUUUUUAUAUUGAUGAUAGCCCUAUAUACCCAUUUGAAAAUGGAGACCAAAACAAACUCCAUACACCAUAGCCAUGGAAGCUAACCAAGGAUUUGAACCAAAUACUACCCAAUCACCCAAUCAAAGAAAACCAAGAUCAUGUUCAAGGUUUCAAGAAAAUACCUUGGUUAGUCGUCAAAGUAGAAUCUCCUAACUCCUCACUCCUUAUUGUGCUUGAUUUGUCAAGAAUCCUCCUUGAUUGUAAGGAAAAAGGAGAGAAAUAAGAAAGGGUUUUGUUGGAGAAGGAAGGAAAAAAGGAAAUGAAGAAGAUGAAGAAAGUUUUUGGUAAAAAUGAAUAGUGAAAUCCCAAUAUCACUUUUAUUCUUUCAAAAUUUCACAUAUUAACACAUUGGUCACUCAACUUAACGUCAUUCACUUUUCACCCCAAAAUAGUAUUUCUUCACACAAAAUUCUCUACAAGACACUUGGGUAUCACAUUCUCCCCCUCUAAUAAAAGUUUUGGCCUCGAAAUUUAACGUACCUCGUUGGUUAAACAAAUGUGAAUACUUAGUUCGCAUUUCCUCUUCGAGUUCCCAAGGCUUCACGAGUACUAUGAUUGGACCAUUGAACUUUAACAUAGGGAAUUGUCCUUCUUCUUAGCACUUGAUCUUUACAACCCACAAUUCGAAUUGGCUUCUCACUAUAAGUUUGAUCCUCUCAUACCAUUAAUGGCUCAUACUCCAGGAUAUAACUUGGAUUAAAUACAUAUUUUCUCAAUUGCAAAACAUGAAAUACAUUGUGAACUCUUGAUAAAGAUGGUGGCAAGGCUAACUUGUAUGCCAAUUCUCCAACUCUAUCCAAAAUUUCAAAAAGCCCAACAUAUCUUGCACUCAGUUUUCCACGUUUCCCAAAUUGCAUGACACCCUUCAUUGGUGAAAUUCUAAGAUAUAAUUUAUCCUCUUCUUGAAACUCUAAUGGUCUUCUUUUCAAAUCGGCCCAACUCUUUUGUCUAUCUUGUGCUGUUUUCAACCUUUCUCUCACUAGUGCCAUCUUCUUGAUUGUAGCUUGUACAAGUUCGGAUCCAGUAAUGAUCCUUUCACCUACCUCAUCCCAAUAUAAGGGCAAUUUACACUUCCUCCCAUAUAGAGCUUCAAAAGCUAGCAUGCCGAUACUACUAUGAUAACUGUUAGUGUAAGAGAACUCACUUAGCACCAGAGAAUCCUCCCAACUGCCCCAAAAUCCAUAACACAUGCUCUAAGCAUGUCCUCCAAGGUUUGAAUUGUACGCUCUGAUUGCCCGUCAAUUUGAGGAUGAUAAGCUGAGUUGAGGUUUAACUCGGUUCCUGUGGCUUGUUAGAGACUUUUCCAAAAUCGAGAGGUGAAUCUAAGAUACGAUCAGACACAAUACUCACUGGACACUAUGAUAACGAAUAAUGCAAUCCAUACAGAGAUUAGCCAAAGUAUCCAUAGAUGCAGUAGCAACCAUAGGUACAAAAUGAGCUGAUUUUGUCAGUCGAUCAACUAUUACCAAAUGGUGUCAUUACCUCUCCUAGACUUGGUAAUCCAACAACGAAAUCCAUUGCUAUAUGCUCCCAUUUCCAUUCCGGUAUUGUCAAAGGCUUUAAUAAUCUAGCAGGUCUUUGAUGUUUGGCCUUUAUUUGUUGACAAACUAAGCAUUUAGACACAUAAUUCGCGAUCUCCCUCUUCAUACCACUCCACCAAUACGACUGCUUUAAGUCUCGAUACAUCUCAGUGUUAUUAGAAUGAAUAGAGGCUUGGGAGAAGAGCAAGCCUCCGCCAUUAUUUCUUUUCGUAACUCCGGAUCUUUAGGCACCACAAGCCGAUUCCACAUCCAUAUACUACCAUCCUUGAGUAGUUGAAAGUCGGGUAAUUCCUCACUUUUAACUUUUUCCUUGAUUUUUGCCAACUCAAUAUCAUCUUCUUGAGUUUCCUUGAUUCUCGAAAUUAAGGAUGGUUAGGCAACUAGAGUUGCGAGCACAUGCAUGAAGGAUUCUACCACCUCUAAAUUCAAUUCCUCCAUUUGUUUGACAGGUGCCGAACCUGUACAAUAAUAAUAAUAAAACCUAACUACCACCAAAAGCAAUCAAUAAUCAAUUCUAAGUAUUGGAGCAGGGACUCUAGGUAUGCAAUGAGUUACUUGAUUCACCUGUUGCUGAAGAGUUUGUUGAAUCCGAUAUACCAAAAUUAAUUAGCUAACUAAAUUUACUAAGUAGUAGACAAUGGCAAGCAGGGUCGUCUCCUCAGGGGCUGGAGAGAAAUUUGUUUCUUUUUAAGCCAAGACAAACGGAGGGUUUGAAAAUUAGAUGCUAAAGAAUCACUAACUAAACAAAUUAAAUGCAAAAAAUAAUUAAUUGAGAGAAAUAAUUGGAGAAACUCUAGCCAAGGGUGCACUUCAGAAAUGGUUCAUGCAACUGAUCAUCGAUUCAAAUAUAAUUCCAACAAUUAUUAAUAGAUUAGUUAUAGUUGUCAUGCACGCGAUAAACAACCAGCAUUUCCUUAAUUUCUCGAUAGUUAAGGUACAACCGUUAACUAUUUCUCUAACCAAAAAACAACCCUAGGUACGACCGUAGGAUUUAAUUUCUAGUUUGCAUUAAGAUUUAGAAAAGCCCAAUCCUAACUAACAAACACACUACGAGGGUUUGUUUAAAUUAGAUCGUAUGUUUUCCUGACAUAAACCCAAUUACGCCAGUUGCUACCGGGAUGGAGCUAAUCAAACAAUUACGGAUUCAACUACUCCCAAUUAGCAAAUUAACUAAGUGAAUAACUAAAUAUUGCGCACUAUUCAGUCAUACACAAUAGCUAUGACAAUUAAAGGCAGAAACAUACAAAUACUAAUAAAUGAAGGAAACAGUUAAAACAAUUUCGAUCUCACAGUUAUUGUUGAACCAAAUUUUCAAUUGUCUCCUUGACUAAAAGUGGUGAUUAGUUCAUCCUCAUUGAGAGUAACUCACGCAAUGCCAUCGAAGGAAAUUGCGUCAAUGUUUGACAAUAGAAGAACUACUCAGAGAAGAAGAGAGCCAAGCGGCUGCCUUCCUCCCCUUUUCUUAUUCCCUGGCCGAGUAGUAAUCACGCGGAUCCGGCUUUUGUUCUUCCUAUUUUCUAGCUUUCUAAAAACACAUUGAACUUCUCCCUCACAAUCCGUAGUAAAUGAUUCCAAAAAAAUCUCCUACUAUAGGAAAACUAACUUCCUAAAGAUAGGUACUCAAGCGCUUAAAAGUCUCCUAAACCAACCCAAUUACUAAUUAGAAACUUGGCAAAUAAUAUCAUCUUCCAGUUAUGAUGACGACUCCCACUUGGAUUAGGAUACUGCCCGCAUAGAAUCCCCGCACUCCAGACUUGAUUGAUGUCUUCUCACGCGUCCACACUUACUUGGAGGAAAAUCUUCUAAAAACUGUUAUUUCUGCACUUUCUUUCUCCAAUUGGCUAAACAUCCCCUAAACAUAAAAUUCAAACAAAAUAUGUCCAUUAAUGCAAUAUCCAAUCCAAUAAGAAAAGGAAAUUAUAAGAAAAUUAAUGCUAAAUUAGCGUUCUAUCAUUGUUUUACUAACAUAACUGCUAUCAUUCCUGAAUUUUUCCUGCUCAAAGCAUCAGCAACCUUGUUUGCUUUUUCUGGAUGAUAACUAAUGGUAAGAUCAUAAUCUUUCAUUAACUCAAGCCAUCUUCGUUGUCUCAUGUUUAGCUCUUUCUGCGUGAACAAAUACUUUACGCUUUUAUGAUCUGUAAAGACUUCACAUUGCUCCCCAUACAAGUAGUGCCUCUAAAUCUUCAAGGCAAAAACAACGCCUGCCAAUUGCAAAUCAUGUGUAGGAUAGUUUGUUCAUACCGCUUCAAUUGACAAGAUGCAUAAGCUAUGACCUUCUCAUUUUGCAUUAGCACACAUCCCAACCCAUUUUUGGAUGUAUCGCUAUAAAUAGUGAAACCUCCAGAUCUAGAAGGUAAGGUGAGAACUGGUGCCGAAACAAGCUUAUUCUUUAAUUCUUGAAAACUAUUUAACAUUUAGGUGUCCACUCAAACUUAACAUGCUUUUGAGUUAAACAACUCAAGGACAAAGCAAUAGUAGAAAAUCCUUCAACAAAAUUUCUAUAGUAGCCAACUAAGCUCAGAAAACUCCUCAAUUCUACCACAUCAGUAGGUCGGGACAAUCCACAAUAGAUUCUAUCUUCUUAGGAUCCACAAAGACACCAUCUUGAGAAAUAACAUGCCCAAGGAAGGACACACUUUGAAGCCAAAAUUCACAUUUGUUGAGUUUUGUAUAAAGUUUCUCACGCCUCAAGAUUUGUAAAACAUCUCGCAGGUGAUUUUCGUGCUCUGCUUCACUUGGGAGUACACCAAUAUAUCAUCAAUGAACACCACCACAAAUCGGUCUAAUUGCUUUUUGAAUAUCCUAUUCAUCAAAUCCAUAAAGGCUGCAGGAGCAUUAGUCAACCCUAAAGGCAUGACGAGAAAUUCAUAAUGGCCAUACCUUAUUCUAAAUGCACUCUUUGGAAUAUCUUGCAGUUUAAUCCUUAAUUGAUGGUAUCUGUAAUGAAGAUCGAUUUUUGAAAAACCUUAGCCCUUUUAAAUUGAUCAAACAGGUCGUCAAUACGAGGCAAUGGAUACUUGUUCUUGAUCAUAAUUUUAUUGAGCUCCCAAUAAUCAAUGCACAAUUGCAUACUUCCAUCCUUCUUCUCUACAAAUAAAACUGAUGCACCCCAAGGGGAUACACUUGGUCGAAUCAAUUUCUUGUCAAGCAACUCCUGAACUUGAACUUUAAGCUCCUUCAACUCUGUGGGGGCCAUCCGAUAGGGUGCCUUAGAUAUAGGUUCUAAGUUGAGUAUUACAUUAAUCUCAAAAUCAAUUUCUCUCUUGGGAGGUAGACCUAAUAAGUCAUUUGAAAACACAUCUGAAAAUUCUCUUGCAAUUGGGAUAUCCUCAAGUUUUAUCUCUUUCUUACUAGAGUCUACUAUAUAAGUCAAAAACAUUCACAUCCUUCCUAAUUGCUCUCCAAGUUUGUAUGGCAGAUAAAAUGGGUAGAGACUUCUUCUUUGGUUUUCCUCAACACCCUUGAAAAGAAAAAUGUGGAAUGUUUGGGGUUUAAAAAUCAACACUUUUACCCAUACAAUCUAUAUGGCAUAAUUUUGUGAUAGCCAAUCCAUACCUAAGAUAGCAUCAAAUUAUAUUCAAUUGCACUAGAUUUGCCUUAAACUCUCUCCCACUAAAUCUAAAGUAUAACCUUCAUACAUAAGGUGAGAAACUAAAACUUUUCCCCGGGAAUGGCUACACGAUACGGGUCAUCCAAAACACAGGGUUUAAUAUCUAACUCUCAUGCAAACUUCUUUGAAAUGAAAGAAUGGCAAGCCCCACAACCAAAUAACACAUCCGCUGGAAGAGAAUUAAUCAUUUCCAUACUUGUCACAACAUCCUCUACUCCUGCUGCUUCUUGUUCAGUCACCUUAGAGAUUGUGUAAGGUCGAUCUGCACUAGAAUUCAAGCUAUUUCCUAGCCUAUUGUUGCCUCUAGUUUGCUUAGAAUUCGGGCAAUUACUCACUUUAUGCCCCAUUUCUCCACAACUAAAACAAGCUCCCGUUUUCCACCUGCAUUCUCCGAAUGAACCCGAUGACAAUAAUCACACAACUUAGAUGGGUUAGUAGGUAGAUACCUUGGAAAAGGUUGUUGAGAAGAAUUAGCCUAUUGCGAAACUAUAGGUCUUGGUAACGGUGCUUGUCGGGGAGGUUGCAUUGGUCGAAGAGGUUGCAUUACACGAGAAGGCUGACCAUGUUGACGAAGUUGGCCUUGCAUUACGAUUUAUCUAUUUCUCCUUUGUCUCGUCUCUUCAUCCUCCUGAAGAAUGUCUUGUUCAACAUCUAAACUAGCUUCAUACAUUUGGUCACAAUUGGCAUAGAAAUUUUCAGAUAUUUUUGAUUGAAUCUGACUAUUCAAUCCUCCCUUAAAGGAGACCAUCUUCACAGUCUCAUCGCCAUUGUAGAAGGGACGAAGCAUCCCAAGGAGAGAAAAAUAGUGUAGUACUCACCCACAGACAUGGAACCUUGAUUAAGGUUAUUGAAUAUUCGAAUAUUUUGAACUCGAAUAGCUGGUGGAAAGUAAUGCUGUAGAAACAUCUUUUUGAACUCAUCCCAUGUCAAAGUACAACCUGAAGAAACCAUGGUCAGGGCUACACCAUCCCACCAUUUCUCUGCUUCACCAAGAAAGAUGUCACUACUUGAGGUCGAAUAUCUUCUGGCACCAUCAUAGUUUGGAAUUUGUUCUCAAUUUGGGAUAACAUCUCUCUGCCACAUUCAAGUUUGGACCUCCAUCAAAAGUAGGCAAAUAGACCUUGCUAAGCUCCUUGAAAUGGUACUUAACACUAACCCAUAUCUUGCUCUCUUUCUUCUUGUUGUUGUUGUUGAUAUUGCUGCCAUCCAUGCAUGAACUAAUAUGCCACAGAUAAGGUAGUUGGAUCUAAUUUUAUUAUGACACCCAAACUUUUGCAUUUUAGCCCCAUCUGUGGUAAACUAAUUUCAUUAACUCUACCAUGACAUCUAAUCUUUUAUAAUUUAGUCUCGUAUAUGAUAAAUCGAUAUCAUUAAUUCUAUUAUGGCACCCUAUCCUUUGUACUUUAUCCUAUGUUUUUUUCAUUAGCAAAAUGCGGAAGGUAUUGUAAUAAAAAAAUGUAUAUAUAUUUUAUAAUUGAUCCAAAUUUAGUUAAUAACUUGGUAUUAAAGUUAAAAAUAUCAUGGAUUCCCUAUCCAGUUCUCUUGACAACACCUAGAAAAUUAUUGAUUAGCAUAGUAGGAAAACAAUGGCAAAGAAUUUUAAUAUGAAAUUAAGUAAAGCCUUGACAAUUGGAUGGCUAGAGUUUAUUAUUAAUUACACUAGUCACAUUGUUUAUGGUUUAUGAAUCAGUACUUGUACUAAAUACAUUUAGUGUUUCAUGCAUGUAUUAGCAAACUAUUUUGGUUAUUUGAUCAACUAAACAUAUUGUUAGGUCUUGUCAGACCAUAAUUCGUACAUAAUUGACAAAAUUAUUAAAUUAAAACAAAAAAUAUUUACAUUAAAAGAUUUUUUUUGAAUCAUAAACAUAUUUUUAAUAAGCUUUUUAGUUUUUGAACAUUAUUUUUUUGUAGAGAUAAAAAAACCUAUGUUAGUAAAAAAAAUUAUCAAAAAACACUAAAUUUUCAUAUUCUAAAAUUUUAAUACAACAAAUAAAGUUUUAAUAUAACUUGUGAGAUAAAACUCAAAAUAAUAACCAAUUUUAAUUACACAGAGAUGGGGGAAAAAAGAGAGAUAUUAGAGAAGGCAUUGUUUUUGUAAAGAAAGGUCCAAAUAGUUUGUAUAAAAGUCACUUGAAAGUGUUAUUUUUUGGCUGAAGCUAAAAUGGAAGCGGGAAUUGAAAAUUGAAAGAGUAGAGGCGGGUGAACAAAAGAAGCAGAAACGACGUCAUUUUAGCAAGAGUUAAACAAAAACACUCAUAACACUUAGAAAAAUUUCGGACAAAACUUGCUUUCCCCCUUCUUGCCAACUUCGGACACUACAUCUUCUCCUUCUCUCCAUUAUCAUCUUGCUGAAAUUAUCCAGAAAAUCAUUUUAACCCAUCAUUUUCAUCCGUAAUUUGAGCUACCCAAAAGAUUUGGGCAGCUUUAGUGGAGUUGUAGAUAGCAAAAAUCCUAACUCGGGUAGCACUUGCUUGCUGGCAAGAACACAGAAAAUUGACCAUGAAUUUUUGGGGAAAGCCAAAGUUUGAAGACUGAAUCUUAAGGAAACAAGAGCUAAGGUUGUCACAGCAUAAUUUGAGGUAAAUAAUCUGUUACAUUUUUCCAUCUAGUUUCGAUAUUUUCUGUCAAAUGUAGGUCGAGUGAGCUGAAUCUUGAGUUUAUGGGCCCAAUCUUCCACUUUAAUCUUUCAAUGGUGAGAGAUUGAGAGAGUUUUGAAAGUGAAACAAAGUGAAGGGAAGCUAUCCUUUGUGAACUGUCCAGACCCCCUGAGAAAAUUCAUGUUUGAAUUUUGGAUGUGGAAAUUUUACUUGUAGCGAACUAUUUUUCUGAGUUUGAUAUGUUAAAAAUUGAAACAUUUUUGUGUAGUUGAUAGCGAUUUAUUAUAAUUGUUGGAGAAAGUUAAUAACAUGUGCUGUUUUUUAUGUAAUUUUUCAAUUCUAAUUCUAUUUGUAAGAGUAGCUACAUAUUAUAAUGGCUUACAUACAACUGAUUUUGAGGUAAUAGAGCUUUAAUAUUCUAUAAGUCAAGUAUCCUUUUGGGAGCCAAUUCGAUAUUUAGUUUCUAAGACCUUAGAAGAAAUUUUGAUCAGUUUGGCGACUUCUAGAUAUUGAGGGAAUGAGAAGCUAUGCAAAGUGAGUGGAUUAUCUUGUUGGUAAGUGGAAGUGAGGCAGAUUGUAUAAUCUUAACUUGUGGCCUUUGACUUUAGAAGUUAACUGUAUAAACUUACCAUUACCACACACUAAUUAGACAUUGUUUACUCUGAUGUGGAGAAACAAACUCCUAAAUUGAUAAAUUCAUGUUAUUGUUAUGUUAUGAUUGUUUUAUUGCGCAUUAUGGGUUAGUGUUGCAGUAGAGUUUACUAUGGCUUUUUAAGAUUCCUCCCUAUUGAAUUAUAGUUUUUGACCUGGAUUUACCAACUGAACGUGAAAGAUUCUGCAACAAAUAAAUGUUGGCUUUGGAGUAGAAGAGCAUUGUUGUCCACCCUGUAGUUGUAUUUGUUAGAGAAGUUAUUAAGGGGACCAAGAAUAAUGCCAAUCUGUAAUGGCUUAUACAGUUAAAUAAGCCAUUAUGAAUAAAGUAUUAGUUUAGCCAUUACAAAUUGUAAUGUCAUCUACACAUUAAUGCUUUUGCAUUGUAAUGAGAAAGUGGACUCUAUUUUGAAAAUUAUGCACUAUGUUUAAGUUUGGAGCAGCAUUAACUCAUUAUUCUGCGGCAAAUGUCUUAUACAUUUGCACGGGUAAUUAGCUCUUCAAUGCAUGUUUACUUGCUAUGCAGAGACAUUUUCACUCUGAAAUGCAACCUAAUCUGUGAUGUUUGCUUGUAAGAGAGGUGCUGCAUGUUUAUUUGGAGAGUAUAGUGCUCAAACUCGCUCAAACGAUGACAAAUGAUAGUAGUGGUGUUUCUGACAUAAUACAUGUAAGUGUACUUUGAAACUUCUUAUUAAUUAACUCUAAAGAUUUUGAAGCUAUUCUGUGGCAUGUCAUCUUAGACAAGUGUGUGUUUGACUUUGAUAUGAUUCAUAGCCUCCAAAAGAUGUGGAUUCCAAUUUGGUCUGGUUUGUUGGAGUCUCAAGAUUCUCCUAACUUCAACUUUUAUUUCUUUCCCUUUUUUCUUUGGCUUCUUUAUAGGGAAUUUUUUUGUAAAGUUAUUUUAUUGAGCAACCAAGUUAAUGCCGCAUCAAAGAUUUCAUUGGCAAGUUACUUAUUAAGUUACUAGCAAGCAUAACUGUGGCGUUGCGCGGUGGAUUAGAUAGCAUGUAUGCCAUUUAGGUAUGAAUAAAUAGACAUUACAUGAAUAGUGAUAAUGUCACGGAAUUAAACAUCUUUUUUUUCAAUACGGAAUUAAAUACCUUGUGGUUACAUUAUCUAGUUUUAUUUGUUUAGAUCCAUAUACCGCGCUAAUUAAUCAUUAAUAUAUCCAUGAACGUGUAGAAGAAGGUAAGCAUUUAAUCCAAUUAAAAUUUAAUAAUAAUAUAAAAACAAUAUAGAAAGCAAUAUAACUUUGGAGAUCAAGAAUGUAAAUUUAAAAUUUAUGAUAGACAGAACAAGGGGUAGAAAUUGGAACUCAAAACAAGGUUAAUCUAUUUAAGGCAUUUAGAAGUACCAAACCAGAAAUUGGCACAUUGCAUCGGACAAAAGCAAUUGCAUUAAUGAUUUGGAGUCUACUUACAUAAUAUUUAGAUCCUGAACAGGCAAUGCUAAGGGUACAUAAUUUCUAUAUGUUAAUCUCAGUUCUUAGCUUUUGAUGAUUACAAAACAAAUGGAUGUUGCUAAUAUCUCCUCAAAAACCUUUUUAGAAAUGAAGCAAAUUAGGUUCAAAGAUGAACCUGUUGCUGAAGCUGUCGGACACACAAAAAAACUGGAUCAGAUGUUCGACAAUCAUUGAACAACUUCGGACGUAUGAGGAACUCCAUUACCGGACAUCCGAAAGAAAUCAAACACCUCCUUAAGCUCACUGACCUCGAUCGGACGCAGAACAUUAAAGCACCGGACGUCCGCAGAAUUGAAGAAGGAUUCUCAAACAUUACCAUCUGCUUUCGGGCGCAAACACUUUGGAGGUACCGGACGUCCGAAAGAAUUAAAGAAAUUUUUCUUGCUCUCUGCCUGCUGUCGGACACAAGAAACAAGACUACCGAAUGUCCGACACUACCAACGGUUAGUUGAUUUUUCAGCUACCUUCUAUUCGUUAGAAGCUUUAAUGAAGGAAUUUUUUGGUCUCCUAUCAAUAGAGCAAAGUCAACCACUUCAAAUUACUUUUGCACAUUGAAACUACAAAAGAUCGAGAGCAAUUUUAGUGAGAAAAUUCUCUUCAAAGAAGAUUUGUACUCUUAGUUGUGUAGAUUUCGUACAAGCUUUUCUUGUGUGAGAAAAUUACUUCAAUAGUGUAGCUUUGUGAGGGUUAUCCGAGUGAUAAUAAAACUUGCUAACUUGAUCAAGUGUGGUUUGGAGCAAGGAGAAAGUGAUCCUUUUUUUCUGCACAUAGAUUAGUUGUAAUUGAUUAACUUGAAGAAACUUACUCUAUAAAGUGAUAUUCAAACUCAAGAGGAGAUUGAAAUUUGGUUUGCUAUUCUAUCUCUUUUAUUUACUAUACUGCCAAUAUAAAUUGUUCAUCUCUUCUACUCACAGACAUUUGUACUUUCUCAUUAUUUGUUCCAUUGUAUGGUCAUCUAGAAAGAGGGUAAAUUUCAUAUUCAAUCAAAAAGUGUCUCAUAAUUUGGUUAUUUUGUAAUUUACCUAAUUCACCCCCGUCUUACGUUGUUUUCGAUCCUUACAAUUGUAUCAGAGUUUGGUCUCCUAGAGAUUAAGCUAAUCGACUUUGGAAUAAAAAUGACAACCAACAAUGCCAUGUUUUUUGAAGGAUAAUCUGUCACUAGACCCCCAAUGUUUAAUGGAUCCAAUUAUGUGAAUUGGAAGGAAAGAAUGAUUAUAUUCUUGCAAUCUAUUGAUAUUGAACUAUGGUUUAUUGUUAAUGAAGGUUCAUUUGAAUAACUCUACAAUUGAUGAAGCCACUCAUAGACUAAAACCAAAAUCAGAAAUGAGUUGACUGCUGAGAAUAGAUCUCAUCUCACCUUGAAUACCAAAGGUAUGAAUGUGUUGUAUAGUGCUUUAGAUUCAAAUGAGUCUAUUAGAGUCAAAGGUUGCCGAUCUGCAAAAGAAAUUUGGGAUAAACUAAGAGAGAUCCAUGAAGGAAGUGAGAAUGUAAGAGAAAAUAAAAGAAAUCAAUCCUAGUUACUAAGUAUGAAUCAUUUAAGAUGGAACCUUAUGAAAACAUUGAUAAGAUGUAUUGUAAAUUCAAUGAUCUCAUUAAAGACUUAGAUCGGUGCUGGAAAAUGAAUACACCUUAGGUCGAGAAAAAAUAGAAAGAUUUUGAAUGCACUGACCAAAGAUUGGGAGAGUAAAGUGACUUCCAUUGAAAAAGCUAAAGAUCUAAAUACUAUGUCUAUUGAAUCUCUCAUUAAUUCUCUAAUUUCUUAUGAGUUGAACCUUAAGUCUAAGGUACAAGAGGAGGAAGAUGCAAAAGUGAGAAGAAGCAUUGCUCUAAAGACUUCUCAAGAUGAAGAUGAUUCAACUUCCUUAGAUGGAGAUAAUGUAGAAGUUGAUGACAAUGAUCUUGCUCUUAUCACAAGGAGUUUUAAAAGAAUCCUCAACAAAAGGAGAUUUAGAAGAGGAGGACCUAGCAAUACAUUUUCUAAUCAGUUCAAUAAUUCAAGAAACAAAGGAAAAUAAGAGACUAAUAAAAAGCAAGUAGACAAAUGCUUUGAAUGCGGCCAACUUGGACACUACAUGAGUGAGUGUCCAAUGAAGAAGAAGAAAGAAGGAAAAGUUGAACGAAAACCAAAGUUCAACAACUUUCAAAUUACAUGGAAUGAUUGUAACUCAGAUGGUGAUAUCGAAGAGAAAGAGAAUCUGCUCAAAUGGCUUUCAUGGCCAUUGGUGAUGAUGAGGUAACUACUUGCAACUGUCAACCUGUUAGUGAUGAUGAAUCUAAAGAUGAUGUUGAGUCUUUCAUUGAGAGAUUGCAUAAUAGCUUAAAAGAAUCGUAUGCUAGAAACAAGGAACUAAAAUAGAAAAUUAAUUUUUUGAUUCAAAACAAUGCAAAUCUUUUUCGACAAAAUAAAAUGCGGAAAGCUGAAAAUGACUGCUUGAAACAGGAUGAAAAUGUUCUACUUUUUGAGCUUGAUAGAAAAACAAAGCUGUGUGAGUUGUUCAAAAAGGAACAAGGUGACUUAAAAAGAAGAAUGGAUGGCCUAGAUAAAUUGCUUAAACAUAAGAAACAAGACUGCUUUCAAAAGAGUGAAUCAAAACCUCACUUUGACAUUCACAAGAAAAGGUUGAACUCUAAUGCAAACGAAUUUAACAUCUAUAAAAGAAGGUAAGCUAGAUUUAUUAAACCUGUCUUUGUAGGAAACUCACUGACUAUGUGUAGCUUUUGUUGCCAAGUUGGUCACAUGAAAAAUAAUUACUAUGUAAGAAAGAAUAUGAGAAAUGACAUGAAAUGCAUGUGGAUAGUUAGACAUAAUGUUAACUCUCAAGGACCCAAAAAGUAGUUGGGUACCAAAUAUAUCUUGUGAACUUUUGUGUAGGUGAGAUUGGUGAAUGUUAUUAAGGAAUCAAAAUUGUUCAUAGAUAGUAGAUGCUUAAGGCAUAUGAUUGGUGAUCCCUCACAGUUCAUCAAACUCAAGUCAAAAUCAAGUGGAAAAGUAACAUUUGGACAUGAUAACAAACCAAAACAGUUGGAGUUAGAGAUGUUGGUAAGAAUGACCAAACUUUUGUUCACAAUGCUCUUCUAGUUGAUAACCUGAGUUAUAAUUUGUUGAGUGUUAGUCAAUUGUGUGACAGAAAUCUGUUUGUGCUAUUUAAAAGGCAUGAAUAUCUUAUUCUUGACUCAAAAUUUAACAUUAUUUUCAAAGAAAAAAGAGUGAAUGACAUUUAUGUAGUUAUUCUAGAAAAUAUUGAUUCUUUCAUCCUAAAUGUCUUAAAACUGCAGAUGAGGAUCUUUGGUUGUAGCAUAGAAGGUUUUGUCACUUUAAUAUAAAUUUGUUAAAAAAAAUUCAAAAAAGAACUUGUUAGAAAUUUACCAAAAAUUAACUUUGAAAAAGACAAAAUUUGUGAUGCUUGUCAAAUUAGAAAACAAGUAAAAGUUUCUUCAAAUCUAAGAAUUGUGUUUCUACUUCAAAACCACUGGAUCUUUUACAUCUUGAUUUAUUUGGUCAUACACAAAUUGCUAGUUUGGGUGAUAAAAUAUAUUAUUUGAUUAUUGUUGAUGAUUAUUUUAAUACACUUGGGUGAUAUUUCUUGCUCAAAAGGAUGAUACUUUCAAAAGUUUUCUUUCAUUAUUUGCAAAAGUUCAAAAUCUGAUUGGAUUGAAAAUUAUCAAGAUUAGAAGUGAUAAUGGCUCGGAAUUUAAAUUUUGUGGUUUUCAGAAUUUUGUGAUAACAAUAGAAUCACAAUGAGUUUUCAAUUGCUAGAACUCCUCAACAAAAUGGUGUUGUUGAAAGAAAAAAUAGAACUCUUCAAGAAACCGCACGAACUUUGUUAAAGUGAAUGUAACUUACUAAAAUAUUUUUGGGUCGAAACCGUUAAUACCGCAUGUUAUGCUAUGAAUAGAGUUCUUUUGAGACAUAUUUUAAACAAAACCUCUUAUGAGUUAAUGUUUGAAAAAAGCCAAUUGUUAGUUAGUUCAAAGUUUCUGGUUGCAAAUGCUUUAUUUUAAAUAUCAAGAAACACUUUGGAAAGUUUGAUAAGAAAUCUGAUGAAGGUAUUUUUUUGGGAUAUUGUGAGAACAAAAGAGGCUUUAGAGUCUAUAAUAGAAGGACUCUUGUUAUUGAAGAAGCUAUACAUGUCACCUUUUGAUGAAUCUAAUGAUAAUAUUUUCAAAAGUAGUUGUGAGGAUGAUGAUGUAGGUGUCCAAGAAAGACUCAAGAAACUCACAAUUCAUGAUCAAAACGAUACUCCACAAGAAGAGAGCUCAAAAGAAGAUAAUCCCCAAGAUAGUCAAGCAUUAGAAGAAAAUGACAAUCAUGGUGAUGCACCUAGGAAUCUUCCAAAGGUUUGAAAGUUUGUUCAAAAUCAUCCUAAGGAAUUCAUUAUUUGGUGAUCCAUCCGAAAAGGUAAUUGUGAGAACAAAAGAGGCUUUAGAGUCUAUAAUAGAAGGACUCUUGUUAUUGAAGAAGCUAUACAUGUCACCUUUGAUGAAUCUAAUGAUAAUAUUUUCAAAAGUAGUUGUGAGGAUGAUGAUGUAGGUGUCCAAGAAAGACUCAAGAAACUCACAAUUCAUGAUCAAAACGAUACUCCACAAGAAGAGAGCUCAAAAGAAGAUAAUCCCCAAGAUAGUCAAGCAUUAGAAGAAAAUGACAAUCAUGGUGAUGCACCUAGGAAUCUUCCAAAGGUUUGAAAGUUUGUUCAAAAUCAUCCUAAGGAAUUCAUUAUUGGUGAUCCAUCCGAAAAGGUAAGAACUCGUUCCUCUUCAAAACAAUUGAUGGACAAUUUUGCUUUGGUCUCACAUUUUGAACCAAAAAUUAUUAUUGAUGCAUUGAAAGAUGAAAACUGGAUUUUAACUAUGGAAGAGGAACUAAAUCAAUUUGAAAGGAACAAGAUGUGGACAUUAGUUGAAAAAUCUCAUGAUCAUCCUAUUAUUGGCACAAAAUAGAUGUUUAGAAAUAAAAUGACUGACAAAGGUGAAGUGGUGAGAAAUAAGACUAGAUUAGUUCUUAAGAGGUAUGCUCAAGAAGAAGGAAUAGAUUUUGAUGAAACAUUUGCUCCCAUAGCAAGACUAGAAUCUAUUAGAAUGUUUUUGACAUUUGCAUGUUUCAAGAAUUUUAAAUUAUUUAAAAUGGAUAUUAAAAGUACUUUCUUAAAUAGUUUUAUUGAUCAAGAGAUAUAUGUUGAUCAACUACCCGGUUUUGAGAAUGAAAUGUUUCCAAAUCAUGUGUUUAAACUCUCAAAAACUUUGUAUGGUUUAAAACAAGCUCCAAGAGUAUGAUAUGAAUGCUUAAGUGGUUUCUUGAUUGAAAAUGAUUUUGAAAGGGGCAUUAUAAACACCACUUUUUUCACCAAACGAUGUUCCAAUGAUCUACUAAUUGUGCAAAUAUAUGUUAAUGAUAUUAACUUUGGUGCUAUUAAUGAGUAUUUGUGUAAGAAUUUUUUCAACUAUUAUGCAAAAAGAGUUUGAGAUGAGAAUAAUAGGAGAAUUGAAUUUUUUCCUUGGGUUUCAAGUGGAACAAACUCGAGAAGAAACAUUCAUUAAUCAAGCUAAAUACACCAAGGAAUUGCUCAAAAGGUUCGGUAUAGAGGAAUCAAAAUAAGUUGGAACACCAAUGUGCACAUCUAUCAAACUUGACAAGGAUAAAGGAGGUAUAAAUGUUGAUGAAAAGAAGUAUAGAGGUAUGAUUGGCAGCUUACUUUAUUUAACUGCAAGUAGACUUGAUAUCAUGUUUGCUAUUUACUUGUGUGCUGGUUUCCAAUUUUGUUCAAAAAAAUCUCACUUGCUUGCUGUGAAAACAAUUUUUAAAUAUUUGAAAAGAACAUUGAACUAUGGUCUUUGGUAUCCUAAAUGUCAUGAAUGUCCUUUAUAUGGUUUCUCGAAUGCUGACUUUGGUGGAUGUAGAAUAGAUAGAAAGAGUACUAGUAGUACAUGCCACUUUCUUGGUAAUUGUUUAGUAUUUUGGUUAAGUAAGAAAUAAACCUAUUUCAUUGUCUACGGCCGAAACGGAAUAUGUUACCACUAGUGCAUGUUAUACUCAAUCGAUGUGGAUGAAAAGUACCUUGAAUGAUUUUGAAUUAGUAUAUGAUUGUGUGCCUGUGUAUUGUGACAAUAAAAAUGCUAUAAAUUUGACAAAAAAUCUCAUUCAACAUUCUAGGAUAAAGCAUAUUGACAUAAAGCAUCAUUUCAUUAGAGAUCUCGUCCAAAAAGAUGAAAUUUGUGUGCAAUAUGUUUGUUCAAAGGAUCAAAGUACUGACAUUCUCACAAAAGCCCUUCCACUAGAUCAGUUUAUAUUUUUAAGAACAAAAUUGGGUAUUAUUGAAAAGUUUUUUUGAAAAAUUAUCUGGUCACACUUUAUCAAACGUCUGACAGUGUUCUUGAUCACUUUUCCAGAAAAUUUGGUUUUGGACGAUAAUGUCAGACGCUUCACUUCGUUCAACCGUCCAACACUCUAAAAAUGCUUGUUAUAAGUCAGUUUUCUCCUUCAUUCAGUUUAUUUUUCUAUCCGUUAUAUCAGACGCAACUUCUCAUCCUCUCCUAUUUUCAAAUUUCAAAGUUCGUCUCUCUUCUGAACAAGUUUCAAGAAAUUAAUUAGUUCAAAGCCUUUACACUCUUUUUACCCGUUCAUAACCCCUCAUAACUUCCUCUAACUGCCAACUAGUCUAUAAAUCCCAAUUCUCACCCGAAACCCUAGUCACUUAAAAGUCACUCUCUCUGGAUGAUUCAAGCCCUCAUUAUAAUUAAUACCGCACUUUUAGUCAGUCUCAUACAUAUUUUCAUCAUUCUCCAUAACAAAAACAAUCUGCAUUUCAUCAUGGUAAGAAUUAGGGAAGGAUCUGUCAGUGCAAGACGCACCACCAGGUUCAGGUUGAGGGAUGAAGAUACUGAAAUUAUUGAGCCCUCUACCACUAAAUUUCCAAAAAGGGCGACAAAAAAACAUGGUGGAAAAGGAAAAGGUUCGGCCCAAAAAAAACAUUCAGAGAAAUGGCAAACUACUUCCGCUGAGCAAACUGCAUUACCUCUUAUCAGUGAUAGUGAAGAGGAAUUGGAGCAGCUUACUAAUGUUGAUGCAUCUGUCACGAAAUCACCCAGAAAAGGGACUGAACCUCAUUGUAAAAAGGGGAAAUGGUCUGCUAAAAAGAAUGGGACAGUUCAAACUAAGGAAAGGCAAACUGCUGAUCCUUCUGUGAGCAAAUUGAGGAACAGCAGACUGUUGAGCAAAAUGCUAAGAAUCAGCAAGCUACUGAGACUUCCACCAGAAAGUCACCAAGAACAAGGUUUGGUGGACAGACCGAUAUACAUGAUACUCCACGAAAUGGAAAAAGGAAACGAACUGCCAGAGAGCAACCUGAGGCUCAGAUUGCAGAGGAAUCUACCUCAUUGCCAAAGUUCAUUGAUGAUGAUGCCCGAGAUAGGUUCGAAUGGGUUUCUCAGAAGGACUUCAUCACCCAAUGGGCAAUUAUCCCUCAUGAAUUCCGUAAGUUUGACCUUGAACCUGUCAUUAAGUUCUUUGAAUUCCAAAAAUGGAUUCAUAUUUUGACCAUUCCCAACACCUACUACCCUGACAUGUUUCAUCAAUUUUUUGUCAAUCUUAGGAAGGGUAAAUCCCAUACUGAUCUAGUCUCACGAGUAAAUUCUGUUGAUAUAGAAUUAAAUCCUGAUAUUGUCAACACUGUUAUGAAAAUCAAAAUUGAAUAUGGUUUUAAAGGAAAAAUUGCUAACUUUUUUUCAUAUGAACAAUUUCUUUCUGCCUAUAAUCACUUUCAUAUUGCAAAACUGAUAACUUAUUUUCAAACUCAUUUUAAUACUCUUACUGAGGCAAGAUUGGAAGAUCUCAAUCCUCAAAAUUUGAUCAUCUUCUCUAUAAUUUCAUCUAUUAGUUCCUACUGAUGGUUAUAGGACAGAUGCCAACAAAAUGGAGCUUUACCUGUUUUUCUGCUUUCUUGAAAAAAUUUGAAUUGAUUUCGGCUUUGUUAUGUGUAAAUUCUUACUCAAAAUCAGCACUGAUAGCCGUAGAAAACUUUCCUAUGAAAAAUUUCUGAUCCCAAUUUUUGCUCAUUUCAAAAUUCCCUUCACUGACAAAUCACCAAAAGAAAGUACAUCUAUUGUCUUUUCAAAGGCAUAUUUUGAAAGAAAAAAUCUGAACUUUUUUUUAUGGAAAAUGGUGCUACAAGGAAACUGUUUUGGAGACUAGGAGAAAGAAUCAUCAUGAAACACCUGUCUCCCCUAGGACUCCUCAAGAUCAGUCCAUGUAUAUUUCAUCCUUUACUAUCCAUCCUAGAAGGUCAGCCACUACGCCCUCUUCAUCUAACUCUGAGGUUAUUUCUUUGCUUGAAAAUCUCAAACAACACAUUCUACUCCUUGAAAAUGGUCUAAUGAUGACCAUGCCACCCGACCAACAAGCCACCUUCAUUGACAAAAGAAAUUUGCUUGUGUGACGGCCCCACUUCCCCCUAGGGCGUACCAAAGGGUUCGGCGGGUCGCCUGCCCAACUCUCGCCGAGACUCAGUCGUUCACUACAUUCCUCAAACAGAUUACAAUAUAAAUCUCAAAAAUUACAUCAAAUGUUCCCACAAUUACACAUCCAAGUCUCCAAUAAUUAUAUGUCACAAGCGAAGCGAAAACAAUUUCCAACUAUACAUAAAAUGAUUCCAAAUCCAAAUUGUACAAAAUAUAGGCCAUCUAUUCAAGUGAAUAACCACAACAAGCCUUCCUUCGCCACGAGCCCUGUGGAGGGGAAUAAAACAUUUUUGGGUGAGUUAGAAGCUCAGCGAGUAACCAGUAAAUUCAGUAAUCAAAUAUAUUUCACAAUAUUGCAUUUCGAUCCUUUCGAUGAUGUCAUGAUUCAGAGAUCAAAUAUACAUUUAUUGCUCUUGUGAGUCAGUGAAAUCAUGGCACUUGAACACCCAACGCUCAAAUAGAUCCAGUAAUAGUAAACAGUGAGAGAGGGAGCCAUUUGCUCCAGAUGAACAGUAAACAGAGGUGGAGACGUUGGUGUUCAGCACAAGACUUCUCCAGAACUCAGUGAAGCCAAAUCAUGUCAUGAACUCACAUGCAAGCACGCAUGAUAUGCAGUCGAGUAAAUAAUGCAAGAAACAGUUCAAAAGUAACUUUGGAAUCAGUUUAGGGUCACUCACCUCCACGGCUCAGAAACCAUCCAUCAUAUAUCAUUAUCUUGCCCGAGUCUGAGCCCUAAAUCACAAACUCAAAGCAAUCGUACAUUUUCAAAGUUCGAACAGCAUUUCCCCAUAAAUGCCUCAUUUCCAACCUACAAGGUAUCACUUACAUUUCAAACCAGGCCCACAGUCCGGCAUCCUAAACUUCAAGCCUAGGAUAAACUACAGAGAUCUGAAGCCUAAACUCUGAUACCACCUGUGACGAUCCCACUUCUCCCUAGGGCGUACCCCAGGGUUCGGCGGAUCACCUGCCCAGCUCUCGCCGGGACUCAGUCGUUCACUACAAUCCUCAAAUGAAUUACAAGAAUAAACCUCAAAUAUUACAAUGUAAAUCUCCAAUAUUUAUAUAUAAACAAAACGAAGCGGAAACUAAUUCCAAGCGUGGAACGUAUGUAUACAUCCGAUCGAUUCCAGACAUUCAUUACAAUCCCUAAUAAUAACUAUUACACAAAAGGAAAUCCAAAUUCAAACCAUACACGAGAUAAUCCAUCCAUUCACAUGAAUAAGCACUACAAGCCCUUUCUUCGCCACGAGCCCUGUGGAGGGGAAUAAAACAUUUUGGGGGUGAGCUAAAAGCUCAGCGAGUAACCAGAAAAAAUCAGUAAUCAAAUCGGUUUCACAAUAGUUCAUUUCAAUGAUGUCAUAUAUCAAUGAUGUCAUAAAUCAAAUGAUAAGUCCAGAAACAACUACAACAUUUGCAAAACAGUAAAUAUGGAGUAUCAAUAAUUCAAGAAACAUUUACAAUGGAAAGCGAUAGUAACAUUCAUGAAAAGAUACGGCUCACAGGAGCAAUUCAUUCGAUCAUUCAUUCGUUCUCCUGACAUUUUCCUUCCUUCAUUCAUUUGAAAAUGCAUUUUUCAUUUAUCAAUAAACCCUCGUUCGUUCGUUCGUUCAUUUCAUUCACCAAGCUCCACCAACCUCCACCAACCUACAUAGGUAAUACUCGAGUAUACCAAACGUUCACCCAAGUCCCUAAUCGCCCGACCGAGACCGCUUCUGGCUCGAGACGACCGGUAACAAGGGGCAAUGGCCAGUUCAGCCCAAAAGGCUUACAUUAUGCGCAACUAGUAUUUCAAUAAUUAAAUCCUUGAAAAUUGCACAGUUAUUUAGGUCGAAUGCGAUAAAGUACACACUCGCCUAGAAAGCUCGUUUUGGAAAUCAUUCAAAGCAGUUAACACGUUAUCAAUCAAUAAUACAAGUCAUGAAGUCAAGAAAAUAUACCAAAUAAGGAACACUCACAAGUCACUCAAACAUUCCAAGCAAGCACUAAGAGUUACUCUAAUCCCACUUGUAGGAAUGAAAAUCCGACAAGUGGGAUUAGAGUAACUCUUAGUGCUUGCUUGGAAUGUUUGAGUGACUUGUGAGUGUUCCUUAUUUGGUAUAUUUUCUUGACUUCAUGACUUGUAUUAUUGAUUGAUAACGUGUUAACUAUUUUGAAUGAUUCCAAAACGAGCUUUUUAGGCGAGUGUGUACUUUAUCGCACUCGACCUAAAUAACUGUGCAAUUUUCAAGGAUUUAAUUAUUGAAAUGCUAGUUGCGCAUGAUGUAAGUCUUUUGGACUGAACUGGCCAUUGCCCCUUGUUACCGGUCGUCUCGAGCCAGAAGCGGUCUCGGUUGGGCGAUUAGGGACUUGGGUGAACGUUUGGUAUACUCGAGUAUUACCUAUGUAGGUUGGUGGAGGUUGGUGGAGCUUGGUGAAUGAAAUGAACGAACGAACGAACGAGGGGUUUAUUGAUAAAUGAAAAAUGCAUUUUCAAAUGAAUGAAGGAAGGAGAAUGUCAGGAGAACGAAUGAAUGAUCGAAUGAAUUGCUCCCUGUGAGCCGUAUCUUUUCAUGAAUGUUACUAUCGCUUUCCAUUGUAAAUGUUUCUUGAAUUAUUGAUACUCCAUAUUUACUGUUUUACAAAUGUUGUAGUUGUUUCUGGACUUAUCAUUUGAUUUAUGACAUCAUUGAUAUAUGACAUCAUUGAAAUGAACUAUUGUGAAACCGAUUUGAUUACUGAUUUUUUCUGGUUACUCGCUGAGCUUUUAGCUCACCCCCAAAAUAUUUUAUUCCCCUCCACAGGGCUCGUGGCGAAGAAAGGGCUUGUAGUGCUUAUUCAUGUGAAUGGAUGGAUUAUCUCGUGUAUGGUUUGAAUUUGGAUUUCCUUUUGUGUAAUGGUUAUUAUUAGGGAUUGUAAUGAAUGUCUGGAAUCGAUCGGAUGUAUACAUACGUUCCACGCUUGAAAUUAGUUUCCGCUUCGUUUUGUUUAUAUGUAAAUAUUGGAGAUUUACAUUGUAAUAUUUGAGGUUUAUUCUUGUAAUUCAUUUGAGGAUUGUAGUGAACGACUGAGUCCCGGCGAGAGCUGGGCAGGCGAUCCGCCGAACCCUGGGUACGCCGUAGGGAGAAGUGGGGUCGUCACAGCUUGUACCUCCUGUUCCUCAAGACAAUGAGAAUGUACACCAAAAGGGACCUAGAAUUGAGUCAACUGAGCAAACUCCUCGUGCUGAAACUACUCCAGGAUUCGUGCUUCCAGUUCUCAUCCAUAGGACAAGGGAAAGGCUCCAGCAACUGAAGCAGAAACUGAAGAGGAUGAUGAUGAGGAAACUAAAGAGGAAGAAGUGGAUCCUGCUCAGUUUCGCCUAGCAAGAAGGAGGUCUGGAUCGUCCAAAUUACAAUUUAGGCACCUCUAGGUUCGUGUACUUCAUGUUUAAGUAGGCAUCUCAUAUUAGACAUUUGCAUCUUCGGCAUUUUAACAUUUCAAGUACUCUGUACUCAAGAUUCUGGUUGUUUGGUUAACUCUUCUGGCUUAUAAACUAUUCAGUUAACUUCUCUAUGUUGAAUGGUUUCUAAUUAAUUUUGUUGGUUAUCUUUUUGGUUAAUUCUGUUUGCUUCUGGGUGCUUGGUAUCCCUGUGACUUCUGAUUUUUAACAUUGUUUGCUGAUAUUGGUGAUUGUUGAUUUUGUUGGAUAUUCUUGGUUAAUGAUGUUGUUGAUGACAUUGAUGUUGGAUACUGGAUUGGAAUUGGAUUUGAAUUGUAUUAAUGCCACUGGCUAUUAAGAUCUUCUAAUGAUGACAAAAAGGGAAGGAAAUGAUAACAAGUUACUACAGGAAAUGUAAUCUGGUAAAUACGUGAGGGGUAACUAUUCUGAGGGAGAGUGUCUACCUUUUUUGAUUCAUUAAGUGAGGGGAAGUUUUUAACUUAAUUAUUUUUCUCCAUCCACUGUUUUGUCAUCAUCAAAAAAGGGGAGAUUGUUAAUCUCGGUUCUUAGCUUUUGAUGAUUACAAAACAAAUGGAUGUUACUAAUAUCUCCUCAGAGACUUUUUUAGAAAUGAAGCAAAUCAGGUUCAAAGAUGAAACUGUUGCUGAAGCUGUCGGACAUACAAAAAACUGGAUCGGAUGUCUGACAAUCAUUGAGCAACUUCGAACGUAUGAGGAACUCCAUCACCGGACGUCCGAAAGAAAUCAAAACACUUCCUUAAACUCACUAAUCUCAAUCGAACGCAGAACAUUAAAGCACUGGAUGUCCGACAGAAUUGAAAAGGAUUUUCAAACUUUACCAUCUACUUUCGGACGCAAACUUUGGAGGUACCGGAAGUCCAAAAGAAUUAAAGAAAAUUCUUCUUGCUCUCUGCCUGCUGUCGGACGUAAGAAACAAGACUACCGGACGUCCGACACUACCAAUGGCUAGUUGACUGUUCAACUACCUUCUAUCCGUUGGAAGCUUUAAUGAAGGAAUUUUUUGGUCUCCUAUAAAUAGAGUAAAGUCAACCACUUUAAAAUACUUUUGCACAUUGAGACUACAAAAGAUCUAGAGCAAUUUUAGUGAGAAAAUUCUCUUCAAAGAAGAUUUAUACUCUUAGUUGUGUAGAUUUCGUAUAAGCUUUUCUUGUGUGAGAAAAUUACUUCAAUAGUAUAGCUUUGUAAGGGUUAUCCGAGUGAUAGUAAAACUUCCUAACUUAACCAAGUAUGACUUGGAACAAGGAGGAAGUAAUCCUUCUUUUGUGCACAUAGAUUGGUUGUAAUUGAUCAACUUGAAGAAGCUUGCUCUAUAAAGUGAUAUUCAAACUCAAGAGAAGUUUGGAAUUUGGUUUGCUAUUCUAUCUCUUUUAUUUACUAUACUGCAAUAUAAAUUAUUCAUCUCUUCUACUCACGAGCAUUUGUACUUUUUCAUUAUUUGUUCCAUUGUGUGGUCAUCUAGAAAAGAGGGUAAAUUUCAUAUUCAAUCAAAAAGUGUCUCAUAAUUUGGUUAGUUUUUAAUUACCUAAAUCACCCCCCUCUUAGGUUGUCUUCGAUCCUUAUACUAUAAUUUCUAUUCCACUGGCUCCAAAGAUCAGUACAACAAUUGAAGUACGAGGCUGAGCAAGAAAGAGCAAAAUGUCUCCGUCUUCUAGCCUAUGAGCUAUAACAAAGUCACUCCAUCUUCGAUGAAAGCCAUCUUUUGUGAUUCCAAUAUUGUAACUUUUGGUUCCACUUGUUAGAACAAUAUCUAGAGUCCGAGGCUCAACUACAUUUAAUCAGUGUGCUCCAGAAUUUUCUACAAGCAAAAAGCAAGGCAUAAGAAUGUAAAGGAAUUAUGUUGCAAAAUAGAAGGAUUUGUUUUAAAAUAUAUAUAUGUAUAUACCGUGCUAUAUCUAAAUCUUCGAGUAUAAACUUAGAGCGCAUUUAGCACCAUUAGAUCAUGCCUAAUGAAUUGAUUGAUGGAUGAUGCAACAAAUCCUAAACUCACAUCUAUAGCUAUACCAUCUGUAGCACAGCAACAGGUGUGUUAGUAAAGUAUAUCAAGCGACAAAAAAAAUGAUUCAUUGUGAAAUGGAAAUUUAUGCUCCUUCUAAGAUCAGUGGUGUGUAUGGGAGCAUUGGCAAGUGCAAUGUUCAUCAUGUCCACAUUAGAUUGUGAGUUGCAGAGAAAGCAAAAAUUUCGUAGAUGAAGUUCCCUCUAUUUCAAGAAAAAAAAAUUAUAUUGCCUGGAGAGAUGUAGUUAUCACUGCAGAAAUUGUUCCAUUGUUUUUCAAAACAAGAAUUCAGAAUUUUUAUUUCCAAUGAGCCAAACCAUGAUAAAUUGUCCAUCUUCAAAACAAUUAGCAACUACCAUUUCAUCAGGGAUCGCUUGAAAUGAGAUAGACAGGUUAGGUAUGUAUUAAGGGAAAAAGUGAGCAUCAAUUUAACAGAUGACUUAUUUUUUGGUGCUUGUGUAGAAUAAAACAUAACACCAUGGUUGUCCACUAUCCAUGAAACCAAUCUCUUCAUUUUCUGUUCAAGAGAACAAAAGAAAUGCAAUUAUAUGUGUAGUUCAUUGAGUAGUCCACAUUCUAUAAUGAUGCAAAAAAUGUAUAAAAAGCCACUUGUUUCUGCGAAUGCCAUUGAGGUGAUAUAUGUAUUAUUCUAUAGCCACUGCUCAAUCAAUGCAAAUGAAAAUAGUGAGGGUUCACCCAUAUAUUUUAGAACCAUUGGACAUGCUUCAAGGAAAGACCUCUUCACAUAAUAAGUUGUCGCUCCAUGAACCUUGUUUACAGCAGUUGCUGCAAGAAUCUUUUCAUGGUCAAAGGUGCAUAGAUAAAAUUUAAUAUUGUUUCCCUUCCCAACUGCCUCCUAUUUCUAAAAGGGUCUCUUGGUUUAACCAUAGGUGGUUAAUAUCAAGAGUAUUUUAGUUCUAUAAUUUCAGCAUAUCUCAAAGCCGAUCACUAAAGCAAGGAGCAAAAACAAGGGAAAGUUUGCUGUGCCACCAAAGGAAGAAGAUGUUGAAUGUAUUUUAAAGUGAGGAUGAGCAUAGCAUGUUUAAAUAAGAACUCAAUAUACAAGGAGAAGCAUUAAGUACAAGAGCAUUAUAAUUGGUUGAAAAAAUAUGAAACCUCCAAAUAGAGCAAAGCAGGAAAUACCUCACUCAAUACUUCCAAACAAAGCCACCAUACAUAUAAUUAUUUAUAAUUCACAAUACUGGGAAACAAGCAAAUAUUUUGAAAAUUUUCCCAACAAGACUUGCAUUACUGUAACCACAAUGAUCUCAAUCAUUAUGUGUUACAUAGUUGACCCAACUAUUCUAUUUUAACAAAGACAGAUUGUUUUAAAUAUUCUUACGAAAAUGAUAGAACACAAGUGGCAUGUUAGCCUUAAAAAUUUAUUGAAAAAAUACAAUAAUUUGACCUUUACUUGAAUGUCCAAUCUCCAAAACUCAAAUACGAUACUGGAAAUCCUAAAAGCUUAAGUCCAAAUUAUAGAUUAAGGCCUUUACUCCAUAUCAGCCAAGUAAUAAUCAUAUAAUACCAUCCAACUAAAUAAAAAAUUAUGCUCACAUAAGCUUUCAAGAGCUGUAUAUAUUGAGAAGUAAAUCUGUCAAGGAUGUUUAGAUAAAAUAGAACUUAAUCUAUCAAGGAUCAUCUCCAGCUAUUGUCUCACAAGUACAUCAUAACCAGAAGGAAAAGCAACUCAUCUACAUUUUUUCUUAGAAACCUCCAUUGUUUCAGAAGUGCAAGUGUAAACAGGCUCAUCCCUAGCCAUUAUCUCACAACCACAUCAGGACCAGAAGGAAAAGUAAAGGAAAUGGCCAAUGGAAAAUUCGAAAAAAAAGCUACAAUUCUCAGAAAGAUUCAACCAUGCUCAAGUAAUACUAACAUAAUACCAUCCAAGUAAAUAAAAAAAAUUUUGGCUCACAGAAGCUUCCAAAAGCUAUACACAUUGACAGACCCACAACAUGAAAGACCCAGACCAGAAUAAUGCCAAGCAAAGACAUAGCCACAACCUAAAAAGGCAAGUCCAAAUAUAAGUAAAUAUGAAAAGUUUCUGCUUACAAAGGCUGCCAAAAUCUAUGCACAUUAACAGAAUUAUAACACAAAAGACCUACGAGAAUAAACCAAUGAAAAACAAAAUCACAACCAGAAAAGAUGACAAGAGGAUAGAAAUGCAAAAUACAAAGAUAAAUGAGCAAAGAAUAGAAAAAUAUCCAACAAACAUCAAACCAAUGGACAGAACAAUAGUGAAAAUGGUAAAAAGAAACAUAACCAAAUAUCCAUGAGCAAACGAAAAAUAGAAAAAAUAUAAUUUACCUGACGGGAGAAAUUACAAUCAGAGCUCGCAAGUAAAGGAUCUGUAGAAAAGAGGAGCUUGUCAAAAUGCAAAAAGAAAAUGAAGGAAAUAGAGGAAAAUACCAAAAUAACUGAUGAGAAAAAGAAGGAGAUGAAGGGGGGAAUUUAGACAGAGCAAUAACAAAAAAUGGUACCCAAGAGCAAAGAAAAACAAAAAAAUUACAAAUUACCUGACAAAAGAAACUAUUAUUAGAGCUCGCAAGUAAAGGAUUUGCAGAAAAGAGGAGCUUGUUACAAUUUUUUUUUUUUUAAAAAGGAAGAGGGAACCAAAGGAAAUAUUGAAAUACCUGAUAAGAGAAAAGAGAUGGAAAUGCAAGACACGGAGGUAAGCGAAGAAAACAGAAGACGAUGGAAAUGUAGAACACAGCAACAAACAUCCAAAAGCAGGACACACCUAAGCUUCACAUAGGCAGAGCAAUAACCACAUAGAAUCUGCGAGACAAAGAUGAAGUGAAAGGCAAAGAAGCUGAAAAGUGCCUGACGAGAGGAGCCACAAACAAAAUUCUCAAGACAAAGAUGAAGCGUGAAAACGGAGAUGAGAAAGCAAAUGAGAAACUCUAGGAAAAAAGGGCACAACCAAUUUGUCUUGGAAUUUAGACCACAUUGGAAGAGACAGCCAUGAUAAAAUGCGCCAAUUACCAUUCUGAAGAAAGCUCUCCUGGUAGCUCCGGACAAUGCAGCGGUGAGAGCCAAGAAAGGAAAGGAACUCGUACGGCCAUCUGUUCCAAAGCAGAAAACCAUGGUCGACCCAAUUACCCGAACCAUUCCAAUGGAGCAUCUAGAAGUGCAAACUUACACAACUCACAUGCUCGGCACAUGACAACGACGAAACCCCUUGGUGCAUUGUAUGUUAUGUUGAUAAGAAAAAAUGCACCUAUAUGAUUCAUCUUCAUAUCUUGCUGUCUUGUUUAAGUUUGCAUUACUGUUCAUGCAUCCGAUGUAUGUUCUUCCAUUUUUUUUCUUCCAUGUGUAUGUCAAACCUAUGGUACUCAUGCACUUAAUUGUUUUUUCAAAAUCUUAAGAGUAACAAGUUUAUUCUACUGAUUUCAUGAACUUGCAAAACACAAAAAAUUUAUAAAUGCAGGGAAAUGAUCAUAAAGUUCAUAAAACACAAUAAAGGAAAAAAGAGCAAGGAAAAAACACAAAAUAAAUGCAAAAAAAAGUGGAAAAAAGUACAAGGGCAAGAAUCAUAAAAAGAAUGGGUAAGAAAGAAAGAUGCAGCACUUGCACUUGCACGAUAAGCCUUUGUUCACUACAAUGAAAAUCUCAAGCAAUGAUCAAUUACAUUAUUGUUAUCCUCUAGGCAUUAUAUCAAGCUAGCUUACAUAAUGUACUUUGCCAAAUCAUUAGUCUCCUAUUGGGAGUCGAGCAUUUAAAAACUAAGAUGAGUUUUGCUCUACUCAUCAAAAAAAGAAGAGGAAAAACAGCUUUUUGCCACAUUUGUGGUUUUAGAGCUUAUUGCACUACGUGCAUCUGGUGAUUUCAUUUGAUGCUAAAACUAUAUCGGUAUUUCCUUUUGAAUUUAAUGUAUCACAUCUUGCAAAAAAGGAGGCACAGUAUUAAGCGCAAUAAGGGGACAGGUGACCAUUUCAGCUGCAUGUCUUCUGAAUUUGCAGCCCAACUCUUCAUUGACUAUGAUCGGAUUGAUGAGAUGCCACUCACUUGUGUGUCCAGUUUGAAUCUACUGCUAUUAAAUGAAAGACAUAAAACGAGCGAGUUGUGCAUGAUAUGCGUAGAAGCAUAACUGGUUCCACGUAAUUUCUAAGUGCAUUUGAAGGUAGGAAGUUACACUACAGAUUUGUUGGCCUAUUAUUCUACAAAAUGGCUCAGUGAUCUAGAAUUAUAUCAUUGCAAAGAAUGAUUUGCUUGUUGAAGGCACUGACAAAAACAUCCAGCUUCUUGUUGAAGAUUAGAACAUCUGUGACAUCUAAGUUCCAGUUUGUUUUCUUUUCCCAUUUUUGGAAUGAGUUUAGUUUCUUAAGUCACCAAAUUUACAACAUUUUCAUGUUCUUGACAGUGGAUGCUAUUUGUCUAAAGUAAUUUUUCAUGUAUACUUAGCAUCGUUCACUAAAAUCGUGAUAUAGAACUUGACUUUUGACUUGAUAUUAUUUUCUGUUCUUCCUAGGCCUGUCUACUGCUUGUUGUUUUGUGUAGUCAUUGUUCAGAGUUUGAAGACUACUGGACCUGUAGGCUUUAAAAGUCUUGUUCACAAUUUUCUUCGAAGAGUUGGCUGCAAGAAGCUUUAGAACCUGCAUUUCAGAGAGCUAGUCAGAGAAUGUAUCCUUCUUGAAAGACUACAGUGGAUAAUUAUACUGAUUCAUUUUUUGCUAAAUAUCUUUUUAUGUUGACCAUACCUUUUUUUGGUUGAACUUAACUUUCGCUAUAGAGGGACAGAGAUUUGGAGAAUUGAAAACUUCCAACCAAUUCCUUUACGAAAAUCUGAUCAUCGUAGGUUCUACUCAGGUGAUUCAUACAUUGUCUUGCAGGUGCAUAUGGCUUCCAAUAUUUCUUCCUUUGUAUCUUAUUUUGGGCCUCAUUUUUACGAAUUGAGUGUUUAUGACUGAAGGAAGAGCUUAAAUCUUUUUUAUCCUGUUUUAAUUUGGAUACAAUGAACUGAUAAAAACUAAUAUCGAUCAUUGCAGUCCAGUUUAAUAUUGAUCAUGAGGAGGCUGUUGAAUAUGAUGAUAGAGAUGGUUGAAAUCUGACAUUGGUACUACGGUCUAUGCUUUAGUUUAGAAAUCUAGUACUCUUUUUUUUUGGAAGGAUAUGUAUUGGUCAUUACUGCUUGAACUUAUUAUGUGAGCUUUGGGAUCCAACAUUUGUGGUUCACUUUUGUUUUGAUGAAUGUAUAGACGUUCAUGGCCAUAUAUAUGAAUUUGUGGUUUUAUUCUACGUUGAUUUUGUCUUUUGUCAAAUUGAAUAUUCUGCUAUAAUUUGUUGAAAAUGCUAUGGCAAUGCUAUAUUCGUAAUGGUCAAUUUCAACUCUUCAAGACAAAGCUCAGUGACAACCUUUGACAUGCAAUUUCACUAAGUGACGAUUAUUUCUGUCACUGAAUAAUAGGACUGAUUGUGACAAGCUCAGGUUGUCACUGUAAACUUCAAAAUUGUGACGACUUUUGCUACAUCUAUGAUAAAAAUAUAGGUGAAACAGUGACAAGAAAAGUCAUUACAAAAUAAUAUCCAUUAGUGACGACUUUGUCCUCGUCAUUGAAUAACAAGAUUCUAUGACGACUUUCAAAGAGUUGUCACAUGGACCCAUUUAUGACAUAGAAUCUGUGACAACCAUUUGACAAUCGAAAAAGCCGUCACUAUAUCCAUAUAAUGACGACUUUUUGGCUUUUAGUGAUGACUUUUUGUUGUCACAAAAGACCCAUUUUCUUGUAGUGUAGUAUGCACAGAAAAGGUGGCUAGAUCUAAUUUUUUUGGGGGGAGGGGUGUUUUGAUUCGCAUUAUUUGAAUUCAAAGGGGUGUUACCCUAGACGUAUCUUCACCUUUAUCUCUUUGAGCGGCUUGGUGAGCAUCAAACAUAAAUCCCCUAAUAGGGGCAUCUAAUUAAUCUUCAGUCCCAUCCGGUUCAAGAUUUUCAAGUACCACAUCUUCUUCCCCCAUAGCUCGUACAUUAUUCUUGUUAGGAUCCAAUCACGAAAUAAUCAACUAUUGAGAUAUCAAGUACAUAAUAAUUUAAUGACAAACAAACCACAAACAUGAAAAAUAAAAGACACAUAAUAUUUAACAUGGUUCGAUUUCAUCAUUGAGCCUAUUCCACGGAGAGAAACUCGUUCUUUAUUAUGAGAGGAAAACCCUAUAGAAGAAUAUAAAUUGAACCCAAAUCUAACCCCUGUAUACCAUCUCUCAUCUCCCAAAAACCUUCUUUCACUCCCAUGUAUAAGGCUAGCCCUUUUGUGUGCCCCUUAUGUGUCUUUGUGUAGUAUGCAAAUCCAUCCAUUUAUAGGAAAUAUUAUUUGACCAAAACUCAAAUAACAACAAGAAACCAAUUCUAAUUUCUAAAUUUACAUAGAAUAGGACAUAACUUCUAAUCCUAAACAAAAUAGGAAAUUCUUUGACUACUAUUUCAAAUAACUAAAAUUAAUUAGAAAACUAGUUACUUUCACACAAAACAAGAACCCUACCUAAAAGAAAUUGAACCAAUUUUCUAACAAAUCUCCAUCUUGGUGAAAAUUUCUUUUAGCAACCAUUUGUCUUCAACUACCAAAUAAUAUGGUAUCGAAUUACACAUUCGAAUCAAUACAGUCUUACUACCAAAUUGAUUCAAUCGGCAAAUGAAUAUAUGUAGUUACCUAGAAUCCAACCUCCAAUUGACUCGUGAGAAGGUGCCUCAAUUCACCGUCUCCCUAUGUAAGAUUUUUUCUAAUCACUACUUGCAACCAGGGAUUCCCUUCUGUGAGCUCUAACGCUAAAUAUUGAGAAAGACUAACUCCCAACAAGGUCCGACUUUACAGGAGAAAGAAGCGUCGAUAAGGGAAGCGCCUUCAAGGAAGAUUUCAGGAAGCAUUUAUUCAAUAAGAUUGAGUGGAGAUUUCUUGAUAAAUGAAGUGGUAAAGUCACCAUACUUUUUCCCAUCCUCAAGACUCCACCUAAAAUAAAAAACUCAAAACUAUCAGAGUCUUCUGGUGAAUGGAAAUUAAAUCUCUUUUUUUCUUUACAGCACAUGCCACACUACCCAAAAAACAUAACCAAAAUCUAAAAUCCAUCGGGAUGAAGUAUCAACCGUUGGAGGUAUGGGAAAGUCUUCAUCGAUUCAUGUCCAAAUCAACAUUGGACUCCAUCUUUUCCUUGACCAUUGAAUCAGCUACCAAUUCAUUUGAUCUCAAUAGUUACCCAGGAUCCAAUCAUGAACAACCAAACUCUUGAUCCAACCAUUCAGUUUGUUGGGAUCCAAGUGCUUGUGAGCAGCCCAAUUUUCACAACCAAACUCUGAUACCACUUGUUAGGAUCCAAUCACGAAAUAAUCAACUAUUGAGAUAUUAAGUACAUAAUAAUUUAAUGACAAACAAAUUACAAGUAUGGAAAAUAGACGACACACAAUAUUUAAUGUGGUUCGACCCCACCAUUGAGUCUACGUCCACGGCGAGAAACUCAUUCUUUAUUAUGAGAGAAAAAUCUUAUACAAAAAUAUAACUUGAACCCAAGCCCAACCUCUAUAUACCAUCUCUUAUCUCCCAAGAACCCUCUCUCACCUCCAUGCAUAAGGCUAGCCCUUUUGUGUGCCCCUUGUGUGUCUUUGUAUAGUAUGUCAAUCCACCUAUUUAUAGGGAACAUUAUUUGGCCAAAACCCAAAUAACAACAGGAAACCAAUUCUAAUUUCUAGACUUGCAUAGAAUAGAAAAUAACUUCUAAUCCUAAACAAAAUAGGAAAUUCUUUGACUACUAUUUCAAAUAACUAAAAUCAAUUAGAAAACUAGUUACUUUUACACAAAUCAAGAGUUCUACCUAAAAGAAAUUAAGCCAAUUUUCUAACAAAUCUCCACCUUGACGAAAAUUUCUUUUAACAACUAUUUGCCUUCAACUACCAAAUAAUAUGAUACCAAAUUACACACCGAAUCAAUACAGUCUUGAUAUCAAAUUGAUUCAAUCGGCAAAUGAACAUGUGUAGUUACCCCGAAUCUAGCCUCCAGUUGACUUGUGAGAAGGUGUCUCAAUUCACCGUUUUCCUUUGUAGGAUUUUUUCUCACCACCACUUGCAACCGGGAUCCCUUUCUGUGAGUUCGAACUCUUAACAUUGAGGCAACCAAGUAGUAAAAUCACCAUACUUCUUCCUAUCCUCAAGACUGUCUCGCCACAUGUGGUUUCCAAGACUUCACAUAAAAUUAGAAACUUGUAACUGUCUGAGUCUUUUGGCACAUGAAAAUUAAAUCUCUUUGUUUCUUUAAGACACGUGCCACACCAUCCAAAAACAUAACCAAAAUCUAAAAUCCACCGGGAUGAAAUAUCAAUCGUUGGAGGUGUGAAAAAGUCUCCACCGAUUUACGUCCAAAAUCAAUAUUGAAUUCCAUCUUUUUCUUGACCCUUGAAUCACUUGCCUAGAUUCACCGUAUAUCUCCAUACUUUUCGACUUUCUAUCCUUCACCAUCAAUGUUUUUUCCCAAGCCAUUGAAACAAGAAUACCAGUCAUUAAAUUGUUCAAUUAGUAACAGCUACCAAUCCACUUGAUCUCAAUAGUUAACCAAGAUCCAAUGUUGAACAACUAAACUCUCGAUCCAACCAUUCAGUUUGUUGGGAUCCAAAUGCUUGUGAGAAGUCCAAUUUUGCAAUCAAGCUCUGAUACCAUUUGUUAGGAUCCAAUCACGAAAUAAUCAACUAUUGAGAUAUCAAAUACAUAACAAUUUAAUGACCAAUAAGCAACAAACAUGGAAAAUAGACGACACAUAAUAUUUAACGUGGUUCGACUCCACCAUUGAACCUACGUCCACGGAGAGAAACUAGUACUUCAAGUAACUAAAACCAAUUAGAAAACUAGUUACUUUCACAUAAAACAAGAACCCUACCUAAAAGAAAUUAAGCCAAUUUCCUAAUAAUUCUCUUGAAUACUGACAAUAUCCCUUUGCUUUCUUUUUGGUGCCAUCCUGCAAACACAAAUUAGGUUAGGGCAAAAUCUACCUACACUAAGCUACCCAAUCCUCAACUGGUAGCAAUAGGUAUUUGAACACGAAAAUCAAAACUAAGUCAAUCCACACUAAGGUUGGCCACCUGAAGUGUAAAUCAACUAAUUCCAAUAUUCUAUCCAACAUACACACUACAUUACAUCAAACUUUCAAUAAAUAUUCAUUCUUAAGGUACUAUAAGUAAGAUUCACACCUAGGCUCUGAUACCAAAUAAAUGUCACGCCCCAUGUCUGGAAUUUAACACCGCCACGCCUAGACAAUGCUAAAGAUGUAAGCCAACAAAUUUCCAAAAUAAAUAUAUUCACCUUUAUAUAAACUUUCUAAAUCCGCAAAUACAAGAUCAUCCAUAACAGCAAUUUGCGUCUUUCAAAAUAAAAGCAAGAUCAAACCUUCUACAAUAUGUACAAUAUUCGAAUCCUAUUAUAAGGUAUCUAAUAUAGAAGUACAAAAGUUAUCCUCUAACAAAAGUCAUCUCCAUCUCCAUUACCACUCCCAAGUUCUAUCAAGGUCCACUUCAAUGAAUGCAUCAUUAACUGCAUAAUUAUAACAAAGGGGCGAGCGAAAUCUCACUCAAUAAGUAGCACAUGUAUCUCAUUAUUGGCCUGAGCAUGUUACAUACAUAAUAUAUAUUUCAAACGCCAUUAACUUACACAUAUAACUUUAUAAGAACAUGGUCAUUAUAAACAUUUCAAUGGCAUAUCAUACAUCACACACAUAAAGGAGCUCAAACCAUAAGACAACAAUUGACCCUGGAUAUCCAGUUAUUAACUUAAUCGGUUAACACGGUUCAUAGUGCUAACUACUAUACGAUUAGCCUAUUUCAUAUUGCUAAUGACAACACAGAUAGCUUGUUUCAUAUACCAACUACUUGUGAGGAACUAGUCUCGUCAAAAGUCGCUUAUACAAGAGCUCAACAAACAUGACAUUUCAUUUUACAAAUGACCAUGGCAAGAGUAAUAACAAAUAUCACAAAUUAUACUUGGUCAUGCCACUUUAGCAAUUAGACAAGUAGCUUUCAAAAUUCAUCUUUCAAAAGAUAAAGGAUACGUGCAUCACUUACCUUGAUCCAAUGGAUACCCACGCUAGUUCAAGUAAUCAAAAAAAUGGCUACCUUAUUCAUCUAGACAUAAUAAUAAAAUAUUCAAUUACAAUCUUAAAGAUACUAAACUACUCCAAAUUAUCAUAAAAAGGAGUCUAAUACUACCCUUAACGACUAAUUCCUAAAAAGGAUCAUUUCCUCAUCAAAGCAGGACAUAAGGGUUAAUUUUAAAGGGUCACUAACUUUAAGAAAUAUAGAAACAUGGCAAGAUAUUUACACAGAGUUAAAGCCCCCUGAAUCUAGUUUCCAACGCAACAAACAGCACCUAAAUCCGAGUUUCCUACAUCAAGUUAUGGCCAAAAAACUGAAAUAUGGCUGUACAGAAAAUUUAAUCCAUCCGAGAAUUAUAGCCAAUCCAUCUAAGGAUUAUAGCCAUGGAUUUCUAGCACGUUUUCAAGGCAAAAACAAGUUCCAAAUUUGAUAAUCAAGUUCCAUUUCUAUCUCAAAUCAUCUUCCAACCUCCAUAGUUGUCAAAAUCAACAUAUUUUAGCUCCCAAAGUCAUGUAAAUACAUAAACAAUCUUGAAAAUGAAUUGUUAGCUCAAGUAAUUCUUUCCCUCAACAUUUCUCCUUUUUAUAUUGAUGAUAGCCCUAUAACCAUAUGAAAAUAGAGACCAAAACAAACUUUAUACAUCAUAGCCAUGGAAGUUAACCAAAAAUUUGAACCAAAUACUACCCAAUCACCCAAUCAAAGAAAACCAAAAUCAUGUUCAAGGUUUCAUGAAAAUAUGUUGGUUAGUUGUCAAAGUAGAAUCUCCUUACUCCUCACUCCUUACUUGUGCUUGAUUUGUCAAGAAUUCUUCUUGAUUGUAAGGAAAAAGGAGAGAAAUAAGAAAGGGUUUUGUUGGAGAAGGAAAGAAGAAAGGAAAUGAAGAAGAUGAAGAAAUUUUUUGACAAGGAUGAAUAGUGAAAUCCCACUAUCACUUUAUUCUUUCAAAAUUUCACUUAUUAACACAUUGGUCACUCAAUUUAACAUCUUUCACUUUUCACCACUAAAUAGUAUUUCUUCGCAUAAAAUUCUCUACAAGACACUUGGGUAUCACAAUAAUUGUUAGGACCAACAAUUCUUAUAGACUGUCUGAGACAACAGUAUUCAUGGAUAUAAAUGAAAGCAAGAACAUUUGAUAUAGCGCUAGGGAUUUUCGUAUCAUCCUUGACAUUUAUAUGCAUCUCUUCUAUUUGGAUAUUUAUCUACAGCGAGUCUUUCUAUCGAUAAUGCCCAACUAAAUAAAAAAGAAAAGACAAUUUGCAUUUUUUCUUUUUUCUCUUUUUUUUUCCCAAUGUGUCAAACAACAAGAAUGGUAACCUCCUGUUGGAUCCUUAAUCCAACGUUGGACUUAUAUGUGAAUAAUUAUGUAUUUCAAACUGUCAAAUAAGGUUAAAUUCAAUUAAAAUGAUCAAAUAUGAUUUGGACUUAAUGUAUCUAAUAAGGUGUGGGUCUUUAAUGUGUAGAGACUUAAAGGUAUUUUCUAUUUCUAUGAUGGAUUGAAAUAUGAAUCUAAAAGAUAACAGGAAUGCUAUCUAUAAAUAGGGAUAUGGUCUCCAGGUCACAAGUAUUCUUAUUGUCAUAUUUUCUAGUACCACAAAACAGUUUUUUCCUAAUGUCCCAUCAUCAGAAAACAUACCAGAGAGAAACUAAAGUGCUCUCUCAAGAAUUGGUAAAUACGUGUUGACUUAGAAGGCUAUCCUAAAAUCUUCAAGGAUUCAAGUGCCAGUUUGUCAAUAUGAAUUUAGAUACGCUUCCGCAUUUAUAUUACAGUUCUGUUCAAAUAUCUGAUAUUGGAAUUCUGGAAAUUCCUACACCUUCUCCCUUUGAAAUUUCAGAGAACAAAACCAAAUAUUUCAUUCCUACUAAGUUAUGGGCACGCAUUACAUCAUUCCUACUAAAUUUAACUAUCUUAACAACUUAGAAAAAGCUAGCUACAUAUACAUUGUCUUCUUACAUAGAUAAAAGAUAUGCAGGGCAUAUAGAAAGAUCGUCCAAAUGGGUUUAAUUUGCUGCUUUUAAGCUUGACAUUUGUAAGACUUAUGACCGGAUAUCAUGGCAAUUUCUAUAGGCUGUUCUAAGAAAAAUGGUUUUUCCAGAAUCCAAGAUUAAUAUUGUUUUGAAGAGUAUCUUUUUGUCCCUUACUCUAUCAUAGUUUUUUUUUUUUAACUUAGGGUUAUCCAAACUUUUUGGCCAACUAAUUCCCUAAAACUGUGUAGAGUCUUAUUCUAAGGAUACAUAGUAAGAUAGUACACAGGAUUCGAUUACGGGACAUGUUAGUAACUAUCAAACUACGGAAUUAGUCGAACUACCCGCGGGGCACUCAAUCGUAGUUAAUGGAGUACUAUCAUCGGUAAUAUAUCCUACCAGAGGCCAGGGGCGGAGGGAAGGGGGGGCCAGGGGGGGCAACCGCCCCCCCUCCAAUUGUUAAAAAAAAAAUUUCUAAGUAAAAAAUUUUUUAUUAUAUUGUUUUGCCCCCCCAAAUAUUGAUAAAAAAUUUCACUUUGCCCCCCCUCCAAUUGUUAUAAAAAAAUUUCUAAGUAAAAAAAAUUUUUCUUAUAUUGUUUUGCCCCCCCAAAAUAUUGAUAAAAAUUUUCACUUUGCCCCUCCUAAGGCCCAAAUAAUAAUGUUUGAAAGUUAUUUGGACUUUGUCCAAAUAACAGAGACUCGCCCCCCCUAAUUGCAAUUCCUAGCUCCGCCACUGCCAGAGCCUUCGCCAGGGAUGCCCCCUCUGAGCAUCAUAUCUCUGCUUUAUACCAAGAGGCGUUGUCAGCUGCAUUAUGUUCUUUGGCAUCUAUAGAAUCUAUGUCCCCAAAUAUGAUUUUGAAAACCUAUACUUUGACUUACAAAAUCUUAAUUUUUUUCAAAUCCAAUAAAGAUGGAAGGGAAAUAUAAAAAAAAAUAAGAAACAAAAAAUACAAAAUCUUUUUUUGACUACAAAUAUCAUUAUAAGUUUUAAUCUAAAACUUUAAUGGUAUUUUCUAUUUCUUUUUAUCUAUUUUUUUAUUUCAAUUUCUUCCUUUUUAUGUUUAGAGGAAAAAAUAAGCAACGAAAGGAUAAAUUUAUCAAUUUAUUAAUUUGAUUUUGCAUUUUACCGCUGACUCUAAGUUUUAAUGAAAAAACUAAGUCACAUUUUAUUUCAAAUCAUGAGGAGGUUAUAUAAAGUUUUCAUACCAUAGGAUGGUUAUGUUGUAAACACCAAACCAUACGGGUAAAAGGUAAUUUUCAUUAAUCUAUGCCCACUAAGUUUCGUUGGAGCUAUUAAUGCAUGAAAAAAAAGCAUGCGCUUUUCAGCAAAAUGGGGACAUAGACAAAACGCAAAUUUGAAAGUUUCAAUCUCAUAAACAUAAUAACCACCGGAUGUUUUCAUUAAUUCAUAGUGAAAACAAGAAGAUCCGCAGUCCUAGUUAAGCAAGCAAAGCUUAUGAGUCAGUUCAUUCAAAAACUUUCGGAAUUACCUGAAGAAUGAUGAGCUUUGGUGAUACUUUUUUCGGCAAACUGCAAGCUUUCUACAAUUAAGGUUGGAAUAAGAUUGGAUACAAACGUCCUCUUUAAAUACGAGACAUCAGUUUGUAAAGAGGAAGUUAUAUGGUUCUCUUUGGGAAGCUGCAAAUUUUGGUGAUUUGAAACCAAUUUGAAAAUUGACAAAAUUCGUGCUUUCCUUGGCAGCUACUGGCUUUGAUUGAAAGAGAUGAUCUUGGCAAUGGCUAUAUUGAGUCAAAAUCAGACCGUAACGAUCUUGGCUAUGGAAUUUGGAAUGUUUUGUUUCCACUUUCCAAAUGGUAGUUGGCUUGUUGCAAGAAAGAAGAAAAAUUGCAGUGGUCUUCAUUGGCAAAAUUUGAUAAUAUCAUGGUCAAAAUAUCUAACUGCUCACGUGGGACAUCUUUUUGUAAGUAUUACUGUAUUAGUUGCUUCUAAUCCACAACAAGUCAAAAGGAAAGUUGUCUUUUAACUACUUGUUCCAAUUUAUAAGUCAGGCUUCCAUUAAGGAAUUGAAGCCACCGCCUUGCACUCCAAGGUGGUUCUGUGCACUAAUCAAAUUGAUUUAGAUGCAUUACAGGGUUAGCAAACAAAGUUGUGGGCUUUCAAAUGAUUCUAAUGGAAUUUACUAAUGAAAAGUCUUGCAACUCAGGACUCGUACUUCAAGCUUUGUGUUUGGCAAUUGUCAACCAAUGCCUUACCAAAUCUUAAAGCGGGCAUUUGCAGAAAAUAAAAAUUUUAUUUAAUUUAUUUAUUCAAGAUUUAAUAAAUUAAGUUGAUUUUAAUUAAACUAAAUUAAAUUAUGAAAGUCCUUUAUUUUUGAACUAACAAAUUGGACCAGUAUUAUGUGGGCUGUAAAAUCAAUUAAAUAUGCAAGGUCCAUUUAAAUUAAAAUGGAUUAAUGGAAUCAUUAAUUCACAAUGGACUGUUGGGCUAGCUUAUUACUAAAAUCAAUAUUAAAUAGAUUUCAAAUUGAACCAGUAUUAAACGAAUUGUUGGGCCAGCUUAUUGUUAAAGUUUUUCACAUAUAUUGUUAUAAUAAAAUAUUUCAAAACAUCCGUAAAAAUAGUUAAUCCAAACAGAGACAUGGUUUUUUUAUAUUACUUUAAUUAAUUUUUUUUUUUUUUCUUCUUUGGCUGCAAAAAUUACGCACCACCAUAGGAAUAAUUCACUUAAUGAACUUCGGAGGUCUCUGACUAAAAAUAACGGAGCAAUCAUUGAUGGCAAUUUGGCAAUGGAAAUGAUGGCAUUUGACCAUGUUAUUAAUGGCACUUUAGAUCUAGCCUCAAAAAAUGCUGAUUCUAAACAUGAGGAUGGUUUCUUAGAAAAACGUUGUCCUCUUUGUUCUCUUGCUACGGUAUUUGAAGACAAUCACUAUACGCAAGCAAAAAUGCCUAAUCCCUCCUUUCACUCAGUCGCUUCAUUUUUCUUCAUUUCUCACUUGUUUGUUUUUUGGAUUUAUAGAAGAAGUGCCUUUUAAAUUUACAGAACAAGAAGAAGAUGAUGAAUGCGAGAGAAAAGAACCCUGUGGUCAUAGCACAUUGUGCUUCCUAAAUUGCCCCUUCAUUAUGUCUAGUGAAUCACACAACGGUGGAAUCUGACAGAAUGACUCAGGAUCAAAAUACAUACUUUAGAUAGUUUAGUAGCCAAAAUCAAAUUGUUAAUAGUUCAGUGACCAAAACUCAAUGAUAGCAAAAGUUUAGUGCUAAUGAGGUAAUUUGCUCGAAAAAUAAUGAUAGAAGCAGCGAAGGGUGAAAUUUGGAUGUUCAUGCUACUGAGAAAGUUUUUGUACGACUGAUUCCCUGGAGAUUGCUAUCACUUGAGGUAGGGGAAACAACAAUGGAGGCUCUCUGUCUUGGAGGUGUCUGAAGCAAAAAGUCCUGGGCAGAAAUGUGAAACAAAAUCUGAAUUGUGGGCUUGUGUUUGCGGCUGAUGACUGUAUUAUUGUCCACCGAAGUCUUCCGCCCAAACAAGGUGACCCUCUUAUUAUCCCUGCCUCAUUAUCUACUUCAUGUUUUGCUUCUACUAACUCCCCUACCACUUAAAACGAGUUUUGGGUCGAGGGUUAGGUUAGGGCGCUAGAACUCGAGAAGGGGAUGAAGAAGAUCGAAGCUUCUGUGGUCUGGAGCUUAGGAUUGAGGAUGCUGGAGUUGGGUUUGCGUUUUGCCCGCCAAUGAUCACCCUGAGUUGCUUAAUUUGGUAGAGAAAAAUCAGAACAUGGGAGUGGCCUGGAGGCAGGUUACCCCGUGCCAGCGACCUAAUUAAUAUUGAUAUGGGUAAAAUACAGUAAACCCCUUAUGGUUAGGAAAAUAAAUAUGAAACUCCCUCAUUGUUUAAAAAUACCCAUUUAACCUCCCUUGUGCUUUGAACUUCUUUGGAUUUUGACUGCUAACAGGUUGGAAGCCAGUAAUAAUAUAAAAUACCAAAAAUACCCUCAUUUAUAAUAUCUCAAAAGGCACAGCUGCAAUUAGUAGAUCUUGAGUGGUACUUCAGGUGCAGAGAGAGAAAGUGGAUGAAACCCUAAACCUAUAGUACUAUCUUCUUCCAUGACAUCAAUAAACUACAGAAUUUUCGUGUGUAUCUCACAGAUGAAGAAGGCAUUUUUGUGCAGAUUGAUCGAGGGUUGCGAAGCAUCGAGCAUAGCGAUUAACAAGGUAAUCUCAUAUCUUAACCCUAACUUUACUUGUGUUGAUUGGUUUCAUGGUAGACGUUUGGUAGUAUAUUGUUGGAGAUAUUUCGAAACUUGGUAAAAGAAGUGAUAGCUUUGGCUUAGUCAAAAGUAUUGUCGACAAUCUUUAUCGAAAAAAUUUAUAAAAAAAUUGCUAAGUAUGCAAAAAGGAGAAAAGAAUGGGUCUUUGCGGAGUAAUCUAGACUAUUGUGGUCAAUACUGGUAUUGAUUAUGUUUUUUAACCUUUUAGAUGAGUGUGUUAAUGUUGACUAUGCUUUUUUGAAACUAAAAGUGUAUGAAAUAUUGCCUGUCGUUUUCGAUACAUCUGAAAAUUAAAUUAGUAAAUUUAUCUCUGUUACUUUGGUUUAGGUGUAUAAGAAUGGAAUAAUCCGUUUAAGAGUAUAGACAUAUACAUGCAUUAUGGUGGAAAUUUCAAAUGAAACUGAGAAUUAGAUACACCGGCGAACAAGUGAGGAUAUUUUGUGGAUGGGACCUGAUGAAUUUUCUCCAUUUGACUUUCAAAAAUGUAUGACACAAUUGAGUGUGGUGUAAGCAAUAUGAAUUUCUAGUACUCUAUCCCCUUUCAUGACCUUGAUGUUGGUGUUGUUAGUAUUAAGGAUGAUGCCACAUCGAGUUAUUGACAAUAUGUUAUGAAAGGCUUCCAGAAAUACACAUAUAUGCUGAGAAAGGGCCUGAACCCAUUGAAGUUGUGUCUUUGGAUGAAUAAUUAUUGUACAAGAAAGUGACUGGUGAUAGCUUACUUGCACUUCCAUUUCGUGAUAAUUGGCAAUUGGUGUGUUCAGAUUGGAUUAUCCGCAUUUGUUAAAGGCAGUGAUAACUUUGACCCUACAGUUAUUGGGAAUGAGUACAAUAAUGAUAUUUCACAUAUUAACUAUAGAAGAAAAGGCAUCUGUGAUGAAGUGUCAUCACAAAUGGAGUUGGAUCCAAUUUUUGUGGGACCACAUAGAGAGCAGAUACAUGAUUAAACUAAUAAAUCCAAGUGGAAGAAAACAAUAAAUGGUAAAAAAACUGAGUGGCAAAGAGUAAAAUUAACUGCAAGGAAGUUAGUCCGCAGUUAGUUAAAGAGAAGGAAAAAGUUGAUACAACUACAGAGGUCUAGCAGUCUCCCAAGAAAUUCAGCAGAAGAAACAACAUUUGGGACAGAUCCAACAGAAGAAACAACUAAUUUGAGGGAGAAAAAUAGCUGAUGAAGGUGGAGAAAAGAUGAUGUCGUACCAGACUAUUUAGAUCUCCCGGACUGGCUAAGAGAAGGACUAGAAGGGCCUAAAGAUUAUGAUAUAUUUGCAGGCUUAAAUGGUCAAGAAUCAACACAGGCAUCUAUUAAUUCAGGAUCUAUAAAUUUUGUUAGAGUUGGUUCAGAGUAGCAACAAGAAAAUUAGCAAGCCAAAGCUAGAAAACAAGUGGUAUAGAUCAACAACAAGAAAAUUAGCAGGCCUAAUCCAGAAAACAAACUAGUUCAGAGCAGCAACAACAACAUCAGCAAUCGAAAUCAAGAAAACAAGCAAAGAACCAGACCCAUGAAGAGAGGAGUCAACAACACCAGGUGUGGAUGAUAGAUGCCGUGUCAAUGAGCAGGAAGAGAACUGGAAUGACCUAGUAAAGGAUGAUGAAAAGCUAUUUGACAAUGGGAUAAGAUCUGAUGAAGAAAGCAUCCCUGUUUAUAGUUACUUCAAUGCGGAGAAAAAGUUUAGGAAAGAGCACUUUGAACUAAAGGUUUGACAGAAAUUUACUAGCUUCUCCAAAUUUAGGGAGACUUUAGAGGAGUGGGAAAUUAGGGAGGGUAUGAGCACAAAUACAUCAGAAAUGAAGGCUCUCGAAUCACAACUAAAUGUGCGAAGGGGUGCAGUUGGAGAAUUCAUGCAUGCAGAAUCCAGAGAACAAAGACUUUUAUGAUCAAAACUCUUAAGCGAGAGCACCAUUGUGGUAGGGAUUAUGCAAUAGACAUGCUACUUCAACAUAUCUAAGUGAAAAAUUUCAGGCCAAGGUGAGGGAUGAUUGUGGGUGCAGUACUCCAGGCAUAGUAAAUGAGACAAGAAGACUGUUUAUGUUAGACAUUAGUGGGAAGAAAACUGCCAGAACAAAGCAGAAAGCAUUAGAGGCACUUAGGGAAAAUGACAUGGAGCAAUAUCACAGGCUUUGAAAUUGUGUAGCCACUGUAAAAAAGUCCAAUCCUGAUACUCAUAUUUCACUGCAGAUUGAUAGGCAAAGUGUUGAGGAAAAAGCUACAUUUCGGAGAUAUACUAUGGAUUAGGUGCUCUGAAGAAUGGUUUUUAGAAGGUUGCAGACCUAUAAUAGGACUAGAUGGCUAUUUCCUAAAGUCCCUUUGGAGGUUAGCUGCUUACAGUCAUGGGUAGGAAUGCCAAUGAAAACAUGUUUCCUAUUUCCUUUGCUAUUAUUGAGGUAGAGAACUAUGACAACUGAUAAGUGACUAAUUUACGUAAUAAUUGGAUGAUAUUUUAUAUUAUUUUUAGUCACUUUGGUUAUAUUAUUGGAAGAAAAUGAAUCAUUUUGGCUAUAAUUGGUGAAAAAUGCUUUUAAGUAAUUAAAUGAAGUUUUUAUCAUUUUUUACUUGGAUUUUGUGCAUUUUGACAGUUUUGACAUAUUUUUGUAUUUUGGCUAUAACUUGAGCUACAAUGAUCGGAUUGAGAGAAUUCUUAAACCAAUUUGAAGAUAAGAGAUAGAUCUACAACUUUGGUGAAGACAUCUGAAUCCAGUUUGAAGGUUUUCCAGGUCAAAAAGCCUAAUUACAGUAGCUAAUUUCCAUUGAUCGAAGCUGAAACAGAGCAAUGAGCAGUCAAGGGUUUUGGUCAUUUUGCAGCCUACACAGAUCCAAAUGAGGUGAUUCUUGAUGCAUUGGAAAUUAACUCAAGGGGCUACAAGUUUAUGUUUUGGUCAAAGGCUAAAUCAGCUUUUAUCAUCAAGAAAAGUUCAGUUGAAGUUGAUGCAAAAGGGAGCAGAGCUGGAAAUUGAACAAAAGUGCACCAAAAUGUCACUGUAGUAAUCCGGCCGGAACUUGGCUGGAUUUGUGGCCGGAUUUGUGGCCGGAUUGUGUCAAAGAAGGCUGCUCUUUACGCGGAAAACUCAAUUUCACCUCUACUAAGUCACAUGUAAUACUAGACAUGUGAGAAACAUUACCAGCUGUAAAAGGGAAGUGUAGGCCUCAUUUUCUUGACUUCCUUUGUCUUGAAAUAGUCAAAUCUUGCAAGCAGAAUGGGAUCAUCAUAUGGGAGAAUAGAGAGACAUACGGGAGAAACUUGGAGUCUGCAAAAAUGUAAUUCUUCCAUUUUCCUUAGUGUAGGAUAGUUUUAGUUUUAGACAGUUUAUCCUUUCUUGUAUGUUAGCUACAUGAAGAGGAAGAUGGAGGAUGAAGAAGGCAAGAAAUGAACUCAUGUGACAAGGGUUACAUUCCUUCCAAACUCUUUAUCUUUUGUACUUGAUUUUAUUGUUUAGUUAAUAUACAAGUCUGGAUUUUAUGUUAUUUAUGUGUCUCUAAAAUUUAUGCCUUGGGUUUGGUUGAACUUCUUAUAAUUGUUAGUGUUUAUUAUUUGACUAUUUGAUUGCUAUGAUUUGAGCAAGUUAUUUAGUACUUUAGCUCUUUAAAAUCAUGAUUAAUCUGGUAUCAUUGAUUGUGAUUAUCUAAGGUGUCGUUUUUGCAAUGAAAAUUGAGAUUUAAUACUAUUUCAAGAAGUGCUAAACAUAGGGAGUACACUCACGAAAGUAGAGGUGCACCUAUGUGGUUUUUAGUGAUUCAUUUCAUGUAAUUCACUGAAGAAAUGAACUUGUAGCUAAUUUCAUAACCAUGAGAAUAGGUAUGGAUUAGUUAUAAGUAUAAUUGAUUCACUACGAAAGUAGGAUUCAAAUGCAUAAGGAAAUUACACCAUAACUAGCAAAGAUGUAGUACUCAAUGAUCCAAAUAUAGCACUUGCAUGAGUAGUUAGGGAUACCACAACCUAAGGAGCAUUUUUUUUUUUUUGUGUAAGCAGGAGGAUUCGAACCUGAGACCUCUUGCUUACACUCCCUCCCCCCAUACCACCCAACCCAACCCUCCCCCCACAACCUAAGGAGCUUUUAUUUGUUAUUUUGUAUAAUUUCAGUAGGUUAAAUUUGUUAUAAUUCAUUGAUAGUCUAAAUAAUAGAGAAGCUUUAGUAAUACCGGUAAUUGUUCACUCUUCCCUGUGGGAUCGACCCAAUAUAUACCCUAAACUACUAGUUGACCUGUAUACUUGCAGUGAACGGGUGUAAUUCGAUUUUUUUAACUUGUACGUAUAUUAAAAUCCCGUCAACAACUAGAGCUAGUUUUUGAGAGAAUUAAUCACCCAAAUUGGAGAAGGAAACAAAGGAAUGGCUUACACUUUCAUUUCGGAUAGGCAAAAGGGUCUUGUCUAUGUAAUUGAGGCAUUGUUCCCUGAAUUAGAGCACAGAUUUUGCCUAAAACACAUGUUCGAGAACUGCAAACAAAGAUUCAAGAAUCAAAACCUUUGAGACAUGUUCUAGGAAGUUGCUGCAGUAGCAAGUAUGCCAGAGUAUGAAACUGCCCUAUCAAAUCUUGAAAGGGUUGACCCAAAGGAAGGUGACAAACUAACAAUUGCAGGAUGGUUCAAACGGUUGCCUCUAAAGCUUUGGUCCAGAGCCCACUUUAGUACUAUUUGUAGAAGUGACACGUGCAUCAACAACAUUAGUGAGUCGUGGAAUAAUUACAUUCUAAAGGCUAGAGGUGAGCCAAUAAUAACAAUGCCGGAGUAGAUUCGGAGGAGAUUAAUGCAAAGGUUGGUAACCAAGCGAGAGGGCAUGCUGAAAUAUAGUAGCACUUUAUGUCCAAACAUUCACGAGAAGUUAGAGAAACUGAAGAAAAAGCAAGAAACUGUGUCGUGGUUUAUGGAGGAAAUAGGAAUUUGGAAGUUGAUGGCUAUGGAAGGACUAAUGUCAAUUUGGAUAUGAAGACAUGUACUUGUAGUCAUUUUCAACUUAGUAGAAUUCGAUGGGUGCAUGUGGCUGCUUGCAUUCAAAGCAGAAGGUUGGAAUUCGAGCAAUUUGUUGAUGCUUGUUACUAUAGGGAAGCAUAUUUAAGGGCCUAUAACUUCACAAUUGGUCUUGUUCUUUCGAAGCAGUUCUAGGUGGAUAGCAAAAUGCAGUAUUUGAACCCGCCAUUGGUGAAAAAUCAACCUAGUAGGCCAAAGAAACAGAAGAAGAAGGGUCCAAAAGAACCUACAAAUCAGCAUAAAGCAAGUAAGAACGGGUCUGGCAGUCUACUGGCCGAGGUGUUUGAAAUUUAGACAUAACAUUAGAACCUGCAAGUCAGCAAUUCACCCUAAGUCCAAGCUUUACAAGAUAAUGUAACAUUUCAGAACCAAAUCAUUUCUCUAUCUUGUUUUGUUGCUGCUUAUACAUCCAGCCAUUUCGAUGUGAACUAUAUGCACCUAAAUGUGGUCUAAUAGUUUCAAAUGCAACAUUCCGGCUUCUGUAGCUCAGGCUAGUGUCGCAAGUACUACUGCUACUACUCUUUCACAGGUACUAGUUCUCAAUUGCCUAUUUUUGGGUAUUGUGACCUGCUUACACACUAAGCAGUGCCACUUAUAAGCAGGAACCAAGUUAGCCUAUAAGUGGUACCAAUCAAGAAAGCUAGAAGAGUAAAUCUUCAAAGAGGAAGCAACCAGCUACAGGAAUGUCAAGAUUGCAACAUUGUGGCUCUAAGAGACCAAAAAAAUGAACUGUAGUUAUCUCUCUUUUGUUUUUUGAAUAUACUGGUUAUGUUAACCACAUUGAUCCCUUCUGGGAUUGAAUCGUAAUAUUUAUUGAAACUAGAAAACUCAGAUUUUGGUUAUGUUUUGGUAGAUUGAUACCAUUAUGGUAUGAAUGUAGUAAUAUGCUUCAUUUUUAUGGCAUUCGUGGCAGUAUUGCUGGUGACCCUUUUUGGGAUUGGAUUAUAAUAUUUACUGAAACUAAAAAACUCAAAAUUUGGUUUUAUUAUGGUAGAUUGAUACCAUUGUGGUAUGGAUGUGGCAAUAUGCUAAUUGUGACAGCCCCACCUUCCCCUAAGGCGAACUAAAGAGGUUAGCGGACUGCCUGCCCAACUCUCGCCAGGACUAACGGUGCAGUAUAAAGCGAUCUAUCACGUUCUGAAACUUAUAAUGCGCGCAACAAGGCAAAAGGGCAAAAUAACCCAAAAUAAAAGAAAUGAAAUCCAAAAUCCGCCAUGAAUAGUAACCGACCCGUCCGAAACCCAACCAAACAUCGAAAUACAUAUACAACAUAACAUUAACCAUUUACAAGCCACAAUGGCCUUUAAAAGUGAUACAAAAGUCACUACAUAUGUGGGUUGCCAAAACAAAAGUGAAAACGGCCCUAAUGAUACAUUUAGGGUCCCAUUUUAUAUACAAUACAAAAGAGGCAUUCAUCUAGUUCAUUCGGCAACCAUUUUACAAAAUUCAUUCCAAAAGAGUCAUAUUCCUGUAAGGAAAACAAAAGAAACGGGGUGAGCUAAAUGCCCAAUGAGAAUACAACCACCACAGCAGCUAAGAUCACAUAAGCAUAACCGUUCAGUUCAAGUAUGCAAAUAAGCAAUAAAUCACAUCAGUGAAAGGAUACGGACGGCUCUCAAGAGCCCAUUUCCACGCUUAUUUCUUGAUCCAACUUCAUUGACCCUCCAUCAAUGUUAAAAGUAACCAUCCGUAGACAUCACUUACAUCCAACCGUCCAACUAUCAUACCCCAACCGGGCCAGCACUCCAUUCAGUCAUUUUGGUAAUACUCGAGUUUACCGGAAUCAAGAGUCUCAUUACUACAAGAUUUCCCAGUACAGUCCCCGUGGCAUGUCAAUUAUCACGACCAAGCCCUCGCCGGCUCGAUCCAAUUGACUACCUAACGGAGUUGAGCUCAGUGAUACAGUAAGGUCGUUGGACAUUCGUCCAAACAACACCAAAUCAGUUUCCAUGAAAUGGAAUGCAAUAACUCAUAUAUCAACUUCAGUAAGACAGUGAAACAGUAGACAAUCAGUGAUACUAUCAAAAGGAGUGAGGGCGGUCAAGUACACCCUCACCUUAAUCAAUUACAAUAUCCAAAUAAGCCUUCAAGGCAACACAACCACAUAUAGCAAAGCCACAUUACAACAUUUAAAUGAGUAGUAUACUCACCAAUCACGUAAGUGAUAUUUCAUGCACCAACGUUAAAAAGGUCGCCGUGAACCCUCGUCACGUCCUAGAACACAUAAACAAAGACCAUGAGACUCGAUAACUAGUCAUAAAGCCAUACCAAUUAUAACCCCAAUAGGGUUUCAUAUGCAUAAAUAAGCAUCAUAGGUAACCAGAAAUUAAGAAAUGGCAUUAGCUUAGGCCUUAACAAAAAAAACAGUUUUCGUCAUACUUUUGCGGUAAUGGCACAAAAUGUGCUAUGCUUAUCGGAUGAGGGUGUAAGACCCACCAUCUCGAAGCUAAAAGACAGGGCUACAACAAUGUAGAAGGCCACUCAGUCCAAAUCCUAGUACAACUAGGUCAAAAAUGCAGAUUACCAAACCAGAACCGCAAUUGCAGGUUCCCAAAUCGUACUAUGCUGUAAUUAGUCUAUUUCAGUCUACACAAGUCCAAAUUCAUUGAUUCCAAAGGCAUAUGAUAGCUAAGACAUCCAGCUACAUUUCAUCAGAAGACACCAACAACAAAAUCCAAACCAAUUCCAGUCAAAAUGGCCAAUUACUUGUACAGUUUUCGCAUUCUGAUCAACCCAGAACAGCAACAGUAAAAUCGACAUAUCUCACUCUACACUAAUCCAAAUGACCUGAAAUUUUGCAGGCACUUCAAACUCAUCAAUACCUACAACUUUCAUGUUUUGAGCAAAGUCUAUUUCGGCCUCUAACCCUAUGAUCCAAAACCGGACAGAAUUAGGGGUUUUGAAACCCUAACAUUUCACAUUUCAAUCCAAAUCCAAAAUUGGUUGCAAAUAUCAACAAUUCACAUCCACUAGAGUCAUAACCCCUCAUUAUCAACCAUCAUAAACAACCACAACACCAUGAUCACAUUAAACCAGAAAAUUCCUCAAAAAAAUAAAAACUUCACUAAAUCACUUCAAAUCAAGAAAUAAAUCACAAAAGGCUUCACUAUCACUACCAUUAGGCACAAUUUAAGCAUCAUUAGGUGUAAGGGAAUAGUCAAUCAUCACUUACCUAAGAAAAAAGAUAAGAGGAGUUGUAGACCACCUUAGCUCUUCCAAAAACUUCACCAAACUCAACCACCACCAAAUGGAAAAGUUGUAUGGAAUGGAAACUAGUUUAUGUGAUUGAUUUAGAUGAUUCAAGCUAGUGGAAAGCUUGAAGUUGGAAGAGGUUUUUCUCCUUCUUUGUUAGAGAGAGAGGGCCGGCUAUGGAGAAGAAAAAAAUGAGGAAAUUUUAGUGAAUUUUGGAGAUAUUUAACUAAAUGGGUCAAAAGGUCAAAAGUGGAAUAGUAACUCUUAAACUUCAACCCAUAAAAUGGUGACACUUGUCACACCAUUAAUGCAAUCUUAUCACUUCUUUUUCUCUCUCACAUCAAUCAUUUCACACACUCUACUUAUCUCUUAACACCCGAUAAAUUUUACACAGUAUCCGGAAUUUAACCUAAUUGGCCGAAUUUUUUCCGAACUUUUCGCACUAGUGGGUCCCACGUCCAAUAUAUAUUCUUAAUUUUCUAAAAAUUCUCCAAUACUAGAAAAAUCAUCUAAAAACUAUAAUUACUCAUAAAAUUCACCAGGAAAAUAUUCCUAAGCCAGAAAAUGCAGAAAACAUGCAAUUAAGGGGAAAAACCCUAGGAAAAAUAUUAGGGAAAUACGGGUUCUCACACUCUCUCCCUCUUAAAAAAAUUUCGUCCUCGAAAUUUCUCACCUUAAUUUCUGAAAAGGUUUGGAUACUUCUUUCGCAUUUCCUCUUCCACUUCCCAGGUAGCUUCCUCUACUCCGUGGUUUCUCCAUAGCACUUUCACUAGUGGAAUCCGCUUGUUUCUGAGCUCUUUGACUUUCCGAUCAAGCACUUGGACCGGUUUUUCUUCAUAGGCAAGCGAUUCGUCUACUUCGAUCUCCUCCGGUUGUAAGACAUGGGAUGGGUCAGGAUGAUACUUCUUUAGCAUCGAGAUGUGAAACACAUCGUGGAUUCGAGAGAGACUGGAUGGCAGUUCCAGUCGAUACGCGACCGAUCCAACCCUCUGAAGGAUCUUGUAGGGUCCGACGUACCGCGGUUGAAGUUUCUUUCCUUUGCCCGCUGUAAGACUUCGUAAGGGUGUGAUAUUGAGAAAUACGUAGUUUCUAACUUCAAACUCCAAGUCUUUUCUUCGAUUAUCAGCGUAGAUCUUUUGUCGGCUUUGAGCUGUUUGGAUUCGUUGCCGUAUCAACUUGACCUUCUCGUGAGCCUCUUCCAUCCAUGGAAUAGUUGCCGGGUCUAACGUCUUCGUUUCACCAAUUUCAUCCCAAUAAAUCGGCGACCGGCACUUGCGUCCGUAUAGGGCUUCGUACGGAGCCAUUUGAAUCGACGAAUGGAAGCUAUUAUUGUACGCAAACUCUACCAAGGUCAUGUGCUGACCCCAGUUGCCUCUAAAGUCUAGAAUGCACGUUCGUAGCAUGUCCUCGAGAGUUUGAAUUGUCCGUUCUGACUGGCCAUCCGUCUGAGGAUGAUAGGUCGUGCUCAAAUUGAGUUUAGUCCCCAGGGUUUCUUGAAACUUCUACCAAAAUCGAGACACAAACCGUGGAUCCCGAUCGGAGACGAUGCUUACAGGAACACCGUGUAGUCUUACUAUCUCAUCCAUGUACAGUCGGGCCAACUUGUCCAUUGAAUACUUCAUGUUUACUGGCAAGAAAUGAGCCGACUUGGUUAAUCGAUCAACGAUCACCCAAACGGCGUCAUGUCCUCUUUGCGUCCUCGGUAAACCUGAAACAAAGUCCAUUGUGAUAUUCUCCCAUUUCCACUCGGGUAUCUCCAAGGGUUGUAACAGACCCGACGGUUUUUGAUGCUCUGCUUUCACCUGUUGGCAAAUGAACAUUUCUGCACGUACUGAGAGAUUUCUUUCUUCAUAUUGUCCCAGCAAUAAGUUCCUUUCAGGUCUUGAUACAUCUUGCUGCUGCCCGGAUGGAUUGUAUACUUGGACCGAUGAGCUUCCUCCAAAAUUUCCAUUUUCAUCGACUCUUCCUUCGGUACCACUAUUCGAUUUCGAUAUUUCAAAAUGCCCUCAAGACUCAAAUUGAUGUCCGUAGUUUCUCCCUUUUCCAUUUUCUCUCUCCACUUCUGUACCAUCAAAUCUUCGUUUUGCGCCUCUUUAAUGCGUUCCAGUAGAGUGGAGGUCACCCUAACAUUGACAAAUACCACCUUAUGGCUCCCAAGACAGGGUCUCCACUCACACACGGAUUCUAAUAAAUCACACUCCUUAAUCAUCAAUCCUGCUACUUGCACCUUACAACUCAAAGCAUCUGCUACCACAUUUGCCUUUCCCCGAUGAUAGUUGAUUGUGCAGUCGUAAUCUUCCAGGAAUUCCAUCCACCUUCGUUGCCUCAUGUUCAAUUCCUUCUGGGAGAAAAGGUACUUAAGACUUUUGUGAUCCGAAUACACUUCGAAGGUCACCCCAUAUAGGUAAUGCCUCCACUUUUUCAGUGCAAAGACCACUGCGGCUAGUUCCAGAUCGUGAGUCGGGUAGUUCUGCUCGUGAAGCUUCAAUUUCCUAGAGGCGAAAGAAAUCACAUUCCGGUUCUGCAUCAACACGCACCCCAAUCCUUCUCGUGACGCGUCUGCAUACACCGCAAACCCGUCCACUCCAUUUGGCAAAACUAGCACUGGAGCCAUGGUCAAUCUUCUCUUUAGUUCCUGAAAACUUGUUUCGCAUCGGGCGUUCCAGACAAAUCCUCCAUGCUUCUUUGUCAGGUCAGUUAAAGGUCCCGCCAGUUUGGAAAAAAUCCUUAAUGAACCUUCGGUAGUACCCAACUAACCCUAGAAAGCUGCGAAUUUCCGUGGGGUUUUCUGGCCUCUUCCAAUUUGUCACGGCCUCUACCUUCGCCGGGUCCACAGAAAUACCUUCGUGGGAGAUCACGUGCCCUAGAAACGCUACUUUCUCCAACCAGAACUCGCAUUUACUAAACUUGGCGUACAGCUGAUGUUCCCUCAAUAUCUGCAACACCACUCUCAAAUGCUCCUCAUGCUCCUCGCGUGUCUUAGAGUAGACCAGAAUGUCGUCAAUGAACACAACGACAAAUCGGUCCAGAUAGGGUUUGAAAACCUGGUGCAUUAGGUCCAUGAAGGCGGCGGGAGCAUUUGUCAGUCCAAAGGGCAUAACGGCGAACUCGUAAUGCCCGUAUCUUGAGUUGAAAGCAGUUUUCGGAAUGUCCUCCUUCCUAAUCAACAACUGAUAGUAUCCCUGCCGGAGGUCCAACUUGGAGAAGACCACUGCUCCUUGCAGCUGGUCAAACAACUCGUCGAUGUGAGGCAGUGGAUACUUAUUCUUGAUGGUUACGUUGUUCAGCCCCGGUAAUCAAUGCACAUCCUCAAGGUUCCGUCCUUCUUCUUCACAAAUAGAACAGGAGCCCCCAAGGAGAUCCACUCUCGUGAAUGAAUUCCCGCUCCAAAAGAUCUUGUAAUUACAACUUAAGUUUUGCAGGCGCCAUUCGGUAAGGGAUUUUUGAGAUAGGUGAGGUUCCAGGUAAUAGAUCUAUUCGGAAUUCUAUCUCCCUUUCCGGAGGUAAGGCUACUAACUCAUCAGGAAAAACAUCCGGAAAUUCCCUCACUAUGGCCACGUCUUCCACUUUUAAUUAUCCGUAGGGGUGUUAAUCAAAAAGGCCAAAAAUCCUUGCGCCCCUCUACUUAUCAGUUUCCUAGCCCGUAUGCCCGAGAUUAAAGCAGAUGAGACUAACCUACCCCUUAUAUCUAACUUUAAGGUUGCCUCGCCAGGAAUGCGAAAUUCUACUACCUUCGUUUUACAAUCCAGUUGGGCGUUAUAUUUGGCUAGCCAGUCCAUACCCAGAAUCACGUCAUACCCCUUAAUGGACAAGCUAAUAAGAUCUCCUAAAAAUCUCUUUUCACUUACCCAUACAUCGCAGUCCCUAUAAACCAUACUAGUCACCAACCGUUGAUUCCCCGUAGGUGUACUAACCUCUAGGUCAUAUGGUAAACUAGCAGGUUUUAUAUCGAUGCCACACAUGAAAUCAGGGUUAACAAACGAAUGAGUGGCACCAGGAUCAAUUAAAACUUUGGCAAAACGGUGGAAAAUAGGGAUCGUACCUUCUACGACCUCCGAAGACUCUGGGACCUGAUGGGGCUCUAUAGAGUACACCUUAGCUGGUACUUUAGGUUUGGACCCAUCUCCCUUGGCUGGUCCAGUAUUGGUCCUCGAUGAUGGUUGGCUCCCCUUUCCGUCUUGUUUCAGGACCGGGCAUGUAGCCAAUUGGUGGUCCGCGCUUCCACAUCGCAGACAUUUGCCCUAUUUCCUCCAGCAAUUAUUUUCGGUGUGGUUUGCUUUUCCACAAUGCCCACAGGGACCACGGGGUGCCAAAGCCGAGCCACUCUGAGCGUUUCCCCUUUGUCCUCGCCCAGUUUGACCACCCCUGAACGGAGUCCCUCUGCCUGAACCAGACUGUCGACACACCACCCGUUCCUCGUCCGAAUUUAGAUGGAGUAGUCUUUUCACCCUGUCCGGAAGUACUCCCAGGAAAGCCACGCUUCUUAGCCUGUAAGUUUCGGACCUGCAGCCGUGUACUUUCAACUCGUUGGGCUUUUUCCAUUGCCUCGCUAAACGUAGUGAUUUGAGCCGCCGCGAGGUUUUCUGGAUCUCAACGUUCAAACCCUGAAUAAAGCGCCUCACCCGUCGUUGCUCAGUCAUGAUUAGCUCAGCGCGAAUUUGGACAGGCGGGUGAACUGACUCUCAUAUUCCGCCACAGUCUGAGCCCUUGCCGGAGCCGGAUAAACUCGUCCUCCUUCCUCUCCUGGACUAGAGGAGGGAAAAACUUUACAUUAAAUUCUCGGAUGAAAUUCACCCAUGUCCUAGGCAUCUGCUCCCGCUCCCAUUUCUGUCUAAUUACGUUCCACCAGGAACGGGCAGCCCCCUCAAAUUGAAAUACGGUAAAAGUCACCUGCCGUUCGUCUGGGUAAUGUAGAGCUGCAAAUAUAUCAACCAUCUUCUCAAGCCAUUUCUCAGCAACGUCAGGGUCGGGUCCCCCAACAAACUUUGACGGGAAAAACUUUUGAAAACGUUCUAGAGCUCUAUCUUCGCUCUCAAUAUGAUGGCCAGGGUUUCCGGGGUUAGGGUUUGGGUUCUGGCCCUGUUGUUGCACUACUUGUGCUAGUAAAUUGGUCAUUUGCUGCAUAGCAGCAGCUAUUUGCACAUUCGGAUCUAUUUGCGGUCCAGGAUUGGGUCCAGUAGAGGUUUCCCUCGUUUCCCUAACCGGUGUGGGUUGUCUAGUUCCGCGCCCACGUCCCCGACCACUCCGUGUACCUUCCAUGAGUUUUAUUCGCGUUUAGGCAAGAAUACUAAACCAAAGUAGUAACAAGACAUAUAAGUAACACUUAAACUUUGCACAAUAACACAUAUUUAUACAGUCCAAGCAUAAUCACAAACACACAUACAUACAAGCCAAACACAUAUAUACAAUCAGUCAAGUCAAGUACGGCCAAAGCACGUACAAACACAAACGAUCCCCCGAGGAUUGGCCUAUCAAAAGAGAUUUACGCGUAGCUAACAACCCAAAACGGUUAGCUAAGGCUCUAUCCCUAUCCCUAUGUACAUACAAAAACCACCAACUAUCCAAAAGAUGCCUAAAGAUCAAGGCCUAGUCAGUCGCUGGGGUCUGGGAUCCAGGCGACAGGGUAGACUCUCCCCCGCCUCAGCCCCCGCAUACGAAGCCUCAUCACUAGACUCCUCAAGACCAUCGUCACACAAAUUAAGGAUCGCCUCAGCGCGACCCCUGACUUUGCGAGCCCGCGUAAUCUCGCGCUCGCGUGCAGUCCUCAGCUGAUCGCAGAGGUCGUCAACUCGGUCCUCGACCUCAAGCACGUCGUACUCUAACUCUUUGAUACGUGCGACUUGCUUCUCAUUGGUUGCCUUAACCUGAGUCACCUCAGCUUCCAGCGUAGCAACCCCGCUUCCAACUUAGUGUUGUCAUCCUCUAGCUCCUUACGCUCCUUUGCCACAGCCAAAACUAAGGCGUUCGGGUAAGCAUAAGUAUCACGGCACCACACCGUCGAAGGCGGUUGGCCGGGCUCCAACGCACCACGGCCCCCUUCUGCCUGAUCUGAUAUGGAAUCACGGGAAGUGCUCUGGGAGGUCUCACUCCCGAAGGACUAGCACUAGGGUCACCACUCGCAUCCAUCCUAUAGCAAAGGAAGAAAUGACAUGAAUACACUUAAUAGGCAUAAACAAUAGAAUCCUCAAGUCAAGCAUUCCUAUAACACCCAGGCUAAUUCAAACCUAGACUCUGAUACCACCUGUGACAGCCCCACCUUCCCCUAAGGCAAACCAAAGAGGUUAGCGGACUGCCUGCCCAACUCUCGCUAGGACUAACGGUGCAGUAUAAAGCGAUCUAUCACGUUCUGAAACUUAUAAUGCGCGCAACAAGGCAAAAGGGCAAAAUAACCCAAAAUAAAAGAAAUGAAAUCCAGAGUCCGCCAUGAAUAGUAACCGACCCGUCCGAAACCCAACCAAACAUCGAAAUACAUAUACAACAUAACAUUAACCAUUUACAAGCCACAAUGGCCUUUAAAAGUGAUACAAAAGUCACUACAUAUGUGGGUUGCCAAAACAAAAGUGAAAACGGCCCUAAUGAUACAUUUAGGGUCCCAUUUUAUAUACAAUACAAAAGAGGCAUUCAUCUAGUUCAUUCGGCAACCAUUUUACAAAAUUCAUUCCAAAAGAGUCAUAUUCCUGUAAGGAAAACAAAAGAAAUGGGGUGAGCUAAAUGCCCAGUGAGAAUACAACCACCACAGCAGCUAAGAUCACAUAAGUAUAACCGUUCAGUUCAAGUAUGCAAAUAAGCAAUAAAUCACAUCAGUGAAAGGAUACGGAUGGCUCUCAAGAGCCCAUUUCCACGCUUAUUUCUUGAUCCAACCUCAUUGACCCUCCGUCAAUGUUAAAAGUAACCAUCCGUAGACAUCACUUACAUCCAACCGUCCAACUAUCAUACCCCAACCGGGCCCGCACUCCAUUCAGUCAUUUUGGUAAUACUCGAGUUUACCGGAAUCAAGAGUCUCAUUACUACAAGAUUCCCCAGUACAGUCCCCGUGGCAUGUCAAUUAUCACGACCAAGCCCUCGCCGGCUCGAUCAAUUGACUACCUAACGGAGUUGAGCUCAGUGAUACAGUAAGGUCGUUGGACAUUCGUCCAAACAACACCAAAUCAGUUUCCAUGAAAUGGAAUGCAAUAACUCAUAUAUCAAGUUCAGUAAGACAGUGAAACAGUAGACAAUAGUGAUACUAUCAAAAGGGGUGAGGGCGGUCAAGUACACCCUCACCUUAAUCAAUUACAAUAUCAAAUAAGCCUUCAAGGCAACACAACCACAUAUAGCAAAGCCACAUUACAACAUUUAAGUGAGUAGUAUACUCACCAAUCACGUAAGUGAUAUUUCAUGCACCAACGUUAAAAAGGUCGCCGUGAACCCUCGUCACGUCCUAGAACACGUAAACAAAGACCAUGAGACUCGAUAACGAGUCAUAAAGCCAUACCAAUUAUAACCCCAAUAGGGUUUCAUAUGCAUAAAUAAGCAUCAUAGGUAACCAGAAAUUAAGAAAUGACAUUAGCUUAGGCCUUAACAAAAAAAACGUUUUCGUCAUACUUUUGCGGUAAUGGCACAAAAUGCGCUACGCUUAUCGGAUGAGGGUGUAAGACCCACUAUCUCAAAGCUAAAAGACAGGGCUACAACAAUGUAGAAGGCCACUCAGUCCAAAUCCUAGCACAACUAGGUCAAAAAUGCAGAUUACCAAACCAGAACCGCAAUUGCAGGUUCCCAAAUCGCACUAUGCUGUAAUUAGUCUAUUUCAGUCUACACAAGUCCAAAUGCAUUGAUUCCAAAGGCAUAUGAUAGCUAAGACAUCCAGCUACAUUUCAUCAGAAGACACCAACAACAAAAUCCAAACCAAUUCCAGUCAAAAUGGCCAAUUACUAGUGCAGUUUUCGCAUUCUGAUCAACCAGAACAGCAACAGUAAAAUCGACAUAUCUCACUCUACACUAAUCCAAAUGACCUGAAAUUUUGUAGGCACUUCAAACUCAUCAAUACCUACAACUUUCAUGUUUCGAGCAAAGUCCAUUUCGGCCUCUAACCCUAUGAUCCAAAACCGGACAGAAUUAGGGGUUUUGAAACCCUAACAUUUCACAUUUCAAUCCAAAUCCAAAAUUGGUUGCAAUAUAACAAUUCAGAUUCACUAGAGUCAUAACCCCUCAUUAUCAACCAUCAUAAACAACCACAACACCAUGAUCACAUUAAACCAGAAAAUUCCUCAAAAAAUAAAAACUUCACUAAUUCACUUCAAAUCAAGAAAUAAAUCACAAAAGGCUUCACUAUCACUACCAUUAGGCACAAUUUAAGCAUCAUUAGGUGUAAGGGAAUAGUCAAUCAUCACUUACCUAAGAAACAAGAUAAGAGGAGUUGUAGACCACCUUAGCUCUUCCAAAAACUUCACCAAACUCACCACCAACACCAAAUGGAAAAGUUGUAUGGAAUGGAAACUAGUUUAUGUGAUUGAUUUAGAUGAUUCAAGCUAGUGGAAAGCUUGAAGUUGGAAGAGGUUUUUCUCCUUCUUUGUUAGAGAGAGAGGGCCGGCAAUGGAAGAAAAAAAUGAGGGAAUUUUAGUGAAUUUUGGAGAUAUUUAACUAAAUGGGUCAAAAGGUCAAAAGUGGAAUAGUAACUUAAACUUCAACCCAUAAAAUGGUGACACUUGUCACACCAUUAAUGCAAUCUUAUCACUUCGUUUUCUCUCUCACAUCAAUCAUUUCACACACUCUACUUAUCUCUUAACACCCGAUAAAUUUUACACAGUAUCCGGAAUUUAACCUAAUUGGCCGAAUUUUUUUCGAACUUUUCGCACUAGUGGGUCCCACGUCCAAUAUAUAUUCUUAAUUUUCUAAAAAUUCUCCAAUACUAGAAAAAUCAUCUAAAAACUAUAAUUACUCAUAAAAUUCACCAGGAAAAUAUUCCUAAGCCAGAAAAUGCAGAAAACAUGCAAUUAAGGGGAAAAACCCUAGGAAAAAAUAUUAGGGAAAUACGGGUUCUCACACUAAUGGUAUCUUUGAAAUAGAUAGGUGACAUCUUUGCUAAAACUGAUUUAAUUUGACAAGUUCAUUGCAAUGUAAUCUCCAGUCUUUUCAAUUUUUUUGUCCUGUAUUUUUUAAAUGUCUUGCAACAAAACAAUGUAGCUUCAUUCGUUCAUCUUAAUCAAAACCAGAAUGUCUACUUCAUUACAUCCAAUUGAAACUAGAUGUGGCAACAUGUUGCGACAUAACAAAAUCUACCAUUGUGCCCAACUCCCUCAUCUACUACACAUUUUUUAUACUAAUUUGUCCUGAACAUUCAUUUCAUACAUAUAACAACUAGUGACAAAAGAGACACAACUACAAACACCAUCAUCAUCAUCUCAUUAGCCCUGUCAUUGUUUCGACAUUGUGAAUCUUCGACUGUAGUGUCUCAUAAUGAUAUUAUAGUUAUUACUUUCCAUCCCUUGCCAGAGAUGAAAAAUAUUUUCGCCAUUGCAGAUCCAGUAGUGAAACUCCUUCCAUGUAUGGACUUUGACAGGAUGAUUCAUUAGUGCCUGCCUCUCUACUAAUUGGGUUGCAUCAUGUCCAAAAUGAACAAGCACCAUUUUCACAUACAAAAUACAACAUAUCUUUUGAUGGAUUUUUAGAUUCCACUACCUUAAUCUUUGCUUUAUUCUUGCAAAAACAUCAAUUUUGGUACCUUAGCUUGACAUUUUCGGUUUCUUCCUUGAACAAAGCUAUGUUGUGCCCUCCAAAGCUACGCUCUUAUGAUUUUUGUCUUAAUUUUGUGUCUCUCUGUCCAAUUUUUCCAUUUGCAAAAUAACAACUAUGGUGGGUUUCAUUCGUAAGAGACAUGGAGGGAAAAAUGGGAAUGAAAACUAGUCUCUUUCAGUCACAUGCGGCCAUUAGGUCGCAUCAAUGUCACUUGCUAGCUUCCUAGCCGGUUAGUAGGUAAAAUCCAAAGAAAUCCAAAGCACCGGGGAGGGUUAAGUGGGUGUUUUUAAAUAAUGAGAGGGUUUCGUGUUUAUUUCCCUAACCACAGGGGUUUACUGUAUUUUACCCUAUUGAUAUUGGUGAGGUGGAAUUUGGGGCAGAACCCCUCUAAGAAUUUUGUUUCUCCCCAGUGUCUCAAGAGGUAAUCAGGCCCUGCUUGAAUUCUAAUCCUGCUGGUAGACCUAGUUUGGAAGAACUAUUCAGGGUGAUUUGUUUAAGGACCUUAAGCCAUUUGAAAAGGUGGUAGGGAAAAUCUUUGAGGUGCGCGUUUUUUAUGGUAAGGGCACCUACAAACUGGUGAAAAUUCUUGGCCACCACCAGGGGAAUGUCUGGUUUACCAAGCCAAGUAUGAGCCCAUCAAAAGCACUGAUCACUAUGUGGCUUUGAAGGUAAUGGAGAUGGAGAAGUGAGUUGCUCCAGAAAUCAGCUGAGAUCAGUGUGGAUGCUAAUUCCCAUCCGUGUAUCAUCGGGGUUAUAAACGAAUUUGCAAGCGGUACAAGUUAUUGUGUCUCGAUGCCCUUAUUUGAUAAGGGUUCACUGAGGCUUCUUUCAAGGAAUCGAUGAAAUGAUGGUUGACCCGACGAUUGUAUUGCCCUGGUUCGGAUGGAACCCUUAAAAGGUCUUGGUUUCCUCCAUGAAAAUCAUAUGGUUCUCAAACGUGCCAGUCCAGACGAUAUUUUUUUCUGUAGGAAUCCUUUAUGCAUUGCUUUGGGUCAUGAUGCAACUCUGUGUCAUGCUUGGAAAUCUGACAAUGCUAAAAAUUCAGUGAUAAAUUCAACGAUUGAUGAAUUCAGUCAUGCUUCAGAAGUCUAUGAUGCUGGGGAGGCUCUGACAUAUGGCUCCUCAGAUUAACUGCUUUGGAGUUGGCCUAUCACCGCAUCCCUGUCAAGACAAGAGUAGGCUUAAUGGUUAUUAUACAUCAAUCAAAACAAUUGUUUGCCUACAGGACUGAAGCACCGCUUGUCUAGGGAGAAACGAGACAGUUCGCCAGCAAUUUCGGUCACCUUGUCAGCCUAUGUCUCCCUGAAAAUCCUGCACAAAGACCAUUAGCUAUCCAGCUGUUGGAACAUCCAUUCUUGAGAAGUUGCACUAGUCUUGAAUGUUUCGAUAAGGUGCUUUAAGUAAUAUGGCCAUUUUGAAGCUUCUCCUCCCCUGAGUCUGCUUGAAGUAUUUCGUGUUUUCGACUUAUUGUUUUUUAUUUUUAAAGGUGCUCAAGUAAUGUGGCAAGUUUGAAAAGUUCUCCUGCCUAUGUUAAAAUGAGAAAUUUCAUAUUUUCGGUGUACAGUUUUUGUGCUCUUAAGUUUAUCUUGCUUACUUUUUGACAUCUUGUGAAAUUUAAGUAUUUAGAUUUUUUUUUUAAAUUUUGGGUUAAUUAUUGACCUUUUGAAAUUGAGAAUGCUUGGAUGUUGGUGUUACAACAAUUUUUUUUGGGAUGCUUCUUCUCAAAUUGUUACUUGGGAGCUUUAUUUUCCCCUGAUAAGAAGAAGAUGAGGCAUCAACAAUUAUUAUCCCUGGCAAACCAACAUUUAUUUGCAACAUGUCUUAGUAUAAUGAUGGAAUAUCUUAGUGCCUUCAGAAUCAUAUUGCAUUUGGUUAUGCAGGUAAAAUUUUCAUAGGAAGGGGAAAAUUGAAAGUAGAAAUGCCUUUAAUAAUCAUUUCACCAGUCAAUAAUUCCUUCAGAAUGCCAAUUGACACUGGAUGUUGAAACUUUGAAUGCAUAAAACUACUUUAUUGAGAGGCAAUUGGUGACAUUAUGUUUACUGAAGUGAUUCUUUGCAAUGCUACAGAACGUAUGAACUAGUUAUAAAACCAAACCGCAUUGAUAGCCUCUACUCGUGUCCUACCUCGUGAGAGCUAGAUUUGCUAAUACUUUGAAAAUUAAAGUUUUUCACCUUUUUAUCAUUUUUGGCACUGACGGGCUAUGUUAUUGCAUCUGGAUAAUCCACCUAAUUCUAUCCUAAAAUUCUAUGCAGCUGUGUUUUUCUUCUUCAUCUCCUCAGAUCUCUUUUCUUUUUCCCCCCUUUCCUCUCUGUUUUGAACUUAUGCCUCAUGGUAUGCCUAACUUGCGACCUUCAUAAUGAUAUGGCCUAUUUCUUAAUGUCAGUUUGCUGGCGCCUUCAAGCAAUCUCAAGUUCUUAGGAUCAGAGAGUUUGUCCAAAAUGGUCUUAUUUCUGCAGCUCUUUUGCGGAAUAUCCCAUUCUGCUGGAGCAGCAGACCUUUUGGCAAAAAGUGCUUGUGGCUUCAAUGUUUUGGAGCAGUUAGUCUUGCCUAGUCCUUUUUUGCAAUAUCUGCUGGAUUUGAAUUCUACUUAACAUCCUCAAGAAAGAAGGACAACUUGUAGUUUCCACUCUAGACAUGUAUUAUUGAGGUUGACGUUAGUCUGUUUUAGUUCUUUGAUGCUUGCUAAAUCGUGUGUUCAGUGCUUUGUACGGUUGUGUGACUUUCUUCAAGCAAUCUGUGCAUUGUUGUUUUCUCAUUCAGAAAACUUGCAAUCCUUAAUAGUUGUAAGAAAUGGAUUUUCUGUCUCCUGAUUUCAAUUAAAUAUGUAUGUAUGUGUAUCUAGUCUUUCAAAAUGGAGCUUCUGAAGUAUCAGCAUAUUUUACACUUGCAGACACUAAUUCUGGAAAAACUAGAGAUAAAUAUAUAGCGAGUUCUUUCAUCCUUGUAGUCACUGUGCUGACAACUUCCAAAGUCUCAUGAAGAGCUUAUUGUUUCCUAAAUUGUCCAUUAUGUUUGACAAUUGGCAGUAGUUCAACUUGAGGAUAUGUUGGCUUCUAGCCACUCUGGUUUCUUCAGUGCUUUAGUCUAGAUAUAUAUCGAACUCUUGCUAACAUCCUGUAUAGCAACUUGUUAUAGCUUCAACUUGAUCCAUUUUUUUGACAUGCUGGCCUUCAGGCAUGGAAACUUGAAUUUAUUUGGUUUAAUUUUAUCAAAAGUUUGUCAGAGAAGUUUGUUUUGAGUAUCUUUUUAGUUGAUAUAGAAGACGUGCUAUGUUGAUGAAUGCACAUAAUCAGUUGUAUCGCUCGUAAAGAGCAUGCUUGGAGCAGGCUGAUGACUCCUGUUAGAAGUUUUUGGAACUAUAUAGAGUAUACCUCAAAUAUGAUACUUGAUAUGUGCCCUCUUAAAGCUGUGAAGUCCUUGAAUGUUCCAUGUUCUGUGAAAGAUGUAUAUAUCAACAUCAUAAUAUCUUGACUGUAGGUUAGCAUCUAGACUGUAGAUCUUUUAAGGUCCAAUCAUAGAAGAAGUGGUUUAUCACCUCGAUGAAGAUUUGGUCUUGUAACGACCCCAUUUUCCCCUAAGGCGAACCAGAGGGGUCAACGGCCGCCUGCCCAACUCUCGCCAGGACUCCGUCAAUCACUACAGUUCUCCAAAAAAUUUCACUAUAAAUCUCAAAUAUAUUUAUCAAAUUCUCCAAGAACUACAUAUCAUAAACGCUGCGGAAUGUACACGUACGUCCAUUCAAGUCCAAUCAUUCAUUACAAACCAUAUCCACAAGCUAUUACACAAGAGGCGAUCCAAAUUCAAACCGUACAAAGUGUAAUUCCAUCCAUUCCAAUUCCCCUAGCCCAACAAUUACACAAACGAUUCCAAAUCUAAACUAUACAAAUUACAAGCCAUCCAGGUACACCGAUAACGUAAUACAGCUCUUCCUUUGUUCGAAACCGGUACUCGCAUAAACACAUCAAACACGUAAUGCAGUUUAUCGAAGACUUGAUAAGGACAUAGAUAUACAUGAGAAAGGUUCAAUUGUACACUUCAAAAGUACUUGAAUUCAUUUACAUCAAAAUUUCAAGUUUUCGAGGAGCAACUCAAAACUAGCUACAUAACUAGCUCAACUCAUUUCAAAACUUGAGUCCAGCAGUGUCCCUGUAAGGAAAACAAAACAACGGGGGUGAGCUUGCGCUCGUGAGGUACCAAAUGCACAAGUACAUGAUAUGGCCAAAUAACAUAUAUGCAUAAGUGCCUUCGUUCAAACAUCCAUUUAUAAAAGGAUACAUUCGGCCCUCAAGGGCCGUUUCCGAGGUCCAUACUUGAUCGUACUCGUUGACACUCCGUCAACCAUUGAGGAUAACCAAAAACCGUAGACACCACUUCGCACCAACUCCUUCCACCAUUCACCCCCUAUUCGGGCCCACACACCUCAUAGUUUCAAAAGGUAAUACUCGAGUAUACCACAAGGUCGAGGAGAUAACACUCCACUCGCCUAUCAGAGACCCGAAGGCUCGUUAACGAAUCGCCCAAGCCCUUGCUGGCUCGACUCAAAUAACGGUCCAAGGGAAUGAGCUCAGUUUUCACAGAAAUAAUAGGGCAUUGCCCUAACAAAUAUCAAAUCACAUAUUCAUGAAAUUUCACAGUCCAACAGUAGCAAUAGUGCAAGCAAGUGGUCAAGAGCGGUAAAGUACACCCUCGACCUAUUCAAGUCAUAUAACAAGUACAUUGAACCAUUUAAUGAUACACUCACCAAGCACGGCUCACGAAGCUUAUCCGGCAAACCUCACUAUCUCGAUCAAGUUGGAAUCCUAAAACCAAAUAUCAAGUCAAGCAAAGGAAAAUUCUAACAUUAACAAGUUUCUAUUGCCUUUUGGCAUUUUAAAGCUACACCCAUCCGAUCGAAACAAAUCUUAUGGCGUUACAAAGCUAAAACAUAUGUCAACAUUUCUUAUGAAGAUUUCCAAGGCCAAAUCAUACAUUUUCAAAACCAAAAAUCUGAAUUCUAGAGAAAGAACGAAAACUGUCAUAAAACAGGAGUCUAUAAACAGUCAGAGCAAAUCAGUCAUUUUCCAGGCUACAGAGGUCCAAACAAUCUGAAAUUUUGCAGGUAGGUAGUUAACUCAUAUAUCUACAAAAUUCAUGUUUUGAGCAAAAGCUGGUUCGGUCUAAAACACAGAGAAAAUGACUGUCCAAGUUCAGUCCAGAAACAGGGGAAAAACUGAAAUUACUCUCCUUGAACCUAUCUUUGCGUAUAACCAUCCCUAACCACAAUUAAGGCCUAGAAAUCCCCACUUAACAUGAGACUAGUCUAUACUAAUCAUGUACAUGGCAAUUCCACGAGGACAAAUCAUUUCGAUAACGUCUGGAAGUACCACCAAACUUUCAAUCAUAAGAAUUCAUAAACUUAACCAAGAUUAACUCAAGUUCAAAGUAAUCAAAUGUUCUCUAAAAUUUGACAGCAUUUCCCUUAAGUUUACACAUUUCCAACCUACCAUACAAAUACCCCAAUCAUAUAGCCAUUAACCACAAUUGCACAUACGGUUCGUAAACGAUAAAACAUAUCCAAUUAGGGCCACAAAACCCUUUAAUCAAAACUAAUUAAAAGCUUAAAGCCAACCAUUAGAAAAACCCCCAAUUAAAACCCUAGAACCGGAAAUUCAUAUUAUAAGCGUAAAUUUUCCGCAAUUGAUCACCAUUAACGUAUAAGAGCUUCCAUUAACACCAUUUAAACCACUAAUCCAAAUCCAAUCCAAGACUUUCAUAUAAAAUCAUAAAAUACCCAAUAAAUCAGAAAAUCACCAUAAUUUCCAUAAACCCAUGAAAUACUCCAUAAUACAACACAUUUAAACAUCACAAACCCUAAAUUAACCAAUUUUAGAACCAAAAGGAACUUGUUUAAGCAACUUACCACAAAUUCAAGAAGCUAACACCUUAGAGCCUUCCCUCCACAAUCAAUCCAUCUAAAAGCUUUAAACCACCUUUGAGAGCACUUGUGUGAAAUAUUUGGCAAAACCACCGAUUAAAACUCAAGAUUCAAAGAAGGAAAUCAAAGGGAAGAAAUGGAGUUUUUCUUUUCUUGUUUUCUCUCCAAGACAGCCGGGCAAGGAGGUGCAAAAUGACGAGCAAACACAGCCAAAACAAGAUAUUUAUCAAGCACAAAAGCUGGUCAAAAGUGGCUGCCGGACAUGACACGUCACAAUCCGGCCGGAAUCUGGCCGGAUUUCCGGCCGGAUUCUUGGCCGGAUUCAAGGCAGAAUCGAAACCAAUUUUUUUUCAAAAUUGCAAGGCAAUCCGGCCAUCUAUCCGGCCAGAAACUGGCCGGAUUUCCGGCCGGAUUUGGCCCUUGCCAUUUUUCGAAACUUUUCUUUUCUUGUCCGAGUUGAAAAACUGUGCUACUCCGCUCGUCCAACAAAAAUAUCCAUAAAAUGAAAACCCUACUUUUCGGGGCGUCACAAUCUCCCCUCCUUAAAACAAUGUCGUCCUCGACAUUCUACCUCAUAUACAUCUGGUCAAGAUAUCGUUCAAAAACGCAUUCAAGCAUUAGAAUUCCAUAAUCCAACUUGCAUUCACCAGGUCCAAUUAGUCUUCCCAAAGUCGGUCAAAUACUAAGAAUUGUUCCAAUCUCACUUAUCGAAAUCAAGUACUAAGGAGUAUCCAAAUCCAGCUUAUCAAAUAGUCAUGAUCCAGUAAAGCAUGGCUUAUCAAAUAAUCACUUAUCAAUUUCAAGUACUAAAUACACGCCAAUCCAACUUAUCAAAUAGUCAUGAUCCAAUAAGGAGUUAUCGCGUAGCCAGAUAAAACAGGCAAAAGGCUUGAAAUCGGACGUAAAGUCCCAGAUAUCUGGAAGAAAUUCAGGGUGUAGCGAAGCUGCAAAUCAAAAACUCAUCCUGGUGGUGCUGGACAACACAACAAGCUAGCACAACGGCUAUGCUUCACCAAAGAAUUUCAAUUCAGUAAGUUGGCCCUGGUGGUGCCGGACAACACAACAAGUUAGAACCACGGCUAAACUUCGCCAGAGAGCCUCAAUUCAAAAUUCCAUCCCUGGUGGUGCUGGACCACACAACAGGCAUGCCUCGCCUGAAGAAUGGCGGUGCUGGACAACACAACAAGCAAUGCCUCACCAGAGAGGUUCAGUUCACCCGCUACAAAAGAGUAGUAGCCGGUCUACAACCAUAUGAGUAUGAAUAAGUUCAAGAGUAGGGUCAAAGCAGCGCCAAUUACUUCAGGUUCAUAGUGCAUGAGUACGAGGAAGUUCAAAAGCAGGGUCAAUUAUUGCAGGUUCAGGGAGCACGGUCACAAAUAAGAGUACAAGUUCAGGUUCAAGUGCAAGUUCAAGUUCAGGGAUCAUGAGUACUGGUAAAACACACUAGCCUAACCUCUGUCCAACUAUUCACAUUCUUAAGCAGUCAUGAAAUUCAAGUCCACCUACAGGUCCAAUACCAUAUAUUCAGUGAAGUUAGGUCCAUCAAGGAUACGUAUAAACACACUCGCCUAACGAGGUCAAGUCUCAAGGAAGUUCAAUCUAGUCGAUCUCAGGCAGCUCAAGACCAAUCUCAGGUAGUUCGAGGUCAAUCCAAGUAGUUCAAGUAUAGCAAAUUCCAACACUUACCACUCAAGUGGUGCAACUUUAAUCCAACAGGAAUACUAGAAGAGAGAUACAAAACUAAAAAUUUUCAACAAUUCUAGCCACUACCGAAAUCUAUCAAAACCCGAGCCACAUACUUAUUGAACAAGUCCAAGUCAUUAUUUCACUCUCCUUAUUCGGUUUAGCCGUGAGUACAAUACAAAAUCUUCUGUGCUCUAACCUAUGCCAUCACAACUUAUCUCAAACUCACUUAUAAUUUCCAUUCACAUCGUCAUACAUUAAACUAUGUUCCAACCAAGAUUCAUGAGCAUUUCCUCAAGAAAAUGUCAAGUACUCAAAUACAAGAAUUCCAACUAAGAACUUCACGACUCAGAUCGUAUGGUAUUCAGCGAAAAUCAAAGUCAUAUUUUACAUAUACUACUUCCAGAAUUAGUGCCAAUGUCACCAAGUUCAAUCGGAUCACAUGCCUUUACGAAAUUAGAUCCAAUAAGUCCAUAACACAAGCUGAAACCAAAGAUUAUCCAUUCGAAGUUCAAAAUCUUCAAUAAACCAGCUACUAGUAAGAGCACCAUCAUCUCCAAGAAUAACCAAUCUUAGGUUCUAUAGCAGAGUCUCAAGUUCAAGUUCAAAUCCAAGAAGUAAGCACAGCUUGCUAACUUACAUGUUAAAUAGAAACCAAGUCAAAUAAGCUCAUCAGUUAUUCACAAAUUUUCGAAUUCGAAAUUCAAGUAAAAUUCACCUUUUUACCAAAAUCGGAAAAUUACACAUUUUUAAAGCAUAUAUAUCGUAUUUCCAAUCAUCGCUUGCAAAUAAAACUAGGAAGUAUACAGGCAGAAAAUGCAUUUUAUUCAUUUGAUACUCUUUUAUCUUGGUUCAAAAUCAUCAUACGUGGAGUUUGGCCAGCAAACCUCGGUCUCUUAUUCCCCAUAGCCAGUACUAAUGAUUAUAUCAAUUCUUUCCACACUUACAAGUAUAAUUGCAAUUCAAAUUCGUCCAAUCUUUCACUACCAAACUCUCAUCCCAUAUUUUCCUUCAAUAUAACAUCACCUAACUCCUCAGUUUCUUCUGCAAGUCCCAAAUAAACUCCCAAAUAAUCAAUUUCUUUAACCCCUAAGAUCAAUCGUCCUUGUUCACACAAUAUUCAAAUCAAUCCCACAGUCAGGCAUCCUAAAUUUCAAACUUAGGAUACGCUACAGAGAUCUGAAGCCUAAGCUCUGAUACCAAUUGUAACGACCCCAUUUUCCCUAAGGCGAACCAGAGGGGUCAACGGGCCGCCUGCCCAGCUCUCGCCAGGACUCGUCAAUCACUACAGUUCUCCAAAAAAUUUCACUAUAAAUCUCAAAUAUAUUUAUCAAAUUCUCAAGAACUACAUAUCAUAAACGCUGCGGAAUGUACACGUACGUCCAUUCAAGUCCAAUCAUUCAUUACAAACCAUAUCCACAAGCUAUUACACAAGAGGCGAUCCAAAUUCAAACCGUACAAAGUGUAAUUCCAUCCAUUCCAAUUCCCCUAGCCAACAAUUACACAAACGAUUCCAAAUCUAAACUAUACAAAUUACAAGCCAUCCAGGUACACCGAUAACGUAAUACAGCUCUUCCUUUGUUCGAAACCGGUACUCGCAUCACAUCAAACACGUAAUGCAGUUUAUCGAAGACUUGAUAAGGACAUAGAUAUACAUGAGAAAGGUUCAAUUGUACACUUCAAAGUACUUGAAUUCAUUUACAUCAAAAUUUCAAGUUUUCGAGGAGCAACUCAAAACUAGCUACAUAACUAGCUCAACUCAUUUCAAAACUUGAGUCCAGCAGUGUCCUGUAAGGAAAACAAAACAACGGGGGUGAGCUUGCGCUCGUGAGGUACAAAUGCACAAGUACAUGAUAUGGCCAAAUAACAUAUAUGCAUAAGUGCCUUCGUUCAAACAUCCAUUUAUAAAAGGAUACAUUCGGCCCUCAAGGGCCGUUUCGAGGUCCAUACUUGAUCGUACUCGUUGACACUCCGUCAACCAUUAGAGAUAAAAAAACCGUAGACACCACUUCGCACCAACUCCUUCCACCAUUCACCCCCUAUUCGGGCCCACACUCAUAGUUUCAAAAGGUAAUACUCGAGUAUACCACAAGGUCGAGGAGAUAACACUCCACUCGCCUAUCAAGACCGAAGGCUCGUUACGAAUCGCCCAAGCCCUUGCUGGCUCGACUCAAAUAACGGUCCAAGGGAAAGAGUAUAAUAGGGCAUUGCCCUAACAAAUAUCAAAUCACAUAUUCAUGAAAUUUCACAGUCACAGUAGCAAUAGUGCAAGCAAGUGGUCAAGAGCGGUAAAGUACACCUUCAAGUCAUAUAACAAGUACUAUUGAACCAUUUAAUGAUACACUCACCAAGCACACGGCUCACGAAGCUUAUCCGGCAAACGCUCACUAUCUCGAUCAAGUUGGAAUCCUAAAACCAAAUAUCAAGUCAAGAAAGGAAAAUUCUAAAUUAACAAGUUUCUAUUGCCUUUUGGCAUUUUAAAAGCUACACCAUCCGAUCGAAACAAAUCUUAUGGCGUUACAAAGCUAAAACAUAUGUCAACAUUUCUUAUGAAGAUUUCCAAGGCCAAUCAUACAUUUUCAAAACCAAAAAUCUGAAUUCUAGAGAAAGAACGAAAACUGUCAUAAAAGAGGAGUCUAUAAACAGUCAGAGCAAAUCAGUCAUUUUCCAGGCUACAGAGGUCAAACAAUCUGAAAUUUUGCAGGUAGGUAGUUAACUCAUAUAUCUACAAAUUCAUGUUUUGAGCAAAAGCUGGUUCGCGUCUAAAACACAGAGAAAAUGACUGUCCAAGUUCAGUCCAGAAACAGGGGAAAAACUGAAAUUACUCUCCUUGAACCUAUCUUUGCGUAUAACCAUCCCUAACCACAAUUAAGGCCUAGAAAUCCCCACUUAACAUGAGACUAUCUUACUAAUCAUGUACAUGGCAAUUCCACGAGGACAAUCAUUUCGAUAACGUCUGGAAGUACCACCAAACUUUCAAUCAUAAGAAUUCAUAAACUUAACCAAGAUUAACUCAAGUUCAAAGUAAUCAAAUGUUCUCUAAAAUUUGACAGCAUUUCCCCUUAAGUUUACACAUUUCAACCUACCAUACAAAUACCCCAAUCAUAUAGCCAUUAACCACAAUUGCACAUACGGUUCGUAAACGAUAAACAUAUCCAAUUAGGGCCACAAAAAUUUAAUCAAAAACUAAUUAAAAGCUUAAGCCAAUCCAUUAGAAAAACCCAUUAAAACCCUAGAACCGGAAAUUCAUAUUAUAAGCGUAAAUUUCCGCAAUUGAUCACCAUUGAGUAUAAGAGCUUCCAUUAACACAUUUAAACCACUAAUCCAAAUCCAAUCCAAGACUUUCAUAUAAAAUCAUAAAAUACCCAAUAAAUCAGAAAAUCACCAUAAUUUCCAUAAACCCAUGAAAUACUCCAUAAUACAACACAUUUAAACAUCACAAACCCUAAAUUAACCAAUUUUAGAACCAAAAGGAACUUGUUUAAGCAACUUACCACAAAUUCAAGAAGCUAACACCUUAGAGCCUUCCCUCCACAAUCAAUCCAUCUAAAAGCUUUAAACCACCUUUGAGAGCACUUGUGUGAAAUAUUUGGCAAAACCACCGAUUAAAACUCAAGAUUCAAAGAAGGAAAUCAAAGGGAAGAAAUGGAGUUUUUCUUUUCUUGUUUUCUCUCCAAGACAGCCGGGCAAGGAGGGUGCAAAAUGACGAGCAAACACAGCCAAAACAAGAUAUUUAUCAAGCACAAAAGCUGGUCAAAAGUGGCUGCCGGACAUGACACGUCACAAUCCGGCCGGAAUCUGGCCGGAUUUCCGGCCGGAUUCUUGCCGGAUUCAAGGCAGAAUCGAAACCAAUUUUUUUUCAAAAUUGCAAGGCAAUCCGGCCAUCUAUCCGGCCAGAAACUGGCCGGAUUUCCGGCCGGAUUUGGCCCUUGCCAUUUUUCGAAACUUUUCUUUUCUUGUCCGAGUUGAAAAACUGUGCUACUCCGCUCGUCCAACAAAAAUAUCCAUAAAAUGAAAACCCUACUUUUCGGGCGUCACAAUCUCCCCUCCUUAAAACAAUGUCGUCCUCGACAUUCUACCUCAUAUACAUCUGGUCAAGAUAUCGUUCAAAAACCAUUCAAGCAUUAGAAUUCCAUCUAAUCCAACUUGCAUUCACCAGGUCCAAUUAGUCUUCCCAAAGUCGGUCAAAUACUAAGAAUUGUUCCAAUCUCACUUAUCGAAAUCAAGUACUAAGGAGUAUCCAAAUCCAGCUUAUCAAAUAGUCAUGAUCCAGUAAAGCAUGGCUUAUCAAAUAAUCACUUAUCAAUUUCAAGUACUAAAUACACGCCAAUCCAACUUAUCAAAUAGUCAUGAUCCAAUAAGGAGUUAUCGCGUAGCCAGAUAAAACAGGCAAAAGGCUUGAAAUCGGACGUAAAGUCCCAGAUAUCUGGAAGAAAUUCAGGGUGUAGCGAAGCUGCAAAUCAAAAACUCAUCCCUGGUGGUGCUGGACAACACAACAAGCUAGCACAACGGCUAUGCUUCACCAAAGAAUUUCAAUUCAGUAAGUUGGCCCUGGUGGUGCCGGACAACACAACAAGUUAGAACCACGGCUAAACUUCGCCAGAGAGCCUCAAUUCAAAAUUCCAUCCCUGGUGGUGCUGGACCACACAACAGGCAUGCCUCGCCUGAAGAAUGGCGGUGCUGGACAACACAACAGGCAAUGCCUCACCAGAGAGGUUCAGUUCACCCGCUACAAAAGAGUAGUAGCCGGUCUACAACCAUAUGAGUACGAAUAAGUUCAAGAGUAGGGUCAAAGCAGCGCCAAUUACUUCAGGUUCAUAGUGCAUGAGUACGAGGAAGUUCAAAAGCAGGGUCAAUUAUUGCAGGUUCAGGGAGCACGGUCACAAAUAAGAGUACAAGUUCAGGUUCAAGUGCAAGUUCAAGUUCAAGGAUCAUGAGUACUGGUAAAACACACUAGCCUAACCUCUGUCCAACUAUUCACAUUCUUAAGCAGUCAUGAAAUUCAAGUCCACCUACAGGUCCAAUACCAUAUAUUCAGUGAAGUUAGGUCCAUCAAGGAUACGUAUAAACACACUCGCCUAACGAGGUCAAGUCUCAAGGAAGUUCAAUCUAGUCGAUCUCAGGCAGCUCAAGACCAAUCUCAGGUAGUUCGAGGUCAAUCCCAAGUAGUUCAAGUAUAGCAAAUUCCAACACUUACCACUCAAGUGGUGCAACUUUAAUCCAACAGGAAUACUAGAAGAGAGAUACAAAACUAAAAAUUUCUCAACAAUUCUAGCCACUACCGAAAUCUAUCAAAACCCGAGCCACAUACUUAUUGAACAAGUCCAAGUCAUUAUUCACUCUCCUUAUUCGGUUUAGUCGUGAGUACAAUACAAAAUCUUCUGUGCUCUAACCUAUGCCAUCACAACUUAUCUCAAACUCACUUAUAAUUUCCAUUCACAUCGUCAUACAUUAAACUAUGUUCCAACCAAGAUUCAUGAGCAUUUCCUCAAGAAAAUGUCAAGUACUCAAAUACAAGAAUUCCAACUAAGAACUUCACGACUCAGAUCGUAUGGUAUUCAGCGAAAAUCAAAGUCAUAUUUUACAUAUACUACUUCCAGAAUUAGUGCCAAUGUCACCAAGUUCAAUCGGAUCACAUGCCUUUACGAAAUUAGAUCCAAUAGUCCAUAACACAAGCUGAAACCAAAGUUAUCCAUUCGAAGUUCAAAAUCUUCAAUAAACCAGCUACUAGUAAGAGCACCAUCAUCUCCAAGAAUAACCAAUCUUAGGUUCUAUAGCAGAGUCUCAAGUUCCAAGUUCAAAUCCAAGAAGUAAGCACAGCUUGCUAACUUACAUGUUAAAUAGAAACCAAGUCAAAUAAGCUCAUCAGUUAUUCACAAAUUUUCGAAUUCGAAAUUCAAGUAAAAUUCACCUUUUUACCAAAAUCGGAAAAUUACACAUUUUUAAAGCAUAUAUAUCGUAUUUCCAAUCAUCGCUUGCAAAUAAAACUAGGAAGUAUACAGGCAGAAAAUGCAUUUUAUUCAUUUGAUACUCUUUUAUCUUGGUUCAAAAUCAUCAUACGUGGAGUUUGGCCAGCAAACCUCGGUCUCUUAUUCCCCAUAGCCAGUACUAAUGAUUAUCUCAAUUCUUUCCACACUUACAAGUAUAAUUGCAAUUCAAAUUCGUCCAAUCUUUCACUACAAAACUCUCAUCCCAUAUUUUCCUUCAAUAUAAAUCAUAAACGCAAGCAAGAACUCCCAAAUAAUCAAUUUCUUUAACCUCUAAGAUACAAUAGAUCCUUGUUCACACAAUAUUCAAAUCAAUCCCACAGUCAGGCAUCCUAAAUUUCAAACUUAGGAUACACUACAGAGAUCGGAAGCCUAAGCUCUGAUACCAAUUGUAACGACCCCAUUUUCCCCUAAGGCGAACCAGAGGGGUCAACGGGCCGCCUGCCCAGCUCUCGCCAGGACUCCGUCAAUCACUACAGUUCUCCAAAAAUUACAAUAUAAAUCUCAAAUAUAUAUCAAUUCUCCAAGAACUACAUAUCACAAACGCUGCGGAAUGUACACGUACGUCCAUUCAAGUCCAAUCAUUCAUUACAAACCAUAUCCACAAGCUAUUACACAAGAGGCGAUCCAAAUUCAAACCGUACAAGGUGUAAUUCCAUCCAUUCCAAUUCCCCUAGCCCAACAAUUACACAAACGAUUCCAAAUCUAAACUAUACAAAUUACAAGCCAUCCAGGUACACGAUAACGUAAUACAGCUCUUCCUUUGUUCGAAACCGGUACUCGCAUAAACACAUCAAACACAUAAUGCAGUUUAUCCAAGACUUGAUAAGGACAUAUAUAUACAUGAGAAAGGUUCAAUUGUACACUUCAAAAGUACUUGAAUCAUUUACAUCAAAAUUCAAGUUUUCGAGGAGCAACUCAAAACUAGCUACAUAACUAGCUCAACUCAUUUCAAAACUUGAGUCCACAGUGUCCCUGUAAGGAAAACAAAACAACGGGGGUGAGCUUGCGCUCGUGAGGUACCAAAUGCACAAUACAUGAUAUGGCCAAAUAACAUAUAUGCAUAAGUGCCUUCAUUCAAACAUCCAUUUAUAAAAGGAUACAUUCGGCCCUCAAGGGCCGUUUCCGAGGUCCAUACUUGAUCGUACUCGUUGACACUCCGUCAACCAUUGAGGAUAACCAAAAACCGUAGACACCACUUCGCACCAAUUCCUUCCACCAUUCACCCCCUAUUCGGGCCCGCACACCUCAUAGUUUCAAAAGGUAAUACUCGAGUAUACCACAAGGUCGAGGAGAUAACACUCCACUCGCCUAUCAGAGACCCGAAGGCUCGUUAACGAAUCGCCCAAGCCCUUGCCGGCUCGACUCAAAUAACGGUCCAAGGGAAUGAGCUCAGUUUUCACAGAAAUAAUAGGGCAUUGCCCUAACAAAUAUCAAAUCACAUAUUCAUGAAAUUUCACAGUCCAACAGUAACAAUAGUGCAAGCAAGUGGUCAAGAGCGGUAAAGUACACCCUCGACCUAUUCAAGUCAUAUAACAAGUACAUUGAACCAUUUAAUGAUACACUCACCAAGCACGGCUCACGAAGCUUAUUCGGCAAACCUCAUUAUCUUGAUCAAGUUGAAAUCCUAAAACCAAAUAUCAAGUCAAGCAAAGGAAAAUUCUAACAUUAACAAGCUUCUAUUGCCUUUUGGCAUUUUAAGCAAGUAGCACCUAUCCGAUCGAAACAAAUCUUAUGGCGUUACGAAGCUAAAACAUAUGUCAACAUUUCUUAUGAAGAUUUCCAAGGCCAAAUCAUACAUUUUCAAAACCAAAAUCUGAAUUCUAGAGAAAGAACGAAAACUGUCAUAAAACAGGAGUCUAUAAACAGUCAGAGCAAAUCAGUCAUUUUCCAGGCUACAGAGGUCCAAACAAUCUGAAAUUUUGCAGGUAGGUAGUUAACUCAUAUAUCUACAAAAUUCAUGUUUUGAGCAAAAGCUGGUUCGGUCUAAAACACAGAGAAAAUGACAGUCCAAGUUCAGUCCAGAAACAGGGGAAAAACUGAAAUUACUCUCUUGAACCUAUCUUUGCGUAUAACCAUCCCUAACCACAAUUAAGGCCUAGAAAUCCCCACUUAACAUGAGACUAGUCUAUACUAAUCAUGUACAUGGCAAUUCCACGAGGACAAAUCAUUUCGAUAACGUCUGGAAGUACCACCAAACUUUCAAUCAUAAGAAUUCAUAAACUUAACCAAGAUUAACUCAAGUUCAAAGUAAUCAAAUGUUCUCUAAAAUUUGACAGCAUUUCCCCUUAAGUUUACACAUUUCCAACCUACCAUACAAAUACCCCAAUCAUAUAGCCAUUAACCACAAUUGCACAUACGGUUCGUAAACGAUAAAACAUAUCCAAUUAGGCCACAAAACCCUUUAAUCAAAACUAAUUAAAAGCUUAAAGCCAACCAUUAGAAAAACCCCCAAUUGAAACCCUAGAACCGGAAAUUCAUAUUAUAAGCGUAAAUUUUCCGCAAUUGAUCACCAUUAACGUAUAAGAGCUUCCAUUAACACCAUUUAAACCACUAAUCCAAAUCCAAUCCAAGACUUUCAUAUAAAAUCAUAAAAUACCCAAUAAAUCAGAAAAUCACCAUAAUUUCCAUAAACCCAUGAAAUACUCCAUAAUACAACACAUUUAAACAUCACAAACCCUAAAUUAACCAAUUUUAGAACCAAAAGGAACUUGUUUAAGCAACUUACCACAAAUUCAAGAAGCUAACACCUUAGAGCCUUCCCUCCACAAUCAAUCCAUCUAAAAGCUUUAAACCACCUUUGAGAGCACUUGUGUGAAAUAUUUGGCAAAACCACCGAUUAAAACUCAAGAUUCAAAGAAGGAAAUCAAAGGGAAGAAAUGGAGUUUUUCUUUUCUUGUUUUCUCUCCAAGACAGCCGGGCAAGGAGGGUGCAAAAUGACGAGCAAACACAGCCAAAACAAGAUAUUUAUCAAGCACAAAAGCUGGUCAAAAGUGGCUGCCGGACAUGACACGUCACAAUCCGGCCGGAUUCUUGGCCGGAUUCAAGGCAGAAUCGAAACCAAUUUUUUUUCAAAAUUGCAAGGCAAUCCGGCCAUCUAUCCGGCCAGAAACUGGCCGGAUUUCCGGCCGGAUUUGGCCCUUGCCAUUUUUCGAAACUUUUCUUUUCUUGUCCGAGUUGAAAAACUGUGCUACUCCGCUCGUCCAACAAAAAUAUCCAUAAAAUGAAAACCCUACUUUUCGGGGCGUCACAGGUCUUUAUAGCUAAUACCUUACACAACCCAAGGAGAAAGCCCAAUGGAAAAUCAUAGGGUUUUACCUAUAAAAACCUGUGUUGACAGUGACUGGAGAAAUGUAGUGUUCACUGUAAGUGUUACUUUUCUACCAGGAGAUGCCUGAUAAUGUGUAUUACCGACUUUGAGUGUGUUAUAUGUGCAUUUAUGAAUGUACACAUAAAAUUCCUUUAUUGUGUCAAAUAGUUCUUUAGCUACAAUUUCAGUGAGAAUCCCCUCCCAGACUUGGUGCAGAUGUUGUACAUUUCUUUCUGUACAUGAUAUAUUUGGUUCAUUAAACUGCAAGACAUCUUAAUGUAUUUUGGCUUCUGAACUCGCAGUAAAUUGGCGUUAUGGUAACGAAUGGUUUAUGAAUCUAUUCAAAUUAAUCAGCACGUUUGUUGUGGCUCACAUUCAUAAUUCAACAAGAUACCACUAGGGGUGUCCGGCAUGUAGCUCACACCAUCAGGGUGACACAGCCGAGCAUUAUUUCUCAAAUUUUGUAGUUAAUGCGAGACUGCUCAAUCUCAAAUGGUUCAAUUGAGCAUAAUAUUAAUGUGUGGAAUGGUAUGAUGAAAGUGGUUACUUCGAUUUGUAUUUUUGACGAGUGCACUUCAAGUUUUCAGUCUAUGCCUAUUGCUUAUGCUUACAAUUUUCUUCCAGCUUCACAAUGUUCUGACUUCUGGACCUUUAAGUUUCUAAACGUUUAACCAUAAACUGAUGCAUAGAUUGAACUCUUUUUCCUAAUCCUCUUGUUCCACCGUGUAUUUUAGAUCCUUGCACUCAUUCAGAUUUUGCAAGAUCUCUACAUAUUCUUUGCUUAGAAUUUUUUUCUUCCUGGAACUCAGAAGUUUUGGACUUGAUUUGGUGGGUCAAUGGAUGCAACAUAAUUGAACACUGUAUUACACAGGAAGACAUCCCAAGGCGUUCCGCCCUGGAAAUUCAAAGAUGUCUACUUGAGUGAGAUUCACAUUAAAGGCAUCGAACACUGUUCCCUUUCAUGUGACCAGUCGUAGCAUCCAUGGGAAGGCAUUGGUAGAAUGCAGAACUGACAAAAAUAUCAAGCAAAAGACUAACAUUGUUGUAGGAAGCCAUGUUGUGAAUUUUGCUAGAGGGUAGCCAAAAGUGCUUAUUAGCUUCCUGGUUGCUAGGAAUUAGGUAAGUUGGUAUAUUUACAGAAGCCCCUUAUGCACGGCGUUGGGGCAACUUUUCAAAUAUGGCUGCCAAUUAACGUAGGUUGUGUUGGAUGCAUUGAUUGUAUCUCGUUACAUAUUUGUUUGGUAUGUGCUUAAUGUCGUGCAAGUUAUCAAAUAAGCAGUCGAUUGACACUUUUUUCUUCGUUUAGCUAAGUCUGUAUCUCAUUGCAUCAUGAUUUAAAAUGACACUUGAUCCUUCAUUUGGAUUGAGUCGGUCGUGAGAUUUAACUCCUUCUUGAAUUUGAAGCUGUCAAUUCUCUAGUUUGCCAUUCUUGAUCAGAAAAAGUAAUAUGAUGAUAUGAAAUAUAACCAGUUGCAUCACUUACGUGGUCAUUAACUCUGACUUUUUUGUCUCAACACUGGUUAAGUCGAGCAAGUAAAUUUAAAUGCUAAGAACUCGCAUGCAUUUAUCUGAUAAAAUUGAAGAUGACAGCUUCGAUCUUUUCUUAUUGUUUUCUGUAGUAAAUUAUACUUCUUUUUAGUUUUAUAAUUAUGAAGAAUACUUUUUAUAAUUAUGUUUACAAUUAUAUUUCUUCAAAAAACUCAAUAGCGCCAGAAACUAAUUAGGAAAAUUCAAUGGGCUUGCAAUGCUUCAGUUUUUCUUCCUUUUUUUGGUUGAAACAUAAAGCAUUCCACUUGAGUUGUGUUGAUUUUAUCUUAGGUUUUGGGGUUGAGGAUAAAAGAGGAAGACUAUUAUAUUUUGGGUUUAAAAAACUUUGUAAACUAAUAGCUACUUGUCUGUAUUCCUACUUUUCAUGAUUUACUUGUGAAAUUUCACUCAAAAUAGAAAAUAUAAAACCAUAUAUCAAAUUUCAAGAGUCAUAAGAAUCACAAGGAUUGCCCAAAUUAACAUUUGAGCUAACCUUUACUAAGUUGAUGAACCAUAGAAUAUUAAUUGUAACUUGUUUCUUUUUGAAUUAAUUUUUCUUAUAUUAUCUGUGUAUAUACUUACAGACCUAUAUGCAUGUCGCAUUAUUUCAAUUUGAAUUUAAAUACUGAAUUUUUGUAUACGUGACCUGCAUCUAAAUGCGUUAAUGUAUACAUUCAUCUAAAUGCAUUAAUGUAUAAUGCAUUAAUGUAUACAUUGACCAUGCCAUAAAAAGAUGUUAAUGUACAAACGGAAAAUUUAUAAAUAUUCCUAUACUUGUCAAGCAUUUACAAUGAUAUAAUGACAGCACUUAUCAGUUUACAAUGAGAUAAGAUACGUUGAAUUUGAACGAAUCUAAAUUAGUUAAGUAAUCUAAUCCAAAUCUUAAUUGACCACUAAUUUGAAAAUUCAAAAGGUAUUUACAAAUGUCUUUAACUCAGUCCAACAAGAGUACGGUAGAGCAAAUAGAAUGGUGGAAUGAUCCACCUGAUUUUGAACCACUAAACUUGCUGGAUAAUUCAUUUGCAAGUUGAUGCAUCGAAUCCUGCUUUGAUGUCAUAAAGAAACCAAGAAAAGAAAAAAGGUUCAAUAGCAAUAUAGCACUCGUGGGAUUGCUGUUUGAAAUGUAAGUUAGAUUAGUAUUGCAAUUGUCAAAAGUCAAUUUGGGUAGCAAAGCCUCAGAGGAAAUGAUUUCAUGUCCUUUUUUGUUUGUUCCAAAGUAAUCUUAAACGAGAGGUUCCGUUGUUAACUUGUUAAGGAUGUGAUCAUGCAUCGUGGCUCCAUAGUCAACUAGAGGAAAGAAGUGAUACAAAUUAUGAAAAGGGGCAAUUAAAAUUCAAGCUUUUUCUUGUGUUUCAGGCUCUGAAAAUUUUACCCUAAUGAUAAUAAUUAGGCAAUAAGAAAAGCUAAUACAGUAAUUAACAGCAAAGUCAAAUGCUGUAACGUGCUUUAUUGGCAACCCUUUGGAUUUUAUCAGUUCAAAACCAAUUACAUUUGGGCAUGACAGGAUUUGUACACUAGUUCUGAAUUUAUACACCCUCAAUUAUGGCCAAAGAAGAAAAAGGUGUACACUUCAAUAUUUGGUCAAAAAAUGGCCAACCUCAGCAAUUGCUAAACGCCUAAACCAGAUGUGCCUCCUUGAAUUUUUGUUCUUCAAAUAUUUCUGCUGAAUCGGAUAUUCAAUGUAAACAUAUUGGAAAAAUCACCAAUCAAGAUCACCUUUAAAUACAUCCCCCAUAUUUGAUCUCUUGCAAACACACUUCUUUUAUUAUAAAUAUUAGUAAGUAACUAAAAAAGUAUCCUUUGUCUGCCCUAGCCGAAAAAACACAUAGCCUCCUUAAAUGUUAUUAUCAACCUGAUUAAACAAUUAUUUUUGUAUUUAAAAAACUUCCUUUUUCUAGAUUUAUACGUUUUAUUAUAUUUCAGCCGUAAAAUAGGUAUUGAUGAUUUCAGAAAUUUGACGUUUCUCAUAAUAUUACUUAACACCUCUAAAGUUUAAAAAAUUUCAUAAACUAUUAUUGCUAAUUUAUUAGAAGUUUUACAUUAAACUUGAAAGUUCGUGCAUAUGCUCUCAUAGCUUAUAGCUUAUGUAUCAUGUCUGACAUCACCCAGUUCUCUCUUGUGACCGUCACGACCGUCGUCCACCUUAAAACUCCGAUUUCCACAGGAUCCAACUUUAACUUAUCGUUUCGACCAAAAAAAAAAAAAAGAAGACCACACGACAGUUGUCCACCUCACACUUCCAAGGACCAUUCUUUGUAUUAAUGCUUCCUUUUUUCUAAGAAGACAGUAUAGCAUAUGUUGACAAGGAUUUUCUUAGAGGUGGUGGGAUGAAAGAAAGGAUUGCUUUACAGGUACGUAAUCCAAAAACAUUAGGAUUUGAAACUUAGAAAGUUGACAAGAAGGUAUUAUAUAAUUAUAAGGUACGUGUCAUGGUGCGAUGUGUUGCACUACUGUCAAUCAUGUUUAACCAAAUAAAUAAAGUAAUUCUAUCAUGUUUAGCAAGGGCAGAACUAGGGGGAUGCGGAGUGGCCUCAUCCCCCAAGUUUUAUAAAAUUUAAUUUUCUUUUCCUGUAAAAUUAAAAUUUAUAAAAAUACUUUUUUAUAAAUUUAAGCUCUCACCCUUGCAAAAGCCUAAAACAUUUUAGUUUCCAUGUUAAAGUUUAGGUAUCCUAAAGGUUGCCCCCUCAAAUUAUAUUUUCUGGUUUUGUCUAUAACGUUUAGUACCUACUAGACAAAUUAAUAAUUCUAUUUUUUCAUUGUCAAACCAUCUAUCUCAAAAUUAACAAAAUAAAAACUCUUUCACUUUCACUCAUGUGGACCACAUUGAAUAUAUUCCGUCAUAAAGAAGGCAUGAGGGUCGUCCACAAGUGCAGAUCCAAUUGUACAUCUGCAAUACACGACACGGAAUGUACCUAUCUUUGAAUUCCAUAACCGUAGUUAGAUUUUAUAACACAAAUCUUCGAUAAGAAGAAAAUCAUGUGUACACGCACAUGUGUAAAGAAGUGAUAAACCAUUGGAGUUUACCUAGUGUCAGAAGAAUACUCUUAAAAUCUUUUUUACUGUCAAGUUCAAGAUUCAAAUUUCAUGCUUAGUAGUUGGAGGUAGGAAGUAUGUAAAGAAGUAAUAGGUUCUAUGUGUUUUGAUUACGAGUUAUUCAAGAAAAAACUUUUAAAAUAUUUUCUAGACACGUUUCUCAUUUACCUGUUCAUCUUGUAUAGAUUACAUCACUAAAACGUAUUUUUCUAUAAAUUCUCCCAUCCAAAUAGAUCCAGUUCUUGAUUUUUUUUCAAAAUUAAACAAAAAUUUGUUAUUGCUCAGAAUCGAUGAUGGAAGAAGCUUGAGCGAUAGAAGAACAAGUGGCGAAUGGAAACAAGGGUAGAAAUGAAAGUUUGAACCUCAUUGAAUGGUCAAAGACUCAAAGCUGUCAUGGCUUAAAUUUGAAGUCCCAGGCCGGCAGGGAAAGGGGAAUUUGCCGGCAGGGAAAGGGGAAUUUGAAGUUUAUGAAUUGAGAUCUUGAUUUCAAAUCUCUCUAUUUUUCCCACUUUUACGGCCCCACAAGUUUUCCCUGCUGAAAAAAAAAAGAGAGGGGAUUAGUGUUUGUAAGCCUAAACAUUUAUUAUGCAUGUCUUCAAGCACUUUGAUAUAUAUGAACAUCGUACUCAACGAUCCUCAGCCAAUAAGUACAGAAAUGAGUGAUCGUCUUUUUCUGCAUUUUAGGUACCUUUCUAUUUCCAUUUCCCACUCGGCCAAUAAGAAUAGAAAUGAGUGAUCAUCUUUUUCAGAGCUUUAGUUGCCUUUUGAUUUCCUUCCACGACAGUUGGGACCUCAUGGCUACAACCUUACAAAGGAACCUUGUGAAGGGGAAGAAAAAAACAGAAAAGGAACCUUGUGAAGCCCUAGUCGUUUCUGCUACUGCUUUUAUUCUUGCACGAUAUUUAUUCUCUUGGUCGAGAACGUAGCAAUAGAUACUGUUCAAUUAUGUCUCAGCAUAAGAGGAUAAUUUUAGAAACCUCCUCUAAGGUUUCUGACAAUUUUAUUUAGCCCUCAAAUUUUAAAAAUUUUCACUUGUCUCUCUAACUAUAAGUUUUUUUGUAUCAUUUACGACCAUUUUAAAAUAUAAUAUUAAAAAUUUAUUUUGGGGGGAGAGAAUACAAUUUCAUUCCAAACUUGCCCAUUUUCUUGUGAUUUCUUGAUUGUCAAAAUACACCAAAUUUUUCUCUUAAUUUUUGUAAAUUGAUCGAUAAAAAUUUAAAAAUUGAUAGCAAGAUCAGAAAAUUCUUUAAUAGCUUUUGCAUCAUUGUUUUGAACAAGAAAUGUUAAAUUACUUAAAAUUAUGAAUAAUUUACAAUACUCUUAAAAAUAACUUGAAAUAAUUUACAGUCAUAAUAUUACAACCAACCAUAAUAAUACCUUAUUGUACUAGCUUAAAAAUAAUACAAACAAAUUUUAUAUAUAAUUUUUAGCAUCUUUUAUCUUUUAGUUUUUAAACCAUCGAUUUAGAAAAAAAAAAUUAGAAAAUUGAAAAAAAUGUAAAUGAUUGAUGAAACUUCUUAAAUUUACUCAAAACACUUUACAAUUAAAAAAUACACUAUAUUCUGUACAAUAAGAAUAAGUCUUCAAAAUUUUUGUUUUUAUUUGUUAUUAAUAUACUCAAGUUUUUGUAAUAAAAAAUAAGACAAUAAAACUGCAAAUUUGGAACGAGAUUAUAUUUACUCUCUCGAAAUGAAUUUUUUAAUAUUAUAUUUUCCAAUGGAUUGUAAAUGAUACAAAAAAAUUUAAAGUAAGAGAGGCAAGUGAAUUUUUCAAAAUUCAAAGGUGCUAAGUGAAAUUGUCAAGGUUUCUGAAAUUAUCCCAAUAUUAAUAAGGAAUACUUGGUACUGCAAAAGAAGCAAUUAAGUAUACCUUUUAUGCAAUUAACCUACAGUAGUUUUGUUUUUCUUUUUUUUUGGUGCCUUGAAUUUUCUUUUUUAUAAUCAACAGAGAUAUCCACAUUUUCUUGAAAACCUUGAAGCCAUUUCAAUGCAUAUGGUGGAUGACAAAGGAUACACCAAUUGGUUCAGUGAUACAAUAGUAUGUACCUACAGUUGUCAACAGAUAUACAAUUGGUUCGGAUUAACUCUACUUGCACUUUUAAACUUGUAUCCCUUUUUCACUUUGCACCAUGAACUUCAAUUUUGAACACUUUACACCCUAAACUCUUAAUUUCAAGCACUUUGUACCCUAAAUUCUUAAAUUUAUUUCAUUUAAUUUCAAUCAAUUAUUAUAUUGAUAAAAUUAAUGAGAUAAAGGGAGGUAAAAAUUAAUAGCAAUGUACUUUUGUUAUUAUAUUCUUAAAUGUACUUUUGUUAUUUUCUUCAGGAAAAGACUUAAACCCCACCUGCACUAGGGUACAACAAACAAAGGUGAAUUGGAUAUACUUCCGUACGACUGCAGAACUCAUUUACACAAUGCGAUUUUGAUGCAGCAAUAAGAAAUUAUAUCAAACUUGAAAUCAGUCAUCCUUUGGGGUUCUAUAAAUACCAUCCUCCCUGUCAGUUAUGGACACAUUCCUGCCUAGCUACUUUUAGUUUCAGGCAAACUACAUAUUCAUACCUAGCUGAACUGAAAUUAAACUUUCCAUGGCAUACCAGAGCGCCUACAAUAUGAAUUACCAGAUACUACUAUGCUUGAUACUCUUCUCCUAGUCCUUCUCCUGCCACUGCCAUCCCAUUCUGCUGAUCCAAGCCCAUUGCAAGAUUUCUGCGUUGCAGAUCUUGAUUCCUCUUUAUACAUUAAUGGCUUUCCGUGCAAAAACCCUGAUAACGUAUCUUCACAAGACUUCUUCGCCAAUGGGUUCCAACAAAGUCCAGGAGAAUUCAAUAUUUUUGACGUCAAUGUCACUCGCCAAGAUGUUCAGCGAUUUCCAGGACUCAACACUCUAGGGCUGUCAAUGAACCGAGUGGUUUUGAAGCCUGGAGGGCUGAAUGCACCCCACGUCCACCCUCGUGCAGCCGAGCUGGCUCUAGUCAUGGAUGGAAAACUGUUUGUAGGCUUUGUGACAACCGGAAACGUUUUCUACUGGAAAAUUGUGACUUCAGGAGAGUUGUUUGUGAUUCCUCCUGGGCUAGUGCACUUCCAACUGAAUAUUGGACACGAGAACGCACGCUUCUUCGCCUCGUUCAACAGUCAAAAUCCAGGGAUUCAGUUCGCCCCCCUUGCUCUUUUUAACUCCACGCCUUCGAUUCCUGAUCUCGUGUUGAGUAAAGCAUUUCAAGUAAAUCAAAGUAUCAUUGAGCUCAUUAAGUCUAGGUUUGCAACUGUGUCGACUGUGUCGACCGUGCUUAAGUCAUCUUACUAACAUCCUAUUCCAGGGUGUUGUUCAUUAUAGUUGGCAUAUUAAAUAAUAAAAUCUUCUAUAUUAUCGUUUAAUUGUAUUUUGGUCAAGUUAAUUUUUAGUAGUUUUAUUGGCGUCAAAUUAGGAUAGUUUUACUAUUUAGAAACUAGUAUUGUAUUAAGUAAUUUCCUAUGCUUGUCAGUAGUCAUGAUAUGUAUUUGGUUGGAAACAAUAAAAGUUUGAGUCUUGUCAUUGAUAUUAGUCCUCUUCAUGUAAAUUAGCCUCCAUAUAUAUAUAUAUAUAUAUAUAUAUUGGUUUUGCGAAAGUUAUCUCCUAUAAUUUUUUUUGGGUAUAAUUAUUAGGCUCUACAUCUGGUAUCGAAUCCUAUUUGCAUGAAAUUAAUCUUUGGGUGAGUUGUCAGAGUUAGGACACAAGAAUUGCCGGGACUGUUCAAUUGAUCACGUAAGGCCAUUAUGUUGGUUUUGGAGUAUUUAAUUGGUCAAAAUUAGGCCAUAAAAUUGGUGUGAAAAUUAUUAACUUGAUUGUGGAUAUUGCUAAUGGUGACAGUUUUUGACAUGGUACGUAAACGCGGCACAAAAAAUCCUAAAUGAAACAUGAUACGGAAUAAUUUAUGUCAAAAAUGGAUCCACGCAAACAGAAUGGGUUGUAUUGGGCCAAUCCAUAGGUUGAUAUGACUAACAUGUUUUUGACACGUUAAGAAUUUUGAAAAAAUGCUACUUGCUUCCCUCCUAAUACUGCACUUAAAAUAAAUGGUUUUGUAUUAAAUUUUAUAGUUUAAGAACUAAAAUAAUAUAAUCAACCUCCUAUAAGAAUACAUAAACAACACAUAAAUCGAGACUCUGCAAAUUCACAUAUGCAACUGUUAUGAUUUUAAUUUUUUGCUUCCUUCCUUUAAUAUUCUUAUUUUCUCAAAUUGACAAGCAUAAACAACCUCUAUGAUUUUAACUUUUCACUUCGAAACUUACCUUUAGAUCAAAAAUAUUAUUGCUCAAUUUUUCUUCCUUUCUUGUGAUUAAAUAUCUUUUCUAGGUAAACUUUAAUAUUUCACAAAUUUUCUAUCAUUUUUGUCUAUUUUAUUUGAACAUUUUCUAGUUUAUACUGCUCCUCUAUUUUAUCAUUUUCCCUAUCAUUUUCUUUCUAAAGUUUUUCUUUCUUGUGAAAGAAAAAAGAAAGAAAAACAAAAUAGGCUUUUUUCUGUAUAUUAUUAAUGAGAUAAUCAUGCAUCCAAAACUUAUACAAGUAAAAAUCCAAUGACAGGCUACAACUAAAUUAGAUUAAGAGAAUAUUACAUAUUUUCUUGAAAGAGAACCAUGUUUUAUUUUUCGGCAAUAUUUCUCCUAUAAUUUUGAUAUAAAAAGUUAAAUGAGUCAAUUGGGUCAAAACAUGAGAUGAACCUGUCCAAAUGUAUGGAGUAUUGCAGCAACAAAUCUUUUUGAAGAUUAAGAAUUCAAAUUUAUAUUAAUGAAAUUUACAAAUGAGAUUAUUAUUGCUGAACUUGAUUCAAUAGAGAGUUUGAUUUAAGGGAAACAAUGUUGGCAUAUUAAAUUAAAGCUAAAAAUUUGAAUUUUCUAUACUAUUAUUUAGUAGUAUUUUGGUCACACAAAUUUUUUUAGUAGUUCUACGAGAGCUAAGAUAUGGUAGUAUAUUUAAGAAUUGGAGGCUCUAGGACAUAGAGGUUCUGGGUUCAAAUCUCCAUUCCUCCUCCCCAUUUCUUAAAUCCUAUCUCUCCCCUUGAUUAGAAAAAGUUAAAAUAAUUAUUUAGAAAUUGGUACUGUAUUAGAUAAUUAUUGUAGCUAUCAAUACUUGUUUAUCAAAUCAUGUAAUCUGUAAGUAGAGUCAUAUUACCAUACCCACUUGAGAAGAUUGGAAGUUUAAUAGCCUUGUUGUUGUGGUGUUAUUAAUAUUUUAUUAUUAAUAUCAUUGUUCUUUUCUCACAUAUACGUGUAUAUGUGUAAAUUAGCCUCCCAUAUAUAUUGGGUUUGUGGAAUUUAUCUCUCAUAAUGAUCUUUUGACUAUAAUUGUCACGCCUCGUGCCUAGAACGUAGCACCACCACACAUAGACAAUGCUAAAGGCGUAAGGCAACAAAUUUCCAAAGCAACUACAUUUACCUUUAUAUAAACUUUUUAAAUCCACAAAUACAAGAUCAUCUAUAACAGCAAUUUUGUGUCUUCCAAAAUAAAAGCAAGAUCAAACCUUCUACAAUAUGUACAAAAUUCAAAUCCUAUCAUAAGGUCUCUUAUAUAUAAGUACAAAAGUCAUCCUCUAACCCAAAGUCAUCUCCAUCUCCAUUACAACCCCCAAGAGCUAUCAAGGUCUACUUCAAUGAACUCAUCAUUAACUGCAUAAUUAUAACAAAGGGGUGAGCAAAAUCUCACUUAAUAAGUAGUGCAUGUAUCUCAUUAUUUGCCUGAGCAUGUUACAUACAUAAUAUAUAUUUCAAACGUCAUUAACUUACACAUAUAACUUUAUAAGAACAUGGUUACUAUAAACAUUUCAAUGGCAUAUCAUACAUCACACACACAAAGGAGCUCAAACCAUAAGACAACAAUUGACCCAGGAUAUCCAGUUGUUAACUUAAACUUAACCAGUUAACACAUUUCAUAGUGCUAACUACCACAUAGUUAGCCCAUUUCAUAUUGCUCACUACAACAUGGAUAGCUCGUUUCAUAUACCAACUACUUGUGAGGAACUAGUCCUGUCAAAAGUCGCUUAUACAAGAGCUCAACAAACAUAACAUUUCAUUUCACAAAUGACCAUAGCAAGAGUAAUAACAAAUAUCACAAAUUAUACUUGCUCAUGCCAUUUUAGCAAUUAGACAAGUAGCUUUCAAAAUUUAUCAUUCAAAAAUAAAGGAUACAUGCACCAGUUACCUCGAUCCAAUCGAUACCCACGCUAUUUCAAGUAAUCGGAAAAUAGCUACCUUCCUCACCUAGACAUAAUGAUAAAAUGUUCAAUUACAAUCUUAAAGAUACCAAACUACUCCAAAUUAUCAUAAAAACGAGCCUAAUACUACCCUUAACCACUAAUUCCUAAUAAAAGAUCAUUUCCUCAUCAAAGUAGGACAUAAGGGUUUACUUUAAAGGGUCACUAACUUCCAAAAAUACAGAAAUAGGUCAAGAGAUUUAUAUAGAGUUAAAGCCCUCUGAAUCUAGUUUCCAACGCAAUAAACGGCACCUAAAUCCGAAUUUUCUACACCAAGUUAUAUCCAAAGCAUUGAAAUAUGUCUAUACAGAAAAUUCAAUCUGUCCGAGAAUUAUAGCCAAUCCAUCCGAGGAUUUUAGCCAAUUCGUUCGAGGAUUAUAGCCAUGGAUUUCUAGCAAGUUUUCAAGGCAAAAAAAGUCAUUCUUUCCCUCAACAUUUCUCCUUUUUAUAUUGAUGAUAGCCCUACAUACCCAUUUGAAAAUGGAGACCAAAACAAACUCCAUACACCAUAGCCAUGGAAGCUAACCAAGGAUUUGAACCAAAUACUACCCAAUCACCCAAUCAAAGAAAACCAAGAUCAUGUUCAAGGUUUCAAGAAAAUACCUUGGUUAGUCGUCAAAGUAGAAUCUCCUAACUCCUCACUCCUUACUUGUGCUUGAUUUGUCAAGAAUCCUCCUUGAUUGUAAGGAAAAAGGAGAGAAAUAAGAAAGGGUUUUGUUGGAGAAGGAAGGAAAAAAGGAAAUGAAGAAGAUGAAGAAAGUUUUUGGUAAAAAUGAAUAGUGAAAUCCCAAUAUCACUUUUAUUCUUUCAAAAUUUCACAUAUUAACACAUUGGUCACUCAACUUAACGUCAUUCACUUUUCACCCCAAAAUAGUAUUUCUUCACACAAAAUUCUCUACAAGACACUUGGGUAUCACAUUCUCCCCCUCUAAUAAAAGUUUUGGCCUCGAAAUUUAACGUACCUCGUUGGUUAAACAAAUGUGAAUACUUAGUUCGCAUUUCCUCUUCGAGUUCCCAAGUAGCUUCACGAGUACUAUGAUUGGACCAUUGAACUUUAACAUAGGGAAUUGUCCUUCUUCUUAGCACUUGAUCUUUACAACCCACAAUUCGAAUUGGCUUCUCACUAUAAGUUUAAUCCUCUCAUACCAUUAAUGGCUCAUACUCCAGGAUAUAACUUGGAUUAAAUACAUAUUUUCUCAAUUGCAAAACAUGAAAUACAUUGUGAACUCUUGAUAAAGAUGGUGGCAAGGCUAACUUGUAUGCCAAUUCUCCAACUCUAUCCAAAAUUUCAAAAAGCCCAACAUAUCUUGCACUCAGUUUUCCACGUUUCCCAAAUUGCAUGACACCCUUCAUUGGUGAAAUUCUAAGAUAUAAUUUAUCCUCUUCUUGAAACUCUAAUGGUCUUCUUUUCAAAUCGGCCCAACUCUUUUGUCUAUCUUGUGCUGUUUUCAACCUUUCUCUCACUAGUGCCAUCUUCUUGAUUGUAGCUUGUACACUUCCUCCCAUAUAGAGCUUCAAAAGCUAGCAUGCCGAUACUACUAUGAUAACUGUCAGUGGCAUGGGCAGUAGUGGAAAAAGAAGCAACUGAGUAGUGGAGGUGGGUCUUGACACUUUGAAGGUUGACUUAGAAAUUGAUAAUCAAUUCCACUACACAUUUAGUUCUGAUCAAUAGAAGGUAUGCCAUUUACUGUAUCAUAGCUAUCAUUUUUUUUGUGCAAGCCACGAUUAUCUGUUUGUUUGUUCUUGCUACAGGGGUUGGACAACACUUUCAGAUGUGCUUCUGAACUCUGAACAUAGGUACUGUGUGUAGUAUAUAUAUAGGAACUUCAAGAAAAAGCAUCCUAGACAAGGUUUAAAGGACAGACUUUGGAAUAUUGCUAGUAGCACAACAAUCCCACUUUACAAUAAAGCUAUGGAUGACUUGAAAAAGUAUAACAAAGAGGCCUUCCAGUGGGUCAAGAAUACUCCACCUCUUAGGGGCAAAACUUUCUUCCUUACUCACACAAAAUCGGAUUUACUUGUAAAUAAUUUGUGAGUCAUUUAAUGCACAUAUUUUGGAGGCAAGAGAAUAGUCUAUUAUAUCAAUGCUAGAGUCAAUUAGAAUUAUGCUAAUGGAGAGGAUUCACGCAAGAAAGUUAGCAAUGUAAAGGUACGAGGUCCAACAGGCCCACUGAUUAGAGAAAUUGUAGGAGAAAGGGUCAAAUUAGCAAGUUAGUGGAAGCCAAUCUUCAAUUCAAUUGAUAGUUAUCAAGUUCAUGGCCCACAUGGGGCCCAAUUUGUUGUUAAUUUGAAAAAAAGGCACUGCGCAUGUCUAUUAUGGGAGGUGAGUGGUAUUCCUUGCUAUCAUGCCAUUGCUUCUAUUCACAUGAACAAUGGUGACCCGUACAAAGAGUUAGAUAAGUGUUACAGUAAAGAGCUAUUCCUUAGAAUCUACAAUAAUGUGCUAGAGUCUAUUAAUGGUCAUGAUCAUUGGCCCUUUUCAUCAAUACUAGUGUUGGACCCACCUUCGAGUGUAACUCCACUCGAGAGGCCCAAGAAAGUUAGAAAAAGAGACGUGACUAAGGUAAAUAUCAUGGAAGAAAAUUAAGGCGAAGAGUUGCGAUACAUUGCAGGAAAUAAGGGCAGCAGGACAUAAUGUAGCAACAUGCAAAAAAGAGAACAAUUCAAGGGUGUCUCAGGGAGAUCAACAGCAAAUAGUAAUAAGUAAAGUGCAGCAGUCAGCAACAAAUACAUCACAGCAGGUCAGGGGCUUUAAACCUUGUUACAUCUUGGUAUUAAUUUUCAUACAUAUUUAUUCAUGUAAUUUGUAAAUGAUGACAGGUCAAAAGGGUUCAACGGAAAGCCAGACAACAUACCAGAGCACAACAGAGUACCAAUGGAGGGUCGCAUUAGGAGCUUGCGUAGAACCAAUCCAAGCAGCUAGAGAUUGCAUAGGAGCAUUCCCACUAGCAACAGGCUACACAUGAGCCAUCUCAUCAGCAAGAGGCUGCACAUGAGCACUCCCAAUAGCCGCAGCAACCUGCUCAUCAGCAGCGUACCAAUCAACUAAGAAGGAUUGCUUUUUAGAGACUCUUAAUUGAUGCAAAUAAGGGAAUGAUAAAUUUGAACUAUGCUUAUUUAGGAAAGAACCACUUAUUCACUGUUGGGAAUUGGAGAAGGAAGUGGAGUGAGAGAGGAAAGCGGGGAAGAGGAUCUGGAAGAAGACAAGGGAGUGAAAGAUGAGAGACAACUGCUUCUCCUUUUGUCAUUUGGUGAUAAUUGUAAAUGAUGUCAACCUGCAAGGCCAACAACAGCUCUCUUUUUGUCAAUUGUAAUUUUUUGUUCAUGGAUAUGUGCUAGUUAUCAAUUGUAAUGAGUUGGUUGGAAACUUUCUUUCUGUUGUAGGGGUUGAUUUGUGGUACAAUUGGCUAGCUAUUUGGUGUAAACUUACUUUUUGUAUAUGAGAUCAAGACUUCGGUUGAUUAAUGGGAAUUGGUUCUUUUCAUUUCUUGUGCCUGUUGAACUUUGGUUAGCAACACGUUUCAAUUGAACUCACGUUAUCAUUAACAUUCUUGACUGAAUUAGUAGCUAAUUUACUUAACUAACAACAAGGCUUACAAAUUUUGUCUAGACAUACACUAGCUUCACCAAACUAGCUAAACAUUCCAUAAACCUAUCUACCAUGUACAUUUGCUACUAUAUUUGAAGAGUCCAAAAUAGUGUACAUUCACUACUACACCUAAACAAUCUAAAACAACGCCUUCAUUUUUCACCUUCAAUUUGUCAUAUAUAGGUUGUAUUCCUUCACUUUUGAACCCAAACAAGCACUAUCACAAUGACCCAGGUGAUCAAAAGCAGUCUCAUCAGAAUCUUGUUCAACCAUUUAUGUGAUUGGAUUUCUUUUUGCAAUACUAUUAUUUUCUGAUUCUUGUUUUCCAACUUUCUCUCCAACCUUCUUCUAACAUCUUUACUUUCAUCUCUUUCUUUUUCCGUCCAAUUGAUUCUCCUAAGAAAACAACAUAUCAACUCUACGGAAUGAUGACCCAGGUGAUCAAAAGUAGCCAAGUGUCAACUCUAAGAAGACCAGGUAUCAACAAUGACCCAGGUGAUCAAAAGUAAAGUAGCUUUAUCAGAAUCUUGUUCAACCAUUUAUGCGAUCGGAUUUCAUUUUGCAACUCUCUUAUUUUUUGAUUCUUGUUUUCUACCUUUCUCUUCAACCUUCUUCUAACAUCUUCACUUUCAUCUCUUUCUUUUUUCGUCCAAUUGAUUCUUCUUAGAAGACCAGGUAUCAACUCUACGGAAUGGCAACACAUUUCCCUGUCAAUUCAAGACCCAGUGCUAGCAGCCACCAUCUACACAAACAGCAUGCCUCCUCCCUAGAUUCCUGUCGGUCCAUGAAAUAAUCAUCUUACAAGCUUUGUCGCACCCACAAUUGGGGAUUGAAAGGCAUUCAUAUGCUCACAUUUUUUCACUGCGAUAGUUGCCUUUGUUACUCAGAACAACUAGAUCUAUUUCUUGCAAGCGCACUUUGGAAACCAUGGAAACAGCCAUGAAAAUAUGAAAAAAGAGGCUUCCUUUCAUGUUUUAACCUAGCAGCUAUGGUGUGCUGAUGAAAAUGCCCUUCACUUAUCCCCUCUGUCUCGUGUCUGUUGCUCUUUCUAUUGGACUUAACGGCUCUAGCUCACGGAAGGGCCACAAACAUACCAUUUAAUUAGAUGGAGGGCCAAAAGCAUUCAUUUAAUAGUUGGGGGGCCAAAACUUGAAUUUUUAAAUAGUUCGAGAGCCAUGGAGACAUUCUACCCUUUUAUUGCAGCACGUGAAAGAGUAGAUCUGUCACUGCAAGAAAUGAGCAUUAGUAUACUCUUAAUGAAAAAUUAUUUUUUGAAAUAAAAAAAUAUGUAUACAAUCUGUCUAAAUAACUAUAAGAGGCGUAAUUGGUAAAGCUACUACCUUAUUCAUCAUAUGACCAAAGUAAAAUUUUAUAAUUUCUGCCCAAUAUCAACUGUGAAAACAAUAAUGCAAAGAAUGAUAUGCCAAAAGCACACCUAAAUAGUGUUUUAAAAACUAGAUUAGACCAAUCGAUUCAACUAGUUUAACUACUAAGCAGUCAUAUUGCAUGGGUCAGAUUCUGUAUUAAACCUAAAAAGUUAAUUGAACCAGUCAAGAACUAGUUGAGGCAAUCAAAACAGUAAAAAUCGAAUGAUUAUACUAGUUUGCACUAAUUUUUUAAAAUUUUAGUGUUAUCAAAUUAUUUAAAAUAAAAAAAAACCUUAACCAUGUGGUUGAAAACAUUAGCUACACCCAAACAUCAAUGUUGUCUAUUUGGUGGUGGUGCUCUCUAUUUGGUGAUGGUGGUGCUAUAAGUGAGAAUGGUAGGAUUUGGUGGUAAUGCUCACUAUUUGGUGAUGGUGAUGGUGUAAGUGGGAAUGGUGGGGAAGGAUUGGGAAUGGUGUUCUCUAUUUGGUGGUGGUGGUGAUGUAAGUGGGAAUGGUGGGGAAAAUGGCAAUCAAAGAGCAAAAUGGUGCAUUUAUAAGUUUGUUAAAUUAGAGCUUAGGUGAUGCAGAAUUGAAGAAAAUGAUAGAUUAAGUGACUUGCUAGUUUGACCAAAAAAAAAAAAAAGUGACUUGCUAGUGAUUGCCCGUGACUUUCUCCUAUCAAAAUUUGACCGAAAAGAUGAGCAUGAACAAAAAAUGAGCAUUUAUAUAAAGAGUAUUUAUAUGAACAAAAAAUGCUCAAUCCCUCUAGGAAAACAAGGACUUGCUUGCUACCUUUCCCAUAUGGUUUUUCACUAUUUUUCAAAAACCCUAAUAACCAAUUGUUGAAAAAUCGAGUUGGAAGAAUGGUAAAGGGGCUUUUGCUGUUGGUAGAACAGAGGAUGGAACUGUAUUACAGAUGUUGGAAGGGUCGAAGAGCAAUAAAAAGGAAAGGAUAAAGAAACAUAGGGAUGAGAAUGACGACAGAGGGAGGAUAGACAUAAGAGACACAUUUUAUUUAGCAGUCAUUUAUGAAUAUCAAAUUAAAUAAUAUAACAAUAUUAUUAACCGAGAAUAACAGAUUGCCAAUCUUCAUUAACGAGGUAGCACAAUAUGAUGAGCCGUUAGUGUAAAGUAGGUUUACACUGACGGUAUAGGAAAGAUUUACUCAUAAUUUUAGGGCAUUCUACAAUCAUUUGUGAGUGUUAUACCCACACGUGAAAUUUAUCGUUGAAUGGUGAAAGAAGUGUUAUUGACCCUUAGAUUAAACAUUAUUAAAUAUUUAAAUUUAAACUAUUAUCUUUAGUGAGAAAUACUAGUUGAGCAAUGGUACCAAUAAAAAGACCAUGAAAUUUUUUUAAGUGCAUUUAACUGAUCUUCUAUAGUUGUGGAUCGCCUAAUGUUUGGUAAUUGAAAGAUAAUGUGAUGUGAUUGUAAAUAUAAUAUUUCAAGCAACUUAUAAUAGGUUUGUUAGAAUCUAAACUACGUACAGGAGAGAAAAGAUAAGCUUUGUCUAUGAAUUACUUGUUUGCUUUUUAACAGAUAAAAACAAAAAUUGAUUAAUAGUACUUAAAUAAUGGUAGUACCUACAUAAUUUAAAAUGCACCAUAGAAAUGCUAUGCUACUACUAAAAGAAAAUGAAUAACUAUAGAAGAAAUCAGCGGUGGAGCUAGAAAAAAAUUUUCAGUGAGGGCAGAAUUAGCAUAGAGCUUUGCACAUAACAUUGGGCAAUAACAAAUAUAAACAUGGUAAGUAAUAUGAAAUAGUGGCAUACAUAUUUAAUCAAAAGGACAAGAGAAUGUCACUAAUAUUCUACGAUUCAUUAUAGUGUAAAUUUUUUGUGUAUGGGAAUCUUCACAAGUAAACUUAAUAUCUUAAACUAUCGAGUUUGUGCAUACAUAUAUUCAUCAUUAGAGUGAUAUAUUGUGUCUGUCGUUAUUAAACAUUGUUAUCAAACAUAUGUAUUGAAUUAGAAACAAAUUUUUUGACAAAUCAACACUUAGAAUCUAUAUUUUUCUUUUGUCAGUAAGGACAAAUUGAUAAAUUAGAUAGGGGAAAAUUAUAUUUUUCUAAAUAUUAUAUACCUAAAAAUGAAAAUUUUCUUUGGUCAGUGGGCAGUGUAGAUAGGGGAAAAUUAUAUUUUUCUAAAUACUAUUGCCUAAAAAUGAAAAUUUUCUUUGGUCAGUGGAGGCAGUAGGUGCAAAUGCCCCUAUUGAUGAAAGAGCAGAUUUAUCACUGCAAGAAAUGAGCAUUAUUAUACUCUGAAUUAAAAUUAUUUGCUGAAAUAAAAAAAUAUGUAUAGAAUCAGCUAUCUAAAUAAUUAUAUGAUGUUUUAAUUGGUCGGUGAAGCUACUACCUCAUUUAGCAUAUGACCAAAGUAAAAUUUUGUAAUUUCUGCCCAAUACCAACCUUGACAACAAUAAUGCUAAGAAUGAUAUGCCAAAAAGUACACCUAAACAAUGUUUUGAAAACUAGAUUGGACCAAUUAGUUCAACUAGUUGGACCAUUGAGUAGUCAUAUGGUGUGGAGUCAGAUUCUGUAUUAAACUUAAAAAGUUAAUUGAACCAGUCAAAAACUAGUUCAUGCAGUCAAAACAGUAAAAAUGGGAUGAUUAUGUCGAUUUGCACUAAUUUUUUUUAUUUUAUUAUUAUCCAAAUUAUAUAAAAUAAAAACAAAUAAUAAGUUUAACUCAUUACUGAAAACAUUGUCUACAACCAAACAUCAAUGCUCUCUAUUUGGUGAUGGUGCAGUCUAUUUGGUAAUGGUAGGGGAGGAUUGGGAAUGGUGCUCACUAUUAGGUGGUGGUGGUGGUGUAAGUGGGAAUGGUCGAGAAAGAUUGGGAAUGAAGAAGGGAAAUGGCGCAUAGGUAAGUUUGUUAAAUUAGAGUUUGGAUAGAAUAAAAUCGAAGAAAAUGAUAGAUUAAGUAAGGUGCCAGUGAUUGUUCGUGACUUUCUCCUACCAAAAUUUGACCAAAGAUGGUAGAUUAAGUGAGUUAUCAACAAUGUUUUGAAAAUCGGACCGGACCGGCGGGUUCGGCCGGUUGAACCGCGAACCGGCCAUGGCACCGGCCCGGUUCAAUGACAUAGUUGACCUUGCCAGAAAAUCGGUCGAACCGCGAAAACCGCCGAACCGGUGGUUUUCGAUUUCCAACUUUUCUUUUUUUUUUUUUUAUUUUUAGUUUUGCAAAAUGCAACUAUCAAAAUUCAAACUCAAGACCUUUGUAAUAGAAGACCAAUGUAUUAACCGUUGCACCAUCACAUCUUAUUAGUUUUUUUUUGAUAACUUAUUUAUAUGAAGCAAACACUCAUAUUUCUUUUUUUCAUUUGUCUUACAAAUCUCAUCCUCUCAUGGCUCUUUCUUUUUAAUUUUCAAUUCUCUCUCUCUCUAUUCUCUUUUCUUUUGUCACUCUCUUUUUUAUCAAACCUCUUUAUUUUUAAUUUAUUGAUGUUUUCUUAAAUCUUUUAAUUUUGUUUUUGUCCAUUAAAUUGAAAAAAGGUAAAAAAAUUAUUUUUUAAACCCAAAUUAUUUAAUGCCACAACCACUCACUUUUAUCUCAUUUUUUGUUUCUUAUCAAGUUUACAUUUCUAUUUUUUAUUUUCUUGACUUCCUUCGAACUCCAAACUUCCUUUUUUAAAUUACAAUUUCUAAAUCCCAAAACGUAAAUUAAAAUUUAAGUUUACAAUAUCUAAAUUCUCAUAGACGUAAAUUUUGUAUAAUUUCAAAAUAUUGUGAUAUUUUUGGGUUGGAUUUAGAUAUAAUUGAAAUUGAGAUGAAAUUUAUUUAUUUUAACUUAUAAUUUAAAAAAUUUAUUUUUAAAAAUCCAAGUUAUUAAAAAAUAGUAAACUUUUCAUCAUAUAAAGUAUUAAAUUAGUCCAUUACAUGUCUUAUUUUAUAAAUAUAUAUUUAUAUAAAUUAUUUUUAAAAAAAUUCAUUGAACCGAGAUUGAACCGAUCCGACCGGUUGAACCUCGAUCCUUUCACUUCACCGGUUCAAUUAACGGUCCGAUUUUUAAAACAUUGGUUAUCAGUAAUUAUUUGCUAGUUUCAAAAUGGUAGAUCAAAAUUUGACCAGAAAGAUGACCACAAAUAAAAAAAUGAGCAUUAAAAUCUCUUAAAGAAUAAAAUGGCUCAUUUUCAUUGUGAACGAUUAAAAUUUAACAUAAAAAAUUCAAUUUUCCGACGUCUAAAACUUAAUCAUGUUGAAUGUAUAUUAAUGACAAAUAAACUCAUAAAACUGCUUAAUCAUGUUAUAACUGCUCAUACAUUUUUUAUUCUCAUUUUGGUGGAGAUAAAAAAAGCUUUAUAUAUCUAUGUCGUUUUUUCAAUGCAAUUCUUAUAAGAGGGAUUUCUCCAAAUUUGGGCCGAGCCCUAAUUCCGCAUUGGAGGCAGGGUUUUAACCUUGCUACUUGCUACUUGCCCUGAAGAAAAAAAGAAGGAAAAAAAGAAAGAAAACCUUUAUUACGUUUUACUGUGGAAAAGAAUAUCCUUGUUUUCAAGUACAGAACAAGGGCCCUGAGAGACAAGACUAUCCCUGCAAGUAAUUUCUAGUGAGGGAUCAAUUAUUAAUUAUUUACCCCAUUCUCCAUCACUGCUAGAAAAAUUAUCCCAAAACAGAAUAACCUUCUCAACCCAGAAUGCAGGACUAUUCCAUCACAGGAAUGCCCAUAUGAGGAGGGAGCUGGUAGCUAGCUGAAAGUUUUACAAGCUUCUAUAAUCACAAUGAAACUACAGCCAACCUCAGAGCUUUGAGAUGAAUAACAUCCUAAGCUCCAAGUUCACCCUAUAGUGACAAAGAAUAGGGAGACUUGUUGCUUAAAUCAAUUGGUUCGCCAGUUUUUUUACAAAUGUAUAUAAAAUGAGAAUCUGGAUCUUCUAAAACAUAAUCUGCAGGAAGUUGUCCCUUUUCAGUGAUAGGAACAGGUUCCAAGAAUGAUUUUGCUGAAGAGGCGGAAUCGGCUGGCUUUUGAAAUCCAGGUCUAGCUGCAAAAUGAAGAACAUUUAACAUGACUAAUUCAUAUAAAUCUCCUGACAACAAACAAUAGGCUUCCCCAAGUAAAACGUCACAAAGGUCACAAAAUUGUCAAAAGCAUAUUCAUGUUGAGUUUUACAUCCAGUAUUUUAGGAGGACAAAACAAUCAAGAGGCGAAAUUUGUGAUUUGGAAAACAAUAGGUUCCCUUCAUCUGUUUUGCAAGUAAAUUAGAAUGGACUACUGUUUUUUCUCCUCAAAUAUAGAAAAGGAAGCAACAUUUUGCGCAAGAAGUUUCACAAUGCAGUUCCUAAUGUUUGAUAGUUUGCUGUCCACCUUGUUUCAAAGUCAUACAAGUAUAAAUCUCAACUUAUUCAAGAAUAUAGCUCUAAUGAAUUUUCAUCAAGAGACAAAUUACAAAAAAACAAUCAGCCAUUCCACAUUCAUCGAUAUACUUGAUGCUGUCAUACUAGCAAGCAAAUGUCAAUUUCACACCAGAUGACCAAUAAUGAGUAUCAGAAAUAAAACCGAAAGAACAAUUUUCAACCCAAGCAAAGAUUAAUUGAACAAAUUAUAUUAGACCCCUCGAAAUAAAGUUUGUGGCACAUUACCACUUCAAGUACAUUUUAUCCCAUUAAACACCUUUCCAUUUCUUGUCAUAAAAGAGUCUCAGAACAUUCUUUUUUUUUUUUUUUCAUUUUUAAAUUAGAGAAGAACAUGAACUAAGAUGGCAUAAACAGCCCCGUCUCCAUUGUGAUCACUACAUACUCCAAAAGAUUCUCUGUCUCUCUGUCUCUGUCUCUGUCUCUCUCAUGGUAAAAACGAAGAAGCAAGCCUGCAGGCAAAAAGCAAAUAUUGCUGCUCCACUAAAAAAGCCGCACCGUCAGCAUCACCAAAUUUGACCAUAUAAUGGCUCAUCAAGUCUUGUGGUACUGGCAGUCCUAUUUUUCAUCUUGGCACUCGACUAUACAGUCUUUCUUUCCCUGGACCAACAUGUCCUUGUUUAUUUUCUGACUUUCCCAUUGUGGUUUCUAUUGCAAGGUCAAACAACAGUCACAAACUAGUCCUCUUGACUUUCUCUAUCCAAGCCCACAUAAUAAACCAGCAGUUGUUACUUUUCCUAUCCCAUCUUUCCUCUUCCAAGCCACACGCAACCCAAUAACAAGACCACAGGCAUCAAGCAUAAUGAACAUAUCUCUGAUGGCAAUAGUGGUCAAAAGAACACAUAGCCACAUAGUGAAGUACAGAAAUCAGAAAACAUGCUUUAUAGCCUAGAGACUGUUCUAUGCAAAUUCCACCCUUGUUAGAAAAUUUUACUGAGGUACUGUUAAGUUUUCUAGCAUCAUGAUCUUAAUUUAAUUCUUACUAUUUAAAUUUUCACCAACUUACGGCAAUCUUUUCUUUAGACCAGCUCCUAGUGGGGCUUUCUAAUUCUGGUUGGAGGACCAUAUCUAAGGGACAUGGCAUACCUUAGUAUGAAUGGUCAUGCUGCAAGAAAUAAAGAGAAUAACAUGUUGACUAACUGAAGAAUAUGUUCCAGCAAACAAAAAAAUUCCACAUUCCUAGUCAUCCUGGGUGCUUUGGCCAUUUGACCAGAGAUGCAAGCCGUAAACUACAUGUAUAUGUACCAGAGAUGUAAGCCGUAAACUACAUGUAUAUGUAGUAACAAUGACAGAGUUAAAGUUGAUUUCCUAAAGAGCAAACCAUCCGCAUAGCCACUGAACUUCUAGAAUAGUUAAUAUUUCACCACUCAACUAUUAAUAGUAUGUUUUUACCCACUGAACUGUCAAUAAGUGUAAAUUUUAGGCAAUUUCAUCUUGUUCCACCGUUAACUCCACCAAAUCUAAAGGCCCGCAUGAUUCACGAGACAUACCAUUAAUAGCUCAAUCUGGUAGAUUUAACAGUGAAAUCAGACGGAACAGUCCAAAAUUUACACUUUUGAUAAUUCAAUGGAUAAAAACAUAUUAUUAAUAGUUGAGUGGCCAAAACUCGACUAUUCGGAAAGUUUAGCAGCUACCCAGAUAAUUUGUCUUCCCUAAACUUUAAUGGCAAUAGAACAUAUAUCACAAUAACAGGAAUAGGCAUGCCGUUCCUCAACAUUAAUGAGAUAGAAUAAUGAUUAACAAAUUGAUUAUGUGACUAAAGUGUAAGUAAAUAAGAAUAAGAAAAUGCUACCACUCCUUGUUCACCUUUAUCGACACCCUACGUCCAUGAUUUGUCAUAAAGAAAUCUCACAAUAUACUAUCACACUGUUUAGCCAUACUGAAUAAGAUAAUUAAUUAGCAACACACAACUAUUAACUAGAUUGAUAUCCAAAUGUGUUGGACGAAAAGCAAAUUUGUUAUCCAAACAUAAUUUCAAAUUCAUUUUCCUGAGAGAUUAACACGGCCACCAUUUUUAGCUUUAAAAAACAAUCUCCGCAUGUCACUCUAGGAAAAUGAAUCUGAAUGCAUCCCAUGCAGCUUCUAAAUUCAAUGCAUACCAGGAGUAGUAAUCAAAGAUCAGUAUGUCCCAAUAUCACUUGGGGUAUGUUGGAGCCAAAGUUGUCGCAUGAAGAUAUAACGAACAUUAAAAUACUAUUGUCCCAUAAAUACUCAAACUAUGACAUAUAAGUAGACUAGAGCAUAAUAGUAAAAGAGAAUAAACAGGUUUUCAUAUCAAGGAAAAAUCCACUUACGUAUAAUGUAUAGUUCUAUCUUCCAACUGUACACUGAUCGAUAUAGAUGAGGAAUUCUUACAGUAGGGUCACCAUAAGUAAUCUGCAAUUGGCAAGUAAUUUCAAACUCCAAAAGUUUACGUCUAAUUUAUGAUUCAGAAGAAGAAAAGCUACAGACAUUAGGGUUAACAUUACCAACAGAUAGACUCCUCCGGGUUUAAGAAGCCUGAAACAGAGAAAAAUCAAUAAAUUUAGGUCAGAAGAAUGAGAAACCGAAAAUCACAUCAAGGAGGUACAAAUACUUCAAAAGAUAAACAAAUCCAACAACCUGCUCACCUCCCCCAGCAUAUGAGCAGCACUGAUUGGAGCAUUGUUCCCACACUAUGAAAUGCAAGCAUUAAACAAUUUAAAGUUAGACAACCCCAAGACUAACGAGGACUAAGCAGAUAACAAGGGGAAAAGUAGAAACAUAACUUACCAUUAAUGAAUCCAGAGUUCCUAUGUGGAUCAGCAAGACCAGAAAUGCCAAAUUAAGAGAUAUAUCAGAGAAUUAACAUUUUGUAACUCAAUCUUCAAGAAGUAUUAAAACUUCACCGCUUACUAUGGACAUCUUACCUUUAUCAAUCACACUAUGGAAUGAGUCAUCGGGAAAAAAGCUCAUGUCCCUAACAUCCAUUUUCAUGUCUGUAGAGUUUCAUAAGGAAGUUUUACUGGCUAGAUGCGUUCUUUCAAUCAAGUAGAAAAAGUAUAAAUGAUAAAACUCAGCAACAGUAUAAUAAACUAUUCCUUAGCCUGGAUACAUUUCAUUUGCGGAACUUGUUCAUAUUUCCUUCUCAUCAUGUCAAUAGCCACUGAUGAUAUGUCGAUGUUCAUUAUAUCUUCAUAGCCAUCCUUCACCAUAUCCUCUGACAUAACUGCAAAACAAGUUCUUUUAUGGUCAGCAUUUUAAUUACCAUUGACAAGUCAACAUCUACAUUAUGGAACAAGUAUAAACAUGAAUUACAAAGACAGAUAACCAUCAAACUCAUAAAAUAAGAUACCCAAAUAAGAAGCCUGAAUUUGACAACUCAAAUUGUGAUUUUAACGCUCGAUUCUUUGGUUUGGCCAUUACUGGACACCAUCACAAACUUAUGCAUUUGAAAUUGUGUAUUUUGAAGAAAAUAGAAGAAAUAAAUAUAAUGGUAACUACAGCUUCAACAACUCGGCUUUGGCAAAACUUCACGUGAGUUAAAUGCUAUGAAGAAUACUUGGGAUGUGGAAUUGCUGGAAAAUAGCCUAAUACUAAAGAAGCAAUAAGAAAUGGGUAUAGCACAUCCUUAUUGAAAAGCAUAAAACAUCCUAAGCUGAGUACAGGAAUAUGGGAAGGCAGGGACUAAAAAUAAAAUAAUCAGACUUGGGACAUCUGAGACUCACAUGUAAUUUGAUAGUCAUUUAUUUUUCUUAAAGAAUAAGCCUGCAAGUCAAUAGAUACUACAUGCAGUACAAAAAUUUAUGCUACAUUUGUAUAACAACAUACAUCAAUCACAGUGAUGUAUAAUCUCGGCUAAAAGUCAUAAAUGCUGAACAAAACCAAGUAGUAACCCCAAUCACAAUGUAUCACUAAGUUCCAAGUGGAAGCUCGACUAACCCCAAGUCAAUCACAAUUUUCACUGAAGCACUGAGCAAUCCAAGCUUAGUGCAACUGCACCCUAUUUUGAUGCAUUUACAUGCUAUGAGCACUCUGUAAAGUAUCUGCAGUCACUGAACAAAGGCAUAAUGAUUCCCAAAUAGAUUUGUUGACAAAUUUUCCACUUCGAUGCAUUGGAAAAUCCAGCUUGGAUCAAAGUAUCCAACACUAAGGCAGGUUCUGUUUCACAGAUGACUCCAAUAAACAUGUUGAUAAUAUCUUUUUCCCAUAUCACAUGUCGAUUAAAUCCUCAAUUUCACAAAAUCAGCUUGUAAGUAAUCCAGCAGUUAACUACAAUAUUAACUGCAAGAUCCACAAUGAUAGGAACCUUAUUUUGAUCCACAUCUUUCAAUUUCCUCCAUACUUCUCCUGUACAGAUAUAGGCUAGUAACAAUAUCAGCUGUUUUGAUCAUAAUCAUUUGCAGCUUCUAGGUUAUCAGAUCCAAAUCCAGACCUCCAUGCUCAAUUUCUGCAAAUUUUGAUGCUGAAACUUAGAAGUCCUUUUUUUUGUUUGGGGGGGGGGGUGGUGUAGAAGUGGGUUGGGGAACUAAUUUAGCAGUCCAACUGAUGCAGCAACAAGAAGCUUUUGCAGGUAAUAUUAUUUUUAGAAUUUCUACUGUUAACUUUUUGAGAAUGUAGAAGAAAGUUUCGAGAGUUAGAAAUGGGAAGGGGCGCCAAUAGGGGUUUUAAAAGGAAGCAACGAGCAGGAAAAGAGGAAAAAAUGGGAGAAGCAAGAAAUCAAGGAAUCCCACCAAGAUUUUCUUAAAAAAUACACGCAGAGGAAAGCUUGCUUCCAUUUGUUAAACAAAGCCCAACACAUUAUCUUAAGCUCAAAGCAAAAAUUCUUCCCAUCAUUCCUCUCUUCCCAAUGCCAUUACAAUUUACAACUGAUUAGCUACAGUAUACUUGGAAGUUAAGAAUUGUUAUGACUAAGUAAUAAACAUAGCUAAGCAAACCUGUCAACUAUUAAAAUGCAGCUAAUCACUGUAGUAAGCCAGGUUGACUUUUACCAUCCCAAGUUGACUCUGUCAACUUGGACUGGAAACCUAUCAUAAUUCAGAAAUCUUAGCUUACAGGCUUAAUCCGUCUACAGUGGAACCUAUUGCAACAUAUGUUGUAUUAGGGAUGGCCACAGUUCUAUUUUGAACUGGGAACCGCACCUGCAGUUCCUGUAACCAGAACCUUGCCUACAGGAUCCGGUUCUGGUACUUAAUCUUGAAACUGGAGUUCCAAGUGACAAGUGAACCAAAUAAGCUGUUACCCUUGCCCAGGCCCAGUCAAUGCUACAGCAACGACUCAAAACUUAGCAGUUUCAAUCCAAAACGAAAGACAAAUUUAUUGCAUUAACAAACAGCAGGCAAGGAAUGAUAACAUUGGCUAUAAUAGCAUUUGCUAUCUUUUUUUUAUUUAUUUAAUUUUGAAUUAAACCCUAUAAAAGCCCCCAUGGUCUCACCACACCACAUAUUUAUUCUCCCUCUUCUACCCUUUAAUUCUUUUAAUUACCCAUUCACUCAUUAUAAUCCCAUAAUUUCUUUUAUUCCUUUAAAGUCCAAAACUAGUACUAUUAUUAUUUUACAUCUCCUUUUACUUACAUAAUUUAUUUAAAGAAGAUAUCAGAGGGGGAGAACUAAAAGGUCUCUUACACAAGCUAUCUCUUUGUGCUGCUGUCUAUUUCAUAUGGCAAGAAAGGAACAUACACUUGUUUCGGCAGGAAAGUAGACCACCAACAGCAUUAGCUCACACUAUUUUGGAUCAAAUCCAUAAGAAGAGUGAAAGAAACUGUUAAGGACAAUCCAAGCAACAGAUCCCUAGCUAUGAGAUGGGGACUUCAAGCUGCUUUCUUUCAUCCAACCAUACAUUGGUGCAAACGGUAAACUCCCAAAUCUGGACUAAAAUGUCUGAAUUGUGAUGAUUCAGUUAGAGGCGACAUAGGGGGUGCAGGCUUCAUUCUUAGAGAUGAAAAUGGCAAAAUCUUAAGGGUUGGGGCUAUAGGAGUAUGUGAUGAUUCAAUAUUAAUCCAUGAGCUGGAAGCUAUCAAGAAAGAGUUGGUGAUUGCCAAACUCAAAGGAUGGAGACAUAUUGAAGUCCACACUGAUUCAAAACUUACUGCAGAUAUCUUAAAUAGCAAAAGAUGCUAUAAGCGGAGGGUUCCAGUUGUAUAUCUGAUAUAAAGGACUUAAUCCCAUCCUUUAGGGAGGUGAAUGUGUAUCUUGUAUAUCGCCAAUGUAAUCAAGCUGCUGACUUUAUGGCUGGUUAUCUCAAUAGGUAGAUAAAGUUAUUUUUGAGUCAAAUCAUCCCCCCCGGGGCAAUCUUAUUAGAAUUGUAGAGGAAGAAAAUAGGCGGAAGUUGACUGUUAGAAUGUAAAUUCUUUUAUUUUGUUUAUAUAAAGCUCACCAAUUCUCCCAAAAAAAAAAAAAUUAUGACACGCCAUACCAAGUCAACCAACAUCUUCAACAUUGAUGAUGUUGAAUUUCAUAUAUUCUCAUACUACUGCUUGCAUGAUUUAUUUAAUACCUUUAAAUUCUCAACAAUAUUUACAAUGUACUUUUGUUUAUUUCCUACAAAAUGGCACAUUUUGGUGGCAGUAGUUCAUCUUCUAAAUCAAGGAACUACAAGGAAAAAGAAGUUACGCACAUUUUUUCCUCAAUUAACAUCUUCAACACUGAUGAUACUGAAAUUCCAACAGAUAUUUCAGGACAAGGGAGUCAAGAUAUAAAAAUUAUGUUAACAAGAAGAACAAAAAUUUUAAUAAGGUUUUUAUAGGGUUUAACUCAAGAUUUUUACAGCAUUUAGCUCAAAACUUUUGAAAAAAUAAAAAGAUAGCACCGUCUAUAAUAGCAGUUGCUGUCAUUCAUUUUCAAUGCCAUGGCUUAAUUUUGAGUCUCUUAAGUAGCAAAACUGGGCAUGGACAAGGGUUGCAGCUUUGUGACUCCUGUUCAAUUCCACAUUUUGAUGAGGUAGAACCAAAACAUGAAAGGUUCAUGUCAUGGUUCCAGAUUCGGUGUGGAAGUUGGUUUGAAAUGGAAGUGCAGCCACCCCUAUCACCAAACAAGUUAGAAAAUAUAGAACCACAAAUCUAGAAUAUCAUGUUUGGUUGACAUGAAGCAGCUUAGACAUGUCAGUUUGAUACCAUAUUUUUAUUUAUUCCCGAUAAAAAUCCAAAUAGUACUUUUUUGCAUUGAACUUGUCCAAAGAAAGUACAUUACAUAUUGUCCCACUUAUAACCAUCCCUACCUGUACGGCUCAGACACAUACUAAUUCCCAAUUAUCGUUGAACAGAAACUUUUUUGGUGUGGAUACCACAAGCAAUAGGAUGAAACCUAUCAAAUCAAACGGUCAAUCUAGGUCUACAUCUCAUGACUACUUCAAUAAGCAGCUGACUUCAAGUAUGGGUUAAUCUACACAACUAAGAUGCUAUCCCAAUCAAUCAACUUCUUAAACUAAAACCUUUCACAAUGUACAGCUCAGCAUCAUAAAAGCUAGAAUGCUUUAAGGAUUGGAAACUCUUAAAAAGAAUCAUUAGGAACAUGACAUAUCACUAAAACUUGCAAGGAAGAAUUCCAUCAUACCUUUAAUUUAUGUUUCUAUUGUAUUAACAAAAGCACAGGGCCUCAGUGGACUAGCAGUUGGUUGCUAACUUUCCAGUUCCCAUAAUCUAAAAUACAUCUUUCACCACAAUAGUUCCCUGGAAGCAAUUUACUAGAGAAUAAAGGUAUUCUUCUUAGAUGAAGUUUCUUUGAUCAUUUUCAGUUAGACAAUUUGUAACCCAGUUAAAUGCCUUUCGUCAGAAAUACUCAUCCUCAAACGUAUCAUUUUCUAAUUACAGUUCACCCAACCAAAGAUGUCUACCUUCCAGUCUCCUUGGAAAGCAAAACUAUAUCUUAACUACCUGACCCCAAAUUAAGAUAAUAAAUAUUCAACUAAUUUUUCUAUGUUCCUUUGUCACCUUAUUCACCUUUGGACCAUGAGUUCACGUUGAUCAAAAGUUCAUUCUGUCCAGUCUUCUGGGACUGCAAAUGAUCUCACUGCACAGUUCUUAGGACUUCCAUUGUGUCUUAGACAUCAUUCCCUCUAUUGCUAUCAGCUACUGCCAAAAAGCUUUCCAUUAUCCUGUUUAUAUUCCAGGUCAGGUCAGCCAACAUUCAUUUAUUACAUUUUGUAUUUCAUUUUUGCAUGAUUUCCUUUUCAAGCAUUUGUUUCACUAUUUUCUAUGGUUUGUGGAGUUUUUUAGUUCCCUACUUCAUGCCAAGGUAUUGUUUGAUCUCUGAUGACUAUCUUUUCCACUGUGUUUUUGAAGUUUAUGUUCCUCAUUUCUAAAGUUAAGGCCUUGUCUUCAAGAUGAGAGCCAACACUGCCAAUUCUAGGCUUGAAGUAUCACUAUUUUUGCAUCAUCUUUCUAACACUUCUAAUCAUUUUCUUUUUCCUUGUUUUUAUACAGUGCCUAACAUAGGACACAAUAUUAAAUUUUUGAUUCCCCAGAGUAAAGCUGCAAUCUUUGCCCCAGAAAACUUCUGCAGAACUAAUUCUUAGCUUCUACAGCAAUUAUACCAACACAACAGAAUCAUAAGGCAAUAGCUCAAAAUACAACCUCCAGGCUUCAUGUUCUGAUACUUCUAAGCAUUCUUUUUCCUGUCUAUACAUUGCAUUGGAUAUUGAACACAAUCACAAAAUCGGAUUCCUCUAAGCAUUCUGGGGCAACUUCUGCAGAACUAAAUUCUUAGCUUCUACAGCAAUUUUACGAACACAACAGAAUCAUAAGGCAAUAGCUCAAAAUACAACUUCUAGGCUUCAUGUUUUUGAUACUUCUAAGCAUUCUUUUUCCUGUCUAUACAUGGCAUUGGAUAUUGAACACAAUCACAAAAUCGGACCUCAAAAUAAAGCUGCAAUCCUUGCCCCAGAAAACUUGGGCAGAAUUACCAAUACAUCAAAAUUUUAAGGAAGUAUCUCAAAAAGAUACAAUCUCUGCGGCUGAAAUUCAUUUUCACUGCAAAAUUUGAAUUGUUUCUAUUCUAAAGCCCUGUUCUUGGAUUGUUUCAAAACCUCAUGCAGCCAAGUAAGGGUAGUCCACCCCAGAAACAAUAAGAGGAAAAAAAAAGGGAGAGCCACCACAGGAAAAGGUUGCCAAAUGAUUAAAUUCUUUCCCCAUGCAAUAAAGAAAAAGGAAACUAACUACCUGCAAAAUCAUCAGAGCUUCCCUGACUUAAUCAACAAUAUUACUAUCAUGUAGCUAAAAACCCAUCCUUACCCUUGACUUCCAUUUUCAACUUCUUUCAUUCCAAGACUUGUUCUUUUCAUCACUAGCACGCAGCUCACUGAACUUUAGCAUCUUUACUCCUAUAUAUCAACUUAAUGCACAAAACUCACAUCUACAACAGAAAAAAUUACACCCAACAAAGAACUGAAAAACAAAACUCUACUAAAUAUUGAACUGCUUCAUGGCACAAAUCUAUGCAGUUCUCAGUGUAGCCAUCAUAAAAUAGGAAACACAAUGAAACCCAUUAAAAAUAAGCAGCAAAAGUCCAACAACUACAGCUAUAAUCAGCAAAAAAAAUUUAAAUUUCACCUCAAGUUUGAGAAAGGAAAUGAAUUAGGAGGGCAUGCAUAUGUCUAGCUUUGAAAUGGGUCAUAAGAAUACAGCAAAAUAAACAAAACCAACGAAAUUUAGAGCAGCAAAAGCUCAAAAAACCUGUUAUCAUAAAAAAUUCGUAAUUUUAGCGAAUAAUUAGGAAACGAAAUUAAAAGCAUUUGCCACAGCCAAAAAAAGUAAAGGAAGAGCAAAGGGAAGAGAUUCCUUACGGGCGUUGCCACACCCAACCAUGAGGACACGGGCGGAAGUUGGAAUAUACUUGCGGACAAAAGGGCGAAGUGCAGAGUAACGUUGAUACCAAUCAAAAGAACCACAAUUCGCUUCUUGAAUAUACCGCGCGUCCCAGUAAAGCGCGUCGCCAUAGUUGUAUGUACUGCAAGCUGAAACGUCCCUGUACAUCUUUCGGUCCGGCGGGCGGAGGGAGUGGGGUGGGGUGGGGCGGGCGAAGGUUGUUUGGGUAAUUGGGGUUGGAGUGGAGUGGUGGGACUCGUGGGAGUAGAAGUGAAGAGUGCAGGCUACGCGUGGCCCGGUUAGAUAUGAUCCGGUGGGGUGGGCGUUAACGUGGUACGGACGGCUGGUUAACCUUUGUUUUUUGUUUUAAUUUUUUUUAUUUUGUCUCUUCUUGACAGUUUUUUUUUUUUCCUGAUAAAUCUCUUCUUGAAAGUUGUCAAGUGUUUGUGACGAAAUGGAAAAAAUUCACUUUUCAUCUCCAAACUUUGUGACAAAGACACUUUGAUCCCCAAACUUUUCGUCAGAACACAUUGAGUACAUGAAGUAAUGAUUUUUUGUCACAUUUAGUCAAAAAAAUGGGAAUUUACUCAAUUUGGACGGUGAAGAUCACGUGGCUGUUAACAAAUGUCCAAAUAUCAAUUUAUAACCAACACAAGUCAACUUUUUGAGGACAUUACACAAUUCCUUGAACAAGUUAUCCAUUUUGGUAUUAUUUCAAGUUCUUACUUAACGGGCAUUACCUAUGCAAAAUACUAGGGGUGGCAAUCGGGUCGGAUUCGGGUUGAGAUUUAAGUAUAACAAAGAACCUGCUGACCCGAACCCGACCCGCCAACCCGAAACGGGGGUCAGGGUACCUGACACGAACCCGAAAAUUUCGGGUUGACGGGUCGACCCGAAAUGACCCGAAACUUAAUUUUAAUUUAUUAAUUUAUCACUGUAAUUUCUAAUAAAAUCAAUUUUUCACAAAAUUAAUUACAUCAUCAAGUAAUAAAAAUUUAAAUAAAUAAUUUCAAACCAAAUUUAAAAUAAAUUAAACACCGUAAAAGUGUUUUAUCCCAAAUCAAAUGUAAAAUAAUUAAAACAGCGUAAAAGUAAGAAAUAACAUAAUAUAUUAUUUGUCCAAAUAUAAUAAUUUUAACUUCACACAAGUUAAAUAAAUUCAUUUAGGAUUAAAUAAUUAAUGCCUUUGGAAAAAAAAUGAUUUAGUUUAGUUAGAUAAAAUAAUUUUUAUGUUUAUUAAAUUAGUUUUAAUUCGUAAACGGGUCACAUCGGGUCAUAUCAGGUCACCACGGGUUGACCCGAAAUUGACAUGUUUUCUUUUCGGAUUCAUCGGGUUCGACCCGAUUCUGACCCGAACUUCCGAAAUCUCAACCCAAACCCAUUAAUUUCGUGUUAGGUUCGUGUCGUGUUUUCGGGUCAUGUCAGGAAUUGCCAUCCCUACAAAAUACUAGUUUUUUGUAGACAUUUUACUCUCAAACAUUCAAUUUAUAAAAAAUAUAGAAAUAUUUUUAAGUAAAACUCAAAAAGUGUUAGAGUAUAUUAGCUGUUUUUAAGUAAAAUAUAAAUGUUUUUAAGUAAAAUUCAAGUAAAAUGAAAAAAAACUAGUAGGUUAUCUAUUUAAAAGAAAUUAAAUAUUUUUUAAAAAGAAAUAUCCCAUAAAGUACCAACUCUUUAUGACUUUUCUCUAUUACAUGAACCAAGUACCAAGUUUUUAUGGGCAUUUUAUUCUGAAUCAUUUAAUUUAUGUUAAAUAUAUAAAUAUUUGCAAAUAAAAUUCAAGAGUCGUUACACAAAUAUUUUUACCAAAGGAAAACUAGCAUGUUUUGUAUUUAAUAUAAAUGAAGUAUUUGAAAGUAAAAAAAAUUGUCCAUAACAUACCAGUUCUUUACGAGUUUCUUCCAUUAUAUAAAUAAAGUACUAGUUAUUUAUGAGCAUUUUACUUUGGAUCAUUUAAUUUAUAUUAAAUAUAUAAAUGUUUAUAAGUGAAAUUCAAAAAGUGUUACACUAAUAUUAUUAUGAAAGGGAAACUAGUAGGUUUUGUAUUUAACAUAAAUUAAAUACGUGAAACUAAAAAAAGAAAUUAGCCACUUUUUACUAGCUCUUUACGGGUUUCUUCUAUUAUAUGAAUAAAGUGCUAGCAAUUUAUAGGCAUUUUACUCUGAAUCAUAUAAUUUAUGUUAAAUACAUAAAUGUUUGUAAGUAAAAUUUAAAAAGUGAUAUACUAAUAUUUUUACGAAAGGAAAACUAGCAGGUUUUGUGAUAGCCCAACUUUUAGGAUACUAUUGUUGUUUAGUCUCAAAAAGGAUAUUACGCUUUCUUUAGUUUAUUUUUAUUUUAAUACAUUGUUUUGUUUUAAAAACUAGAAAUCCUAAAUUCUAAAAAAAAAACCCUAGUUACUUGUGACUAAUUGAUUUUCUUAAAUUUCUCAUGUUUUAAUCGAAACCUUAAUUUGUCAUUCAUUCCCUUAUAAUAGCUAUACUACUCAUUUACAUCCCCAAUGUUUCGAAUAAAAAAAUAGAAUUAAGAGUUUUCCCUUUUGCAUUCAUCGUUAGGGUAAAUUAAGAUUUUUACGUCUUUUCAUAGUGUGAUUACUCGAUACGGAGUGUGUAUCACAUUUGGUGAUUAAGAGUGAGUUUUAGAUGAUAUUAAGUAUGUGAUUAGAAGUGAUAAUAAUAAGUUAGUGAAUUAUAAGUGAAAACCCUAGUGUACGCGAUUUAAGGAAAAACGGGUUGAACCGACGGGUACCGUCCACUACCGAUUGAACACACCAUUUGAUCAUUAUUUUAUCAAGUUAAUCUCAUUGUUAUUAGUGCCAAAUAUCAGCCUUUAAUCCAGCUCAAGAUGGCCGAAAAUAUUGACCAAGAAAAGGGAGGAAAAAGAAAAAAAUUGAGAUUGAAUCUUGUGGUGACACUUGGCGGUCAUCCACCUAACUUUGACCCAAACUAAUUACCAUCUUAUUAACCUUCUUGAAGCUUCAUUUUCUCCUCCAUUUCAUCAGCUUGGCCGAACCUCAAGGAGAGAGAGAGCAAGAGAAGAAAACUCCAUUUCAUCUUGAGCAUAGCUUGAUUGAGUGAGAAAACAAGAAAACCAAAUCGAUUAACUUGCAAAUUGAGAGCUUGGGAAGCUUGGGAAGCUAAAUUUCACAAGGAGAGAUGGUGGAUAAUUCUUCCAAGCAUCUUUGAGAGGUAUAUUGGCUGUCCAUCACAUUUAUUUCUCUUAAUCUUGUUAAAGUUUAGUUAGAAGCUCUUAAUCUUGCCUUAUGACGGGUAAUCAGUUGGUUUUGAUGGAUUUGUUGAAUAUGGAGCUAGGGUUUACAUUUUCAACUUUGAUUAUAGUUAUCUACCUCUUAAUUGAUGUUAUUGAGCUAGUAGUGGAUGGUUUUGAUGAUAGAGUACUUCUUGGAUAUGAAUUUCUAGUGGAAAAGUUCAAAUUCCAGAAUUAGAUUCUUCAUUGUUCUGUUCUGUCCGGUUUUAGUUCACCAUGAUAGAGGCCGAAUCAGGCUUGGCACAAAACAUGAAAGUUCUAGGGAAUGAUAUUUUAUAGUUUCCUGUAAAAUUUCAGCCUAAUCUGAGCACUUUAGCUCAUGAAAAAGAUAAAAAUACCCUGAGACUGCCUUAGGAAGAGUCCAGCAGACAGUUUUGACAUUUUCUCAUGUUGGCUGCGUUUUUCACCUUGAUCCGUACCAAACCAGUCUUUGGACAAAACAUAAAACUUUUAGCCCUAUGUUUUUUCUUUCCAACACCACUAAAAACGCCCUAAUCGGACUUUAGUAGCCUGAGUUAUUUUCGUUUACGCAUAAGGCGGUUAACAAGCUCGAAUGUGAGAUUCUGGUUCUGUCAUUUGAGAUUUUGACUUAGAUACACUGCAAACUGGACUGAGUGGUCUUCAUCAAAGUUGUAUACCUUUGUUUUAGCUUCGAAACGGUAUAAAUUUCACCCCAAUCCAAUAAGCAUAGCUUUGGUUGUGCUCGUUACGCUAAAUGACGGCAAAUCUGUCUUUUGUUUUAUGCCUUAAACUUCAUUUCCGGACAUGUACCUAGUUUAAUUUUGUACUCGUAUGACUUUGAGCCUAUGGAACGGCUAUUGAAAUGAGAUGAUUUUGUGUGUGACUUUGGGACUGAUUUGAGGAAAAUAUUGAAGCUAUAAAUGGCUAGAAAAUAGAUAAACACAAGGGGCAUGCCGCCAAAUUUUCACUAGAGGUAUAAACCGGUCUUUGGAGUUUUGGUUCGGUAAUCUGCAAAUUUGACUUGGAUACACUGAAAACUGGGUUGAGAUGUCUUCAUGAAAGUUGUAAUUUUUUGUCUAAGUUUCGAGACACUACCUAGUACAUUUUUAUCCGAUAACCACAGCUCCAGUUAUGGUCAAAAUCGUGUAACCCAUUUUGUACCAUUUUCAUUGUUGCACACACGCACGUGCAUUUCUCAACCGUUUUUGCCGUUUUGGACCGUUUAGGAUUAUUUUUGUUAUUUUGUUACCAUUCCGGCCGUUUCGGCCAAUUUCGACAUUCUUUUGGCCUUAACGUCAUUUUUGACCUUUUUUAUUAUUUUUAACCGUUUUCGAUCGUUUAAGUUAUAAACUGCUAUUGUAUAAUCGUUUCACUUAUGUGUGUAUAUAAUUUGUCAAUACAGACUGUGAGACUUUUGACAGUGACGGUCAAGCUCAGUGAAUUGUAUCGUUUUUCGUGUCAAGCUUUAUCAAGUGAGUAAUUGGGUUGUUAUUGAUGUGAAAUUGUCAAAGUGUUUUGUAUAUGCUAAAUGGAUACUUAGGCGAGGGUGUACUUUAUCUCACUCGACCUAAACCCAUCCUUUGUUUUGAUUUCCUAUGUGAGAAUACAUGCUUUAUGUUGAGUAUCACCCCAUUAACUCUGCUAAUCUCAAGUAGCUUUUCACUUCAUUAACUUAGUGGGAAAGGGGGAAACUUGGAGAAGAAAAGCAGUGGGUUAGAGUGAGAGAGUCAAGUGUGGACUCGUGUCUAACUUGUGUUGGUUAUAAAUUGAUAUUUGGACAUUUGUUAACGGCCACGUGGUCUUCACCGUCCAAAUUGAGUAAAUUCUCAUUUUUUGACUAAAUGUGGCAAAAAAUCGUUAAUUCAUGUACUCAAGUGUUUUGACGAAAAGUUUAGGGACCAAAUGUGUCUUCGUCACAAAGUUUAAGGAUGAAAAGUGAAUUUUUCUCAUGAGGAAAUUGCACACAAAGUCUCUUACAUCUUACGCUUUCACUACCGUCAUCCCUCCUUCCCACAUAGGACAGUAAAGUAGGUUGUCAAUUGGAACAUUUGAGUUGGAUUUUAACAUGUUUAAAUUCAAUUCAUAGAAAAUAUCACUGUCUUGAGCCCAAGCAAGUUUAAUUAAGUUAGAAUCACUUUUUUGUAACUCACACCUGACUCAUUUUAAUUCACAUCAUAUAUUUUUCACAUUUACAAAAUUUUUUUUUGAAGGACACAUUUACAAAAUCUAGUAAAACCAAAUGAUUUACCGAUUCACAAACAUCCAAUAAUAUAUAAGUAAAGUUGCAAUAUCAAUAAAAGUUUGAAUUUCAUGACAAAAAAUAGGGAGGAUCUAAAUCCACACCCUCCCAUUCUAAAUUCAGAUCCUAAUUACCAAUAUGGCAAUUAAGCCCCUAUCACUUAAUAACUUUUACUUAUAAUUUUUUUACAAUUCCAAAAUUAUCAUUUCAUAUAAUAAAAACGAUUUGUCAUAACACUAUUCUUUUAAUUAUUUUUCUAAUUUUUUAAAUUCAUUGCAUGUUGUUUUUAAUAAUUUGUACCACAUUAGUGUCUUUGAACAAUAAUAAAUUCAUGAAACCGAUCAAGUUAGGUAAUAGAAUUAGAGAUCUUGUAUACUUCAAAAGUGUUACUAUACAAAUAAUUUCAUUAUUUCAACAUAAUAGAUAUGCAUCCUAUAAAAGAAAGUGAAAAAUGCAAAAGAAACAUCCAAUGAUCCAUAAAUUUAGUAUGAUGUUUAAUUAAUAGCCAAAAGCUCCAAUAAGGUUACACAUAAAUGCUGAACUAUUAGAAAUUUUUAUAAGGAACAUGAAUAGUACUAUGAUAAUUUUGGUUGUUAUAUAUUUAGAAAAACAAAAUUAAUAUUAAAAAAGAGAAAAACAAAUUAAAAACACACAUUACACAUCCUAUAAGCCCAAGAAUUUUCAAAACUCAUGAGACUUUUGUUGAAAACAUUUAGAAGAAAACGUAAUGGAAUAAAUGACUAAAGGAACAAUUAAAUGUAAAGGGUUUUAAUGUCAUAUUGAUUUUUAGGGUGUGGAUAUAGGGUGUUAGUGUAUGGAUUUAGCCCCUCUGCAAAAUAUAUAGCUUACCAUAUCGUCCAUAAACUUAUCAACUAAAGAUUAAAAAAAUAAUUAAUCAUAAAAUUAGCCAUAUAAAUUUAAAUUUAUUUAAUCGGAAAUAGACCAACAAAUAUUCUUAAUUCCCAUAUAACCUAUAAAAUACCCAAAAAAAGAGAAAUAUUUUAGAUAAAAAACUAUAUGUUAAAAAUUCUAGUAUUUUAGUAUUUGGUACUCUAAAAUGAACGAUGAUGUAUAUAUAUGUCAUACCAUCAUUGUUGGGCCAAGUAUUAAGUAGUUUGAGAUUAAUGCAAUUCAACCCACAUUCAAAUCGGGCCAAAUAUUUUGAUUCAUGCUCAAUUUAAACUCAUAUUGCUUAAAAAUCAGCUCAGUAAAAUUAGGGCCGAAGGGAUUGCGAUCUAAUCAAUCCAACCCUAUUCACAACCUGAAUGUAAUAUGUUCACAUUUUUCUUACAUUUAUAUAUUUUUUUCUUAUAGUUAUAUUUCUUACUAAAGUAAAACCAACCAAUUUGGUUCUAAUCUCAAUUCAUCUUCUUCCACCUUUUCUGCUUAAAAUUGACAUGAAACCAUGCGUGAACUAUUUUAACCGAUCCAAAAAUUUCUUUUAAUUAAUCUCAAUUUUUUUUUGUCGAGUGUAAAUGCAAGAGAGAAUAGCUAACAAAUUGGGCUCCUUUUUUUUCACUCUUUUUUGAAUUGGACUUAUUUAGGAUGGUGGCUGUGGUGUCUUUCAACUAGUGCCAACAUGGAAAUUGAUUGAAAGUCAACACAAGUUGUCUAUAUAAGUUGGAUUAGUUGAUAAGGUUGAAUUACUAUUUAAGAAAGGGUGUGUGAUGUAAGGAUUAUAUUGGUAGGCAAUUGUCAAUUCAUAAGAAUCUCUAUAAGCCACCUUUAAUCCAAGUAACAUGCCCUAAUCUGUUGCGAUGACCAAAAUCAACAGGUCGAUGCACAAGCUAAAAUUGCUAUAGAAUGCUUUGCUUGCUUUCUGUUGUGCUCAUUAUGUGAAUACUUUUUCCAAUAAAUGAGACCAAUGGUAUUUAAACUUUUCUAGAAACAUUAAUUUGAUAUUUCACCUUUUAGUUGUGCAUCAAUUCAAUAUCUAUUUUUUUUGUAUUUUGUAAGGCCCGAAAACACCUCUUUUCUAGGCGACCACACAAUGGAGCAGUUGAUAAGAAAGCACAAGUGCUUGUGAGUAGAAGAGAUAAACAAUUUAAAGAUCAUAAACGGAACAAUAAGUAAAUAAAAAGGAAAGGAUUGCAAACCAAUUAACUACCCAAUUCCUCUUGAGCUUGUAGAUAAAUUCAAACAAGCUACUUCAAGUUGAUGAAUUACAAUCACUCUUGUGUACAAAGGAAGGUUCACCUCCUCCUUGCCCCGAACUCCACUCGGUCAAACCAGGACGUUUUACUAUCCCUCAGGACAACCCUCACAGAGCUACACUCAUGAAAGAUUCACUCACAAAUGAAAAGCUUAUAAUGAACCUCACACCACUAAGACUACAAAUCUUCUUUGAAGAGUAUUUUCUCACUAAAAUCUCUCUAGAUCUUUUGUAUCUUCGGUGUGUCAAAGUUGUUUGAAGUGUCUGACCAACCACUAUUUAUAUAGGACCAAGAAAGUGCCUCAUUAAUGCUUCCAACGGAUAGAAAGUAGCUGAACAGUCAACUAGCCGUUGGUAGUGUCGGACGUCCGAUAGCACUGUUUUAUGCGUCCGACAGCAGGCAGUGAGUUUGAGAAAUUUUCUUCAAUUCUUUCGGACGUCCGGUAGGCUGGUUUUCUGCGUCCGAAGAUACUCGAUGGUUGUCGGACGUCCGAUGCAGUCUUUUUCAGCGUUCGACAGCUUUCAGCAACCUUUGUUUUCUUUCAAUAGCACUUGUUCAUGGAAUCACAUAACUUCAUAAUUGAAAAUAUUUCUUGGAGAGAUAUUAGUAUCAUCCAUUUGUUUUGUAAACAUCAAAAAAUAGGGAUCAAGAUCAACAUAUUUGAUCAAUUCUAAACACAAUUUUGGUAGAAAUUGGUUGCUGAGGUUGGUCAAGUGCCAGUUUACAUAUAGUCAAGGCAUACACAAUUCUAAAAUUUUGAAACAUUUAGAAAACUAAUGUCAAAAUAAAAAACAGGGAAAAGGAGAAAAAAAAAAUUUGAUGGAUGACUUAGUGGCGGAAGCUUAGGAGUAAGAAUAAUUACAUAAAUAAUCUGAAUAAAUGAACUAAGAGAGAUUCACAACCUACCCUAAAAGGAAAACCAAGAUUCAACAAGAAUCUACCACUUGAGUGCACUUAAGAAGAGGAUUUAAUCCAACACAAUUGUGUUAAAAUUGAUAUAUAUUGUCAAAAGUCAAUAAAAUAAACCCUAUAAAGCCUAUUUAUAAGCUAUAAAUCUUUUAAACCAAAAAGGAAAAGAAAAUACAAUUAAAAUAGAAAAACGAUCAAUAGCUCAUUUUUUGGCCACCAUGGGAUUUGCGAACAUAUCCAACUAUGCUAGGUGCAGAUGGAUCCAAAUAUGCUAGGUGCGGAUCCGUUUUGCAGAUCGAAGUUGUUGCUUUCUGGCCUAAAUCCACGGGCUAGAUCUAAGAUUCAGAUUCGAGGCGCAGUCAUCUUGAUCGGGCAUCGAUCAGUGCGAAAUUGUAGCUUCUAGUAUUUGACUCCAACCCCCUUGUUGAGUGACUCAAUUCCCUUUUUUGGUGAUCAAACUCGUUCCACAUCAGUUCCUUCUACUUUAAAAGAACUCGACCCUGAGUUCUAUGAGGAAUUUUCAACACUUGAACAAAUCGACACUUUAAUAAUUUUUCCUUGCAAUUUAUAGGGUUUGAACACAAACAUAAACUAAACACAAAUUGGAUCAAAUGUAGAUUGAUAGCUGUACUGGUACAAAAUCAGGCACAAGCUUAAAAGUAGUAACCACACUAUCCAUUAUUGUUGACACAACUUGUACCUCAACUCUUGAACAAUAAAAGUCUUCACUAUAUUCGGUUUUAUCUUGACAUCCGCUGCUUGAAAAUUCAUCAAACUUUGAUCCACACCAUCAUCACUAGGAAAUUGUAUCAACUCCUUCAAGAGUGAAUAUGAAGGUUUGCUAGGAUGCACCUUAUCCUCCUUAAUAGUUAGUAGCUUGCGGAACAUCAUCUAGAUCAUCACCUACAUUUAAAUCACAGUCUAUAGCAAAAUAAUUAAUAAGUUAUUGUCAACCAAGUGGGCUGCUUUGGGCCGUCGUUGGCACCAAAACAAUCUUUUUCCCAUCCUUGAUGAAACAUUAAUAGAUUAUUUUCCUUCCAUUGAAUGUCACCUCCCAGUCAUAUUCCCAUGACCUCCUAAAUAACACAUGGCAUGCAUCUUAUCUACAAUGUCAUACAUGACACAAUUAGUGUAAUAUUUGUCUAUGGACAAUGAAACUAAACUUCUCUCAACUACAUUAAUAGGAUGUACAUCCUUUAUCCAACUAUUAAUGUAAGGAUCAGGAUGAAUCUCAAUAGGCAAGCUCAACAAUUUAACCAAAGCACUAGAAAAUAUAUUUUCACAGCUAUUAGUAUCAAUUACCAAGUCAAAAAGUUGAUUUAAAAUUUUACACAUAGUUCAGAAGAUUUGCUUGCUAUAUGUGUCAACUUCCUUCUUGGGUUAUGCACAGGUCACUCAUAGUCUACCACUCAUCAUCCUUAGGCUCAUAGACAUAUUUUCAUCUUCUUCUUCUCCGUUGCCUCUCACUCCAGUAUUCUCAGCAAAAUUUACUGUCUUACGCAGUGGAUAGUUGUUUGAGUGAUGCCCAAAUUACUGACAUUACUAUUACUUACCCUCCAUUGGUAUGGUAUAGGAAUUUGUGUUAGUUUUGAUAUUUUAUAGAGGAUUCAGGUUGGCAUGAACCUUCUUUAAAGCCCCAUUCAUUUCACCAAUCUUCAUCUUUUAUUCCCUAUUACCACCUCAACGAGUCUCUAAUACUGUCCAUAAUUCGUUUUUAACUAGUGGUUCUAUGGACUCCUUUACACAUCUAUGCCAACUUUCUUCCUUGCAUUCUUUUUGUAGGCCAAAUUUAAUUCAGCCUUCAAAGCUAGGUUGUUUACAUUCGCUACUAUAAGAAUUGAUUGAAUACCAAUCUCUUUUGAGUACAAAUUUAUUCAACCUAUUAAGAAAUCUUGACUGAGAUGUUCCUUAGUUUCCAUCAAAUUAUUAUGGGGAAGUAGGUGCAAAAAUCAACAUAGUAUUCAUGAAUAAUCUAGUUACCUUGAGUGCAAUUGAAAUUAUGAAAUGGGUACUAAUCAUAGUUUAGGAGAAGGAACAGAGUUAUCAAGAGAAGCAUCAUCUUUAGCCACGAUUAUAUGGGUUGCUUUCUCUAAUGUCAUCUCUAAUUUUGCAAUUACACCCACCAAUAAGAUGCUCUAUUUCUGCUCAAGUAGUAACUUACCAAUUUGACUUAUCAGUCUUUGGUGAUCUCCAUAUAAUUGAAGAAUCUCUUAAUUUUUGUAAUUCAAUCUAAAAAAUUCUCGUUACCCAGAUUACUAUUGAAAGAAGGAACAUCUACUUUCAAUUUAAACUCUUCAGACUCUUGAUUUUGACAUUGAAAACCCCUGUGAUUAGGGCUUUCUCUGCAAAAUUAAUCAUUAUUUGAUUAAUAGAUGCAUCUUCCUUAUAAGCUUGCUAUCUAUGAGGUCUUCUUUGUUCCGUAUUGGCUCAGUCAAGAGGCACUCUCUCACCCCCGAUCACCUUGUUCAAUCUAUCUUUUAUUAUGUGUCCAUGUCUUUGUUUGUUAAGGUUUCACUGAGACUUCUUUCAUGGACUUGAAGAAGUAGUGGUUGGCUAAAAGAUUCUAUUGCCUUGAUUCUGAUAGAAACCUUAAAAGAACUCCAUUUCCUCCACAAAAAUCAUGUGGUUCAUAAAUGUGUUAGUUUGGACUAAUGUUUUGGGUCAUGAAGCAAUACUGUAUCAUGCUUGGAAGUCCAACAAUGUUAAAAACUCCUUUCAGCACAAAAAUAUUUUAAUGAGGAAGAGUGUGAAAUUCAAGCACAAUCUUGGCGGCAAAAUAGUGAGUUAAGCUUAAGUACUUAUUAGAGUUUCAGACUUUUCAUGGCUUUUCAUCUUCUUCCUAAAAGAGGCCUCUUUCCUGCUAGCAGCAUUGCCCUGAGUUCUAUUACAAUUUGAAUAUUUUGGAGCCAUAACUCUUAUCUUUAAACUAGAUAAUUUUGAUUAAGUUGAAUGGUUGUUAAGAGUUGAACAAAAGGUCACUCUUUGAUCAAGUUUAUAAAACGAAGAUGAAGAAGUAAACAAAGAGUGCCAACUUUAAAGAAGAUCAAUAAGCAGCAGGGGAAAUGUGUGUAGGUAUUGAGUUUUCUUUCCACACAAGAAAAACUUAAGGUCAAUAUAUAUAUAUAUUGGUGAUUUUUAAAAGUUCGUUAUGUAUAUAUACAUAUAUAUACAUACUUGAGUUUGUUUCGGUUGAAACACGUGUAACCAUGACAUGUGCUUUCUAUGAUCUAGUGUUAAUAUUAACUAUAAUAACUGUGCCUAAGAACAUUUGAGCCUUGGAUUUCGUUUCAAUUAAAAUAGGGUGUAUUUCAUAUCAAACCAUAUGCACUAGAUGUUCUAAUCUAAUGCCCUGUACCUUUAUUAAGGCGGCAGAAUGACUCAUAGUCGGAGUUGGCUCAGGCAAAAAACCUUACCUUUGGCCUAAUACUCACUCUAAUAGCAUGUGUUGCCUCUAAAGCUACAUACAAAUCGAGCCGCUUGCGAGCAGGUUGAGUCAAGCUUGAAUUGGCUAAAUAAAGAAGGAACCUCCACCGAUGGGCACUGGCGAGCAUUCAGCCAAAUAAAGAAGGAACCUCCUCCCGUCGAGACUGUGAGGACCCGAAAUUUUACUUAUUUUAAUCUUAUUUUAAUGGUUUAAUUAAUUAUUUAUCCACCCGUUUUCUCCAAAUAAUUUAUUUCAACCAUUUUAGAUCCAAUUGCAUGGAACUAUAAUUUGCUUAUAUUUUUAAAAUGACUUGUUUCAAAAUUUAAUUUUUGAAAGCUCGUUAAGUGAAAAUAGUGAAUAUGCGAUUGGAAUCAAUAAUCGAUUCGAGAAUACAAUAAACUUGGAACUCGGGGACAUGUACAUUAUUCCUAAAAUAGGUAUUUUUAUGUUUAAGAGUUCAAAUGUUAGUUAGUUAUAUUAUCGUUAUAAGAAUUUCUUGGAAGUUUCACUUUAUCGCGUUUAAAUUGGAAGUACGCGUUUUUACGUGCGCGAUUAAUUGGGAGGUUUUAGACCUUCAUUUUAUACCUUUAAGAGUGAAUAAUAGUAAUAUGAAUAUAAGUGCACUGGUGAAAUAAACUAGAGAGGAAUCUAGCACGAAACGCGCGCAUAUGCGCACUAUUGAAGAGUUGACCUUAGAGUAAAUUAUAGCCACACAUUAAAGCUUCUUUUGGAAGCCUCAUUUAGAUCAAAAUUCCCUCUCUCUUCCUCCCCAAGACAGCCAGCCAUUGAGCUUGCAAAACAACACCAAAGUUCUCCAAAUAUCUUCACAAAAUCUUCAUCAAUCUUCAUCCAAUUCACAUCAAAUUUCAUCCACACUUGGCUCAUCACUUGGAGACCUCAUUAAGCUACAAAAAAAGGCUGCUGUCCACGGCUAUCUUAGGCUAAGGAGGGGCCGAAAAUUUCUGUCUUGUUCAUCUAGCGAAGUAAGUCACGAUCAACCUCGAUAAUCUUGAAUUAUGGAAGUUCUAUUGCACGUCUAAGCUUAUGCAUGCAUGUGGGUAGCUUGAUUAUAUUGGAAAAAUAGUUGUGUGGGCUCUAUGAACUCCCGCAUUUGAUGGAUGGACUGAUUUGGUGAAUAAUGAUGUUAUUAACAUUAGUUUAGUGCUUAAAUUAGUGAAAUAAUGUUGGGUUGUUGAUAGAAACUUGAGGAUGGUGCAAUGACCAAAAGUGACCAUUUUGCCCCUCUUAUAUUCAUGCACUUUGAUGUAAAAUUUUGACGUUCCAAAGGCUUGUUUAUGUUGUUUACAUGUUAUAGUGAGUGUGUAAAAAGUUUCAUUGAAAAAUAACUUGAUUUGGUCACUCAAAUGUUGGAAUUACGAAAGCUUAGAAAUCUGAAAAAUGUUCCCGUCACUGCUCUGGCAGUUGUUUUGUUUCGGCUAUAACUCAUUGCUCCGAUGUCAGAAACGAGUGCUGUUUGUGGUACUAGAAACUAGACAUUCCCAGAUUUCCAGUGGUAUAAAAUGUACAUUCUGAUUCCACCUGAGUAGUCCAUACCAAUCGUUUAAAUAUGACUGUCCUGUUUCACGUCUACACUGGGAGCUCUGUUUUGAGCAGUGAAUUGAUGCUCAAAUGUGAGCUAGUUGUGGACCGAUUUUGGAAAUGAUUUCUUCUAAGAAAUUGUAGCCUUAUGAAUCUAGUUUUCAACUCCACUAACCAUGCUCAAUUCCGAGUUGAAUUGAGUAACUUAUGACCAGAUUUCGAAACCAACUUUGUAGGCGGAAACCCUCAUUUUGGACAGGUUGUAACCAAUAUUGAUUUGGGACUUGUUGUUUCGAAAUUCUUAGUGUCAAUCACCUACCAAACACAUCUUGGAUGCUUUUUAGACAUUGUCUACCUAAAUGAACCAGAUUUAAGAUGUUUCUUUUGGCCAAACGUUUAGAAAGAGAAAUUUACAUACAAGGCAGAUUUGCUUUGAAAACUUGUGGAACUUUAACAACUUUGUUAACUGACUUCUGUUCGUAUAUUUCGAUGAAAUUUUAUAGUGGAAUAGCACUCAUAUGGUACUAUAAUACUGCCAAGUUUGGUGUCAUUCGAAGUCCUUCUCGAUGCCUAAUAGAUGUCCCAAAGUUUGCAUUUUAAAUUUGAAAAAUUUUUCCCUUUCUCUUGGCCGAAUGGUCAAAUUUGAUUUGGGGAGUUAUAUUUCGAAAAUUGUGAUGUGCAUUAUCUUUAAAUUGCUUAGUGGGUGUUUAUGGGCUCUUGGUUUCGAAAAUGGAGUGAUUUAGGACUGAUUUCAUUGCACAAAACUUUUGCAAGCAAAAGAAAAGUGAGAAGGCAAAUUAGCCUUGAAAUAUUUCUUGAACUUUGGUUGUUUUAAUGACCGCCUUUCCGUGGAAAUUUUUGUAUGAAACUUGGUAGAAAUGUUGUUCACACUUGGAGAAUUUAAUGUACCAAUUUUGGUAUAUUUCUAAUGCCGAAUCGAUGGCCAAAUGAUAUUUUCAAGAUAGUCUUUAAAUCUGGAAAAUGACUGAACAGUUUGUGAAAUGUGACCAACUUUGGACUGAUAUCUCUCAAUACUCAAAACUCCGAUUCUUGUUUCGCUUACUUUGUUUUAAACUUUGAUUGCAACUCUAAUUGAGUUUCAAAUCUGAGAAGUUAAUUCAAAUUCUGUGAAUUUUGCCAAAUUUUCAAAGUUGGCAAAAAACCAACCUUGAAACUGCCUUGAUAGCCUAAAACAGUAAAUUUGAGCCACCAUAUCUUGGUGUUCGAAACUCCAAUUCUUGUUCCGCUUGUUGUGUUGAAAACUUUGAUUGUAACUCUAAUUGAUUCCAAAUUUCAGAGGCUAGUUUGUAUUGUGUGAAUUUUGCCGAAUUUUCAAACUUUGUCAAAAACUAACUCCGAAACUGUCUUGCAAGCCUAAAACAGCAAUUUUGGGCCAAAUUUCGAAUGCCUUCCACUUGGAAUCAUGGAAAAGUAUAUUCUAGAAAUUUUUAGUACUUUGGAAGAAGUUUCGAACGGUAUCAAGUUUUUCAAUUUUGGACUUAUAAUGAGCGAGAUAUGAUUUUUCAAAGAUCUCGUAUCAAAGUGAAAAUUUUCGAAACUUAAAGAACUAGAGUUUUUCGAAUUCUUCUUUUUCCCUCGAUAUCACAUGAAUGUUUUACACUUGAUUUCAAAGAUGAAAACUUAAUUUCUCUUGUGCUUUAAAACCUCCACUUUUGAGCUUUGAUUCGCGAGUAAUUUAGGCUCGCUUUCGUGAGAUUUUCUUGGAUUGUACAAGCGUACAGUCAUUCGUGAUAAUUGAGAUAUAUAAAUGAUAGUUCACUAUUAAUUGUUCCGGCUCGCACGAGAACCUUCAAAAGAAUUCCAAGGUAGACGCCUGAACAUCAAGUGACAUUUCUUCUUUGUUUAUUUGGUGAGUAUCAAGUAUGUGUUAAAUGCUUAUGUGAUUGAGAUAUUAGUUGUACAAGUGUUAUACAUGAUACGUAAACUUGUCGAGCCGAGUGUGUACUGUAUCGCACUCGUUCUUAUUUGAAAUGCGUGAAAUUUUGGAGUACUUUCCAGCCUUCAAGCAGAAGUGAAAGCUCUCCUAAAGGGGGUUAGGUUUGACCUCAUGCUUGACCUGACUUGAUUCGCUUGACCUGACCUGACUUGCUUGACAUGACAUGUCUUGACCUGACCUGACUUGCUUGACUUGACAUGUCUUGACUUGGAAAAUAUGCUAUGGCUGCAUAAGUCGAUUGGAGCGAUGUCUCAUCGACCUCUGAAUGAUAGCAAGUACCACACCGAUUUGGUGGGAGGUAUCUCUCGAAUCAUCUCAGACAUAUUAAUUGAACGAUUGUAAGUACCACACCGAUUUGGGUGGGAGGUACCUCUCGAGUCGUCUCAGUACCCUAGACCUCUGAACGAUAGCAAGUACCACACCGAUUCGGGUGGGAGAUACCUCUCGAAUCAUCUCAGAACCCUAAAACAUUCUAAGUCGAUUGGAGCGAUGUCUCAUCGACCUCUGGACGAUAGUAAGUACCACACCGAUCCGGGUGGGAGGUACCUCUCGAAUCGUCUUAAAACUAUAAAUUGAACGAUAAUAAGUACCACACCGAUUUGGGUGGGAGGUAUCUCUCGAGUCGUCUCAAAAAUAUACAUGGAAUACGUGAAGUGCUACGAACUCAAGUACCUACCCGGGGUACGGGGUGUCGUCACGAGAAAGUAUUAAAAUUGAACUGGAGUAAAGUAAGAAAUCAUUAGCUCCAGAGUGCUUCUACAUCCUACUCAAGGGUGUUUAUUAUAAAUUGUGAAAUUUCUUGAAUGUUAUAGUUUUCACUAUUGUGUAAGUGCUAUUAUUAUUGAAUUACUUGUCUUGCAUAUUUUCUUGGCCUCACGAGCAUUCGUUCACCCCAUUAGAUUUGUUUUUCCUUAACAGGAGCUGAACUGGGAGGAAUUCUGGAGAAGCUUAAUUGAUGCCUUACUUGAUUAGCAUUGUAAAUGUAUUUGUUUAGAAUUUGAUUUUGGAAGCUGUAUAUUUUUGGGAUGUAAAGUAAUUGGGUAGAUUAUGAUGUAAGACUUGAAUAUUUAUGAAGGAAUUGACCUUCCUUUAUCUCUCCGAUUUUUAGUAUCGAUUGGUUAUUAUUGAGUGUAAAUUGAAUUAGUAUCGAGUCCUGGUGAGAGUUAGGCAGGCGUCCCGCCGAUACCCUUGGGUUCGCUCUUGGGAGAAAUGGGGGCUUCACAGUUGGUAUCAGAGCUUAGGUUUUAGAUUUUUGUAGAGUAUUCUAGGUCUAAAAGUUUAGGAUACCAGAUUGUGGGAUUUGAUUGUGUAUUAAGUGCAACGUGAUUUUGGUGCUUGAGGUUGUAGUACCACUUUUGCUUACAAAACAUUAUAAGACUUUACUCUUCAAGUUAGGUUGGAGGUGGGUCAAGAUUAGAAAAUCUAAAUAGCCAUCUAGUGAGUUUAAGGGUUAGAAACAUUGCUUUCCUCACUUUUUUGCUUGUCGAACAUUUCGAAAGAAAAGUUGAACCAUUUGAACAAUUUUGGCCUCCACUUUGAACUUGAAAAUGAGACAUCUUUGUAUUCCGUUUGGUUUGACUUAUUACUCUAGUUUGUACAAGAACUCUCACCUUGAAUCUAGCGAGGAGACUGAGAAUUUAGGAAGUAGCUCAAGCUUUUGGAUGUAAUUUGGAGUUAUAAUCAUUUGAAUGAUGUGGCUUUGUAUCAUGGAUUAUUCUAGUUUUGUCCCUAACUAGGUUUAUGAUUUUUCUUUUGAUCCUGCAUAGUAUAGUAGGGGUAGUGCUUGCCGUAAGGCCUUUUGUAUUUUACCUGCAAGUACUAUAUUUGUGGUAUUUAGUUGUCUAUAACUUGUAUUUGAUACUAUUAACUCGUUGUAUGCACAUUGACAUAUGAUAUGAUUUCUAACUUAUGCAAAUAGCUAUGUUUUGAUUUAAAGUGUUUUUGCCAUGUGUACCUGUUUUUCGAUUCACAUGCUUAUACUUUCUACUUCUAUUAUGCGUUUAGAAACUUGUUAAAUGAAUCAACGAGAAUGUGGACGGGGGCGUGGGCGUGGGUUUCAGCAACCCCGCACUCCCGAGAGAGGUGAGGGGUCCACGACUGGACCAAACCAAAAUCCUAGAAACGAAGAGGGUGACCAAGUGGUUAUGGCCAUUAACCGCAUGACCGAUAUUCUCAAGCGCUUAGUUGAGCAUCAGGGACCUGAACCAGUCAAUCAACCUAGGAACCAAGAGAGAGGUGAGGAUAGAGCUUUCGAGCGAUUCUUGAAAUUCGCUCCCCCUAAGUUUCAUGGAGGGUCUGAUCCCAAAGUAGCGGAAAAUUGGUUUAAAAGGAUGGUUGAAAUUUUUGCUGCUUUAGAUUAUACCGAGGAAAGGCAAGUGAAUUUUGCCGUUUUUCAAUUUGAAGGGGCGGCACGCUCGUGGUGGAAUGUUGUUAGUGUAAAGUGGAAAAGAGAACAAAUCUCUUGGACUUGGAUUAACUUUGAGAGGGAGUUUAAUAUUAAGUUCCUCCCGCCAAUUAUACAAGAAAACAGGGAGGACGACUUUAUUAAGUUAAAACAAGGGUUAUUAAGUGUGGCCGAGUACGAGGAGCGGUUCACCAAACUUUUCAAAUUUGCUCCUGAACUUGUACUUACCGAACGGAAAAGGAUAAGGAGGUUUAUUCAGGGGUUAAAUGUAGAAAUUCAAGAGUCCCUAGCAGCUGCUCAGAUUAUCACUUUUACGGAUGCCUUAGAUAAGACACAAAGGGUAGAAAAUGCUAAGUCUCAAUCUAAAACUUUUUACACUAGAAAGAGAGGUAACCUAAGUGAUAUUCCUAAACCAUCCGAGAAGUCUACCCAACCCUUUGAUAUGGAAAAAGAGGUUGGAGGAGUGAAGAUGCCUGAAAAAUCCGGAGAAACUCCAUCAAGCAAAGCCCCGCUAAAAGGAAAUCGGAGUAGACGAGAUCAACAAAAAGGGAAAUCUCAAACUGGUCAAGCCGUGACUCCUCACGUAACUUGUGGAUACUGUGGCCAAAUUAACCACACUAAGGCCGAGUGCUGGAAAAAACAAGGAAAAUGUCUGAGCUGUGGUAGUGCCGAGUAUAAGUUUUUGAAUUGCCCUAAAUCUUCUAAAGGAAAAAGAAAUUCUUAACCACCUGCUAAAUCCACUGCAAAAUCAAUCGACUACUAGAAGGAGUGAUUAAUGCUAAUGAUUGUACAAGGGACCCAAGUAGUAGAAACUCUACGAGUAGGAGUAAAUCUGACUUCACUCGACAAAUAGGGAUUGUAGUUUUACCCUAUCAUAGACUGGCACUUUUAGAGGUUGUAAUCUUUUGUAUAGGGGAUGACAUCCUUUUAUUGUAUACUGCGACUUAGCACAUUUUAAUCUUGUUGUUUCCCCUUUUCUUUUGAAACGAUUUGAUAAAUUUAAUAUAAUUUAGUGUAACCAUUAUGAUCUUUUUGGCAUAUGAAAAUCUACCUUGCUUUUAAUUGAUUUUACGACUUAUAUAUAUAUGUAAACUAUUGCUCCACGCCUCUAGACCUGUAAUAAGAUCAUGAAUGACACCUGAGAAUAGUUAAAUUCUAUAAGUAUGAGUUUUGAAAUGGGAGAAUUUAAAAGUGAUGGAAAUUGGUCACGGGAGGAGAAAGUAUUUGGGAUUAUUCAUACAUCAGAAUAUGAAUUUCGAGAACGAAAUUCUUUUUAAGGAGGGAAGGAUGUGAGGACCCGAAAUUUUACUUAUUUUAAUCUUAUUUUAAUGGUUUAAUUAAUUAUUUAUCUACCUUUUUUCUCCAAAUAAUAUAUUUCAAGCAUUUUGGACCCAAUUGCAUGGAACUAUGACUUGCUUAUAUUUUUAAAAUGACUUGUUUCAAAAUUUAAUUUUUGAAAGUUCGCUAAGUGAAAAUAGUGAAUAUGCGAUUGGAAUCAAUAAUCGAUUCGAGAAUACAAUAAACUUGGAACUCGGGGACAUGUACAUUAUUCCUAAAAUAGGUAUUUUUAUGUUUAAGAGUUCAAAUGUUAGUUAGUUAUAUUAUCGUUAUAAGAAUUUCUUAGAAGUUUCACUUUAUCGCGUUUAAAUUGGAAGUAUGCGUUUUUACGUGCGCGAUUAAUUGGGAGGUUUUAGACCUUCAUUUUAUACCUUUAAGAGUGAAUAAUAGUAGUAUAAAUAUAAGUGCAUUGGAGGUUUAGUGCACUGGUGAAAUAAACUCGAGAGGAAUCGAGCACGAAACGCGCGCAUAUGCGCACUAUUGAAGAGUUGACCUUAGAGUGAAUUAUAGGCACACAUUAAAGCUUCUUUUGGAAGCCUCAUUUAGAUCAAAAUUCCCUCUCUCUUCCUCCCUAAGACAACUGGCCAUUGAGCUUACAAAACAACACCAAAGUUCUCGAAAUAUUUUCACAAAAUCUUCAUCAAUCUUCAUCCAAUUCACAUCAAAUUUCAUCCACACUUGGCUCAUCAUUUGGAGACCUCAUUAAGCUACAAAAGGGGGCUGCUGUCCACGGUUGUCUUAGGCUAAGGAGGGGCCGAAAAUUUCUGUCUUGUUCAUCUAGCGAAGUAAGUCACGAUCAACCUCGAUAAUCUUGAAUUAUGGAAGUUCUAUUGCACAUCUAUACUUAUGCAUGCAUGUGGGUAACUUGUUUAUGUUGGAAAAAUGGUUGUGUGGGCUCUAUAAACUCACACAUUUGGUGGAUGGACUGAUUUGGUGAAUGAUGAUGUUAUUAAUGUUAGUUUGGUACUUAAAUUAGUGAAAUAAUGUUGGGUUGUUGAUAGAAACUUGAGGAUGGUGCAAUGUGAAUUUUGUCUUGUGAAAUAAUGUUCAGAGGCUAGUUUGCAUUGUGUGAAUUUUGUCGAAUUUUCAAACUUUGUCAAAAACCAACUCCGAAACUCUCUUGCAAGCCUAAAAUAGCAACUUUGGACCAAAUUUCGAAUGCCUUCCACUUGGAAUCAUGGAAAAGUGUAUUCUAGGAACUUUUAGUAUUUCGAAAGAAGUUUCGAACGGUACCAAAUUUUCUAAUUUUGAACUUGUAAUGAGUGAGAUACGAUUUUGUAAAAAUCUCGUAUCAAAGCGGAAAUUUUCGAAACUUAAGGAACUAGAGUUUUUCGAAUUCUCCUUUUUCCCUCGAUAUCACAUGAACGUUUUACACUUGAUUUCAAAGAUGAAAACUCGAUUUCUCUUGUGCUUUAAAACCCCCACUUUUGAACUUUGAUUCACGAGUAAUUUAGGCUCACUUUCGUGAGAUUUUUUUGGAUUGUACAAGCGUACAAUCAUUCGUGAUAAUUGGGGUAUGUAAAUGAUUGUUCACUAUUAAUUGUUCAAGCUCACACGAGAACCUUCAAGAGGAUUCCACGGUGGACGUCUGAACGUCAAGUGACAUUCCUUCUUUAUUUAUUUGGUAAGUGUCAAGUAUGUGUUAAAUGCUUAUGUAAUUGAGAUAUUAGUUGUACAAGUGUUAUACAUGAUACGUAAACUUGUUGAGUCGAGUGUGUGCUGUAUCACACUCGUUCUUAUUUGAAAUGUGUGAAAUUUUGGAGUACUUUUCAGCAUUCAAGCAGAAGUGAAAGCUCUCCUAAAGGGGGGGUUAGAUUUGACUUGACUCAUGCUUGACCUGACUUAACUCGCUUGACCUGACUUGACUUGCUUAACCUGACGUGACUUGCUUGACCUGACAUGACUUGACUUGGAAAAUAUGCAAUGGCUGCAUAAGCCGAAUGGAUCGAUGUUUCAUCAACCUCUGAACGAUAGCAAGUACCACACCGAUUUGGUGGGAGGUACCUGUCGAAUCGUCUCAGACCUAUUAGCUAAACGAUUGUAAGUACCACACUGAUUUGGGUGGGAGGUACCUCUCGAGUCGUCUCAGUACCCUAGACCUCUGAACGGUAGCAAGUACCACACCGAUCCAGGUGGGAGGUACCUCUUGAAUUGUCUCAGAACCCUAAAGCAUUCUAAGUCGAUUGAAACGAUGUCUCAUCGACCUCUGGACGAUAGUAAGUACCACACCGAUCCGGGUGGGAGGUACCUCUCGAAUCGUCUCAGAACUAUAAAUUGAGUGAUAGUAAGUACCACACCGAUUUGGGUGAGAGGUACCUCUCAAGUCGUCUCAGAAAUAUACAUGGAAUACGUGAAGUGUUACGAACUCAAGUACCUACCCGGAGGACGGGGUGUCGUUACGAGAAAGUAUUAAAAUUGAACUUGAGCAAAGUAAGAAAUCAUUAGCUCCGGAGAGCUUCUACAUCCUAGUCAAGCGUGUUUAUUAUAAAUUGUGAAAUUUCUUGAAUGUAAUAGUUUUCACUAUUGUGUAAGUGCUAUUAUUAUUGAAUUACUUGUCUUGCAUGUUUUCUUGGCCUCACGAGCAUCCGCUCACUCCAUUAGAUUUAUUUUUCCUUAACAGGAGCUGAACUGGGAGGAAUUCUAGAGAAGCUUACUUGAUGCAUCACUUAAUUAGAAUUGUGAAUGUAUUUGUUUAGAAUUUGAUUUUGGAAGCUGUAUAUUUUGGGGAUGUAAAGUAAUUGGGUAGAUUAUGAUGUAAGACUUGAAUGUGUUAUGGAGGAAUUGACCUUCCUUUUUUUCUCUGAUUUUUAGUAUCGAUUGGUUAUUAUUGAGUGUAAAUUGAAUUAGUACCGAGUCCUGGCGAGAGUUAGGCAGGCGUCCCGCCGAUACCCUUGGAUUCACCCUUGGGAGAAGUGGAUGCAUCACAGAGACAAACUCCCUCAUCUUUCUCCUAUCGAUAUACACUACAGAUUGGGAAAAGGCAUUUGCUUUUUUUUUUUUUUUAAAUGACUUUCAUGGGAAAACUUGUGCUAUUUACUUCUUACUACUAUUUCUAAAUUCUAAUGAAACUAAUGGUCAAUUCUACGUUGCCCAAUUUGAACACUUAGUUGCAACAAUCUAUCCCUCAACUUCUUGUAUGUGUCAAAUGAAUCCAUCCAUUGGAUAAUUGGGCAGCAAAUAUCUAUAUUUUGAGAUGCUUUUGUCAGUCAUGUCACAGGCUUAUGAAUAGGAGCACUAUCAAUCACAUUAAUUUGCAUUGUCCAUUCCAAAAAUUCCCAGUUGGCAGCAUUAAAAGGGUAUUUAAACACAAGUUGGUACAUUACUUGACUCUCAUGUGUAUGCAAAUUAGUUUUCUCUUUUUGCUGUGAGUGAAUUAUGGAAUGGAAAGGAUGUUGCAAUCUCUUUCGAACAUACAGUGAUGUUGUUGGUGGAAAGAUAGUACACCUACUAGUUAGAUUUGAGAAUGAAAAUUGAGAAUAGAUAAAGUUGAUAACCAAAAUAGAAGAUCUUUGGAUCGUUGUGCUUGGAAUGGGUAGAAGAGUCCUUUCGUAUUAUUCCUCUACAGGUUUCACGUAGUUAAGAGUACAUAAGCACCUUAUACUAAAUUUAUUACUCCCUCUGUCUCAUUUUGAUAGUUCUAGUUUUUUUCACACAGUUUAAGAAAAAGUAGUUAACGUUGUUGGAAAAAUAAAUUUAUAUUGCUAUUUUUCUAAAAUACCUUACAUUAAAUAAAGUUGGCUUUUCAUAUAUCAAUAUGUUUUGGAAAAUCUAAAUGCAUUAAGUGGGGUAGCUUAUAUUCAAUAGUAAUAAUCUAUAUUAAAUAAGGUAGUUUAUUGUAAUAGCAACUUACAUUGAAUAAGGGUAUUUUAGAGAAAUUAAAAGAUAACUAUAUUUUUCAAUUGGAAAGUGGAUUAUAAUUUGAGACAUACGAAAAAGGAAAAUAGGACUAUCAAAGUGGAAUGGAGGGAGUACUAAUUAACAAUACAAGGGGCCUUAUUGAUACAACUAAUAGUUUAAAAAGUUAAUGUGGAGCUGAUUGAUAGCUGAAUAAGAUUCAGUAUAUUUUACCAUUAACUAAUUAUACUCAUCGCCAAAUUUGGUGGUGUAGAGAUAUGAAAUAAGACUAUUUUUGUGUUGUUUAAAAAAGGUAAAAAAAUGACUAAAUAGGUAAUAAAAAGAUCAAAGACUAAAGAUACUUUAGAUGAAAAGUUAAAAGGGUGAAUGAUCUAUUAGCCAAAAUUUAUUUUAUCCAAAAAUUGUUGAUUUCUUGUCAAUUGUAUUAAAUUGAUUGAAAUGAAAAUUAUAGUCAUAAAAUGUGUUUUUAGUGAAACUUUAAGGACAAUAAUAGUUCAAAAGUUUCAUUUUCCCUUAAAAAUAGGGAAUGUUAAAUUGAUAACUACUGUUAUCAAACAAAUAAAACUUAGCAUUAACACUAAAACACAAUAUGGUUAGAAAUUAUUUAUUAUGCAAUAAGUAACUAACAUGAUAAUUUUUGCUUCUAUCUUAAAUUAACAAAACGACAAAAAGGAUAAAAACCUAACCAAUAAAAAAUGGCAUAGUAUAUUAACAUCAAUGUCUAUUGCCUCUUGCCUCUUAUGCUUUUUAUAAAUCGUGCAAGAGUAUAUAUAAGAAAAGAUUAGUAAGAUAAGAAAAGAUAAGAUAAUAUCGUCUAGCAAGAAAAGGGCUAGUAUCACAUAUAGCCAUGUGGUUAAGUGCUUUUUCAAGGUACAUCACUUGUAAUUUAAAAAUAUUCACUUACAUCCCUCUUUGGAUUUAAGUGGAAAAUAAAUGGAAAUGGACUCCACAAUAGAAAUUUCACCUAUGUACUCUGAUAGUAUAAUUUGUUACCUAAGUCUAAUGAUGUGAAACCUUUAUAAUGUUUUUCUUUUAAAAUUGCCUCCAAACAAACAUUUGCAAUCUAUCAAAAGGUUUAAAAUGUCACUAGUAGAGCAUUUGAACCUUUUUAUAGAUUACAAAAUGUUUGAACCUCUUUAUAUAUUACAAAUAUUUAUUUAAAGGCAUUUUUGAAAUAAAAAACUUUAGUUAUAUGUAAUAUCACUAGUAUCAAGUGCUGACUCUUGGAUCAUGUAUGGAAAAUCUCCACUAGUUGAGUCCAUCUUUGUUCAUUUUAUAUUGAAAUCAAGAUGAGAAAGUUUUAAUUUAAUAAUUAAAAUUGAAAUUCAUCUUUAUCUAUUUCAUAUUUAAAUAAAGAAGGUUUCAAUCUAAUGGCUAAGGUAUGAGGGUCUAGAACUUAAAAGUUUUAGAUCCAUAUCUCUUCCCUAACGUUUCUUAAAUCCACUCCUCUGUUGCUUAAAAAUAAAUAAACAAAAAAAAACAUAAAUCAAGAUAUAAGGAGUGUAAGUGAAUAUUUUUGAAUCAUAGGAGACGUAUCUUGAAAACCUUUAACAAAGGAUAAACUCCACUUUGCACCCUCAAACUUGUAUCACUUUCUCAUUUUGCAUCAUAAAUUUCAAUUUUGGACAUUUUGCAUGCUAAAUACUCACUUUUGGACACCUCACACCCUAAAUUCUCAAAUUUGUUCUAUUUAAAUCCAGUCAAUAACAAUUUUUGCAAAAUUUAGGGCAUAAAUGACUUAACAAAUCAAUGAUAAUGCACCGAAAGUAAUCAAAAGGCGCCAAAGUAUCAUAGCAAAAAUAAAACAAUAUAUUAUCAUUAAUUUGCACCAUUUUUUAUCUCUCUAAAUUUUACUUGUAAUAUUAAUAGUUGAGACCAUAUAAAUAAAUGAUAAUGUACUAAAAUGGUCAAAAAAGCUGAGGAAUCACAAUUGGAACAAAACGGUACAUUAUCAUUAAUUUUCACUAUUCUUUAUUACGUUAAUUUUAUGAAGAUAAUUAUUGAUUGGAUAUAAAUAGGACAAACUUGAGAGUUUAGGAUGUCAAAUAUCCAAAAUUAAGAGUUUAUGGUGCAAAAUAUCCAAAAUUGAAAUUUAAAGUAUAAAGCGAGAAAAUGAUAUAAGUUUAGGGGUGCAAAGUGGAGUUAAUCCUUUAACAACAAGGGACGUGUGUGAAAUUUACCCAAAAAAAAUAUAGCUACAGUAUAUGUUAGCCUGUUAGGGAAGUUGGGUAGAAAAAAGGAGUCGAGAAAGAUCGAAACUGGGCUAAAUCCCUUUACUGGGUUGGAUAAUUUAUUAUUCUAGUCCAAAUUUGAUUUGAUUCUAGGCGCUGCUUGAUUGGGUGGAUAUAAAUAAGAUAUCCUAGUCCAAAUCAUCAAUAGUAAAAUAAUAUAUAAAUGCUACCACUGCUUGACUGGGUGGAUAGAAAGAAAAAAAAGAGUUGGUUUUCAGUCUCAUGCAUUUUUGGUUGGUAUCUCAUAGGAGUUGGAAUCAGGUAGGUCAUGGGCUGACGGAUCGAGUUGAAACACGGUUAUUCUAGACAAGUCACCAACCCAGACACGAUCCGUUAAUUUUUUUGGGUCAGAUCCCUUGACCUGAAUACAAAUUGCAAUUUUUACUAAUCACCUUAAGGUGACCUAUUUCAAUAUGCAUUGAUAAUGAUCAAUUGAUCACCUAAUACAAAACUACUAAUUAGUCUAAUUACCUACAAUAAUUAGCAAUGUCUAAUUGCCUAUCAGAAUUUAGAAAUUCAUCCAAACAAUCAUAGUUUCAUAUGCUACUAUACAAAAGGUAAUCAUCAAACAUAAUACAAAUCCAGAUGGUUACAAACCAUAAAAGGACAUAACAUAAUCACAAGUUCUAAUACCAUCAUCAAAUCCAAAUGGCUACAAGCCAUACAUACUAAAUAGCAAUAAAUUAAAGUUUAUAAAAAUUUUUCAACCAUGCUGAUGAUUGUGAACUUAAUUAAAGACAACUGACUUUGAAGUCAUAGAUGGUGACAAAUUGAAAUAGAAUCAUUGAUCCAAGGUUCCAAACUCAAAUAGUCAAACUUAUACUUCUCUUCCAAACUUCACUGAAUCAAGGGAUGCAAGCACCUUUAAGUAACCUGCAGUAUGCACAAACAUCAAAGUAAUAAUGUUGUCACAUAUAGGUACAAUAAAACAUAUCAUGUUACAUUUUUCAACUCACCAAACUCAAUGACUUAGAGGUUGACUACAUUAAAUUUUGAAUCUUCAACAAAUUAUACAUUUAUCUUUUGAUAUAUUUAAAGAUAUGGUGUCUUGAGUUAUAUACUCCAAUAUCGAAUCUGUCAUCUUUGCAUUAACAAGAUGAGAAAAAUAAAUGAAUGCAAAAGACUAAAGAAAUAAAGUAGAUAUUAAAAAACAUUAAUUUACUAAUUUUACCUUUAUCCCCAAACAAUCAAUCCUUAGUACAUAUUAAAGUUUUAACUAUUUGUGGUGACAACAAACUAUCGAAUUGGUGUAGAUUUCUAUUACUAAGGUUUUUUUUGGUAUUUUUCUAUUACCAAGGUUGAAUGUAGAUUCUAGUGCAACAGUUGAUACAGAAACACAUAAGGCAUCCAUAGCUAAUUUUGCUAGAUCUAGAAAUUGAUAUUGUUGAGUCUUCCAGUAGUCAAGAAUAUGAAUCUCAUAUUUUCUUUUACUUUGAGACUUAUCUAGAUACAUUUUCAGUUGAGUAUUUUGUGCACCACCAGUAUACUCAAGACUAUCAAAUUCCUAUGAGCAUGAUAUUGAAAGAGAGAUAUAAUAAACAUGAAAACAAAACAUAUUUAAAACCACAUAGGAGUAUAUAAACUAAUAAGUCCAUAAUACUAUCAAAUUCCUCAAAUUCCUAUGAGCAUGACAUUGAAAAGAGACGUAUAUUAGACAUGAAAGCAGAACAUGUUUAAAACCAAAUAGGACUAUAUAAACUAAUAAAUCAAUAAUACUAAAACAUAUUAUCAUCAUACCUUGAAAAGAUUCAUUGAUUUGUUUCCUUAUAUUUUUGUUGCAUCAGAAGGGAUCUCAUUCAUCUCAUUUCUACCCCGAGAACACGAAGAUGAUGCCUAAGACGUCUUACUAACUCUAACAUAUUCAUUGAAGAGACUAUAAAAUGUAUCCCUCACCUUUGCUAGUUCUCUAGACCCCAGACCAUAUAACUUUUGAUAGCUAAACUCAAGAAGCUGAAAUUUAUAUUUCGAUCAAAUACCAUAGCAAUGGCUAAUAUAAUUAUUGAACUCAAACUAAUAUUUGUUAAAUUUCAAAAACAUUAGUUUAGUAAUCUUUUACAUAAAGCAUCUGAACUGUUAAAUUCCUCAAACAACUAUAAUUGAAUCAGAAAAAUUUGAGGAAAGUACAAGUUAGCAGUCAAGUAUUUAGAUCCUAAGAGUGCAACGGUUGCAUCAUUGAAAUUUUCUAGAAACUGCAAAUCUUUUCAACUCUUUCACACUCUUCUUAAGUUGGACAACAUUGAAAAUUGGAAUCACAUGAUUGCAAGUGACAAAGGCAAGAUGGUAAUAAAGAGUACUUGAGAGCAUCUUGUAAGUGGAAUUCUACCUAGUUGGGAUAUCAUGAACUAAGGCUUUUUUAGAAUCAAUGGAUGUUUGUGCUACACAUUGGGUAUGCUUAACUUUUCUUGCUUGAGAGCCCCUAACGUAUUUCACUUCCUUAUUCUAUCCACUGAAACAUCAAUUUCUUUCAAAACAUUUUACACAAUUAAAUUUAAAAUAUGAGCACAACACCUCACAUAAAAUAAAAUGCCAUCAUGCACCAAAGCACUUUUCAACCAAAGCUGAUUAUCAAGUAUUUGAACAAAACAAUCAUUUGCAGAAGCAUUAUCCAAAGUGAUACUAAAUAACUUCUUUUCAAUACCCUAAUCACUAGUCAAACUAUAAUUUUUUUCUACUAAAGCAAGUCCACUAUGUGGAGGAGGCAUACAAGAAAAAUUCAAAAUUCUUUUUUGUAGUAUCCAACUCCGAUCAAUAAAAUGUGCAGUCAAGCUCAAAUAUGCAUCAAUAACUAUAAAGGUCCAUGCAUCAGAAGUUAAACAAAUUCAAUUAGGACUCUUUAACAUGUAAUUUUUUAAUGUUAGCCUAAACAAUGUUCCUAGUAACAUGUUUAACUUGUGGUUCUAGACUAUGACAACCCCAUCUUCCCUUAGGGCAUACGCUAAAGAUUAGCAGACUAUUUGUUCAACUCUCGUCAGGACUAACUAACCAAAAAUUACCACAGGUACUAAAACGUACAACAUUAUUUCAAAAUAUCGCAACCCAAAAUUUUAUACAAUUCAAGCUUAAAGUACAAGUUGAAGUAUUCAAACUUAUACAAUUACAUAUAAGGUUUACUAAUACUGAGGAGUUUAAACAAAAAUUUCUAGAGUCUAGAACUAGCUCCAUUUUUCUCCAAAAUCACGUACCCAAAAUUUCGCCCCUGUAAGGAAAACAAAUGUGAUAGGGUCAGCUUUCGUCCAAUACGGUGCCACAAGUCAUGUAGUCGAAAUCACAUAGUUAGAACUUCAAUCUAUCAACAAUAAGCAUCGAGUAAAGGAAUAAGUAAACACCACAACUAAUAUAGAGCGGUUCAAGUAAAAGAAUACAGAUGGCUCUCAAAAGCCAAAUUCCCUAGUCGCAUUAGCUUGAUCCAACUUGGUUGACACUCCGUCAACGUUUAGAAAAACAAAGAAAUAUUGACCGUAGAUCCCCACUUUACAUCAGUUUCCAUCCAUCAAACAUACCCCUUACCGGGACCAAACACCAGGCAAAAACAGUGGUGGUAAUACUCAAGUAUAACAAUUAUCAGAAGCAUCCAAUAUUCAGUAAUUAGUGACAGUUUUCCUCAUGGCCCGUCCAUCUACCUCGACUAGCCCUUGUUGGCUUGAUUGGAUUAACUAUCAAUGAGGUUUGAGAUCAAAUUCAUAGUAAAGUCGUCGGAUAUUGGGCUCCAAACGACAUCCAAAUCAUGCACAAGUAAUAGGUUUCAAAUAAAUAGUAGACCGGUCAAAUAGUCAAGUGAAACCGAGUGUGAUAAAGUAUACACCCGUCCCGUCCAUACAAACCAUGAAAUAUUCCAUGUAAGCUACCAAAAUCAAGCUUGAAAUCUACUCAUAUACAAGUAAUAAAAGAAAAGAUGGUUUUUUAAUAUGGUUACCUUGAAACCCUAUGAAGAAAUGGAACUCAAGAGCUUCUUCCUCCCAAAUCUCUCCACCAAAGUUCUUAAUCCUCUCUAAAUAUCACUUUUUAUGGUUUGGAUUGUAAGUUUAAGGUGAAAACUCAAGGAUAGGAAAAGAAUGAAGGGUUGUUUUGGUCAAAUUUUGUUUUUAUUAAAGGUUAAAAAUGGUUUUAGUCAAAGUGUGACACCCCCACUUCUCCCUAAGGCGAACCAAAGGGUAUCCGCAGGACGCCUGCCUAGCUCUCGCCAGGACUCAAGCAAUUCCAUUCAACUUAUAUCCGGACCACAAAAAAAAAAUACAAAUCGAUAACUUAGAUGUAAUAAUUGCGGAAGUGUUCAAACUUAAUAACAGUUAUCCAUUCUUCAAACCACCCGUCGAUAUACAUAAUACAUUUCGUCCAAAGGUCACGUUUCCAUACCAAAAGUACAAUUCAAAGCCAAAGGCAUAAACAAAAGUAAUAGCAACCCUAAAACAAAAGCACAUCAGGAGGGCUGCUCCGUUUUACCUCCGAACUCAACCUGUUAAGGAAAACAAAUCUACAGGGUGAGCAAAACGCUCGUGAGGCCAAGAACACACAUGCAACCACAUAGUUCAGAUAACAAGCCCAAUAACAAUUCAGGUAUUAUCUUGCAAGUAAUUAAUAACACCAAUAAACUGUAACCAGAAACAAUUCAAGGAUAUAGAAGCUCUCAGGAGCUAAGUUCCACAUUUGCCGAUACCGUUUAUAUAUCUUUCCGUGAUGACUCUCCGUCAACCGGAUUGAUAUUUUCAUAUCCGUAGUUCACCACUUACUUCCCAUCCGUCCACCAUACACCACUUCGGGCCCGCACUACAUUUAUAAGGCAAUACUAUACGAGUAUGCCAAGCGAGAUCUCUCAAUAGAUCAAGCUUAUCAUUUGAGUCUCAUGGCUCACCGAGGUUCCCGACCAAACCCAUGCCGACUCGAGUUCCAAGGUCGGCCUAUGAGUUUGGGCAUCCCCCAUUUGUCAUGUAAAUGUCGAGGAGAUUCACUCCAUCGACGUAUGCAAUCAUAGCAUACCAUUUCAUGUAUUCAAGCAUUUGAUAGGUUUAAGCAGACAUUUCAAGUCAUGUAAACCAAGCAAAUCAUGUUAAGCAUGAGUCAUUCGUUUCAAAUGAGAACGAGUGCGAUCAAGUACACACUCGACUCCAUUUUGUCAAAAUCAGUUAAACUAAGCAUGAAAUCAGGUGAAUCAAGCAUGAAUCAAGACUUUAGGGUUCAAGUAGGCAUACACUUGACACUCACCAAGUUAUGCAAGCAAGUAAAUUGGAGGAAGAGUUCAAACUUCCACAGUAGGGUCCUCUUGGAGGUCCUCGUGCGUGCCUGAGCAAAUAAUAGUGAAUUAUCACCCAUAUCCCAAAUAUCGAGGAAUAAUUCGUUCACUAGUAUUACUCUAGGAAAUUCCGUGAAAAUGAACCUCAAUUACUCGUAAAUCGAGGUUCGAGAGAGGUUUGAUAACAUUCAACAAUAUUUAAGUCUUUAUCUAGGAAAUCGGGGAUAAAACGUUUAGAUAAUAUCAAAAGAAUAAAGAGUUCUUGAAAAACUCUAUUUCCUUGAAAGUUGGAAAAUUUUCAGUUUUGUUAUGAAUCUUUGAAAAAUCGUAACUCACUCGACAUAAGUCGAGAAUUGGAAAAAUUUAUACCGUUGAAAACUUCUUAGAAAGUACUACAAGUUCCUAGAAGACACUUUUCCAUGAAUCGAAGUGGAAAGUGCUCAAAAAUGAGCCUAAAGUUGCUGUUCCAAAUCACCCAGGAUUGAGCCGGGGUUGGUUUUUCGCUAACUUUGAAAAUUCGGCAGAAUUCACUCGUUGCAAACCAGCCCUUGAAAUUUAUAGAUCAAUUAGAGGUGCAAGUAAGGUUUAGGUCAGAACAAACGGAUCGAGAAUCGGAGUUUCGAGCACCAAGAUAUGGUAGUUCAAAGUUGGGAAAAAUUCAAGACUGUUACAAAAUUUCCAGAUUUGGUUCCAACUUUGGACCUUUAGUUAAGUGCCGAAACGGACUUGGAUUGACACCAAAUUUUGCAGUAUAAUACUUCCAUAUGAAGGUUAUCUCUAUAUCAAAUUUCACGGAAAAAUACCCUCGGGAGGGGGGUCAUUCAAUCAACCAAAGUUUGGAAAAAUCCUUAAGGCAAUCUGUCCAAAUCUAAGAUUUUCAAAACGAGCAGUCACCGUAUUUUGAUCAUAACUCUCUCAAUUUAACUCGGAAUUGGGAAUGGUUAAUAGUGUUAGAAAAUAAAUUCAUAGGGCUACAACUUCACAGAAGAAAUCGUUACAAGUUUCAGCAUGCAACUGGUUCAAAAUCAAGGCUCAAGUUGCAGCAUCAUCAAAUCAUUUCGGCAGAACGGAGAAACAGGACAGCCGACUUCAGAUGAAUGGUGUGGCUCACACACAUAAAACCAGGACGUGCAUUAUACACCGAUAAAAACAUGGAAACGUCUAGUUUCAAAUGCCGCUAACGGUACCUGAUUUUGACGUCGGAGUACGGAGUUAUGGACGAAAUACAACCACUGGUCUGGAUUACGGCGAAACCGUUUUUCAGUUUACUAGUUUUUGAAAUAAAUUCGUUUGAGCAACCAAAACUCAAUAUUUUUCAACAAAAUUUUGUACACAACUUUUACAACAUGUAAACUACAUAAUCAAGCCAUUAAAUCCUCAAUUUCUGCAAUAAAAUGACCGAACAGAGCAGGGGCAAAAUGGUCAAGUUUGGCCCUUGCUCUCUACGUGAGUUUCCUGCAGUUUUUCUUCAACGAAACACUAACUUAAACACUAAUCCGUCAUCAUAAACUUCAUCAAGCACAGAAUCAGCAACAACCCAAGAGUGGGAAUUCAUAGAGUCCACUUUUUCCAACAAUACAAGCUACUAAAGUAAAGAUUCCAACUCAAAUGCGUAAAUCAAACUCCAUAAACAAGUUUAAGAAGUUAGAUGGCUACCUACUUUGAUGGCUGUUCAAAUCAGAAAAUUUCGGUCCCUAUGAAGCCUGAAGACAGCCGUGAAACUCCUCCCUUUUCCAGCCUAAGUUGUUGUCCAAGUGAAAAGCUAAACGAAUGUGAAGUUUGGUGAGAAUCCAUGGAAGUUUUGGUAGGAAUUUGGUUGAGUUUUAGAAGAAAAGAAAUGGUGACUUUGGUUGUUCCUUUGCUGCAGUCUAGCCGGCCAUUGUAGCAGAGAAAAGGAAAUGAAUUUCGGCUCUGUAGCCUUUGCGUACAAAAGACGCUUGACGUCAAAUCCUUUGAUACGUCAAAUCAAUUUUAACUAGUACCCUACGCGCGCGUUUUGUAUCCGAUUUCUCUUACGUUUGUUGCACUAGUGCACUAAACCUCUAGGGCCCUUACAUUCAUAUAAAUAUUAUUCAUUCUUAAUUGUUCCAAAAUAAUGGUCCAAAGUCCCUCAAUUAAGCGCGCACGUGAAAACACGUAUUUCUAAUUUAGGCGUAAUAAAAAUUAAAACCUUUGAAAAAUUCUUAUAACGAUCGUACCACUAGUUAUUACUUGUGUGUUUAAACCUAAAAUUGUCUAUUUUAGAUCCAUUGUAUAGGUCUUAAAUUUUUAGCUUAUUGUAAUCCCAAUUGGCUAAAGUUUUUAGACACGUUUCUACUUUUUCGCUAAAUAGGCUUAUAAGAAAAUACUUAUUUAUUUAUCUAUGUUUUUAUUUUAUUAUUUUUAAAAUGAGACACUUUAGAAAUAUAACGAACUAUAAAAUCAUGUACUUAGGUCUAAUAGGCUAGAAAAUAUUAUUCGUGGUAAAAAUCCAAAUAAAUAAUUAUUUUAGCCAAAAUUAGGGAUUUUAAAAUAAUGGAAUUUUCGAAUCCUCACACAAAGUUAAAACACCAUAAUUUUAGUGACAAAUGGCAUUCCAAGGUUAAUCCUCAUCUAAUUGUCUCCCAAAUGUUAAAAUAUCUAGCCAACAUCUAAUUACCCCUUAACACCUUAUAAAAUAAAAUUUCUUUGGACAAAACUCCUCUUAAUAUUCAAAAAUUUAUCACACAUAUCUCACUUGUGGGUUCUACUUCAUAAUGCACUAAGAAGUUAACAUGUACUAAUUUAUAGAAGAAAAAUGAUUUGAAAACUUGACCCACUUAUGAAAAUAUCUAGAAAAUUAAGGCAAUAAAAUAAAGUAAAAAAAAUAUAUUCAAAGAAAUAAAAUAAAAUUAAAAUAAUUUUUCAGAUCCUCACACUUUCUCCCCCUUAAAAGAAUUUCGUCCUCGAAAUUCUCACCUUGAUUAACAAACAAUUCAGGGUAUUUUUUUUUGCAUUUCCUCUUCCACUUCCCAAGUUGCCUCUUCUACACCGUGGUUUCACCAUAGGAUUUUCACCAAGAAAAUUUGCUUUUUUCUUAAUUCCUUAACUUUUCGAUGAAGCAGUCGCACAGGUUUUUCCUCAUAGGUGAGAGACUCAUCUAAUUCAAAUUAUUUAGGUUGUAAGAUGUGAGUCGGAUCAGGAUAGUACUUCUUUAGCAUCGAGACAUGAAAAACAUCAUGAAUUCCGGAUAAACUCAAUGGUAAUUUGAGUCGGUAUGCCACUUUUUCGACUCGUUGAAGAAUUUUGAAGGGUCCCACGAAUCUUGAUUGGAACUUUUUCAUUUACCCGCCGCGACACUUCGCAAUAGAGUGACCUUAAGAAAUACAAGAUCUCCAAUUUUGAAUUCUAAAUCCUUCUUGCGAUUAUCUGCAUAACUUUUUUGUCGAUUUUGAACUGUUUGAAGUUUCUAACGAAUUAACUUGACCUUUUUUUGUACAUCCUCCAUCCAUGGCACUGUCGUUGGAUUUAAAAUUUUCUUUUCCCUUACUUCAUCCGAAUAAAUUGAUGAUUGUACUUUCUUUCAUAAAAAGUUUCAUAUGGUGCCAUUUGAAUAGACGAAUGAUAGUUGUUAUUAUAAACGAACUUCACCAACGUCAUGUGCUAGCCCCAAUUAACUCCAAAAUCUAAAAUACACGUUUUCAAUAUAUUCUCGAGGGUUUGAAUGGUUCUCUCCGAUUGUCCAUCUGUCUGAGGAUAGUAUGUGGUACUGAGGUUUAAUUUGGUCCCUAAUGCUUCUUGAAAUUUUUGCUAAAAUCGAGACAUGAAUCGAGGAUCCCUGUCUGAGACUUUACUCACAGGUACUCCAUGUAAUCUCACAAUCUCAUUUGUGUAUAACUGAGCCAACUUUUUCCAUGGAAUACUUCAUAUUCAAUGGUAAGAAAUGGGUCGAUUUGGUUAACCGAUCAACAAUUACCCAAAUGGCAUCAUGAUCCCUCUACGUCGGUUUGAGACAAAGUUCAUCGUAAUGUGCUCUCACUUCCAUUCAGGUAUCUUGAGAGGUUGUAACAAGUCUGAGGGUUUUUUAUGUUCAGUUUUAACUUGUUGAUAUGUGAGACAGAUUUAAACAUAUUGAACAAUCUUUUUUUUCAUGUUAUCCCACUAAUAUAACCCCUUUAAAUCCUGAUACAUCUUGUUACUAUCUGAAUGGAUCGUAUAUUUAGACUAGUAAGUUUCUUCCAAAUUUUUUUUUUCAAUGUUUCAUCCUUCAGUACAACCACUCGGUUUCGAUAUCUCAAAAUCCCCUCGAGACUCAAAUUGAAAUCAAGUAAUUCCCCCUUUUGCACCUUUUCUGUCCGUUUAUGUACUGCAGAGUCUUUCUUCUGAGUUUCUUUGAUUCGAUCUAGUAGGGUGGAUCUCACUGUAAUAUUUCUGAACAACUUCUGGCGUUUAAGGCGACAAUUCUACUCACUAAUCUUUUCAAGCAUAUUUCAUUCCUUAAUCAUUAAUCCAGUCACUUGAGCCUUUCGAUUUAGAACAUCUGCUACUACAUUAACGUUUCCAAGAUGGUAAUUAAUCGUACAAUUAUGGCCCUGUUUGGAAGCUUGGUUUUUUACCAAGUUUGUAUAAAACUAGUUUUUUAACAACUUUUGCUACAGGAACCCCAAAAAACUUAUCAAAGUUUUUAACCUACACACUUAAAAUAUCCAAAACACAACAAAAAAAAAUUCUCUUCCCCUUUUCUUCUUCUUCCUCCCCCACCACUACCUCCAUUGCCGGCUCCGUCACCAAUUUCCGGUGCCGGUCUUUUUUUUUUCCCCCCUUUUUUUCCCUCUCCCCCUCUUCCUCCCCUACCAUCAUCCUCUCUUAUCUUUUUUUUUUUCUCUCUACGUCCGGCGCAUAAGGGGGUGGCGCAGAGGGGAGCGGCGAUAAAAGAAAAUGGCCUAUGAAUUGAAGUACUCAAAAUAUAUUGCUCAUCUGGAGAUGGUUCCAUUGAAGUAUAUAUGGCCGGUGGUCCAAUUGGCUCCACUGACCCAUCCAGAGAGGCCACAACAAGUUGUGUAGUAGCAUAGUACUCAAAUAAAUCUUCAUCAUAUUCGUCUUUUAGCAGAUCUUGGAAGGUUCUCGUUUGAAUAACAUUUUUUUGCUCAUUAGACUGAAUCUUAGGACCAGAGGGGGGCAGAGGGGGCGGCGCAGAGGGGGGUGGCGGGGGAGGGGAAGGCGGGGGGAGGGGAAGGGGCAGAGGGGGAAGGCGGGGCAGAGAGGGUGGCGGGGGGAGGGGGGCGGCGGGGCAGAGGGGGGCGGCGGGAGGUGGAGUUGCUGCUGGGGGUGGCGGAGGUAACGGGGAAGAAGAAGAAGAAGAAGAAGAAAAAGAGAAGAAAGAAAAGAAAAAGGAAAGAAAGAAAAAGAAAAAGAAAAAGAAAAAGAAAGGGAAAGAGGAAAAAAAAAAGAAAAGAAAAAAAAGUUUUCACCCUACAAAAACUUCUAUAAAAUUUUUUCAAAAACUUCUACAGUGCACUACAGUAAAGUUUUAGACAAACUCCCAAAAAACUCAGGUUCCAAACAGGCCCUAUAAUCGUCUAAAAACUUCACCUAUCAUCAUUGCCUAAUGUUUAGCUCCUUCUAAGAAAAUAAAUUUGAGACUCUUAUGAUCCGUAUAGAUCUCGAAAGUUAUUUCAUAGAAAUAAUAUCUCCACUUUUUCAAAGCAAAAACAACAGCUGUUAAUUUCAAAUCAUGAGUCGGAUAAUUUUGCUCGUGAGCUUUCAACUUCUUAGAGGUAAAGACAAUCACAUUUCCAUUUUGCAUCAAUAUAUAUCCCAAUCCUUCCCUCGAGACAUCGAUAUAUAGUGAAACUGUCCUUUCUAUUAGGUAGAGUCAAAACUGGUGCCAUGAUCAACGUUUUUUUCAAUUCUUGAAAACUAAUUUCACAUCUACUAUUUCAAAUAAAGUUACCAUACUUUUUUGUCAGAUCAGUUAAAGGAUCGGCAAGUUUUAAAAAAUUUUUAAUAAGUCGACGAUAAUAUCCUGUCAGAUCUAGGAAACUAGGAAUCUUAGUAGGGUUUUCUGACCGUUUCCAUCCAAUAACAACUUCUAUUUUGGCCGGAUCUACUGCAAUGCCAUCUUUCGGAAUUACAUGUCCUCAAAAAGAUAUUUUCUCCAACCAAAACUCAUACUUACUAAACUUAGCAUAUAACUGGUGUUCUCUCAGAGUCGACAAUAUAAUUCUUAAAUGCUACUCAUGCUACUACCGAGUUUUAGAAUAAGCAAGAAUACCAUCAAUAAAUACAACUACAAACCGAUUUAAAGAGGAUUUGAAAAUCCGAUGCAUCAAAUCCAUUUAUGCUGUAUGGGUAUUGAUCAAUCCAAAGGGUAUGACUGAAAAUUUAAAAUAUCCAUAUCUAGAAUUGAAGACAAUUUUUGGUAUAUCCACUUUCUUGAAUCGCAAUUGAUAAUACCCCUGUCGGAGGUCUAGCAUAGAAAACACCACCGCUCCUUACAACUGGUUAAAUAAUUCAUCAAUAUGUGAUAAAGGGUAUUUAUUCUUAAUUGUUAUAUCAUUCAACCCCCGGUAGUUUAUACACAGUUUUAAACUCCCGUCUUUCUUUUUAACAAAGAGUACUGGAACUCCUCAUGGAGAUCCACUUUCUCGAAUAAACUCUCGCUCCAAUAAAUCUUGCAAUUGUAACUUCAAUUCCAUAAAUUCAGCGAGUGCCAUUUGAUAUGGAGUUUUAGAGAUAGGUAUUGUUUCAGAUAAUAGAUCAAUUUUAAAUUCUAUCUCUCUUUCUCUCUGGAGGUAAGGUCACUAAUUCAUCAGAGAACACAUCCAGAUACUCCUUUAUUACCGGUACAUUUUCUAUCUUCAACUUAUCUGUCGGAGUAUUUAAUAGAAAAGUUAGGUAACCUUGCGCCCUUUUACUCAACAAUUUCCUAACCCGAUUACCCAAAAUAAAUGCAGAUGAGGCUAAUCUACCUCUCACGUCUAGUGUUAAGGUUGCGUCCCCAGAUAUGCGAAGUUCUUUCACUUUCUUCUUGCAAUUUAGUUGAACAUCAUAUUGAAUUAAUCAAUCCAUAUCUAAGAUGACAUUAUACCCCUUAAUGGUUAAAUUUAUUAAAUCUCUCAAUAAUUUUCUCUCUCCAAUCCAAAUUUCACAAUUCUUAUAAACCAUACUAGUGAUCAAACGUUCAUCAUCCAUAGGAGUACUAACUUCGAAAUCAUAUGACAAUCUAACAGGUUUUACAUCAAUUUCAUACAUAAAAUUAGGGUUAAUAAAAGAAUGGGUAGCACUGAAAUCUAUUAGAAUCUUAGCUAAAUGGUAGAAUACAGAGAUCAUACAUUUUAUAACCUCAAACGAGUCAGGGAGCUGGUGUUGCUCCAUUGCAUACAUCCGAAUCGGCACUUUCGAUCUAUUUCCUUCCACCUUUGUCUGCCCAGGGUUUGUCUUAUUUGAAUGCUGAGUCUCACUCUUCUCUCAAGGCGGGUCUAGACAAUUGACGAUCUGAUACUUGACACUUCCACAACGUAAACAUUUUUUUUCUUCCUCCAACAACUCUCUUAGUAUGGUUCGGCUUCCUACAGUAUCCACAGGAGAUACGGGAAGCUGAUGCCGAGCCUUCUUGUGGCGCACCUCUUUGUUGUCCUCUCUCGCCUUGACCUUCUCUUGACGGGGCUCCUCUGGGCGUCCCGGAAAGACUUAUUCCGUCUAUCUCUCUUCCAAAUUUAAGAGGUAUAUUUUUAUCCCCUUGUCCAAAGUUACUACUAGGCAUAUCUCGUUUCUUUGCUUGAAAAGAUCUAACUUGUAGCCUUGCACUUUCAACCCGCUAGAUUUUCUCCAUAACAUCACUAAAUGUAUUGAUUUGGGCUACUGCUAAAUCUUUCUGAAUUUCGACAUUUAGCCCUUGAACAAAGUGCCUUAUUCGCCUUUAUUCUGUUACUACUAGAUCAGGAGCAAACUUAGAUAGUCUGGUGAAUUGAGUUUCGAACUCCACAAUGGUUUGGAUUACUUGACGAAGUUUAAUAAAUUCGUUCUCCCUUUUCUCCUGAAUCAAAGACGAAAAAUAUUUUGCAUUAUACUCUCUGAUGAAAUUUACCCAAGUUCUUGGGGUUUGCUCUCUUUUCCAUUUAGUUCGUAUCACAUUCCACCAAGAACAGGCUACUCUCUCUAACUGAAAAUCAGCGAAGGCUACCUGCCUAUCCUCAGUAUAAUGCAAUGCUGCAAAGAUAUCGAUCAUUUUCUUCAGCAAUCUCUCGGCUAUAUCAGGGUCAGGUCCUCCCAAGAAUUUUGAUAGGGAGAAUUUUUGGAAUCGUUCGAGUACUCUAUCUUUGCCUUCUACAUAGUUCCUAGGGUUACUAGAUUGGUUAACAGGGUUUUGAUCUUGACGGUCCACUAUUUGUACUAGCAAAUCUAUCAUAUGUUGGAUGGCUGUGGCUACUUGUGUAUUGAGAUCGGUCCCUAGUUCGUGAUUUUGUUCAAUUACUGGUUCGCGAUUACCCCUUUGAUUUAAGGGUUGCCUGGGUCCACGCCCACGGGCUUGUCCACUAUGUCUACCCAUCAUUGAUUUUUAACAAGUCUAGAAUUGAAAUGCAGAUGCAACAAUUAAAAUACCUAGAUGAAUAAGCAAGAUGCAAGAAUGUAAACAAGUUAGAAAAUCAAGUAUAUUUAACACAACCCCUUUCAUACAUAUCAUACAGUAAAAGUCAGGUACAAACAAAAUAGCCCCAUUUACAUAAGUAGUAGGAUCAUAUCAAAAGUAUAGUGAACAAAAACUAUACCAAAAGGACAAGAACAUCCAACUAGAGGUUUCCUAAUUACCCCUCACAUAUGGUCAAAACAUGACUCAUUGGAGUUCUAACCUAAUUUCCAAUAGAGCUAGUAGAUGUUUUAUUUCUAGGGCCAUGAUCUACGUCAGCCAAAUUUACAUCCACCACCUCUCCAAGUAAAGUCCUACAUUCCUGCAAAAUGCCCUCGGUUUGGUCUUCUACCUCUCUUAGCACCCUAGUGAGAAGCUCAUUCACCAUUUGCACCUGCUGGCGCAUAGCAUCCGUACGUUCUUGCUCUUGACCAACAGUCUCUUGCAACUCCUGGAUUCUAUCCGCCUGCAUUUCCAUAAUUCCUCCCAUUCUUUCCAUCUCAAUUUGAUCCCUAAAAUUGGCACGCCUAAGUCUUCUCCUCUCAUCUAGCACCGUCAAGACCACAUGAUUAGUAUAGGAGUAGUUUUGGCAACGACUACAUCUACUAGUCUGACUUGCGGAACUCCAACGUCGGAUUGGUCCCCCUGACCUCUCCUCAUAAUCGAUAAUUCGAAAGCGCUUCCGAGACGCCUCACUUCCACCCUCUCCAUUGGUUCCUUCCAUGACCUACAAGGAUAAGCACAAUUUACAAUUUAGACAAGGUUAAUCAUACUUAAUGACAUCCUAACAUGUCACAUUAAAGUUCCUUAGAAUCAAAUUUUCAUUUUGCCCAGGCCAUUUCUAACCUAGACUCUGAUACCAAUUGUGACAGACCCAUCUGCUCUUAGGGCAUACCCUAAAGGUUAGCGGACUGCUUGUCCAACUCUCGCCAGGACUAACUAAUCCAAAAUUACCACAGGUACUAAAACGUACAACAUUACUUCAAAAUACCGCAACCCAAAAUUUUAUACAAUUCAAGGUUAAAGUACAAGUCAAAGGAUUCAAGCUUAAACAAUUUCACAUAAGGUUUACUAAUAUCGAUGAGUUUAAAAAAAAUGUCUAAAGUCUAGAGCUCGCUCCACUCUUCCCCAAAAUCACGUACCAAAAACUUCGCCCCUGUAAGGAAACAAAAGUGACAGGGUAAGUUUUUGCCCAAUGAGGUGCCAUAGGUCAUGUAGUCGAAAUCACAUAGUUAGAACUUUAAUCUAUCAACAACAAGCAUCGAGUAAAAGAAUAAAUAAAUACCACAACUAAUAUAGAGCGGUUCAAGUAAAAAGAUACAAACUCGUUGACACCCCAGUCACAUUAGCUUGAUCCAAACUCGUUGACACUCCAUUAACAUUUAGAAAAACAAAGAAAUAUUGAUCGUAUAUCCCCACUUUACACUAGUUUCUGUCUAUCAAACAUACUCCUUACUGAGUCCAAACUCCAAGUAGAAACAGUGUUGAUGAUAUUCGAGUAUACCAAUUAUCAGAAGUAUCCAGUAUUCAGUAAUUCAAUGACAGUUUUCCUCAUGGCCCGUCAAUCUACCUCGACCAACCCUUGCUGGUUCGAUCGAUUAACUACUAACGAGGUUUGAGCUCCAAUUCACAGUAAAGUUGUCAGAUAUUGGGCUUCGACUAGCAUCCAAGUCAUGCACAAGUAAUAGGUUUCAAAUAAACAGUAAAUCAAUCAAACAGUCAAGUGGAAUCGAGUGUGAUAAAGUAUACACCCGUCCAGUCCAGAUUAAACCAAAUCACAGUCAUACAACUCAUAAAUUCCAGUCACAAGUAGUUCACUUUAAGCAACAAGUCAUACAAGUGGUACACUUACCAGUUCAAGCAAAGCAACGUCAAAAGUUCAUCCUCGGGUUAUGCCCUUGAUCACCAACAAACUCUAAGAACAACCAAGAUAAAAAUAUUAUGGUUCAACCAUCCAAAACUUAGGUGAACUAAGGAAAAUCCAAGUAACUCCUAGUGCAAAGAUUCAAAUAUAGUUUUAGAAUGAAAAUAGAGUAUUUGAAACCAAGGGACAUGAGUAACCAAGGAGUUCCUCAUUCCAAUUCAUGGUUGGAAAUUUCCAGCAGCAAAAUAGUGAAGAGAAACAACCAAAUCUCGAGUUUAAAGUAGAACAAAUGAAACUAGAAAGCAUGCUAGAAGAAAUCAUUACUUUUCCUCUUGUUUUACACAUGGUUUUAUCCAAAUUUCAUUUUAUACACCACCACCAAGGUGAACUCAAAUAAUCAUAAGCAACCUAAGUCCAAACCGACCCUAAAUUACCCCUCUAACAUCACUCAUAUCACGAGAAAGAAAGUAAUAAAAAUUUCAGCAGCAUUUCCCCUUAUUUCCUUAACUUUCCCUUUCAAACUCAAUACCUAUAUUCAUAGCAAUCCAACCUCAAUCACAACCACAAAGUUAUAGGCUAUAAAGUACACUUAUUUAAGGUCACAAAGCCACCCAAAAUAGCAAAUUAUCUAACUCAAGAACAACCACAGGAAAAAUGUAACCCUAAACUGAAAUUUACUACUACAAGUUGAAAUUUCUUAUAAUGAAACCAAAAUAACAUAUAAAAGUUAGAAAAUUCACAUGGCAAAGCUACUAGGUCAUACCCAAGUUCAAUUCAACAUAUCAAAGCUAAAAUUUCUCACUCAAAACUUGAAUUUUCCAACCACCAUAAAAACCAUGAAAUUUUCCAUGUAAUCUACCAAAAUCAAGUUUUGAAUCCACUCAUAUGCAAGUAAUAAAAGAAAAGAUGGUUUCUUGAUAUGGUUACCUUAAAACCCCUAUGAAGAAAUGGAAUUCAAGAGCUUCUUCCUCCCAAAUCUCUUCACCAAAGUCCUUAAUUCUCCCUGAAUGUCACCUUUUAUGGUUUGAAUUGCAAGUUUAAGGUGAAAAACUCAAGGAUUCAAAUAAGAUUCAAGAUUGGAGUUGAAGUUUUUUCUCUCUUUUUCUCUCAAAGUGGGUCGGCCAAGAAGGGAAAGAAUGAAGGGUUGUUUUGGUCAAAUUUUGUUUUUAUUAAAGGCUAAGAAUGGUCUUAGUCAAAGUCAAAACUCCAUAGCUUUAGUGACAAAUGGCAUUCCAAGGUUAAUCCUCAUCUAAUUGUCUCCCAAAUGCUAAAAUAUCUAGUCAACCUCUAAUUACUCCUUAACACCUUGUAAAAUAAAAUUUCUUUGCACAAAACUCCUCUUAAUUUUCAAAAGUAUAUCACACAUCUCACUAGUGGGUCCUACUUCCAUAAUGCACUAUGAAUUUAACAUAUACUAACUUAUUGAAGAAAAAUGAUUUGAAAACUUGACUCACUUAUAAAAAUAUUUAAAAAAUUAAGACAAUAAAGUAAAGUAAAGAAAUGUAUUCAAAGAAAUAAAAUAAAAUAAAAAUAAUUUUUCAGAUCCUCACAUUCUACAUAUAAACAAACAUUUCUAAUCCCCUCAUAUUCGACAAAUGAAAAUGGCAACUCAUGCCUAAUGAUUACAUGAUAUGAAUCCUGUUAGAAACCAAACCCGUAUUUCACAAGCCACGGAUCUAGACGAACAAUACCUAAGAUUUGGCAGCGGAAAAUUUAGACCAAUUAAUUCUAGGGUUCACGAACAUGUUGAUAUAAUCUCAACCCGUAAUUAAUCGAAUUGAAGAACCAAAGUUGAUGGAUAGAAGGUGCCACAAUUUAACAUACUCUUGAAUUGAUAAGCCAAAUUUCUUGAACACUCAAGAUAACUCUAAAGUAUUCAAAGGAAUCAUUUCUAAGAACCUAGGAGAAAAUUCUCUCACACAUAAGUGUUUUUUUUUUUUGCUGGAAAUUCUUGAUUAAUUUUAUUAAUAAACAAGAUAAGCCUUUUAUAGGCCUUACAAGACUCAAAACCUAAUCAUACUAGCAUAACUAAUAAAUAACUCAAAGUUCUAAAAGGACAAGUUCAACAAUUCGGCUUAGACUUCUUCACAAGCUAGCCAAAUGGAAACUAACAAUAGAAAACAUACUAAAAACUAAAAUAACUACUAGUUGACUACCAAUUAUAAACAACUAGACAUAGACUACUCACGGCCUUAUUCUUAAGAAAAGUUGGCCGUACAAUUGAUAACAAUUAUAACUUAAUUAAACAUACUAAAAACAAGAAAGGGACCCGAAUUUUUGAAAUUCAAUGAAUCGGCUUCUUAUAUGACUAGAACAUGAACCACUGGAUCACCAGCUCAAAUUAUUGCAUACAUCAUUAAAUCUCUAAAUUUCUCUUGAUGAAUACUUUUCAAUCAGAAGUAAUAAGAUACUGACCAAUAUCUUUUGUUAUUAUCUUUUGACAUUUUAUUAUGUGUCUUUUAAGGUUGCCAGUCUCAUUUUUACUCUGUGCAGAGUAAAUGCAAUGACAUAUUUUGCAUCUGCACUUCAAUUCCUUAUUUGAUUUUGAAGUUAGGAUAGUAAAAUGAGCCCAAACUUCAAAGUUUAGCUUCCUUUUUUGUCUCCUUUGAGAAUAGGGUUAGGGCAUUGAGACUGAUUCAUAGCUAUUUUGUCUUUAACAUUGUUGUCACUACUACUAUCAUCAUCAACAUCAACUGGCCUUGGAUUUGUAUUAUUUGCAUCCAUCUUUUAACCAAUAAAUAGACAUACAUGUCAUUGUCUAUUCGUGUUAAAAUUUCUUUUAACAUAAAAACAAAAUUUAAAAGAUAACGCAUUCACAAACAAUUUGACAUUAUGAGUAGAUGAUGCUUGCAGCCACAAUUAACAACUACAUUUAUAUUAAUAUUUUCAAUGUAAAACACUUAUGUCAUAAUGUCAAAGCUUGAGACUAACUGACUAAGUGUUUAUUUUCCAGAAGUGCAUCACCAGUAUUUAGUAGUAAGAACACUUUGGAAAGUUAGACGACUAUUAAACAUUGGGAUAAUGACAUCAAUUGAAGAUACAGGAGAUCAUGACAUGUAAAUGAACAUCCAAAAGUGAGAAAAAAAGUCAAUCCUUUUCUUUUCAAGAAGAAAGAGGUUUUUUUGUGUAACUUUUGUUAUUUAUGACUCCAAAACCUAUGCAAAAUCUCAAGCAAAAAAUUAAAACAAGACAAAUUUCCUAUCCAAUUCUAUAAGAUUUUCACAAAAUGAAAAUAAAUCAAACUAUGCAGGAGAUGAAGAAAUGUUUAGCUUAAGCCAUUGGAGUAUCAGUAUAUCUACUAUUACUUCAUCUAUGCGACUGCUACUGUGCUACAUCACUGAAAGAAAAAAAAUAUGGUGAAAAGCACAUAAAUAAUCGAUUUGGGGUCAAUUUGAAUUGUUUUGGAAUCCUUCAAUAUUUGAUGCUUAAGAGAGAGUAGGAGGGUCAGAGAAGGGUCACACAAAUUCAGAGGCUAAGGCUUUCGGUCGGAGAAGAAUGAUUGCCACUAACUACUGAGUGUUGAGGGAGUCUGGACUCUGGAGAAGAAGGUAAGAAAGAGGUGUUCUGCACUGAGGUAUUCUGCCCUGCCAACUAGCAGCUGCUAGUAAGAGAAUAAGAGUCAUUUGAUAAUACAAUUCAAUAACUAAACUUAAUAAAUUCAAAUUUUAAUAUAUUCAAAUCAUUUGGUAAUAAAAAAAUUAAACAUCUGAAGUAAUUAAGGGGUAUCGAAUUUCCUAGGCAAAAUUUGUUUUCAAAAUUAAGUGAUAAAUCAUUCAUUGAAUGUGAUAUGUACUCAAAUGUAUUAAAUUUAAUAUUUAAUAAUUCAAUAAUUUAAUGGAUUCAAAUUUCAAAUUUUAAACUUCAAUUUAAUGGAUUGCCACUAACUACUGAGUGUUGAGGGAGUCUGGACUCUGGAGAAGAAGGUAAGAAAGAGGUGUUCUGCACUGAGGUAUUCUGCCCUGCCAACUAGCAGCUGCUAGUAAGAGAAUAAGAGUCAUUUGAUAAUACAAUUCAAUAACUAAACUUAAUAAAUUCAAAUUUUAAUAUAUUCAAAUCAUUUGGUAAUAAAAAAAUUAAACAUCUGAAGUAAUUAAGGGGUAUCGAAUUUCCUAGGCAAAAUUUGUUUUCAAAAUUAAGUGAUAAAUCAUUCAUUGAAUGUGAUAUGUACUCAAAUGUAUUAAAUUUAAUAUUUAAUAAUUCAAUAAUUUAAUGGAUUCAAAUUUCAAAUUUUAAACUUCAAUUUUAUGAAACAUUGACUCAGAUUCAAAUCAUUUUUUUUUAUCUAUCGAAUCUAACCCAAUUUCCACUCAAGCCCGCGAAAGCUCAACCCAAUUUUAUGUUAGAUUUGUUUCGUUUUUUUGAAGCUAUUAGGCUUGUGAGUUAAUUAUCCAAGAAUGGAGCCGAAAGAAAAAGUGGAAAAAUAAUGAUGGAAGCAGCGAAGGGUGAAAUCCCGGUGUUCAUGCAUCUGUGAUGAUAUCAAGCAGAACCAGGGCAAUGAAAUCGCACAGCGUUGGAAUCAACAAGAUAUAUUACCCAGUACUAGUAGAAAAGUAAAAUUGGCAAUGAAAUCAGCUCAAUAGUGAUAUAUUGAUUAAACAAGAUAGUUACAGAGUUGGCGAGAAAAGAGAAGAAGAUGAACAAGAAUGAAGGAAAAACUUGGGAAAGAAGCAAUGAACUGGGAAUGAUCCCAAUUGAUUUGAUUACACAAUAUUCUCUUGUACUAUCUCCCAAAUCCACCUAUAUAACGCUGCAGCUAAUAACUUUGUUGUCAAUAAACCCCUGAUCAACUGUGGCAACAAUCCCUUAUCAAUAGACAGUUUUGAUUGAGUGACAAUAACAAUUGUCAAUAAAGACAUCCUGCCUAGAAAAAUACUACUCAUUUACAACACCUUACACAUGACUUUUCUACUACAAUAAUAUCUAAAAAAUGAAAAUAUCAGCAAUGUUUAAUAAAUAACAAAUGUAGGCACCCGUUACAAUAGAAUAUGCCAAAAUAAUAUAUUAAAUAUUCAAAUGUCAUAAAUAAGUGCAACAUCAUAGUACAAAUAGUUUCAUAAGUUUGAGUAGAACAAAUACUACUCAUAUAAGUCAAGGCUGCACUAAAAAAUAUAUUCCAAGUCCCAAAACAUAUCCUGCGCUUCUAAAACAUUUUCUAAACUUAAGACAGCACUAUAACCACAGUUUUUGAGCAGCCGUACUGCUAAUCUUCUUCGAAACCUCCAAAAUGAGCAAUGUAUCUGCAAUAAAGUAGUAAAGUUAUUAGUAAGGUUAUCAGGUGACAAAAGCAAAAUAGUCUCUAAUUGCUAAAUAAAGAACAAAAGUUGAAUAUCAUGAAUAUAUGAUAAAUACAUCAAUGUAAGAGAUAAAUAUGCAGUAGCAUUCCAUUUUUCAUUUUCUUGGGAUAGUGGCAUUCCGUGAUGUAUGACACUUAAAGUUGAUGGGACAUAUUCACUUUCCUAGCACUUCAGCCUCAAAGCAAUAUCUUUGUUAUCAAUCAACUUCAGUCAUGUAAUAUAACAAAUAUGCACAGAUUCAAGGCUAAAUAAGACUUGGCAAAAUCCAAAAAAGUAUUUUCCAAGUUUUGAGAGGAAGGAAGGGAGUUAGCUGAUUUCAUCCACUACAAUCCUGAAACCAAGAAAACAAAGUCCUUAGUCAGAGAAAUGCACCUGUCCUUCUAAAUCCAUCACCUCGUUCUUUAAAUAAGUCAACUAAGUAAUUUCUCCUGCAUUAACUGUAGGCACUCAGCAAGUUCACAGAGAACUCAAUAUUAAUUGGCCCCAGGAACAACUACGAACCUUGCAAAACUAUAAUGUUCUAUAACUGCCAAGACCACAGACCAAACACACUCUGCCUUGUGCAGGACAGAGGAGAUCCUAUAUUUAUCAUAUUUAUCUACUGCAAAACAGUCUCUAUUCUUUAGCCCUUCUGUGAUCCUCAAAUUAAUAUCAUGAAACAGAAACACUAUUGAAGCUUUUUUUUUGUGUAAUGUUAUUGUUUCAUGAUAACAAAGCUAUGAUAAAGCCACAAAUGUACUCCCAAGAUCAAAACACCAUCUGAUUAGAACCUUGUGUUGACAGAAGUAAUUCUUAAAUGUCCCUCCUCAGUCUUGAUAUUACAAGUUAAUAUUGUCACCUACCAAUAACUAAAUUGCAAUAACUUAUGUUAACUUUAAACCAUAGCAGCCAUUAUAUCUAUUUAGACAAGUAUAUAUAGUUGAAAAUUGCUUACCAAUCAGUUCGUUCAGAUGUGCCUUCAUCGUCUUACUUGUUGGCUUGCAGCUGUGCUUUCAAAGAUUUAAGGAGAUCUUGCAUUUCACUUUGUUGGUUCUGCAUUUCACUUUGCUGGUUCACAAGCUUCUCCAUAAGUUGUUGUUGAGAUUGGACUGUUAUUUCCAACUCAGCUGAGCGCUUCUCCGCUUGUUCUGCUCUUUUCUUGAAAUCAUCUAUCUCUGCAAGCUUUUGGGCAAUUAUUCCAGCUUUGGAGGGACCACGGCCAUGUACGUAUCCGGUUACACGUCCAGUUACUUCAAUGGAAAUGUCUUCUUCAGUCCUAUUUGCACCACUGGAUUCAGAUUCCAACUUUUUCUCCUUCAUCAUGCUCUGUCACAAAGGUAAAUUCUGAAGUUAGACUUUCAUAAGAGUUGUACAACAAUAUUAGAGUACCAAUUCCAUUUUUCUUACUAAGUUCAUAGCAGAUGUUUCGUCAACCAUUGCAUUCUUCUUCUUGCUGUAAUGGGUGAUGUCAUAAAGUUCUAUUGGUCCAACUUCCCUCCCUUCUUGUGCUUCCUGUUACAAUAAGAAGUUAAAUAACCUGCCUAAACAAUCCAAAAGACAUGUCUUCAAGAUAAUCAAAUACCCGGUCAGCUUUAUGACGAAGAAAGGAUUUUGUUCCAGCUGUAUGAGCAGUUUUUUGCUUUGAUCUAUUGAUCUUGUUCCUCUCACUUAUCUUCUGCACUUAUCAAGUUCAGCCGUGAUCAAAAUUUAACACACAAAAAGCAUGAGAAAGAACAAUAGUAAAUGAUCAAAAGUCGGCGUCUAUACCAUAAAAUUUAGACUACAGAAAUAGUCACAAAGGUAAAUCCAAUCAGAUUCUUCAACAUAUUGUGGACGAUUUGCAAGUGCUUCCUCUUUUGUACUAAAUUUCUUGAAAAUCUUGUGAAAAUUGUAUCGUCGACUUCUGUACUGUGUAUUUAACUGCUUAAGAAGUGCUGGCUUAACAUGUUCUCCUUCAUCAUAAGCAAAACUAUUCUGAAAUAUGAGUGAAAAAUUUAUUGUAAAUGUCAGAAAAAGUGCAUAAAUGUCCUGUUGCAGAACUAGUUGUUACCAAGUCAAGAAGAAAAACAAGCCUUCAAAACAAUUUCACUUACAUUAACAAGUUUUAGCAUUCCUUCCCUAUCAGAGCUGGCCAGUUUGGACCAUUUUUCUGCUUUCCAUUUGCCAUAUUUACGAAUGACACAACUUGCCUCUGAGAUGUACUGUUGUGCCCCUUCUCCAAUUACUCUUCCACUAACUUCAGAGACCUGGACUUUUACCUUUUUGCCGGCCUUCUUUUCCUUGGACAGUGCAAUAUUGCGAGUAUAUCCUCUUUUCCUAGUUACAUUGAUACCACCUACCCAAAACAUAGUUCACAGUUAUGAAUGUGAGUGGAAAAAUCUGAAAUGAAAUUAGCUGUGUAAUAUAAAUUACAAGUAAAUCUCAUAUACCGGUAUCAUUCUGUUGAACAUCAUCGCUCUCAUUAAUCCGGUCACUUCCACAACCAAUGGACUGGUUAGAUCCGACUUGUACUGAAGUAGGAGUAGUAUUUUGCUGCUCAAUAGAUGUAGGAGUUGUCAACUCAUGUCUUGAUGAUCCUGUAGCAGUUUUGCGACCAUUUGAGGUAGUAGGAUCCUAAAAUCCAGCCAACUACACAUUAGAAAUGUAUUUUUCAAAUAUUGCCAACUACCAAAAGUAAGAACUAACCUCAGUCUCAUCAAAUAGGCGAAUUUGAACUGACUUUCUAGAUAGGCUGAAUUCAGCACCAUUAUUGGCAUUGCUAGCCAGACUACCUUUUGGGCCACCAACUUGCUAUAGUGAAGUAAGAAAUACACAGCAGGUUUAGAUGCUUAAUUGUUUAAAACCAAUGGUAUAAAGAAGUGAAGGUACAAGUACAUAGCAAAGUCAAUUUUCAUCACCUGUUCACCUAUUUUUUCUCUAGCUUCUGCUGCAUUAGGUAUUUCAGCACCUCGAGUUGGUCGCAUAGGACAUUUUCCUUUCUUCCCUAGCCCAGCCAUGUAACUACAUGAUAAAAAGAUAUCAAUCAGCCAUGCAUUUAGACUAAAUAUGUCUAAAAUGCCAGGAUAAGGUACAAUUACCAGCAUGCUCACCCGAAGGAGGAACUUAAUUAAUAUGCCUUGUAUUUUACAAUAGAUAUUGCAAAUUAGAAGAUAAGAGUGACUAAAAAUAAUUCAAGAUAAGAAAUACACUUGAUUUGAACCAAAAGUUACAUUGUAACUAUAAAUAGAAACUGAAAAUGUUAUUUACAACAUCGUUUAGUCAGACUCAUAGUCAUCACUUUCUACAAAUUUUUCACUUUCAUCUUCACUCGAGCUCAAUUGCUGAAUCUCAUCAUCAUCAACAAAAAAAUCAUCCAUUUUCCUGGCAUGUUUAGCUGAAGAAUCAGAAUUUAGGAUGCCAGUUUCUACAGCUUCAUCAGCUAGCAUAUCACCUCUUUUCAAGUUAGACAAAUCGACAUUCUCUUGAACCCCAAUUAGGUCUUCAAGAUAAUCUUCUUGGUAAACUUGUUCUUCUUCACAUGAUUUAUCCUCAUCCUUUUCAAGAACAGCAUAUGAUGAACGUGGACAGACUGACUCGACAACAUGCCAAUCACCUCCAAGCCUCAUAUCCUUUACGUAAAAGACCUGUUCGGCUUGGGAAGCGAAUACAAAUGGCUGGUCUAUAUACCAUUUUUUUGACAAAUUGACGCUGCUUAGAUUACUCUGUUUGUCUAUUUUAAGACAUGAGCUAUUUUUCAAGUCCCACCAAUCACACUUGAACAGAACUACUCGGCUUUGACUGAAGGAGUAUUCAACCUCUAAGAUAUCUGUAAUAGCACCAUAGAAGUUUAUUUCUACAUCAGCAUGCUCACCCUUCACCAUAAUGCCACUAUUCUGGGUUUUUCUGUCUACCUCACGUGUUUUGGUAUGAAAUCUAAACCCAUUGACAUUACAACCAGGAUAUUUGAUCACUCUAAAAUCCAGUCCUUUGGCCAAAGACAACAAUUCAUCACAGCAUCUGCCUUGUGUAUGCAUGUAAGUGACCUAUAUAACCCAAAUAAGAAAUUAGAAUGACUGAACAAAUUAACAACUAUAUAAAUACCACAAGUUUUCUAGUAGUUUGUUCCAUACUUACACGAUCUUCAAACCACUUUGGAAACUCUAAAUCGUGCAUCUGCUCUACAUUCGACACAUUUUGCUGCUGAAGCAAUUCUUUGUGCAUCCUAUACAAUAGUAUUAUUAGUUAUCUAUGUGCUACGGUUAGUGCUAUAAUUGACUAAACAUAUAACACUUCUCAUAUACAUAAGGUAAUAAAUUUAUUACCUUAUGUAAUCAUCAAUUUCUUCACAAUUUUUCAAGAUGAAUAAAUGUAUUUUCAUCAACUCUGAUUCACUUAAGCAACAAAAUGUUGCUGCCCCAAAAGGCCGAGCCAUUCCAGAAAAAAUAGACAACUUUCCAGCAGCCUCAAAGCGUUCGGUGUUUCUUUCUGGUUCAUUAAAUAUUGUAGGAACAUUGUGCAAGUACCUAGAAAUGAAUGUUAGACAUUCAUCAUCCAAGUAACGCUCAACAAUGCAUCCUUCCGGUCGAGCUCUGUUGUGCACAUAACCUUUGUAUUGACCCAUUUUUCUGUGUCACAAAAAUGCAGCCAUAAGAUGUCACAGCAGUACGACCCUAUGAAGCAAAAGAAGAUUCAGUCUUAAAAUAGCCUUUACACUACCUCUCAAAUGGGAACAUCCACCGGUAUUGUGCUGGGCCAGCAAGUUUUGCUUCAGCAGGUAAAUGGACCAUUAAAUGGACCAUUACAUCGAAGAAAUUUGGAGGGAAAAUUUUUUCAAGUUUGCAGAGUAUUACAACAAUGUUUUUCUCCUGUGCAUCUAACUCAUCUACAUAAAGAGUCCUGGAACAAAUUUUCCUAAAAAAAUUGCUUAGUUCUACCAAAGUUUGGGAAACAUCCUUUGGCAGCAUGCCUCUAAUUGCUAAUGGAAGUAGACGUUGCAAGAAUACAUGAUAAUCAUGACUCUUCAUCCCUGAAAUUUGGCACUCUUUUGGCUUAACACAAUGAGAUAUGUUUGAGGCAAAUCCAUCGGGGAACUUGAGUGAGCUCAAAAACUGGAAUAGUUUUUGUUUUUCGCUGCGUGAAAGAGUGUAGCAUGCAGCGGGCAUCACCUUUGAAUCCCCUUGAGUUUGAAGAUGCAAUUCUUCCCUCAAUCUCAUUUCCUUCAAAUCCUCUCUAGCUUGCCAAGUGUCCCUAUUUUUGUGUCCCGUACCCAUCACUGUAGCCAACAAAAUUUCACACACAUUCUUCACGAUAUGCAUAAUGUCCAAGUUGUGUCUAAUUUUGUUAGUACUCCAAUAUGGCAGCUCAAAAAAAAUGCUUUUCUUCAACCAAUUUGACUGAUUUUGCAUGCGUUUUCUUUUCUUCUGUUUAAGCAAUUCAGGUGCCUUACCAAACACCAUUUGAUCAAACUCUUGAAGUUGUUCAAAGAUUUCUUCACCGGAUAAAGUUCUAACAGGCUGUCUAAGAUCACUCUUGCCAUCAAAUGACUUUCUUUCUCUGCGCCAUUUAUGGUCCGCUGGCAAAAAUCGCCGGUGCCCCAUAUAGCAACAUUUUAAUCCAUUUCUCAGAUAUACACUGGUUGUAUCAUCUAAACAAAUAGGACAGGCCUUAUAACCUUUCGUACUCCACCCUGACAAAUAGGCAUAUGCUGGAAAAUCACUUAUAGUCCACAAUAGAGCAGCCCGUAACAUAAAUUUUUCUCCCACGGCUGCAUCAUAAGUCUCAAAGCCAGUGUCAAAAAACUCUUUCAACUCAUCAAUUAGAGGCCUAAAAAAUAUAUCCAUAUCAUUUCCUAUGCACUUAGGACCUGGAAUAAUCAUUGAUAACAGGAAAAAAGGGUCCUUUAAGCAUUUCCAAGGUGGUAGAUUGUAAGGAACAAGGAUUACAGGCCAUAUACUAUAUGCAUUAUUCAUGUUUCCAUAGGGAUUGAAACCAUCAGUUGAAAGCCCCAACCUAACAUUACGAGAAUCUUCGGCAAAAGAUGGGUGACUGUUAUCAAACUCCUUCCAAGCUAUUGAGUCAGCAGGGUGUGUCAUUGUGUUUUCCUUGGGAACGCGUCUCUCUUUAUGCCACCUCAUAUCUUGAGCUAUCUCCUUGUUUAUGAAUAGUCUUUGCAACCUUGACUUUAAGGGGAAAUAGCGAAGCACUUUUCUAGGAAUUUUAGAACCCGGGGAUUUAUAACGAGGUGCUUUACAUUUUUCAUUUGGGCAGUGAUCGAGGCUUUCAUUUUCUUUCCAAUAAAGUGCACAAUCAUUUUCACAUGCAUGUAUUUUUUCACACUUGAGUCCUAGCUCACGAAUUAAAUUUUUUGCAUCAUAGUAUGAGCUAGGAAUUGAUGCCAUGGGGAAGACUUGAAUGAGGAAUUUCAGCAGCAUAUCGAUGGAUUUGCAAGUCCACCGAUUCAUAGUUUUCAAAUGAAGGAUAUGGACAACAAAGGAAAGUUUUGAGUACUUAUCACAACCCGGGUAGAGACUUUUUUCAGCUUCAGAUAAUAAUCUAAGAAACUUACUUGCUUCCCCCUCUUGCUUAUUUGGUAUAUCCCUAUUAUGUUCCCCCGAAUUUCUCCAAUUCUCGCCAAAGUUUGCAGUACCAACGUCAUUUAACAUUUCUUGAAUAUCAUCUGACUCACUGUUUUCUUCAUCUAAAACUAUGUUAUCAUCUUCAUCCUCAUCAGAAUCCUCAAACCUUUCACCAUGAUAUACCCACCUAGUAUAGCUCUCAACAAUUCCCCCACACAAAUGACUUUUCAUGACCUCCAUAGUUUGAUCCUCAAAGUUGUUGCACCCUUUACAUGGACAAGGGAGCUUAUAUGUGGGAUCCUUGCCUAAAUAAGCGAACUGAACGAAUUCUUUCACUCCUGCCAAAUAUCUAGGAUGCAAGUAAUCUUUAAUUGUCAUCCAACUCCUAUCCAUGUUUUUUCAAAAGCACCGUUGAUCCUAACACAAAAAAAUAUGCAACCAUGAUAUUACAACAACACAUAUAAUAAAUAUAGGAAAUUAAUCUUCCCAUACAACAAUAAUAAAAAUUAAACAAAAUACAACACAGCUAUUACUAAAUUCAAACAUGUCACAAUGUAAGCAUGUGAGGAGGCUGUGUGCAAUGCAAAACACAAUGUAAGGCAGAUAGGAAUUAAUUCUGGAGUCUUGUGAGAUUUUCUUGGCAAGCACUACUGUAUCCCGGGCCACACAGACAAUGAUCACCAUAUCAGCUUAGUUAACAACAUAGCCAGGGCCAGCUAAUCAAACCAGAAGUUUCAGGGAUGAGGAGGCAAAGUUUAAGGUGUGUAAGGUUCGAUCAGUACAGUUUGGACAGAAGGGCAAGCCAUACCUGAAUACCUAUGAUGGUCAUACCAUUCGUUACCCAGACCCACUCAUCAAGGCCAAUGACACCAUCAAACUUGACCUGGAGAACAACAAGAUUACUAAAUUCAUCAAGUUUGAUGUUGGGAAUGUUGUCAUGGUGACUGGGGGAAGGAACAGAGGUUGGGUUGGAGUAAUCAAGAAUAGAGAGAAACAUAAGGGAAGCUUUGAGACCAUCCAUGUCCAAGAUGCCACAGGUCACGAGUUUGCAGCAUGAGAACAAGGAAUUGCAGACUCCAUAGGUCCUUAGCCACUCUAUUAUGGAGGGAUAACAAGAACAUUUCUGAUAUUGAAGUUUAGUCACUUUUGACAAUUAAACUACUUGAGGUAGUUGCUGUCCCAUUACUUUCAUUAGAAAGUGACCCAAAAAGUUCCAUCAGAUGCCUCAACAUGUACAGGCAUCACAGCAACAGAUCUCAUAUGAACAUAAAUGCUGCUACAUUUGGACAAAUUUCCAACUCAGCGUUUUGAAAAAAAAGGGGAGGGGGAGAGCAUGAGUCCACACACAGCACUUUAGACACCGUUAGACAUCAAAAAUCACUAAAACCACUAACAAGGAGACAAAAAUAUUAAGAAAGAUGUGAGUGAAACAGUCCUUACAGAAUUAAGCAGAAGUUCUGGGCUAGUCCUGAAAAUAAAUUAAAAAAUUUAAAGUUAUACAAAUCUCAUGAAUGUAAUUAGUCAUUUAUGCUAGAAAAAGUACCAGACUGUAAAUUGUCAUCACAGAAAAAACACAUAGAAGGUCUAAAAUAGCCUACAUGAUAAUCAUGCCCAAAAUAUAGCAGAAGAGACCAAUGACUUAACCACCUUCAGUCACCAGACACACCCAUGCCAAAGCAUCAAUAAGAUCAGCAUGCUACUUGGAAUAGCUACCAUAAAAUUCUAAAAUAGAUGUUGAUACAACAGUAAAAAACUGGCACAAUCAGAGGAUUCUUACAUCUUCCCGCUUGUUCACUACUGAAGGACCUGAAGUGAGGAUUAUACUACUAAUUAAGAAUUUCACUAAUGGACCAAACCAGCAAAACUAUAUGUUUUACAUCCCAUGCUCCAGCCAGAGUCAGAAUAGAAUCCAAAGAAUAUAGUUAAUAUUUCUAUAAGAUGCAAUUGCAAUCCUUGGCACUUAAGAAUGGCAUCAACAUGUUGACUUAACCUCCUACUCAAAGUGCAAACACCCAUGUCAUAUGGGCCACAUUUUUUUUUCAAACUCAGAUAAAAGAAAAGCAUAUCUGAAGCAUCUUGAGACCAUCAAAAGAUUCACAAGAAUUUUCAAGUCAUAUCAACUCUAGGAAUUACAAGAGUAUACAAACCCAGAUAUUUUAUAAGUUUCAACUCUAUCAGAAAUAUAGCACUCGAUUAGAAAAAAGAGACUGCUGCCAAUCCUAACUAUGAAGAACAUACAAGAUCACUACAAACCGGACCAGCAUGCAAGAACUUAACCUUUUUGUAAUCUAACUCGCAUGCUAUAUUUGUCAAUUAUCACAAAAUUGAAAGUUUAGAAUUUAAUAACCAUAGCGAUUGAAACUAACUAAUGUGACAACAGUAAAGAGCAACAUACUUCAGUUCAACUUCAGGUUUGUUAUGUCUUUCAACUUCUUGACAAGGGAAGUUCUGCAGUCAGUUUUUGCCAAGGCAAAGGAAAUCAUCAAAAGGCACCACUUCUCAUCAAAGAAAACAUGGCAAUGUUAUAGUGGAUAAGAUAUCAUCUUUAUGUAAAGUAACAAUGCCAAGAUUCAGAUUCUAUCUGUUUCCGAUCAUAUUCUGUGAUUUCAAUCAGAAAAGUAUAUUAAAUAAAAAAUAUGAAGUUGUUUCUGAAUUGUUAGAGACUCAGAGGCAAAAGUUCAGCCAAACUUGUAUCUGACAAAAGUUAGAAGACACAACAUUGGAAAAGGUGCAAAGCCCUGGGUGUCUCCCCCAAAGGGCAAAGGUAUCAAGUUGUCAGUUAUAGAGGAACAAAGGAAAAGGAUUGCUGCCCAGGCGGCUACUACUGCCUAAUUUUUCUACUAUUAGCGUCUUUGGGAGGGUAACAUUUUACUUGCAAAACUAGUAUUAAGAUGUUGCAAUUUUUGAGUUGGGUUUAAUGUUUUAUUUGUCUUGUUUAGUUACAGUUUUGGACAUUAAAUAUUUGUGUUGGCGCGGUGAUUGCACUGCUAUCUAGAACCCUACAGUUACAGGUUUAAAAAAAAUACAUAUAGAUAUAUGACUAGUUUCUGAUAAGUAUCAAAGCUAAGUAUUACCCCAACGAGUCACUACUCAGAAGCAAAGUACCUAAAACAGCCUCCUGGAUCUGGCAGAGCAUUAUGGGAGCAAGAGAGGAGGUGGAGGAAGGUAUAAGGAGGAAGAUAGGAAAUGGGAGGAGCACAAUGGUAUGGGACGACAAAGGUGGUGGAAAAGGAGAAAGCAGAAGCAUUAGGUGAAUUCUUGAAGCUGACAGGAUUAGGAAAGAAGGCAUGACCUUUCUCUUGCCUGGUGGCAUUGGUUAGCUUCAAGAGGCCAUUUGGUGUGAUUUCAGCUAUGCCAUCCAGGCUCAAGUUUGACGACCGGAAUCCGUUGUAGGUGAUACUAAGGUCCUGGGAAGAUGCAAAGCCAGAUAGAGUGGAAACCACAAGCAGUAUAAGCUUGAUUAGAAUCAACAUGGCUAGCUAAUGGCUGAUACUAGCUUCAAGUUCUCUCCAAAAUCUGACAAUGGUUUUAAGUAUAUCCUUUGCUUGUCAAUAAGAUAUCAGCAGUAUUAAUUGACUCUCGCGAGAGAUUCUGAUUGCCGGGCCUGGCGGACAUUGAAAAUAUCGGAUGAUUGUGCCAAUGGCUGAUAAAAAACUUAUCAAUUUUUCCGGUCACUAUCAUUAGUCCAUCCAGGAACAGUCAUUGUCACGUGCAUACUGAUAUGUAAAUCCCUUAUCCGUACCAAAGAAUUAACUCAUGGCAUAUUAAUCUUAUUCCAUAAUAGUACCUAUUCAAUCUAGGUCCCUGCCUCCUUCGACUCGACAACAUUUAACAAGUACUUCGCAAGCCUCUAAACAAGAAUAGACUGAGAAGAAUGACAAAGUGAAAUGCACCAGAAUACCAAGAAAUUAGCCAAAACAAGGGGAACACACACACACACACAAGGCGAGAUGCAAAUAUAUAGCAGUUGGAGAAGCUAAAGUUGACCUUUCUAUUUUAAACCCCAUAAAUAAUCUGUUUAUCAUACUACAAAAACAUAUAGCAGAUCGAAAUCUUGUAAAGUUUUCAAUGAAUAACCAAUCAAACAACUAAGUUUUUUUAGCAGCGGAAGGUUUUAUUUUGUCAGUCUCUAGAUCAAAAAGAAGAAAAUUUUGCCAAAUGUACGUGUCAAAUUAAACCUAAUUGAUCAGCUAUAGUUGACGACGACCGUUUCCUAACUCAGAUUUCAGUUCUAUCGCAGUUUUUGGAUAAAAUAUCAAACUUGUCAUUCUCAAGUCUGAAUGGAAUUUAAAUCUAAACGGGGGAAUUCAUUAGGGGCAAACCAUUUGGGGGAAAAUUAGGGAGGCAAAAGAGAAUCAGCAUACCUUUUUUUGUAGACAGUUGCUGCUAAAUGUGGUCUUCUAUUUCAUCAUUUCCCAGCCAAGAUCGAUUAGCAGAUGGCGAGGAGAUGUUUCUUGGUUCUCGGCGAGGAGAUGUUUCCGGCAGAGAUGAGCAGUGUGUUUUUUGGUUCUCGGCAGAGAUGAGGAGCAGAGUGUGUUUUUUGGUUCUAAGUGUUGCUUGUUGGCUGUUGGCUCAUGGCUGGUAGCGUUUUGUUCGGUGAAUGACUAAACAUGACCGCGAGUUGUUGGUUUCACUAAGUGUUCAAGUCAAUUCCGCGCUUCUCCUCAAACUAUUGACUUUGAAUGAAAAUUCAAUUCCUUACAUUUCCCCCCCUACUCGUAUCAAAAUUUCAACCCAAGUUUUUUAGUUUUGAAUUAACAUUUUACUAAUAUAUUAUUACUUGCAACUUUUAAAUAUUUUUGUAAAAAUAUUCAUAAUAGGUAAUUUUUUUAUGACAUCAAACAGUUGAUCCCAUAUUAAUAUUGAUAUCACUUUCUCAAAAUUGUGAACUAAAUUACAACUUACUUAUCUUUCUUUUCAUUAUUUUUGCCCAAAACUCCAGAAUUUUUUUUAUUUUAUAAUAAGGAGAGAUGAUUUGUUUCAAAUGGUUAAUUUCACUUCAAAUUAUUGCACUAAUAUUAAUUUACAUGACAAAAUUUGAGUUCCUAAUAGUUAAAAAAAUCAUUAGAGAGCAAAAACAGAAUAACAAUUGGUUGUCACUAAUGACCAAAUUUCUUGUAAUACAUUUGCAAGAUAUAGAUUUAUGGGUAAUUUCUUUUUUUUUUUUGCUUUCACAUAUUUAAUUUAUGUUAAAUACAAAACCUACCAGUUUCCCUUUCAUAAAAAUAUUAGUGCAACACUUUUUGAAUUUUACUUACAAACAUUUAUGUAUUUAACAUAAAUUAAAUGAUUCAGAGUGAAAUGCCCAUAAAGAGCAGAAUAUUUGUUCAUGUAAUGGAGGAAACCCACAAAGAGUUGGUACUUUAUGGGCCAUUUCUUUUUUUAAAAAAAAUUUAAUUUAUGUUGAAAAGAUAACCUGCCAGUUUUCGUUUUGUAAGAAAUCAGUGUAACACUUUUUGAAUUUUACUUACAAACAUUUAUAAAUUUAUCAUAAAUUAUAUGUUUGAGAGUAAAAUGCCCAUAAAAAGUUGGUACUUUGAAUAGAUAAUGCUCAUUUGCCCAUAAACUACACUCCCUGAAGGCUAUCUUGUUAAUUACUUUGUAGUACUUUGUUAUUCCUUUGCUAAUACUACUUGGCAUGUAGUACAAAGGAUAAAUCUGACAUAAAUUUCUUAUUCCAUUGAUAAAAAGACCUGCCUGCCUUAUAACUAUUGUAAUGAAAGAUAUAUCUUUAGAGUUUAUAACAAAUUAUUACUUAAGUUUGAGAAAAUUAUAAAAUAUUUAUGCAUAGUUUAUCAAGAUACCAUUCGCAAUUUCCUAAUAAAAAAAUAGGGGCUAAAUUGUAAAAGUUAGGGUGCCAUAAUAGAAAUAAUAAAAUUGGUGUAUUACAUAUGGGGGUUAAAUUGCAAAAGUUAUAGUGUCAAAGUAAAAUUAAUGAAAUUGGUAAAUUACAUAUGGUGCUAAAUUACAAAAGUUAGGGAGUAAUAAUAGAAUUAAAGAAAUCGGUGUACUACAUAUGGGGCUAAAUUGUAAAACUUAAGGUAUCAUAAUGGAAUUAAUGGAAUUUUUUAUAACAUUUGGGGCUAAAUCGCAAAAGUUAGGGUGGCACAGUAGAAUUAAUGAAAGUGACUUAGAAAUAACUACUUUAAAUAGUGACGAUUAAUUCUUGUCACUAAAUCCGAAUCAAGAGAGUGACAGUGACGAUAUUAGAAGUUGUCACUGAAUAAAUCAUUUUAGUGACAACAUUUUCCAAGGUCGUCACUGAAGACACUGUCGCUUUGAGCAAUUAUGACAACUCUCCUUGUCGUCAAUAAACAUUUAGUUGUUUUGAUGGAAUUGUGACAACUUUAGGUGUCGCGACUAAAGAAUCCCCUUUUGUGACGAAAUAUUGUCAUUACUAAAAAAUGUUGUCACUAAUAACUUUUUUUAGUGAUCAGUGACGACAACAAAAAGUCGUCCGUAAAUAGGCCAAGCAAUAGUGAUGAUGUUCUUAAUGUCGUCACUAUUGUGUGUUCUAAACACUCCCGCCUUCUUGCUAAAUCUUGGCGGGAAUUUACUAGUGACGACUUAGAAGUCACAAAUGAGUUGCCUCCCAUUAAAGGUUUGUGACGAGUUAGAAAGUCGUCAAUAAAGGAUAGACUUUUGUGACAACUUCUUUUCGUCAAAAAGAAAAGUUGUCACUGAUGACCAAUUUUUGUUGUCACUAACUACACUAUAGUUUUAUUGACAAAAAUUGGUCGUCAAUAAACAUAAACAGUGACAACAACGAAAAGUUGUCAAAGAAAGUGGUAGAAUUACUGACAACUUUUAUCAAGUCGUCACUAUCGCAAAACUCGCGCCUUCCAAAUCCCAUGGCACGAAGUAGUUUUGUGACGACAAUUAAAAGUUGUCACUGAAAACUUAGUUGCUUUGAGUCAAUUGUGACAACCUUCAAAGUCGUGACUAAACAACCUCAUUUUGUGACGACUUUUUGUCGUCACAAAGAAAUGUUGUCACUAAUGACCUUUUUUCUUGUAGUGACUCAAUCCAUAAAUGGCUAGUGAACACCUUAUCUCAAUCAGACAGCAUACUCAGAGGUACCCCAUGUAGUUUACAGACCUAAUCCAGGAAAAUUCGAACUACUAUUGGUGCAUCAAAAGGGUGGGAUAGGCUGAUAAAGUGUGCUGACUUGGUGAACCUAUCCACUACCACCAUAAUAGUGUCCCUUCUCUUUGAUACUGGAAGUUCUUCAAUAAAGUCCAUGGUUACAUGACUCCAUGAGUACUGAGGUACAGUAAGUGGUUGCAGAAGGCCAGGGUAAGCAGUGUGCUCAUCUUUACAUUUUCUAAAUGUAUCGCACUGCAACACGGUUUCUUUGAUGUCCUUAUGCAUCCCUGGCCAGUGGAACCAUUGUUUAGCCCUCUGAUAGCUUGCCUGUAUUCCAAAAUGCCCUCCUAACUGUGAAUCAUGUAUUGCAAUAAUAAUUUUCUUCCUUACUCCCCCUUCUGUGCCAAUCACCAUCUUUCCUUUGUAUCUGAGCACACCAUCCUGAUAGGCGAAAACUGGUAGGCUAUCAGGGGUGAGCAGUAGUUGCUUGAUGAGAUCUUGUGUUUUUUCAUCCCCAUCAUAGCUUCCAAUUACUUCUCUUACCCACUUGGGAAUGACACAAACCAAUGUGGCACAGUCUCUUUCUUCCUUGUUGGUUCUCCUAGAUAGUGCAUCUGCAGCCACAUUCUCCUUCCCUUUUCUGUACUGAAUCUCGUAGCUCAGUCCCAACAAUUUGGUUGACCAUUUCUGUUGAAAUGUAGUGGUAACCCUCUGCUCCAACAAGUACUUCAAGCUCUGGUGGUCAAUCCUUAUUAUGAAGUGGUGUCCUUCCAAGUAGUGUCUCUAUUUAGCCACAGCCAUCACCAGGGCUAGCAGUUCCUUUUCAUAGAUGGAUAGUCCCAAGUUCCUAGGACCAAGACUCUAGCUCAGGAAUGCCAAGGGUCUCUUGUUGAUAUGUGAGACAGAUUUAAAUAUAUUGAACAAUCUUUUUUUUCAUGUUAUCCCACUAAUAUAACCCCUUUAAAUCCUGAUACAUCUUGUUACUAUCCGAAUGGAUCGUAUAUUUAGACUAGUAAGUUUCUUCCAAAUUUUUUUUUUCAAUGUUUCAUCCUUCAGUAAAACCACUCGGUUUCGAUAUCUCAAAAUCCCCUCGAGACUCAAAUUGAAAUCAAGUAAUUCCCCCUUUUGCACCUUUUCUGUCCGUUUAUGUACUGCAGAGUCUUUCUUCUGAGUUUCUUUGAUUCGAUCUAGUAGGGUGGAUCUCACUGUAAUAUUUCUGAACAACUUCUGGCGUUUAAGGCGACAAUUCCACUCACUAAUCUUUUCAAGCAUAGUUCAUUCCUUAAUCAUUAAUCCAGUCACUUGAGCCUUUCGAUUUAGAACAUCUGCUACUACAUUAACGUUUCCAAGAUGGUAAUUAAUCGUAUAAUUAUAAUCGUCUAAAAAUUUCACCUAUCAUCAUUGCCUAAUGUUUAGCUCCUUCUAAGAAAAUAAAUUUAAGACUCUUAUGAUCCGUAUAGAUCUCGAAAGUUACUUCAUAGAAAUAAUAUCUCCACUUUUUCAAAGCAAAAACAACAGCUGUUAAUUUCAAAUCAUGAGUCGGAUAAUUUUGCUCGUGAGCUUUCAACUUCCUAGAGGUAAAGACAAUCACAUUUCCAUUUUGCAUCAAUAUAUAUCCCAAUCCUUCCCUCGAGACAUCGAUAUAUAGUGAAACUGUCCUUUCUAUUAGGUAGAGUCAAAACUGGUGCCAUGAUCAACGGUUUUUUCAAUUCUUGAAAACUAAUUUCACAUCUACUAUUUCAAAUAAAGUUACCAUACUUUUUUGUCAGAUCAAUUAAAGGAUCGGCAAGUUUCAAAAAAUUUUUAAUAAGUCGACGAUAAUAUCCUGUCAGAUCUAGGAAACUAGGAAUCUUAGUAGGGUUUUCUGACCGUUUUCAUCCAAUAACAACUUCUAUUUUGGCCGGAUCUACUGCAAUGCCAUCUUUCGGAAUUACAUGCCCUCAAAAAGAUAUUUUCUCCAACCAAAACUCAUACUUACUAAACUUAGCAUAUAACUGGUGUUCUCUCAGAGUCGACAAUAUAAUUCUUAAAUGCUACUCAUGCUACUACCGGGUUUUAGAAUAAACAAGAAUACCAUCAAUAAAUACAACUACAAACCGAUUUAAAGAGGAUUUGAAAAUCCGAUGCAUCAAAUCCAUUUAUGCUGUAUGGGUAUUGAUCAAUCCAAAGGGUAUGACUGAAAAUUUAAAAUAUCCAUAUCUAGAAUUGAAGACAAUUUUUGGUAUAUCCACUUUCUUGAAUCGCAAUUGAUAAUACCCCUGUCGGAGGUCUAGCAUAGAAAACACCACCGCUCCUUACAACUGAUUAAAUAAUUCAUCAAUAUGUGAUAAAGGGUAUUUAUUCUUAAUUGUUAUAUCAUUCAACCCCCGGUAGUUUAUACACAGUUUUAAACUUCCGUCUUUCUUUUUAACAAAGAGUACUGGAACUCCUCAUGGAGAUCCACUUUCUCGAAUAAACUCUCGCUCCAAUAAAUCUUGCAAUUGUAACUUCAAUUCCAUAAAUUCAGCGAGUGCCAUUUGAUAUGGAGUUUUAGAGAUAGGUAUUGUUUCAGAUAAUAGAUCAAUUUUAAAUUCUAUCUCUCUUUCUCUCUGGAGGUAAGGUCACUAAUUCAUCAGAGAACACAUCCAGAUACUCCUUUAUUACCGGUACAUUUUCUAUCUUCAACUUAUCUGUCGGAGUAUUUAAUAGAAAAGUUAGGUAACCUUGCGCCCUUUUACUCAACAAUUUCCUAACCCGAUUACCCAAAAUAAAUGCAGAUGAGGCUAAUCUACCUCUCACGUCUAGUGUUAAGGUUGCGUCCCCAGAUAUGCGAAGUUCUUUCACUUUCUUCUUGCAAUUUAGUUGAACAUCAUAUUGAAUUAAUCAAUCCAUAUCUAAGAUGACAUUAUACCCCUUAAUGGUUAAAUUUAUUAAAUCUCUCAAUAAUUUUCUCUCUCCAAUCCAAAUUUCACAAUUCUUAUAAACCAUACUAGUGAUCAAACGUUCAUCAUCCAUAGGAGUACUAACUUCGAAAUCAUAUGACAAUCUAACAGGUUUUACAUCAAUUUCAUACAUAAAAUUAGGGUUAAUAAAAGAAUGGGUAGCACUGAAAUCUAUUAGAAUCUUAGCUAAAUGGUAGAAUACAGAGAUCAUACAUUUUAUAACCUCAAACGAGUCAGGGAGCUGGUGUUGCUCCAUUGCAUACAUCCGAAUCGGCACUUUCGAUCUAUUUCCUUCCACCUUUGUCUGCCCAGGGUUUGUCUUAUUUGAAUGCUGAGUCUCACUCUUCUCUCAAGGCGGGUCUAGACAAUUGACGAUCUGAUACUUGACACUUCCACAACGUAAACAUUUUUUUUCUUCCUCCAACAACUCUCUUAGUAUGGUUCGGCUUCCUACAGUAUCCACAGGAGAUACGGGAAGCUGAUGCCGAGCCUUCUUGUGGCGCACCUCUUUGUUGUCCUCUCUCGCCUUGACCUUCUCUUGACGGGGCUCCUCUGGGCGUCCCGGAAAGACUUAUUCCGUCUAUCUCUCUUCCAAAUUUAAGAGGUAUAUUUUUAUCCCCUUGUCCAAAGUUACUACUAGGCAUAUCUCGUUUCUUUGCUUGAAAAGAUCUAACUUGUAGCCUUGCACUUUCAACCCGCUAGAUUUUCUCCAUAACAUCACUAAAUGUAUUGAUUUGGGCUACUGCUAAAUCUUUCUGAAUUUCGACAUUUAGCCCUUGAACAAAGUGCCUUAUUCGCCUUUAUUCUGUUACUACUAGAUCAGGAGCAAACUUAGAUAGUCUGGUGAAUUGAGUUUCGAACUCCACAAUGGUUUGGAUUACUUGACGAAGUUUAAUAAAUUCGUUCUCCCUUUUCUCCUGAAUCAAAGACGAAAAAUAUUUUGCAUUAUACUCUCUGAUGAAAUUUACCCAAGUUCUUGGGGUUUGCUCUCUUUUCCAUUUAGUUCGUAUCACAUUCCACCAAGAACAGGCUACUCUCUCUAACUGAAAAUCAGCGAAGGCUACCUGCCUAUCCUCAGUAUAAUGCAAUGCUGCAAAGAUAUCGAUCAUUUUCUUCAGCAAUCUCUCGGCUAUAUCAGGGUCAGGUCCUCCCAAGAAUUUUGAUAGGGAGAAUUUUUGGAAUCGUUCGAGUACUCUAUCUUUGCCUUCUACAUAGUUCCUAGGGUUACUAGAUUGGUUAACAGGGUUUUGAUCUUGACGGUCCACUAUUUGUACUAGCAAAUCUAUCAUAUGUUGGAUGGCUGUGGCUACUUGUGUAUUGAGAUCGGUCCCUAGUUCGUGAUUUUGUUCAAUUACUGGUUCGUGAUUACCCCUUUGAUUUAAGGGUUGCCUGGGUCCACGCCCACGGGCUUGUCCACUAUGUCUACCCAUCAUUGAUUUUUAACAAGUCUAGAAUUGAAAUGCAGAUGCAACAAUUAAAAUACCUAGAUGAAUAAGCAAGAUGCAAGAAUGUAAACAAGUUAGAAAAUCAAGUAUAUUUAACACAACCCCUUUCAUACAUAUCAUACAGUAAAAGUCAGGUACAAACAAAAUAGCCCCAUUUACAUAAGUAGUAGGAUCAUAUCAAAAGUAUAGUGAACAAAAACUAUACCAAAAGGACAAGAACAUCCAACUAGAGGUUUCCUAAUUACCCCUCACAUAUGGUCAAAACAUGACUCAUUGGAGUUCUAACCUAAUUUCCAAUAGAGCUAGUAGAUGUUUUAUUUCUAGGGCCAUGAUCUACGUCAGCCAAAUUUACAUCCACCACCUCUCCAAGUAAAGUCCUACAUUCCUGCAAAAUGCCCUCGGUUUGGUCUUCUACCUCUCUUAGCACCCUAGUGAGAAGCUCAUUCACCAUUUGCACCAGCUGGCGCAUAGCAUCCGUACGUUCUUGCUCUUGACCAACAGUCUCUUGCAACUCCUGGAUUCUAUCCGCCUGCAUUUCCAUAAUUCCUCCCAUUCUUUCCAUCUCAAUUUGAUCCCUAAAAUUGGCACGCCUAAGUCUUCUCCUCUCAUCUAGCACCGUCAAGACCACAUGAUUAGUAUAGGAGUAGUUUUGGCAACGACUACAUCUACUAGUCUGACUUGCGGAACUCCAACGUCGGAUUGGUCCCCCUGACCUCUCCUCAUAAUCGAUAAUUCGAAAGCGCUUCCGAGACGCCUCACUUCCACCCUCUCCAUUGGUUCCUUCCAUGACCUACAAGGAUAAGCACAAUUUACAAUUUAGACAAGGUUAAUCAUACUUAAUGACAUCCUAACAUGUCACAUUAAAGUUCCUUAGAAUCAAAUUUUCAUUUUGCCCAGGCCAUUUCUAACCUAGACUCUGAUACCAAUUGUGACAGACCCAUCUGCUCUUAGGGCAUACCCUAAAGGUUAGCGGACUGCUUGUCCAACUCUCGCCAGGACUAACUAAUCCAAAAUUACCACAGGUACUAAAACGUACAACAUUACUUCAAAAUACCGCAACCCAAAAUUUUAUACAAUUCAAGGUUAAAGUACAAGUCAAAGGAUUCAAGCUUAAACAGUUUCACAUAAGGUUUACUAAUAUCGAUGAGUUUAAAAAAAAUGUCUAAAGUCUAGAGCUCGCUCCACUCUUCCCCAAAAUCACGUACCAAAAACUUUGCCCCUGUAAGGAAACAAAAGUGACAGGGUAAGUUUUUGCCCAAUGAGGUGCCACAGGUCAUGCAGUCGAAAUCACAUAGUUAGAACUUUAAUCUAUCAACAACAAGCAUCGAGUAAAAGAACAAAUAAAUACCACAACUAAUAUAGAGCGGUUCAAGUAAAAAGAUACAAACUCGUUGACACCCCAGUCACAUUAGCUUGAUCCAAACUCAUUGACACUCCAUUAACAUUUAGAAAAACAAAGAAAUAUUGAUCGUAGAUCCCCACUUUACACUAGUUUCUGUCUAUCAAACAUACUCCUUACUGAGUCCAAACUCCAAGUAGAAACAGUGUUGAUGGUAUUCGAGUAUACCAAUUAUCAGAAGUAUCCAGUAUUCAGUAAUUCAGUGACAGUUUUCCUCAUGGCCCGUCAAUCUACCUCGACCAACCCUUGCUGGUUCGAUCGAUUAACUACUAACGAGGUUUGAGCUCCAAUUCACAGUAAAGUUGUCAGAUAUUGGGCUUCGACUAGCAUCCAAGUCAUGCACAAGUAAUAGGUUUCAAAUAAACAGUAAAUCAAUCAAACAGUCAAGUGGAAUUGAGUGUGAUAAAGUAUACACCCGUCCAGUCCAGAUUAAACCAAAUCACAGUCAUACAACUCAUAAAUUCCAGUCACAAGUAGUUCACUUUAAGCAACAAGUCAUACAAGUGGUACACUUACCAGUUCAAGCAAAGCAACGUCAAAAGUUCAUCCUCGGGUUAUGCCCUUGAUCACCAACAAACUCUAAGAACAACCAAGAUAAAAAUAUUAUGGUUCAACCAUCCAAAACUUAGGUGAACUAAGGAAAAUCCAAGUAACUCCUAGUGCAAAGAUUCAAAUAUAGUUUUAGAAUGAAAAUAGAGUAUUUGAAACCAAGGGACAUGAGUAACCAAGGAGUUCCUCAUUCCAAUUCAUGGUUGGAAAUUUCCAGCAGCAAAAUAGUGAAGAGAAACAACCAAAUCUCGAGUUUAAAGUAGAACAAAUGAAACUAGAAAGCAUGCUAGAAGAAAUCAUUACUUUUCCUCUUGUUUUACACAUGGUUUUAUCCAAAUUUCAUUUUAUACACCACCACCAAGGUGAACUCAAAUAAUCAUAAGCAACCUAAGUCCAAACCGACCCAAAAUUACCCCUCUAACAUCACUCAUAUCACGAGAAAGAAAGUAAUAAAAAUUUCAGCAGCAUUUCCCCUUAUUUUCUUAACUUUCCCUUCCAAACUCAAUACCUAUAUUCAUAGCAAUCCAACCUCAAUCACAACCACAAAGUUAUAGGCUAUAAAGUACACUUAUUUAAGGUCACAAAGCCACCCAAAAUAGCAAAUUAUCUAACUCAAGAACAACCACAGUAAAGCUGGAAAAAUGUAACCCUAAACUGAAAUUUACUACUACAAGUUGAAAUUUCUUAUAAUGAAACCAAAAUAACAUAUAAAAGUUAGAAAAUUCACAUGGCAAAGCUACUAGGUCAUACCCAAGUUCAAUUCAACAUAUCAAAGCUAAAAUUUCUCACUCAAAACUUGAAUUUUCCAACCACCAUAAAAACCAUGAAAUUUUCCAUGUAAUCUACCAAAAUCAAGUUUUGAAUCCACUCAUAUGCAAGUAAUAAAAGAAAAGAUGGUUUCUUGAUAUGGUUACCUUAAAACCCCUAUGAAGAAAUGGAAUUCAAGAGCUUCUUCCUCCCAAAUCUCUUCACCAAAGUCCUUAAUUCUCCCUAAAUGUCACCUUUUAUGGUUUGAAUUGCAAGUUUAAGGUGAAAAACUCAAGGAUUCAAAUAAGAUUCAAGAUUGGAGUUGAAGUUUUUUCUCUCUUUUUCUCUCAAAGUGGGUCGGCCAAGAAGGGAAAGAAUGAAGGGUUGUUUUGGUCAAAUUUUGUUUUUAUUAAAGGCUAAGAAUGGUCUUAGUCAAAGUCAAAACUCCAUAGCUUUAGUGACAAAUGGCAUUCCAAGGUUAAUCCUCAUCUAAUUGUCUCCCAAAUGCUAAAAUAUCUAGUCAACCUCUAAUUACUCCUUAACACCUUGUAAAAUAAAAUUUCUUUGCACAAAACUCCUCUUAAUUUUCAAAAGUAUAUCACACAUCUCACUAGUGGGUCCUACUUCCAUAAUGCACUAUGAAUUUAACAUAUACUAACUUAUUGAAGAAAAAUGAUUUGAAAACUUGACUCACUUAUAAAAAUAUUUAAAAAAUUAAGACAAUAAAGUAAAGUAAAGAAAUGUAUUCAAAGAAAUAAAAUAAAAUAAAAAAAAUUUUUCAGAUCCUCACAUUCUACAUAUAAACAAACAUUUCUAAUCCCCUCAUAUUCGACAAAUGAAAAUGGCAACUCAUGCCUAAUGAUUACAUGAUAUGAAUCCUGUUAGAAACCAAACCCGUAUUUCACAAGCCACGGAUCUAGACGAACAAUACCUAAGAUUUGGCAGCGGAAAAUUUAGACCAAUUAAUUCUAGGGUUCACGAACAUGUUGAUAUAAUCUCAACCCGUAAUUAAUCGAAUUGAAGAACCAAAGUUGAUGGAUAGAAGGUGCCACAAUUUAACAUACUCUUGAAUUGAUAAGCCAAAUUUCUUGAACACUCAAGAUAACUCUAAAGUAUUCAAAGGAAUCAUUUCUAAGAACCUAGGAGAAAAUUCUCUCACACAUAAGUGUUUUUUUUUUUUGCUGGAAAUUCUUGAUUAAUUUUAUUAAUAAACAAGAUAAGCCUUUUAUAGGCCUUACAAGACUCAAAACCUAAUCAUACUAGCAUAACUAAUAAAUAACUCAAAGUUCUAAAAGGACAAGUUCAACAAUUCGGCUUAGACUUCUUCACAAGCUAGCCAAAUGGAAACUAACAAUAGAAAACAUACUAAAAACUAAAAUAACUACUAGUUGACUACCAAUUAUAAACAACUAGACAUAGACUACUCACGGCCUUAUUCUUAAGAAAAGUUGGCCGUACAAUUGAUAACAAUUAUAACUUAAUUAAACAUACUAAAAACAAGAAAGGGACCCGAAUUUUUGAAAUUCAAUGAAUCGGCUUCUUAUAUGACUAGAACAUGAACCACUGGAUCACCAGCUCAAAUUAUUGCAUACAUCAUUAAGUCUCUAAAUUUCUCUUGAUGAAUACUUUUCAAUCAGAAGUAAUAAGAUACUGACCAAUAUCUUUUGUUAUUAUCUUUUGACAUUUUAUUAUGUGUCUUUUAAGGUUGCCAGUCCCAUUUUUACUCUGUGCAGAGUAAAUGCAAUGACAUAUUUUGCAUCUGCACUUCAAUUCCUUAUUUGAUUUUGAAGUUAGGAUAGUAAAAUGAGCCCAAACUUCAAAGUUUAGCUUCCUUUUUUGUCUCCUUUGAGAAUAGGGUUAGGGCAUUGAGACUGAUUCAUAGCUAUUUUGUCUUUAACAUUGUUGUCACUACUACUAUCAUCAUCAACAUCAACUGGCCUUGGAUUUGUAUUAUUUGCAUCCAUCUUUUAACCAAUAAAUAGACAUACAUGUCAUUGUCUAUUCGUGUUAAAAUUUCUUUUAACAUAAAAACAAAAUUUAAAAGAUAACGCAUUCACAAACAAUUUGACAUUAUGAGUAGAUGAUGCUUGCAGCCACAAUUAACAACUACAUUUAUAUUAAUAUUUUCAAUGUAAAACACUUAUGUCAUAAUGUCAAAGCUUGAGACUAACUGACUAAGUGUUUAUUUUCCAGAAGUGCAUCACCAGUAUUUAGUAGUAAGAACACUUUGGAAAGUUAGACGACUAUUAAACAUUGGGAUAAUGACAUCAAUUGAAGAUACAGGAGAUCAUGACAUGUAAAUGAACAUCCAAAAGUGAGAAAAAAAGUCAAUCCUUUUCUUUUCAAGAAGAAAGAGGUUUUUUUGUGUAACUUUUGUUAUUUAUGACUCCAAAACCUAUGCAAAAUCUCAAGCAAAAAAUUAAAACAAGACAAAUUUCCUAUCCAAUUCUAUAAGAUUUUCACAAAAUGAAAAUAAAUCAAACUAUGCAGGAGAUGAAGAAAUGUUUAGCUUAAGCCAUUGGAGUAUCAGUAUAUCUACUAUUACUUCAUCUAUGCGACUGCUACUGUGCUACAUCACUGAAAGAAAAAAAAUAUGGUGAAAAGCACAUAAAUAAUCGAUUUGGGGUCAAUUUGAAUUGUUUUGGAAUCCUUCAAUAUUUGAUGCUUAAGAGAGAGUAGGAGGGUCAGAGAAGGGUCACACAAAUUCAGAGGCUAAGGCUUUCGGUCGGAGAAGAAUGAUUGCCACUAACUACUGAGUGUUGAGGGAGUCUGGACUCUGGAGAAGAAGGUAAGAAAGAGGUGUUCUGCACUGAGGUAUUCUGCCCUGCCAACUAGCAGCUGCUAGUAAGAGAAUAAGAGUCAUUUGAUAAUACAAUUCAAUAACUAAACUUAAUAAAUUCAAAUUUUAAUAUAUUCAAAUCAUUUGGUAAUAAAAAAAUUAAACAUCUGAAGUAAUUAAGGGGUAUCGAAUUUCCUAGGCAAAAUUUGUUUUCAAAAUUAAGUGAUAAAUCAUUCAUUGAAUGUGAUAUGUACUCAAAUGUAUUAAAUUUAAUAUUUAAUAAUUCAAUAAUUUAAUGGAUUCAAAUUUCAAAUUUUAAACUUCAAUUUAAUGGAUUGCCACUAACUACUGAGUGUUGAGGGAGUCUGGACUCUGGAGAAGAAGGUAAGAAAGAGGUGUUCUGCACUGAGGUAUUCUGCCCUGCCAACUAGCAGCUGCUAGUAAGAGAAUAAGAGUCAUUUGAUAAUACAAUUCAAUAACUAAACUUAAUAAAUUCAAAUUUUAAUAUAUUCAAAUCAUUUGGUAAUAAAAAAAUUAAACAUCUGAAGUAAUUAAGGGGUAUCGAAUUUCCUAGGCAAAAUUUGUUUUCAAAAUUAAGUGAUAAAUCAUUCAUUGAAUGUGAUAUGUACUCAAAUGUAUUAAAUUUAAUAUUUAAUAAUUCAAUAAUUUAAUGGAUUCAAAUUUCAAAUUUUAAACUUCAAUUUUAUGAAACAUUGACUCAGAUUCAAAUCAUUUUUUUUUAUCUAUCGAAUCUAACCCAAUUUCCACUCAAGCCCGCGAAAGCUCAACCCAAUUUUAUGUUAGAUUUGUUUCGUUUUUUUGAAGCUAUUAGGCUUGUGAGUUAAUUAUCCAAGAAUGGAGCCGAAAGAAAAAGUGGAAAAAUAAUGAUGGAAGCAGCGAAGGGUGAAAUCCCGGUGUUCAUGCAUCUGUGAUGAUAUCAAGCAGAACCAGGGCAAUGAAAUCGCACAGCGUUGGAAUCAACAAGAUAUAUUACCCAGUACUAGUAGAAAAGUAAAAUUGGCAAUGAAAUCAGCUCAAUAGUGAUAUAUUGAUUAAACAAGAUAGUUACAGAGUUGGCGAGAAAAGAGAAGAAGAUGAACAAGAAUGAAGGAAAAACUUGGGAAAGAAGCAAUGAACUGGGAAUGAUCCCAAUUGAUUUGAUUACACAAUAUUCUCUUGUACUAUCUCCCAAAUCCACCUAUAUAACGCUGCAGCUAAUAACUAACUCCUUAGCUCAUCCAAUCUAGUUUGGGCACGUGGCCCUUUGUGCCAAAUUCUGUUGCAAGACCACUUGCAGCUGAUCUCACGUUUUCUAAACUGAUUUCCAGUAAAGGCGUGGAUUUGACUCUCACGCCUUCUAUUGUGUCUCUUUAUCACAUUUCACGACUCCUCUAUGCAAAUUACGCCUUCAGUUUGUUUCUUCAGUUUCAACUUCUACUUCAUGACAAUUGCUUCUCUUUCAAUCAAUCUUGUCCUCAAGAUUGGAAUUCAGGGAACUCCCUCUCGAUUUUUUCUGCAUCUUCCCACGUGGGCUUCGGCAGGAGUGGUUCCCCACCAGUGGAUGAGCCACUGCACAGCUACUGCAUUUUUCUUCUUGAUGAUUCUGCGAUCCUCUUGGUGUUGCCCCUUAGACCUUGGGCCAAAGUACUUAGCAGACAGCUUGGUGUUGCCCCUUAGACCCAUAGAUGUUUGCCUAUAUGGCUGUAGCCUUAAGUAGACCCAAUCUCCCACACUGAAUGUUCUCUUGCUCAUAUUCUGAUCAGCAUAUAACUUCAUCCUAUCCUGUGCUUCUUGCAAGUUCUUUUUUAGCAAAUCAUCCAACCUCCGUCUGUCUCUCAAGUGAUCUUCUACUGCUGCCACCUUGGAGUGAGAGUAGUGUUCUAGUGCUAGCUAAGAAUGGGCCAUUCCAUAUAAGGCCUCAAGUGGACUUAUGUGCAUAGCUGUAUGAUAUGUAGUGUUGUACCACCACUCUGCAAGGAAGAGCCAGGCAUUCCACCUCUUAGGUUCUAGAUGUGUCAUACAUCUCAAAUACAUUUCUAGCACCUGAUUUACCCUUUCAGAUUGACCAUCUGUUUAAGGGUGGUAAGCAGUGCUCAACUUUAGAUCAGUCCCCAGCAACGUGAAUAACUCAAUCCAUAAAUGGCUAGUGAACACCUUGUCUCAAUCAGACAGCAUACUCAGAGGUACCCCAUGUAGUUUACAGACCUAAUCCAGGAAAAUUCGAACUACUAUUGGUGCAUCAAAAGGGUGGGAUAGGCUGAUAAAGUGUGCUGACUUGGUGAACCUGUCCACUACCACCAUAAUAGUGUCCCUUCUCUUUGAUACUGGAAGUUCUUCAAUAAAGUCCAUGGUUACAUGACUCCAUGAGUACUGAGGUACAGUAAGUGGUUGCAGAAGGCCAGGGUAAGCAGUGUGCUCAUCUUUACAUUUUCUAAAUGUAUCGCACUGCAACACGGUUUCUUUGAUGUCCUUAUGCAUCCCUGGCCAGUGGAACCAUUGUUUAGCCCUCUGAUAGCUUGCCUGUAUUCCAAAAUGCCCUCCUAACUGUGAAUCAUGUAUUGCAAUAAUAAUUUUCUUCCUUACUCCCCCUUCUGUGCCAAUCACCAUCUUUCCUUUGUAUCUGAGCACACCAUCCUGAUAGGCGAAAACUGGUAGGCUAUCAGGGGUGAGCAGUAGUUGCUUGAUGAGAUCUUGUGUUUUUUCAUCCCCAUCAUAGCUUCCAAUUACUUCUCUUACCCACUUGGGAAUGACACAAACCAAUGUGGCACAGUCUCUUUCUUCCUUGUUGGUUCUCCUAGAUAGUGCAUCUGCAGCCACAUUCUCCUUCCCUUUUCUGUACUGAAUCUCGUAGCUCAGUCCCAACAAUUUGGUUGACCAUUUCUGUUGAAAUGUAGUGGUAACCCUCUGCUCCAACAAGUACUUCAAGCUCUGGUGGUCAAUCCUUAUUAUGAAGUGGUGUCCUUCCAAGUAGUGUCUCUAUUUAGUCACAGCCAUCACCAGGGCUAGCAGUUCCUUUUCAUAGAUGGAUAGUCCCAAGUUCCUAGGACCAAGACUCUAGCUCAGGAACUGCAGGGGUCUUGCAUCAGUACAGCUCCCAUCCCUUCAUAGCAGGCAUCAGUCUCAAUCACAAAUGGUUUAGUAAAGUUAAUUAGUGCUAGUACAGGUGUGCUACACAUUGCCAAUUUCAGCUUCUGAAAUGCCUCAUCAGCUUUUGCAUUCCAUUGGAAACCAUCUUUCUUCAACAACAUAGUGAGAGGUUUUGCUAUAGUUCCACACCUCUUCACAAAUUUCCUAUAGUACCCUGUCAGCCCUAGAAAUCCUUUCAAUUGCCUCACAGUAGCUGGUUUUGGCCAACUCAUCAUGCUUACUACCUUUUUAGGGUCAGCCAUCACCUCCUGAUCAGAGAUGAUGUGUCCUAAGUACUCUACUUCUGUUUGAGCAAAUGAGCACUUGCUUUUCUUAGCAUAGCGCUAGUGCUUCUUUAGGAUGUUCAGUACUACUGCCACAUGCUCUAGGUGACUAUCCAAGGUGGGGCUGUACACCAAGAUAUCAUCAAAGAACACCAAAACAUACUUUCUUAGUUGUUCCCUAAAAAUAUGGUCCAUGAGACUCUGAAAAGUGGCUGGAGCAUUAGUCAGCCCAAAUGGCAUGACCUUGAAUUCAUAUAAUCCUUGGUGAGUUCUGAAUGCUGUCUUGUGCCUGUCUUCCACCUUGACCCUGAUUUGAUGAUAGCCAGCCCUCAGAUCUAUCUUGAUGGAGAAUUUGGACCCCUGCAGUUCAUCAAUCAACUCAUCUAUCAAUGGCAUAGGGAAUUUGUCCUUUACUGUUAGCUCAUUGAGCUGUCUAUAGUUGACAGAGAACCACUAGCUUCCAUCCUUCUUCUUUACCAACAAUAUUGGAGAUGCAAAAGAGCUGUUGCUGGGCUAAAUGAUCCACAUUUGCAACAUUUCCUUGACCAAUUUCUCUAUCACACCCUUCUGCAUAUAUAGACAUCUGUAUGGCCUGUUUUGAAAUGGAGUUGCUCCUUCCUUCAGUGGAAUGGCAUGGUCAUGACUCCUGGCUGGAGGCAUGCCUUGUGGCUUAGAAAACACUUCCCCAAACUGGUUCAGCAGUUCCUUCAUUUCUGCUGGCAUCUGCUCAUAGCCCAACUUUUCCUCUUCCACUACAUAGAGUUGGGCAGUGAUUCCAUAUGCUUGCUUCCUCCUCCAUUUAGCUAGUUUACUCCCUUUGACAAGUUUCAACUUAAGCUUUUCUACUUCUCCCUUCAACUCCACUGGUUCUUUUCCUUUCAGGAACUUCAUAGUCAGCUGUUUGAAAUCAAACUCAAUGGGACUAUAUUUGGCCAACAAGUCAACGCCAAGCACCAUGUCACAGCUACCCAAUCUAAGUGUAUUGAAUUGGUGAUGGAAGUCCUGCCCUUGUAUGCCCCAUCCCAUCAUCUUUUGUAGUUAUCUAGAUUCUUCAGCAUUCCCCUUUUGCUCCUCAAGUGAGUUACCAGAAUCAACAGGCUCAUCCACCACUAUGAAGUGCAUAUGAGCCUAUUUGCAAAUAUGCCUCAAGGUAUAAGUUUCAGCACACUUGAAACACAACCCCUUUUCCCUCCUAUAAUUGAAUUCAGAAGGAGUGAUUCCUUUAAAUUGGUUGGCUGAGUGAGUCCCUAUCUUGGUGUUCUUAUGGGAAAUGAAUUCUGGUUUUUGGUUGUUAGGCCACUUCCCCUUAUUUUGUGGGUUAGAGGUCUGUAAAUGAGUUGUGGUGGGAUAUUUUUGGAUGAUUUUUCCUAGUGCCUUCCUAACGGCUUCUUCUAGAUUUUUUUCCUGCAGUUUAGUACCUUCAAUAGCAUCUGCUACGGUAAGGGGCUUGGUCAUCCUAACCAUGCUAACAAUCUCAUGUGUCAAGCCGCUAAGGAAACAAGAUCUAUAAUAAAAAUCAGGUUGUCCAGGAAGGGAGGACAUUACCAGGGACUUCAGCAGCUCAAACUUUUCCAGGUAAUCUAUUACACUACCAAUCUGCACCAGUUUGUUGAACUCCACUAUAGCCUCCUCUGGAUCUCUUUCUCUAAACCUUUCGCAAAUAGCCAUUGCCAAUUCCUUCCAGGGAACUGCUUCUCUUUCAUGGUACAUGCCAUGGAACCAGAUAUCUGCCUUGUCUUUAAGGUAAAGCUGAGCAAUAUCAGAUUUCAAAUCUUCCUCUACUCCAUGGAUCUGGAAGUACUUGUUAGCUCUCCUAACCCAUUCCCUCGGAUUGACCCCAUCAAACAAGGGAAAGUCCAUCCUAGCCAGUUUAGCUCCCCCUCUUCCUUCUGUUUUCUCAUACUUCCCAUUGACCACUUCCACCAUCUGGUCAUUUCUAGUGCUAUUUCCCUCUACUUCCUUCCCUUUAUCGCUUAGUUUGGACAUAAUCUGUGCCAUCAUAUUCAUCAUUCCCUCAUAUUUUUGGUCCAGAUUCUUAAUGGCUUUUUCUAUGCUCUCCUGCCUAUGCUCCAUUACUCUUACUGUCUGCUCUAUUCCAUCAUUCCUGUUGGCAAAUGUCCUCACGACACUUCCCAGCUCGGUUAGAUCCUUCCUCAGCAUUUCAUCUUGAGUCUUAGUCAUCCCAAUGGCUCGUGGUUGAGCUCUGAUACCACUGUGAUGAUAUCGAGCAGAACUAGGGCAAUGAAAUCGCACAGCAUUGGAAUCAACAAGAUAGAUUUCCCAGUACUAGCAGAAAAGUAAUAAUUGGCAAUGAAAUCAGCUCAAUAGUGAUGUAUUGAUUAAACAAGGUAGUUACAAAGUUGGCGGCAAAAGAGAAGAAGAUGAACAAGAAUGAAGGAAAAACUUGGGAAAGAAGCAAUGAACCAGGAAUGAUCCCAAUUGAUUUGAUUACACAAUAUUCUCCUAUACUAUCUCCCAUAUCCACCUAUAUAACGCUGAAUCUAAUAACUAACUCCUUAGCUCAUCCAAUCUAGUUCAGACACUUGGCCCUUUGUGCCAAAUUCUGUUGCAGGACCACUUGCACCUGAACUCAGGUUUUUUGAAGGUGUGGAUUUGACUUCCACGCCUUCUAUUGUGUCUCUUUAUCGCAUUUCACGACUCCUCCAUGCAAAUCACGCCUUCAGUUUGUUUCUUCAGUUUGAACUUCUACUUCUCUGGGGGAUUGCCGGAAGUUCAAUAUCACUGGUGGUAGGGAAACCAUGGAGGCUCUCUGACUUUGCGGGAGUCUGAAGCAAAAAAUCCCGGGCAGUGUGAAGCAAAAUCUGAAUUGUGGGCUUGUGUUUGCGGCUGAUGACGGUAUUAUUGUCCACCUGAGUCUUCCGCCCAAAAAAGGUGACCCUCCUAUUAUCCCUGCCUCAUCAUCUACUUCACGUUUUGCUUCUGCUAACUUCCGUACCACUCAAAACGAGUUUUGGGUCGAGGGUGAGGGUAGGGCACUAGAACUCGAGAAAGAAAUGGAGGAGACUGAAGUUGCCGUGGUCUGGAGCUUAGGAUUGAUGAUGCUUGAGUUCGGAUUGGGUUUUGCCCGCCAACAAUCACCCGGAGCUGCUUAAUUUGGUAGGGAAAAAUCAGAACAGGGGAGUGGUCUGGAGGCAGGUUACUCCGUGCUAGCGACCUAAUUGAUAUUGAUGGUCAAACUAGAAAGAGGCGGAAUUUGGGGUAGAAUCCCUCUAAGAAUUUGUGUUUCUCGCCACUAUUUCAAGAAGUAAUCAGGUCCUUGAAUUCCAACCCUGCUGGUAGACCUAGUUUGGAAGAAAUAUUUCAAGGUGAUUUGUUUAAGGGCUGUAAGCCAUUUGAAAAGGUUGUAGGGAAAAUCUUUUAGGGGCGUGUCUUUGAUGGUAAAGGCAUCUACAAACUGGGGAAAAUUCUUAGCUACCACGGGGAAUCUCUGGUUUACCAGACCAAGUAUAAGCCCAUCAAAAGCUCUGAUCACUAUGUGGCUUUGAAGGUAAUGGAGAAGGAGAAGUCUGCUCCAGAAAUCAGUUGAGAUCAGUGUGGAUGCUAAUUCCCAUCCAUGUAUCGUCGGGGUUAUAAACAAAUUUGCAAGUGGUGCAAGUUAUUGUGUCUCCAUGCCCUUGUUUGAUGAGGGUUCAUUGAGGCUUCUUUCAAGGACUUGAUGAAGUGGUGGUCGGCCUGAGGAUUGAAUUGCCCUGGUUCUGAAAGGUCUUCGUUUCCUCAUCAUAUGGUUUUCAAACGUGUUAGUCCAGACCAUAUUUUGUCUGUAGGAAUCCUUUAUGCAUUGCUUUGGGUCAUGAAGCCAACUCAGUGUCAUGCUUGGAAUUCUGACAAUGCUAAAAAUUCGGUGAUGAAUUCAACGAUUGAUGAAUUCAGUCAUAUAUCAGAAUUCUACGAUGCUGGGGAGGCUUAUUCCUCCAAGGCUGACAUAUGGCUCCUCAGAUUAGCUGCUUUGGAAUUGGCCUAUCACCGCAUCCCUGUCAAGACAUGAGCAGGCUUAAUGGCUUUAACCUCAUACAUCAAUCAAAACAAUUGUUAGCCUAAUUUAUAUAGCCUGAUGGAGAUAGGCAAUGAUAUUAGCAGGACUGAAGCACCGCUUGUCGCGGGAGAAACAAGACAGUUCACCAGCAAUUUCAGUAACUUUUGUCAGCGUAUGCCUCCAUGAAAAUCCAGCACAAAGACCGUUAGCUAUCCAGCUGUUGGAACAUCCAUUCUUGAGAAGUUGUACUACUCUUGAAUGUUUCGAUAAGGUGCUUAAGUAAUAUGGCCAUUUUGAAGCUUCUCCUGCCCUGGGUUUGCUUGAAAUAUUUUGUGUUUCGACUUAUUGUUUUUGAUGCUUAAAGGUGCUUAAGUAAUGUGGGAAGUUUGAAAUUUUCUCCUGCCUAUGUUAAAAAUGAGAAAUUUCAUAUUUUCGGCGCACUGUUUUUUGUACUCUUUUAAGUUUAUCUUGCUUACUUUUUGACAUCCUUUUGUGAAAUUUAAGUAUUUAAUUUUUUUUUAAAAUUUUGCGUUAAUUAUUCACCUUUGGAAAUUGAGAAUGCUUGGAUGUGGGUGUUACAACAAAAAAUUUUUGGGGCUGCUUCUUCUCAAAUUGUUACUUGGGUACUUUAUUUUUUACUGCAUUUGGUUUUGCAGGUAAAAUUUUCAUAGGAAGGGGAAAACUAAAAGUAGAAAUGCCUUUAAUAAUCAUUUCACUAGUCGAUAAUUCCUUCAGAAUGCCAAUUGACACUGGAUGUUGAAAUUUUGAAUGCAUAAACCUACUUUACUGAGAGGCAAUUGGUGACAUUAUGUUUACUGAAGUGAUUCUUUGCACUGCUACAGAACGUACGAACUGGUUAUAAAAACCAAAGUGCAUUGAUAGCCUCUGCUCGUUUCCUAACUCGUAAGACCUAGAUUUGCUUCAAAAAAAAUUUUUUUACCCUCAACUUUCUUUCAAAAUUUACUUAAGUGUAACUUCUCCAACAAAAGCUAUACCAACACGGAGAGGAAAGAAGUGGAGAAUACUUUGAAAAUGACUGACUCAGUAAUGCAGUACAAGUUUUUUUACGUGUUUUCUUUUGAUGAUUUUGCAAGUGGAAGGUAUGCUUUUGUUGUUUUUUCACAUUUUUAUCAUUUUCGGCACUGACGGACUCUGUUAUUGCAUCUAGAUAAUCCACCUAAUUCUAUACUAAAAUUCUAUGCAGUUGUGUUUUUCUUCUCCUCCUCCACAAAUCUUUUUUUCUUCCCCCCCCCCCCCCUCUGUUUCGAACUUAUGCCUAAUGGUAUGCCUAACUUGCGACCUUUGUAAUGAUAUGGCCUAUUUCUUAAUGUCAAUUUGCUGGCACCUUCAAGCAAUCUCAAGUUCUCAAACAUUACUAAAAUCUUUUUAUUUGCUACAAGAUCAACAGUAUGUGCAAAGAAAAAGUGGAAUAGUAUCAGAGAGUUUGUCCAAAAUUGUCUUAUUUCUGCAGCUCUUUUGCGGAAUAUCCCAUUCUGCUGGAGCAGCAGACCUUUUGGCAAAAAGUCCUUGUGGCUUCAAUGUUUUGGAGCAAUUAGUCUUUCCAGUCCUUCUUUUUUGCAAUAUCUGCUGGAUUUGAAUUCUACUUAACAUCCUCAAGAAAGAAGGACAACUUGUAGUUUCCACUCUAGACAUGUAUUAUUGAGGUUAACGUUAGUCUGUUUUAGUUCUUUGAUGCUUGCUAAAUUGUGUGUUCAGUGCUUUGUACGGUUGUAUGACUUUCUUCAAGCAAUCUGUGCAUUGUUGUUUCUCAUUCAGAAAACUUGCAAUCCUUAAUAGUUGUAAGAAAUGGAUUUUCUGUCUCCUGAUUUCAAUUAAAUAUGUAUGUAUGUGUAUCUAGUCUUUCAAAAUGGAGCUUCUGAAGUAUCAGCAUAUUUUACACUUGUAGACACUAAUUCUGGAAAAACUAGAGAUAAAUAUAUAGCGAGUCAGGAUUUGUUGUUUUUUCUUUCAUCCUUGUAGUCACUGUGCUGGCAACUUCCAAAGUCUCAUGAAGAGCUUAUUGUUUCCUAAAUUAUCCAUUAUGUUUGACAAUUGGCAGUGUUUCAACUUGAGGAUAUGCUCUGGUAUCUUCAGGGCUUUAGUCUAGAUAUGUAUUGAACACUUGCAAUAGCUUCAACUUGAUCCAUUUUUUUGACAUGCUGGCUUUCAUUGCAUGGAAACUUGAAUUUACUUGGUUUAAUUUUAUCAAAAGUUUGUCAGAGAAGUUUGUUUUAUCUUUUUAGUUGAUAUAGAUGACAUGUGCUAUGUUGAUGAAUGCACAUCAUCAGUUGUAUCGGCUCGUAGAGAGCAUGCUUGGAGCAGGCUGAUGACUCCUGUUAGAAGUUUUUGGAACUAUAUAGGGUACAUACCUCAAAUAUGAUACUUGAUAUGUGCCCUCUUAAAGAGUCCUUGAAUAUUGCGUGUUCUGUGAAAGAUGCAUAUAUCAACAUUAUAAUAUCUUGACUGUAUGUUAGCAUCAGCAAUGUAGAUCUUGAAAUGUGCAAUUAUAGAAGAAGUGGUUUAUUACCUCGAUGAAGAUUUAGUCUUUAUAGCUAGCACCUUACACAACGCAAGUAGAAAGCCAAAUGGAAAAUCAUAGAGUUUUACCUAUAAAAACCUAAGUGUUCACAGUGACUGCAGAAUGCAGCGUUCACUGUAAGUGUUACUUUUCUGCCAGGAGAUGCCUGAUAAUUUGCAUUACUGACUUUGAGUGUGUUAUAUGUACAGUUAUGAAUGUACACAUAAAAUUCCUUUAUUGUGUCAAAUAUUCUUUAGCUACAAUUUCAGUGAGAAUCCACUCCCAGACUUGGUGCAGAUGUCGUACAUUUCUUUCUGUGCAUGAUAUAUUUGGUUCAUUAAACUGCAAGACAUCUUAAUGUAUUUUGGCUUCAGAAUUCGCAAUAAAUUGGCGUUAUGGUAACGAAUGGUUAAUGAAUCUAUUCAAAUUAAUCAGCAUGUUUUGUUGUGGCUCACAUUCAUAAAUCAACAGGAUACCACUAGGGGUGUCCUGGCAUGUAGCUCACACCAUCAGAGUGACACAGCCGAGCAUUAUUUCUCAAAUUUUGUAGUGAAAGCGAGAUUGCUCAAUCUCAAAUGGUUCAAUUGAGAAUAAUAUAAAUGUGCAGAAAUAGAAAGUGGUAACUUAGAUUUGUAUUUUUGACGAGUGCACUUUAAGUUUUCAGUCCAUACCUUAUGCUUACGAUUUUCUUCCAGCUUCACAAUGUCCUGACUUCUGGGCCUUUAAGUUUCUGAAUAUUUAACCAAAAACUGAUGCAUAGAUUUCUUGUUCCACCAAGUGUUUUAGAUCCUUGCACUGAUUCAUAUUUGGCAAGAUUUCUACAUAUUCUUUGCUUAGAAUUUUUUUUCUUCCUGAAGCUCAAAAGUUUUGGCCAUCAUUUUGUAGGUCAAUGGAUGCAACAUAAUUGAACACUCAAUUACACAGGACGAAAUUCAAUACGAUUCAGGGACAUCCCCAAGGCGUUCAGCCCUGGAAAUGCAAAGAUGUCUACUUGAGUGAGAUUCACAUUAAAGGCAAAGAAACACUUUUCCCCUUUCAUGUGGCCAGUCGUAGCAUCCAAGGGAAGGCAUUGGUAGAAUGCAGAAGUGACAAAAAUGUCAAGAAAAAGACGAGGUGAAUACUAAGAUUAUUGUAGGAAGCCGUGCUCAAGAAUGAUACGAUUUUUAGCUCUCUGGUUGCUAGGAAUUACGUAAGUUGGUAUAUAUGUCCCAGGGCAAGAAUGAUAGAUGUAUUUACGGAAGACGAGGUGAAUACUAAGAUUAUUGAAGGAAGCCGUGUUCAAGAAUGAUACGAUUAUUAGCUCUCUGGUUGCUAGGAAUUACGUAAGUUGGUAUAUAUGUCCCAGGGCAAGAAUGAUAGAUGUAUUUACAGAAGCCCAUAUGGGCGGCGUUGGGGCAACUUUUCAAAUAUGGCUGCCAAUUAACGUAGGCUGUGGUGCAUGCAUGGAUUGGAUAUCAUAUCAGCCUGGGGUUGUUUUUAUUCGGAAAAAAAUGGAUUGGUCUGUAUCUCAUUACAUAUUUGUUUGGUAUGUGCUUAACGUUGUGCAAGUUAUCAAAUAAGCAAUCGUUUGGUACUUUUUUCUUCAAUUAGAUUAGUCUGUAUCUCAUUGCAUCAUGAUUUAAAAUGGCCCUCGUUCCUUCAUUUAGAUUGAGUCGAUCGUGAGAUUUAACUCCUAGUUGAAUUUGAAGCUCUCAAUUCUCUAGUUUGCCGUUCUCAAUUAGGAAAAGAAAAAUAAUGUUGUGAAGUACUCCUCUCACUGGAGUCAUACAGCCAUGGCUCCCAGAUGACAAAAGCAAUUACACAGACAUUUCGUCAAAAUGACAAAAAUAUAGCAAUUGUAUACAGCUCAAUUAUCAGGAAAAGGAAGAGUUUUGAAUGCUUGCAUGGGGCAAGAAGUUGAAAUCUUACUCGAACUUGUAAAGCUUCAGAGAGAGGAAAAAAUGCAGUAGAAAACUCCAAUUUUGUAACCACAUCGAGUCAAGAAUUUUAUUCAGUACACUAACCAGUUUCAUCACGCAAGUAAACUCAAAUGCAUGUAAAUAAUAAAUUUGAAGAUGACAGCUUUAAUCUUUUGUUAUUGUUUGCAGUUAAUUAUAUGUCUUUUUAGUUUUAUAAUUUUGAAGAAUACUGUUUCUAUGCUUAGUUGUUAUUGUUUCUUUUUAGUUUUAUAAUGAUGAUGAUUACUGUUUAUAAUUAUGUUGACAAUUAUAUUUCUUCAAAAGACUCAAGAGUGUCAGAAACUAAUUAAAGAAAAUUCAAUGGGCUUGCAAUGGAGUGUUUUUCAAAAACUAGUUUUUCAAAUAUAAUUUCAAUUUUUAAAAAGUACUCUAAAAGGUAAUGUAAAAAUUAGUUUAAAAUUUUCAAAGAUAUCUUAAAACAUAUUUUAGAAACUCUUUUACUCUUAAGAUCCCAAAAUAUUUCAAAAUAUAAUCUAAAAACUCUGCUACAACAAAAUUUUUCAAAAAUACCCCAAAAACAACUAAUCCAAACGGAGAGUUAGUUUUUCUGCUUCAAAAACAAAUUUAGGAUUUGAUACUUAGAAAAUUGACUAAAAGGGAUUACAUAGUAAUAAGACACAUGCCAUCAUACUAUAUGCUGCAUCACUAUCAAUCAUGCACGUUCAACCAAAUAAGUGAAGUAAUUUUACCAUGUUUGGAACCCACCAGACAAAUUAAUAAUUCUAUUUUUCGUUGUCAAACCACCUAUCUCAAAAUCAACAAAAUUAAAAAUGGCAUGACGACUAUAUUGAGUAGAUGCAUAAAUGGUUUUUCAAUUUCACUUGGUUAUAUUUGGAACAGUAUAACAGUAUGGACCAUAUUGAGUCUAUUCCGUCGUAAAGAAGGCACGAGGGUCGUCCACGAAUGCGGGUCCAAUUAUGUAUGUGCAAUACACGGCAUUGAAUUGUACAUAUCUUUGAAUUCGGUAACAAUAAUUGGAUUUUAUAAACAAAUAUUCAAUAAGAAGUAUAAGCUACUAGGGUUGGCCUAGUUAAGGGAAGAAUUUUAGAGUUUUUUCUAUUAUCAAGGUCAGAAUUUGAAUUUUAUGUUUAACAAUUGAAGAUAAGAAGACUGUGGAGAGGAGUGGAAAGGUAAAAGGAAAGAAAAAAAAAUAAAGAAGUGUGUGUGCUCGCAUGUAUAUAUACACACAUCCACACACACAUAUAUGCGCACACAUGUAAAGAAAUGAUAUAUUUUAGGGUAAAUUACAUUUUAGCCGCCUGUGGUUUUCGCAAAAACCACAUAACCCCCCAUGAUUCAAAAAGCUAUACAUAAACUCCCUGUGGUUUGGGUUGAACUGUCAAAUAGACGGAAAGCAUGAAUCGUGAUGAUUCGUGGUCAAAACGCGCUGAUUGUACUGAUAGCAGUCAAAACAUUCCUAAAUUACCCCUGUCAGUUUUAAAGCACCCAAUAAAGCUUAGAUCUGUGGUCCUCAUCUCUUUCCAGCUUCCGAAUGUAAUUUGCAGCUGACUUUCCACUGAAUGUUGGUGAAGACAAUACAUUUAGUGAAGAAACCAAACCAAGAUAGAGAAUGAAGGAAAUCUGAAGGUGAGUUAUAACAUCAAGGUGCAGUCUUUUCCUUUUUCCGGAUUACAAAGUUGGGUAAAAAAAAAAUAAAUGUAACAAUAAAACAAUAAAUGGAUCGUUUUUGGCAUUGCAUGAUUAAGUGAGGGGUGGCGGUUUUGCAGUUUUGCUGGUUAAAGGAGAUCUAAGCUCCCGUAGUCUUCUUUCCUCAGAAAGCAACCUUGCGAACCUACAACAGAUGGGAAGACAAAUAAGUUAUACUUUACAAAAAUUACUCAAGGUUGUAAGAUUAGAGAAAUUGAGCCUGGUUACAAUAUUGCACAAAUUAGAUAUAUUGAAUUGCUGAGUAGUUUUUGUGCGUGAAGGAGCUAGAUGCUCAAGCCUUUGAUUUUUUUUUAAAAAAAAGAACAUUCUUUUGAUAGACUAAUAAUUUGUAGCAAGAAAACUGCUGAAGAGAAUCAAAGCCUCAAUUAUAUGACUGAAAGAAUAACAUUAUUGGUGAAAUUAAUAGUUGCAAGAUUGAGUCCACACCUUUUAGUGCAUCUUAUAUGUUAAACUGAUGUAAAAAAACUUACCAGAUGCAACAAUAGCUUUCGUGAAACUCUUCCACUGCUACUUUUUGAUCUUCAAUGGUAGAUCUACGGUUUUAAUUUUGUGGGUUAAAUUUUUUUCUCUUUCAUUCGGCGGUUAUAUUUUUCUCUCUCUUUCUCACGACAAAGACCAGAGCAUCUGACUUCAUCUGCUUCCCUUUUGUAUUUAUAUUAGGGUAAUUUGGACAUUUUAUCCACGAAUCGUCACGAUUCAUGCUUUCCGUCUAUUUGACAGUUCAACCCAAACCACAGGGGGUUUAUGUAUAAUUUUUUGAAUCAUGGGGGGUUAUGUGGUUUUUGCGAAAAUCACAGGAGGCUAAAAUGUAAUUUGCCCUAUAUUUUAGUAACCUAGUUCGUGUAUGUUUCGAGUGCAAGUUUAUCAGGAAAAAUUUUUAGAGUAUUUUCUUGACAAAUUUCUGAUUUACCUCUUUACCUUAUAAACAUCACAUUGUAAAAUGUAUUUUUUCUAAAAAAAAAAUUCCUAUUCUAAUAGAUCCAGUUCUUAUUUUUUCAAAAAAUAAAGAAAAAUUUGUAUUGCUAAAAAUGGGUGAUAGAAGAUGCUUAAAGGGCAGAAAUGGAACUUUGAACAUUUUUGAAUGGAAGAUUCAAUGCUGAUUGAGACCUUAUAAAUUAGAGAUCUUGUGUUCAAAUUUCAUUGUCCCCUUUUUGCUUCUUAAUCUAUUCUUUCUCCGCUGAAAAAGGAAGAAGAAGAGGGAAUUAGCGUGUAAGUUUAAUAUGCUUGCGUGCAUUUACUUUGGCAUGCAUACACACACAUAUAUAUGUAUAUAUAUGUAUAUAUAUAUAUAUGUAUGUAUGUAUAAACAUCAUGCUCAAUGAUUAAACAAGAAGAAGAGGGAAUUAGCGUGUGUAAGUUUAAUACGCUUGCGUGCAUUUACUUUGACAUACAUACACAUAUAUAAAUAUAUAUAUAUAAACAUCGUACUCAAUGAUUGCCACGGAAGAUUCCUCCUAAGCCAAAUUAUUUAAAGUAUUUAUACUUCCUUCAUUACUUUCAACGUAAGCAUAUAACUUGUUUUCUCAAUUAAUUGAAGUUGAUCAGCUUCACUAACACCAAAUAAAUUAUUAGUAACAUGAUAAAUAUACUAUCCUUUCUCUCCUGAGUCAAACACCAUGGCGGAUUGACUAUGAGCAGUAUAUUCAGAUUAGGCUGAUUAAUAAGAAACCCUAAGCCACAUUUGAUCGUCCGUUUGAAAAAGUCUAACCCAAUCUAGCUACUUAUGUGUAAGCUUAUCCAAAUCGGCCGAGAUGUGGUGAAAAACCCAGUAUUCAUUUUCAAAGUUAGGCUUAUACUGGAACACACGUAAGUAAGGGAGAUCACAUUCAGGUAUUGUAGUUUUUCAUGAUUUUCUUCGGUAAAAGAGUUAAACCCCACCUGCACUAGGGUACAACAAACAAAGGUGAGUUGGAUAUACUUCCGUACGACUGCAGAACUCAUUUACACAAUGCGAUUUUGAUGCAGCAAUAAGAAAUUAUAUCAAACUUGAAAUCAGUCAUCCUUUGGGGUUCUAUAAAUACCAUCCUCCCUGUCAGUUAUGGACACAUUCCUGCCUAGCUACUUUUAGUUUCAGCCAAACUACAUAUUCAUACCUAGCUGAACUGAAAUUAAACUUUCCAUGGCAUACCAGAGCGCCUACAAUAUGAAUUACCAGAUACUACUAUGCUUGAUACUCUUCUCCCUAGUCCUUCUCCUGCCACUGCCAUCCCAUUCUGCUGAUCCAAGCCCAUUGCAAGAUUUCUGCGUUGCAGAUCUUGAUUCCUCUUUAUACAUUAAUGGCUUUCCGUGCAAAAACCCUGAUAACGUAUCUUCACAAGACUUCUUCGCCAAUGGGUUCCAACAAAGUCCAGGAGAAUUCAAUAUUUUUGACGUCAAUGUCACUCGUCAAGAUGUUCAGCGAUUUCCAGGACUCAACACUCUAGGGCUGUCAAUGAACCGAGUGGUUUUGAAGCCUGGAGGGCUGAAUGCACCCCACGUCCACCCUCGUGCAGCCGAGCUGGCUCUAGUCAUGGAUGGAAAACUGUUUGUAGGCUUUGUGACAACCGGAAACGUUUUCUACUGGAAAAUUGUGACUUCAGGAGAGUUGUUUGUGAUUCCUCCUGGGCUAGUGCACUUCCAACUGAAUAUUGGACACGAGAACGCACGCUUCUUCGCCUCGUUCAACAGUCAAAAUCCAGGGAUUCAGUUCGCCCCCCUUGCUCUUUUUAACUCCACGCCUUCGAUUCCUGAUCUCGUGUUGAGUAAAGCAUUUCAAGUAAAUCAAAGUAUCAUUGAGCUCAUUAAGUCUAGGUUUGCAACUGUGUCGACUGUGUCGACCGUGCUUAAGUCAUCUUACUAACAUCCUAUUCCAGGGUGUUGUUCAUUAUAGUUGGCAUAUUAAAUAAUAAAAUCUUCUAUAUUAUCGUUUAAUUGUAUUUUGGUCAAGUUAAUUUUUAGUAGUUUUAUUGGCGUCAAAUUAGGAUAGUUUUACUAUUUAGAAACUAGUAUUGUAUUAAGUAAUUUCCUAUGCUUGUCAGUAGUCAUGAUAUGUAUUUGGUUGGAAACAAUAAAAGUUUGAGUCUUGUCAUUGAUAUUAGUCCUCUUCAUGUAAAUUAGCCUCCAUAUAUAUAUAUAUAUAUAUAUAUAUAUAUUGGUUUUGCGAAAGUUAUCUCCUAUAAUUUUUUUUUGGGUAUAAUUAUUAGGCUCUACAUCUGGUAUCGAAUCCUAUUUGCAUGAAAUUAAUCUUUGGGUGAGUUGUCAGAGUUAGGACACAAGAAUUGCCGGGACUGUUCAAUUGAUCACGUAAGGCCAUUAUGUUGGUUUUGGAGUAUUUAAUUGGUCAAAAUUAGGCCAUAAAAUUGGUGUGAAAAUUAUUAACUUGAUUGUGGAUAUUGCUAAUGGUGACAGUUUUUGACAUGGUACGUAAACGCGGCACAAAAAAUCCUAAAUGAAACAUGAUACGGAAUAAUUUAUGUCAAAAAUGGAUCCACGCAAACAGAAUGGGUUGUAUUGGGCCAAUCCAUAGGUUGAUAUGACUAACAUGUUUUUGACACGUUAAGAAUUUUGAAAAAAUGCUACUUGCUUCCCUCCUAAUACUGCACUUAAAAUAAAUGGUUUUGUAUUAAAUUUUAUAGUUUAAGAACUAAAAUAAUAUAAUCAACCUCCUAUAAGAAUACAUAAACAACACAUAAAUCGAGACUCUGCAAAUUCACAUAUGCAACUGUUAUGAUUUUAAUUUUUUGCUUCCUUCCUUUAAUAUUCUUAUUUUCUCAAAUUGACAAGCAUAAACAACCUCUAUGAUUUUAACUUUUCACUUCGAAACUUACCUUUAGAUCAAAUAUUGCUCAAUUUUUCUUCCUUUCUUGUGAUUAAAUAUCUUUUCUAGGUAAACUUUAAUAUUUCACAAAUUUUCUAUCAUUUUUGUCUAUUUUAUUUGAACAUUUUCUAGUUUAUACUGCUCCUCUAUUUUAUCAUUUUCCCUAUCAUUUUCUUUCUAAAGUUUUUCUUUCUUGUGAAAGAAAAAAGAAAGAAAAACAAAAUAGGCUUUUUUCUGUAUAUUAUUAAUGAGAUAAUCAUGCAUCCAAAACUUAUACAAGUAAAAAUCCAAUGACAGGCUACAACUAAAUUAGAUUAAGAGAAUAUUACAUAUUUUCUUGAAAGAGAACCAUGUUUUAUUUUUCGGCAAUAUUUCUCCUAUAAUUUUGAUAUAAAAAGUUAAAUGAGUCAAUUGGGUCAAAACAUGAGAUGAACCUGUCCAAAUGUAUGGAGUAUUGCAGCAACAAAUCUUUUUGAAGAUUAAGAAUUCAAAUUUAUAUUAAUGAAAUUUACAAAUGAGAUUAUUAUUGCUGAACUUGAUUCAAUAGAGAGUUUGAUUUAAGGGAAACAAUGUUGGCAUAUUAAAUUAAAGCUAAAAAUUUGAAUUUUCUAUACUAUUAUUUAGUAGUAUUUUGGUCACACAAAUUUUUUUAGUAGUUCUACGAGAGCUAAGAUAUGGUAGUAUAUUUAAGAAUUGGAGGCUCUAGGACAUAGAGGUUCUGGGUUCAAAUCUCCAUUCCUCCUCCCCAUUUCUUAAAUCCUAUCUCUCCCCUUGAUUAGAAAAAGUUAAAAUAAUUAUUUAGAAAUUGGUACUGUAUUAGAUAAUUAUUGUAGCUAUCAAUACUUGUUUAUCAAAUCAUGUAAUCUGUAAGUAGAGUCAUAUUACCAUACCCACUUGAGAAGAUUGGAAGUUUAAUAGCCUUGUUGUUGUGGUGUUAUUAAUAUUUUAUUAUUAAUAUCAUUGUUCUUUUCUCACAUAUACGUGUAUAUGUGUAAAUUAGCCUCCCAUAUAUAUUGGGUUUGUGGAAUUUAUCUCUCAUAAUGAUCUUUUGACUAUAAUUGUCACGCCUCGUGCCUAGAACGUAGCACCACCACACCAUAGACAAUGCUAAAGGCGUAAGGCAACAAAUUUCCAAAGCAACUACAUUUACCUUUAUAUAAACUUUUUAAAUCCACAAAUACAAGAUCAUCUAUAACAGCAAUUUUGUGUCUUCCAAAAUAAAAGCAAGAUCAAACCUUCUACAAUAUGUACAAAAUUCAAAUCCUAUCAUAAGGUCUCUUAUAUAUAAGUACAAAAGUCAUCCUCUAACCCAAAGUCAUCUCCAUCUCCAUUACAACCCCCAAGAGCUAUCAAGGUCUACUUCAAUGAACUCAUCAUUAACUGCAUAAUUAUAACAAAGGGGUGAGCAAAAUCUCACUUAAUAAGUAGUGCAUGUAUCUCAUUAUUUGCCUGAGCAUGUUACAUACAUAAUAUAUAUUUCAAACGUCAUUAACUUACACAUAUAACUUUAUAAGAACAUGGUUACUAUAAACAUUUCAAUGGCAUAUCAUACAUCACACACACAAAGGAGCUCAAACCAUAAGACAACAAUUGACCCAGGAUAUCCAGUUGUUAACUUAAACUUAACCAGUUAACACAUUUCAUAGUGCUAACUACCACAUAGUUAGCCCAUUUCAUAUUGCUCACUACAACAUGGAUAGCUCGUUUCAUAUACCAACUACUUGUGAGGAACUAGUCCUGUCAAAAGUCGCUUAUACAAGAGCUCAACAAACAUAACAUUUCAUUUCACAAAUGACCAUAGCAAGAGUAAUAACAAAUAUCACAAAUUAUACUUGCUCAUGCCAUUUUAGCAAUUAGACAAGUAGCUUUCAAAAUUUAUCAUUCAAAAGAUAAAGGAUACAUGCACCAGUUACCUCGAUCCAAUCGAUACCCACGCUAUUUCAAGUAAUCGGAAAAAUAGCUACCUUCCUCACCUAGACAUAAUGAUAAAAUGUUCAAUUACAAUCUUAAAGAUACCAAACUACUCCAAAUUAUCAUAAAAACGAGCCUAAUACUACCCUUAACCACUAAUUCCUAAUAAAAGAUCAUUUCCUCAUCAAAGUAGGACAUAAGGGUUUACUUUAAAGGGUCACUAACUUCCAAAAAUACAGAAAUAGGUCAAGAGAUUUAUAUAGAGUUAAAGCCCUCUGAAUCUAGUUUCCAACGCAAUAAACGGCACCUAAAUCCGAAUUUUCUACACCAAGUUAUAUCCAAAGCAUUGAAAUAUGUCUAUACAGAAAAUUCAAUCUGUCCGAGAAUUAUAGCCAAUCCAUCCGAGGAUUUUAGCCAAUUCGUUCGAGGAUUAUAGCCAUGGAUUUCUAGCAAGUUUUCAAGGCAAAAACAAGUCAUUCUUUCCCUCAACAUUUCUCCUUUUUAUAUUGAUGAUAGCCCUAUAUACCCAUUUGAAAAUGGAGACCAAAACAAACUCCAUACACCAUAGCCAUGGAAGCUAACCAAGGAUUUGAACCAAAUACUACCCAAUCACCCAAUCAAAGAAAACCAAGAUCAUGUUCAAGGUUUCAAGAAAAUACCUUGGUUAGUCGUCAAAGUAGAAUCUCCUAACUCCUCACUCCUUAAUUGUGCUUGAUUUGUCAAGAAUCCUCCUUGAUUGUAAGGAAAAAGGAGAGAAAUAAGAAAGGGUUUUGUUGGAGAAGGAAGGAAAAAAGGAAAUGAAGAAGAUGAAGAAAGUUUUUGGUAAAAAUGAAUAGUGAAAUCCCAAUAUCACUUUUAUUCUUUGAAAAUUUCACAUAUUAACACAUUGGUCACUCAACUUAACAUCAUUCACUUUUCACCCCAAAAUAGUAUUUCUUCACACAAAAUUCUCUACAAGACACUUGGGUAUCACAUUCUCCCCCUCUAAUAAAAGUUUUGACCUCGAAAUUUAACGUACCUCGUUGGUUAAACAAAUGUGAAUACUUAGUUCGCAUUUCCUCUUCGAGUUCCCAAGUGGCUUCACGAGUACUAUGAUUGGACCAUUGAACUUUAACAUAGGGAAUUGUCCUUCUUCUUAGCACUUGAUCUUUACAACCCACAAUUCGAAUUGGCUUCUCACUAUAAGUUUGAUCCUCUCAUACCAUUAAUGGCUCAUACUCCAGGAUAUAACUUGGAUUAAAUACAUAUUUUCUCAAUUGCAAAACAUGAAAUACAUUGUGAACUCUUGAUAAAGAUGGUGGCAAGGCUAACUUGUAUGCCAAUUCUCCAACUCUAUCCAAAAUUUCAAAAAGCCCAACAUAUCUUGCACUCAGUUUUCCACGUUUCCCAAAUUGCAUGACACCCUUCAUUGGUGAAAUUCUAAGAUAUAAUUUAUCCUCUUCUUGAAACUCUAAUGGUCUUCUUUUCAAAUCGGCCCAACUCUUUUGUCUAUCUUGUGCUGUUUUCAACCUUUCUCUCACUAGUGCCAUCUUCUUGAUUGUAGCUUGUACAAGUUCGGAUCCAGUAAUGAUCCUUUCACCUACCUCAUCCCAAUAUAAGGGCAAUUUACACUUCCUCCCAUAUAGAGCUUCAAAAGCUAGCAUGCCGAUACUACUAUGAUAACUGUUAGUGUAAGAGAACUCACUUAGCACCAGAGAAUCCUCCCAACUGCCCCCAAAAUCCAUAACACAUGCUCUAAGCAUGUCCUCCAAGGUUUGAAUUGUACGCUCUGAUUGCCCGUCAAUUUGAGGAUGAUAAGCUGAGUUGAGGUUUAACUCGGUUCCUGUGGCUUGUUAGAGACUUUUCCAAAAUCGAGAGGUGAAUCUAAGAUACGAUCAGACACAAUACUCACUGGGACACUAUGAUAACGAAUAAUGCAAUCCAUACAGAGAUUAGCCAAAGUAUCCAUAGAUGCAGUAGCAACCAUAGGUACAAAAUGAGCUGAUUUUGUCAGUCGAUCAACUAUUACCCAAAUGGUGUCAUUACCUCUCCUAGACCUUGGUAAUCCAACAACGAAAUCCAUUGCUAUAUGCUCCCAUUUCCAUUCCGGUAUUGUCAAAGGCUUUAAUAAUCUAGCAGGUCUUUGAUGUUUGGCCUUUAUUUGUUGACAAACUAAGCAUUUAGACACAUAAUUCGCGAUCUCCCUCUUCAUACCACUCCACCAAUACGACUGCUUUAAGUCUCGAUACAUCUCAGUGUUAUUAGAAUGAAUAGAGGCUUGGAAGAGCAAGCCUCCGCCAUUAUUUCUUUUCGUAACUCCGGAUCUUUAGGCACCACAAGCCGAUUCCACAUCCAUAUACUACCAUCCUUGAGUAGUUGAAAGUCGGGUAAUUCCUCACUUUUAACUUUUUCCUUGAUUUUUGCCAACUCAAUAUCAUCUUCUUGAGUUUCCUUGAUUCUCGAAAUUAAGGAUGGUUAGGCAACUAGAGUUGCGAGCACAUGCAUGAAGGAUUCUACCACCUCUAAAUUCAAUUCCUCCAUUUGUUUGACAGGUGCCGAACCUGUACAAUAAUAAUAAUAAAACCUAACUACCACCAAAAGCAAUCAAUAAUCAAUUCUAAGUAUUGGAGCAGGGACUCUAGGUAUGCAAUGAGUUACUUGAUUCACCCUGUUGCUGAAGAGUUUGUUGAAUCCGAUAUACCAAAAUUAAUUAGCUAACUAAAUUUACUAAGUAGUAGACAAUGGCAAGCAGGGUCGUCUCCUCAGGGGCUGGAGAGAAAUUUGUUUCUUUUUAAGCCAAGACAAACGGAGGGUUUGAAAAUUAGAUGCUAAAGAAUCACUAACUAAACAAAUUAAAUGCAAAAAAUAAUUAAUUGAGAGAAAUAAUUGGAGAAACUCUAGCCAAGGGUGCACUUCAGAAAUGGUUCAUGCAACUGAUCAUCGAUUCAAAUAUAAUUCCAACAAUUAUUAAUAGAUUAGUUAUAGUUGUCAUGCACGCGAUAAACAACCAGCAUUUCCUUAAUUUCUCGAUAGUUAAGGUACAACCGUUAACUAUUUCUCUAACCAAAAAACAACCCUAGGUACGACCGUAGGAUUUAAUUUCUAGUUUGCAUUAAGAUUUAGAAAAGCCCAAUCCUAACUAACAAACACACUACGAGGGUUUGUUUAAAUUAGAUCGUAUGUUUUCCUGACAUAAACCCAAUUACGCCAGUUGCUACCGGGAUGGAGCUAAUCAAACAAUUACGGAUUCAACUACUCCCAAUUAGCAAAUUAACUAAGUGAAUAACUAAAUAUUGCGCACUAUUCAGUCAUACACAAUAGCUAUGACAAUUAAAGGCAGAAAACAUACAAAUACUAAUAAAUGAAGGAAACAGUUAAAACAAUUUCGAUCUCACAGUUAUUGUUGAACCAAAUUUUCAAUUGUCUCCUUGACUAAAAGUGGGUGAUUAGUUCAUCCUCAUUGAGAGUAACUCACGCAAUGCCAUCGAAGGAAAUUGCGUCAAUGUUUGACAAUAGAAGAACUACUCAGAGAAGAAGAGAGCCAAGCGGCUGCCUUCCUCCCCUUUUCUUAUUCCCUGGCCGAGUAGUAAUCACGCGGGAUCCGGCUUUUGUUCUUCCUAUUUUCUAGCUUUCUAAAAACACAUUGAACUUCCUCCCUCACAAUCCGUAGUAAAUGAUUCCAAAAAAAUCUCCUACUAUAGGAAAACUAACUUCCUAAGAGAUAGGUACUCAAGCGCUUAAAAGUCUCCUAAACCAACCCAAUUACUAAUUAGAAACUUGGCAAAUAAUAUCAUCUUCCAGUUAUGAUGACGACUCCCACUUGGAUUAGGAUACUGCCCGGCAUAGAAUCCCACGCACUCCAGACUUGAUUGAUGUCUUCUCAAGCGUCCACACUUACUUGGAGGAAAAUCUUCUAAAAACUGUUAUUUCUGCACUUUCUUUCUCCAAUUGGCUAAACAUCCCCUAAACAUAAAAUUCAAACAAAAUAUGUCCAUUAAUGCAAUAUCCAAUCCAAUAAGAAAAGGAAAUUAUAAGAAAAUUAAUGCUAAAUUAGCGUUCUAUCAUUGUUUUACUAACAUAACUGCUAUCAUUCCUGAAUUUUUCCUGCUCAAAGCAUCAGCAACCUUGUUUGCUUUUUCUGGAUGAUAACUAAUGGUAAUAUCAUAAUCUUUCAUUAACUCAAGCCAUCUUCGUUGUCUCAUGUUUAGCUCUUUCUGCGUGAACAAAUACUUUACGCUUUUAUGAUCUGUAAAGACUUCACAUUGCUCCCCAUACAAGUAGUGCCUCUAAAUCUUCAAGGUAAAAACAACGCCUGCCAAUUGCAAAUCAUGUGUAGGAUAGUUUUGUUCAUACCGCUUCAAUUGACAAGAUGCAUAAGCUAUGACCUUCUCAUUUUGCAUUAGCACACAUCCCAACCCAUUUUUGGAUGUAUCGCUAUAAAUAGUGAAACCUCCAGAUCUAGAAGGUAAGGUGAGAACUGGUGCCGAAACAAGCUUAUUCUUUAAUUCUUGAAAACUAUUUUAACAUUUAGGUGUCCACUCAAACUUAACAUGCUUUUGAGUUAAACAACUCAAGGACAAAGCAAUAGUAGAAAAUCCUUCAACAAAAUUUCUAUAGUAGCCAACUGAGCUCAGAAAACUCCUCAAUUCUACCACAUCAGUAGGUCAGGGACAAUCCACAAUAGAUUCUAUCUUCUUAGGAUCCACAAAGACACCAUCUUGAGAAAUAACAUGCCCAAGGAAGGACACACUUUGAAGCCAAAAUUCACAUUUGUUGAGUUUUGUAUAAAGUUUCUCACGCCUCAAGAUUUGUAAAACAUCUCGCAGGUGAUUUUCGUGCUCUGCUUCACUUGGGGAGUACACCAAUAUAUCAUCAAUGAACACCACCACAAAUCGGUCUAAUUGCUUUUUGAAUAUCCUAUUCAUCAAAUCCAUAAAGGCUGCAGGAGCAUUAGUCAACCCUAAAGGCAUGACGAGAAAUUCAUAAUGGCCAUACCUUAUUCUAAAUGCACUCUUUGGAAUAUCUUGCAGUUUAAUCCUUAAUUGAUGGUAUCUGUAAUGAAGAUCGAUUUUUGAAAAUACCUUAGCCCUUUUUAAUUGAUCAAACAGGUCGUCAAUACGAGGCAAUGGAUACUUGUUCUUGAUCAUAAUUUUAUUGAGCUCCCAAUAAUCAAUGCACAAUUGCAUACUUCCAUCCUUCUUCUCUACAAAUAAAACCGAUGCACCCCAAGGGGAUACACUUGGUUGAAUCAAUUUCUUGUCAAGCAAAUCCUGAACUUCAACUUUAAGCUCCUUCAACUCUGUGGGGGCCAUCCGAUAGGGUGCCUUAGAUAUAGGUUCUAAGUUGAGUAUUACAUUAAUCUCAAAAUCAAUUUCUCUCUUGGGAGGUAGACCUAAUAAGUCAUUUGAAAACACAUCUGAAAAUUCUCUUGCAAUUGGGAUAUCCUCAAGUUUUAUCUCCCCUUUCUUACUAGAGUCUACUAUAUAAGUCAAAAAACAUUCACAUCCUUUCCUAAUUGCUCUCCAAGUUUGUAUGGCAGAUAAAAUGGGUAGAGACUUCUUCUUUGGUUUUCCUCAACACCCUUGAAAAGAAAAAUGUGGAAUGUUUGGGGUUUAAAAAUCAACACUUUUACCCAUACAAUCUAUAUGGGCAUAAUUUUGCGAUAGCCAAUCCAUACCUAAGAUAGCAUCAAAUUAUAUUCAAUUGCACGAGAUUUGCCUUAAACUCUCUCCCACAUAAAUCUAAAGUAUAACCUUCAUACAUAAGGUGAGAAACUAAAACUUUUCCCCCGGGAAUGGCUACACGAUACGGGUCAUCCAAAACAUAGGGUUUAAUAUCUAACUCUCAUGCAAACUUCUUUGAAAUGAAAGAAUGGCAAGCCCCACAACCAAAUAACACAUCCGCUGGAAGAGAAUUAAUCAUUUCCAUACUUGUCACAACAUCCUCUACUCCUGCUGCUUCUUGUUCAGUCACCUUAGAGAUUGUGUAAGGUCAAUCUGCACUAGAAUUCAAGCUAUUUCCUAGCCUAUUGUUGCCUCUAGUUUGCUUAGAAUUCGGGCAAUUACUCACUUUAUGCCCCAUUUCUCCACAACUAAAACAAGCUCCCGUUUUCCACCUGCAUUCUCCUGAAUGAACCCGAUGACAAUAAUCACACAACUUAGAUGGGUUAGUAGGUAGAUACCUUGGAAAAGGUUGUUGAGAAGAAUUAGCCUAUUGCGAAACUAUAGGUCUUGGUAACGGUGCUUGUCGGGGAGGUUGCAUUGGUCGAAGAGGUUGCAUUACACGAGAAGGCUGACCAUGUUGACAAAGUUGGCCUUGCAUUACGAUUUAUCUAUUUCUCCUUUGUCUCAUCUCUUCAUCCUCCUGAAGAAUGUCUUGUUCAACAUCUAAACUAGCUUCAUACAUUUGGUCACAAUUGGCAUAGAAAUUUUCAGAUAUUUUUGAUUGAAUCUGACUAUUCAAUCCUCCCUUAAAGGAGACCAUCUUCACAGUCUCAUCGGCCAUUGUAGAAGGGACGAAGCAUCCCAAGGAGAGAAAAAUAGUGUAGUACUCACCCACAGACAUGGAACCUUGCUUAAGGUUAUUGAAUAUUCGAAUAUUUUGAACUCGAAUAGCUGGUGGAAAGUAAUGCUAUAGAAACAUCUUUUUGAACUCAUCCCAUGUCAAAGUACAACCUGAAGAAACCAUGGUCAGGGCUACACCAUCCCACCAUUUCUCUGCUUCACCAAGAAAGAUGUCACUACUUGAGGUCGAAUAUCUUCUGGCACCAUCAUAGUUUGGAAUUUGUUCUCAAUUUGGGAUAACCAUCUCUCUGCCACAUUCGAGUUUGGACCUCCAUCAAAAGUAGGCAAAUAGACCUUGCUAAGCUCCUUGAAAUGGUACUUAACACUAACCCAUAUCUUGCUCUCUUUCUUCUUGUUGUUGUUGUUGAUAUUGCUGCCAUCCAUGCAUGAACUAAUAUGCCACAGAUAAGGUAGUUGGAUCUAAUUUUAUUAUGACACCCUAACUUUUGCAUUUUAGCCCCAUCUGUGGUAAACUAAUUUCAUUAACUCUACCAUGACAUCUAAUCUUUUAUAAUUUAGUCUCGUAUAUGAUAAAUCGAUAUCAUUAAUUCUAUUAUGGCACCCUAUCCUUUGUACUUUAUCCUAUGUUUUUUUCAUUAGCAAAAUGCGGAAGGUAUUGUAAUAAAAAAAUGUAUAUAUAUUUUAUAAUUGAUCCAAAUUUAGUUAAUAACUUGGUAUAAAGUUAAAAAAUAUCAUGGAUUCCCUAUCCAGUUCUCUUGACAACACCUAGAAAAUUAUUGAUUAGCAUAGUAGGAAAACAAUGGCAAAGAAGUUUUAAUAUGAAAUUAAGUAAAGCCUUGACAAUUGGAUGGCUAGAGUUUAUUAUUAAUUACACUAGUCACAUUGUUUAUGGUUUAUGAAUCAGUACUUGUACUAAAUACAUUUAGUGUUUCAUGCAUGUAUUAGCAAACUAUUUUGGUUAUUUGAUCAACUAAACAUAUUGUUAGGUCUUGUCAGACCAUAAUUCGUACAUAAUUGAUAAAAUUAUUAAAUUAAAACAAAAAAUAUUUACAUUAAAAGAUUUUUUUGAAUCAUAAACAUAUUUUUAAUAAGCUUUUUAGUUUUUGAACAUUAUUUUUUUGUAGAGAUAAAAAAACCUAUGUUAGUAAAAAAAAUUAUCAAAAAACACUAAAUUUUCAUAUUCUAAAAUUUUAAUACAACAAAUAAAGUUUUAAUAUAACUUGUGAGAUAAAAUCUCAAAAUAAUAACCAAUUUUAAUUACACAGAGAUGGGGGAAAAAAGAGAGAUAUUAGAGAAGGCAUUGUUUUUGUAAAGAAAGGUCCAAAUAGUUUGUAUAAAAGUCACUUGAAAGUGUUAUUUUUUGGCUGAAGCUAAAAUGGAAGCGGGAAUUGAAAAUUGAAAGAGUAGAGGCGGGUGAACAAAAGAAGCAGAAACGACGUCAUUUUAGCAAGAGUUAAACAAAAACACUCAUAACACUUAGAAAAAUUUCGGACAAAACUUGCUUUCCCCCUUCUUGCCAACUUCGGACACUACAUCUUCUCCUUCUCUCCAUUAUCAUCUUGCUGAAAUUAUCCAGAAAAUCAUUUUAACCCAUCAUUUUCAUCCGUAAUUUGAGCUACCCAAAAGAUUUGGGCAGCUUUAGUGGAGUUGUAGAUAGCAAAAAUCCCUAACUCGGGUAGCACUUGCUUGCUGGCAAGAACACAGAAAAUUGACCAUGAAUUUUUGGGGAAAGCCAAAGUUUGAAGACUGAAUCUUAAGGAAACAAGAGCUAAGGUUGUCACAGCAUAAUUUGAGGUAAAUAAUCUGUUACAUUUUUCCAUCUAGUUUCGAUAUUUUCUGUCAAAUGUAGGUCGAGUGAGCUGAAUCUUGAGUUUAUGGGCCCAAUCUUCCACUUUAAUCUUUCAAUGGUGAGAGAUUGAGAGAGUUUUGAAAGUGAAACAAAGUGGAAGGGAAGCUAUCCUUUGUGAACUGUCCAGACCCCCUGAGAAAAUUCAUGUUUGAAUUUUGGAUGUGGAAAUUUUACUUGUAGCGAACUAUUUUUCUGAGUUUGAUAUGUUAAAAAUUGAAACAUUUUUGUGUAGUUGAUAGCGAUUUAUUAUAAUUGUUGGAGAAAGUUAAUAACAUGUGCUGUUUUUUAUGUAAUUUUUCAGUUCUAAUUCUAUUUGUAAGAGUAGCUACAUAUUAUAAUGGCUUACAUACAACUGAUUUUGAGGUAAUAGAGCUUUAAUAUUCUAUAAGUCAAGUAUCCUUUUGGGAGCCAAUUCGAUAUUUAGUUUCUAAGACCUUAGAAGAAAUUUUGAUCAGUUUGGCGACUUCUAGAUAUUGAGGGAAUGAGAAGCUAUGCAAAGUGAGUGGAUUAUCUUGUUGGUAAGUGGAAGUGAGGCAGAUUGUAUAAUCUUAACUUGUGGCCUUUGACUUUAGAAGUUAACUGUAUAAACUUACCAUUACCACACACUAAUUAGACAUUGUUUACUCUGAUGUGGAGAAACAAACUCCUAAAUUGAUAAAUUCAUGUUAUUGUUAUGAUUGUUUUAUUGCGCAUUAUGGCGUUAGUGUUGCAGUAGAGUUUACUAUGGCUUUUUAAGAUUCCUCCCUAUUGAAUUAUAGUUUUUGACCUGGAUUUACCAACUGAACGUGAAAGAUUCUGCAACAAAUAAAUGUUGGCUUUGGAGUAGAAGAGCAUUGUUGUCCACCCUGUAGUUGUAUUUGUUAGAGAAGUUAUUAAGGGGACCAAGAAUAUGCCAAUCUGUAAUGGCUUAUACAGUUAAAUAAGCCAUUAUGAAUAAAGUAUUAGUUUAGCCAUUACAAUUUGUAAUGUCAUCUACACAUUAAUGCUUUUGCAUUGUAAUGAGAAAGUGGACUCUAUUUUGAAAAUUAUGCACUAUGUUUAAGUUUGGAGCAGCAUUAACUCAUUAUUCUGCGGCAAAUGUCUUAUACAUUUGCACGGGUAAUUAGCUCUUCAAUGCAUGUUUACUUGCUAUGCAGAGACAUUUUCACUCUGAAAUGCAACCUAAUCUGUGAUGUUUGCUUGUAAGAGAGGUGCUGCAUGUUUAUUUGGAGAGUAUAGUGCUCAAACUCGCUCAAACGAUGACAAAUGAUAGUGGUGUUUCUGACAUAAUACAUGUAAGUGUACUUUGAAACUUCUUAUUAAUUAACUCUAAAGAUUUUGAAGCUAUUCUGUGGCAUGUCAUCUUAGACAAGUUGUGUUUGACUUUGAUAUGAUUCAUAGCCUCCAAAAGAUGUGGAUUCCAAUUUGGUCUGGUUUGUUGGAGUCUCAAGAUUCUCCUAACUUCAACUUUUAUUUCUUUCCCUUUUUUCUUUGGCUUCUUUAUAGGGAAUUUUUUUGUAAAGUUAUUUUAUUGAGCAACCAAGUUAAUGCCGCAUCAAAGAUUUCAUUGGCAAGUUACUUAUUAAGUUACUAGCAAGCAUAACUGUGGCGUUGCGCGGUGGAUUAGAUAGCAUGUAUGCCCAUUUAGGUAUGAAUAAAUAGACAUUACAUGAAUAGUGAUAAUGUCACGGAAUUAAACAUCUUUUUUUUCAAUACGGAAUUAAAUACCUUGUGGUUACAUUAUCUACGUUUUAUUUGUUUAGAUCCAUAUACCGCGCUAAUUAAUCAUUAAUAUAUCCAUGAACGUGUAGAAGAAGGUAAGCAUUUAAUCCAAUUAAAAUUUAAUAAUAAUAUAAAAACAAUAUAGAAAGCAAUAUAACUUUGGAGAUCAAGAAUGUAAAUUUAAAAUUUAUGAUAGACAGAACAAGGGGUAGAAAUUGGAACUCAAAACAAGGUUAAAUCUAUUUAAGGCAUUUAGAAGUACCAAACCAGAAAUUGGCACAUUGCAUCGGACAAAAGCAAUUGCAUUAAUGAUUUGGAGUCUACUUACAUAAUAUUUAGAUCCUGAACAGGCAAUGCUAAGGGUACAUAAUUUCUAUAUGUUAAUCUCAGUUCUUAGCUUUUGAUGAUUACAAAACAAAUGGAUGUUGCUAAUAUCUCCUCAAAAACCUUUUUAGAAAUGAAGCAAAUUAGGUUCAAAGAUGAACCUGUUGCUGAAGCUGUCGGACACACAAAAAAACUGGAUCAGAUGUUCGACAAUCAUUGAACAACUUCGGACGUAUGAGGAACUCCAUUACCGGACAUCCGAAAGAAAUCAAACACCUCCUUAAGCUCACUGACCUCGAUCGGACGCAGAACAUUAAAGCACCGGACGUCCGCAGAAUUGAAGAAGGAUUCUCAAACAUUACCAUCUGCUUUCGGGCGCAAACUUUGGAGGUACCGGACGUCCGAAAGAAUUAAAGAAAAUUUUUCUUGCUCUCUGCCUGCUGUCGGACACAAGAAACAAGACUACCGAAUGUCCGACACUACCAACGGUUAGUUGAUUUUUCAGCUACCUUCUAUUCGUUAGAAGCUUUAAUGAAGGAAUUUUUUGGUCUCCUAUCAAUAGAGCAAAGUCAACCACUUCAAAUUACUUUUGCACAUUGAAACUACAAAAGAUCGAGAGCAAUUUUAGUGAGAAAAAUUCUCUUCAAAGAAGAUUUGUACUCUUAGUUGUGUAGAUUUCGUACAAGCUUUUCUUGUGUGAGAAAAUUACUUCAAUAGUGUAGCUUUGUGAGGGUUAUCCGAGUGAUAAUAAAACUUGCUAACUUGAUCAAGUGUGGUUUGGAGCAAGGAGAAAGUGAUCCUUUUUUUCUGCACAUAGAUUAGUUGUAAUUGAUUAACUUGAAGAAACUUACUCUAUAAAGUGAUAUUCAAACUCAAGAGGAGAUUGAAAUUUGGUUUGCUAUUCUAUCUCUUUUAUUUAAUAUACUGCAAUAUAAAUUGUUCAUCUCUUCUACUCACAGACAUUUGUACUUUCUCAUUAUUUGUUCCAUUGUAUGGUCAUCUAGAAAGAGGGUAAAUUUCAUAUUCAAUCAAAAAGUGUCUCAUAAUUUGGUUUAUUUUGUAAUUUACCUAAUUCACCCCCGUCUUAAGUUGUUUUCGAUCCUUACAAUUGGUAUCAGAGUUUGGUCUCCUAGAGAUUAAGCUUAAUCGACUUUGGAAUAAAAAUGACAACCAACAAUGCCAUGUUUUUUGAAGGAUAAUCUGUCACUAGACCCCCAAUGUUUAAUGGAUCCAAUUAUGUGAAUUGGAAGGAAAGAAUGAUUAUAUUCUUGCAAUCUAUUGAUAUUGAACUAUGGUUUAUUGUUAAUGAAGGUUCAUUUGAAUAACUCUACAAUUGAUGAAGCCACUCAUAGACUAAAACCAAAAAUCAGAAAUGAGUUGACUGCUGAGAAUAGAUCUCAUCUCACCUUGAAUACCAAAGGUAUGAAUGUGUUGUAUAGUGCUUUAGAUUCAAAUGAGUCUAUUAGAGUCAAAGGUUGCCGAUCUGCAAAAGAAAUUUGGGAUAAACUAAGAGAGAUCCAUGAAGGAAGUGAGAAUGUAAGAAAAUAAAAGAAAUCAAUCCUAGUUACUAAGUAUGAAUCAUUUAAGAUGGAACCUUAUGAAAACAUUGAUAAGAUGUAUUGUAAAUUCAAUGAUCUCAUUAAAGACUUAGAGGUGCUGGAAAAUGAAUACACCUUAGGUGAGAAAAAUAGAAAGAUUUUGAAUGCACUGACCAAAGAUUGGGAGAGUAAAGUGACUUCCAUUGAAAAAGCUAAAGAUCUAAAUACUAUGUCUAUUGAAUCUCUCAUUAAUUCUCUAAUUUCUUAUGAGUUGAACCUUAAGUCUAAGGUACAAGAGGAGGAAGAUGCAAAAGUGAGAAGAAGCAUUGCUCUAAAGACUUCUCAAGAUGAAGAUGAUUCAACUUCCUUAGAUGGAGAUAAUGUAGAAGUUGAUGACAAUGAUCUUGCUCUUAUCACAAGGAGUUUUAAAAGAAUCCUCAACAAAAGGAGAUUUAGAAGAGGAGGACCUAGCAAUACAUUUUCUAAUCAGUUCAAUAAUUCAAGAAACAAAGGAAAAUAAGAGACUAAUAAAAAGCAAGUAGACAAAUGCUUUGAAUGCGGCCAACUUGGACACUACAUGAGUGAGUGUCCAAUGAAGAAGAAGAAAGAAGGAAAAGUUGAACGAAAACCAAAGUUCAACAACUUUCAAAUUACAUGGAAUGAUUGUAACUCAGAUGGUGAUAUCGAAGAGAAAGAAGAAUCUGCUCAAAUGGCUUUCAUGGCCAUUGGUGAUGAUGAGGUAACUACUUGCAACUGUCAACCUGUUAGUGAUGAUGAAUCUAAAGAUGAUGUUGAGUCUUUCAUUGAGAGAUUGCAUAAUAGCUUAAAAGAAUCGUAUGCUAGAAACAAGGAACUAAAAUAGAAAAUUAAUUUUUUGAUUCAAAACAAUGCAAAUCUUUUUCGACAAAAUAAAAUGCGGAAAGCUGAAAAUGACUGCUUGAAACAGGAUGAAAAUGUUCUACUUUUUGAGCUUGAUAGAAAAACAAAGCUGUGUGAGUUGUUCAAAAAGGAACAAGGUGACUUAAAAAGAAGAAUGGAUGGCCUAGAUAAAUUGCUUAAACAUAAGAAACAAGACUGCUUUCAAAAGAGUGAAUCAAAACCUCACUUUGACAUUCACAAGAAAAGGUUGAACUCUAAUGCAAACGAAUUUAACAUCUAUAAAAGAAGGUAAGCUAGAUUUAUUAAACCUGUCUUUGUAGGAAACUCACUGACUAUGUGUAGCUUUUGUUGCCAAGUUGGUCACAUGAAAAAUAAUUACUAUGUAAGAAAGAAUAUGAGAAAUGACAUGAAAUGCAUGUGGAUAGUUAGACAUAAUGUUAACUCUCAAGGACCCAAAAAGUAGUUGGGUACCAAAUAUUAUCUUGUGAACUUUUGUGUAGGUGAGAUUGGUGAAUGUUAUUAAGGAAUCAAAAUUGUUCAUAGAUAGUAGAUGCUUAAGGCAUAUGAUUGGUGAUCCCUCACAGUUCAUCAAACUCAAGUCAAAAUCAAGUGGAAAAGUAACAUUUGGACAUGAUAACAAAACCAAAACAGUUGGAGUUAGAGAUGUUGGUAAGAAUGACCAAACUUUUGUUCACAAUGCUCUUCUAGUUGAUAACCUGAGUUAUAAUUUGUUGAGUGUUAGUCAAUUGUGUGACAGAAAUCUGUUUGUGCUAUUUAAAAGGCAUGAAUAUCUUAUUCUUGACUCAAAAUUUAACAUUAUUUUCAAAGAAAAAAGAGUGAAUGACAUUUAUGUAGUUAUUCUAGAAAAUAUUGAUUCUUUCAUCCCUAAAUGUCUUAAAACUGCAGAUGAGGAUCUUUGGUUGUAGCAUAGAAGGUUUUGUCACUUUAAUAUAAAUUUGUUAAAAAAAAAUUCAAAAAAGAACUUGUUAGAAAUUUACCAAAAAUUAACUUUGAAAAAGACAAAAUUUGUGAUGCUUGUCAAAUUAGAAAACAAGUAAAAGUUUCUUCAAAUCUAAGAAUUGUGUUUCUACUUCAAAACCACUGGAUCUUUUACAUCUUGAUUUAUUUGGUCAUACACAAAUUGCUAGUUUGGGUGAUAAAAUAUAUUAUUUGAUUAUUGUUGAUGAUUAUUUUAGAUACACUUGGGUGAUAUUUCUUGCUCAAAAGGAUGAUACUUUCAAAAGUUUUCUUUCAUUAUUUGCAAAAGUUCAAAAUCUGAUUGGAUUGAAAAUUAUCAAGAUUAGAAGUGAUAAUGGCUCGGAAUUUAAAUUUUGUGGUUUUUCAGAAUUUUGUGAUAACAAUAGAAUCACAAUGAGUUUUCAAUUGCUAGAACUCCUCAACAAAAUGGUGUUGUUGAAAGAAAAAAUAGAACUCUUCAAGAAACCGCACGAACUUUGUUAAAGUGAAUGUAACUUACUAAAAUAUUUUUGGGUCGAAACCGUUAAUACCGCAUGUUAUGCUAUGAAUAGAGUUCUUUUGAGACAUAUUUUAAACAAAACCUCUUAUGAGUUAAUGUUUGAGAAAAAGCCAAUUGUUAGUUAGUUCAAAGUUUCUGGUUGCAAAUGCUUUAUUUUAAAUAUCAAGAAACACUUUGGAAAGUUUGAUAAGAAAUCUGAUGAAGGUAUUUUUUUGGGAUAUUGUGAGAACAAAAGAGGCUUUAGAGUCUAUAAUAGAAGGACUCUUGUUAUUGAAGAAGCUAUACAUGUCACCUUUGAUGAAUCUAAUGAUAAUAUUUUCAAAAGUAGUUGUGAGGAUGAUGAUGUAGGUGUCCAAGAAAGACUCAAGAAACUCACAAUUCAUGAUCAAAACGAUACUCCACAAGAAGAGAGCUCAAAAGAAGAUAAUCCCCAAGAUAGUCAAGCAUUAGAAGAAAAUGACAAUCAUGGUGAUGCACCUAGGAAUCUUCCAAAGGUUUGAAAGUUUGUUCAAAAUCAUCCUAAGGAAUUCAUUAUUGGUGAUCCAUCCGAAAAGGUAAUUGUGAGAACAAAAGAGGCUUUAGAGUCUAUAAUAGAAGGACUCUUGUUAUUGAAGAAGCUAUACAUGUCACCUUUGAUGAAUCUAAUGAUAAUAUUUUCAAAAGUAGUUGUGAGGAUGAUGAUGUAGGUGUCCAAGAAAGACUCAAGAAACUCACAAUUCAUGAUCAAAACGAUACUCCACAAGAAGAGAGCUCAAAAGAAGAUAAUCCCCAAGAUAGUCAAGCAUUAGAAGAAAAUGACAAUCAUGGUGAUGCACCUAGGAAUCUUCCAAAGGUUUGAAAGUUUGUUCAAAAUCAUCCUAAGGAAUUCAUUAUUGGUGAUCCAUCCGAAAAGGUAAGAACUCGUUCCUCUUCAAAACAAUUGAUGGACAAUUUUGCUUUGGUCUCACAUUUUGAACCAAAAAUUAUUAUUGAUGCAUUGAAAGAUGAAAACUGGAUUUUAACUAUGGAAGAGGAACUAAAUCAAUUUGAAAGGAACAAGAUGUGGACAUUAGUUGAAAAAUCUCAUGAUCAUCCUAUUAUUGGCACAAAAUAGAUGUUUAGAAAUAAAAUGACUGACAAAGGUGAAGUGGUGAGAAAUAAGACUAGAUUAGUUCUUAAGAGGUAUGCUCAAGAAGAAGGAAUAGAUUUUGAUGAAACAUUUGCUCCCAUAGCAAGACUAGAAUCUAUUAGAAUGUUUUUGACAUUUGCAUGUUUCAAGAAUUUUAAAUUAUUUCAAAUGGAUAUUAAAAGUACUUUCUUAAAUAGUUUUAUUGAUCAAGAGAUAUAUGUUGAUCAACUUCCCGGUUUUGAGAAUGAAAUGUUUCCAAAUCAUGUGUUUAAACUCUCAAAAACUUUGUAUGGUUUAAAACAAGCUCCAAGAGUAUGAUAUGAAUGCUUAAGUGGUUUCUUGAUUGAAAAUGAUUUUGAAAGGGGCAUUAUAAACACCACUUUUUUCACCAAACGAUGUUCCAAUGAUCUACUAAUUGUGCAAAUAUAUGUUAAUGAUAUUAACUUUGGUGCUAUUAAUGAGUAUUUGUGUAAGAAUUUUUUCAACUAUUAUGCAAAAAGAGUUUGAGAUGAGCAUAAUAGGAGAAUUGAAUUUUUUCCUUGGGUUUCAAGUGGAACAAACUCGAGAAGAAACAUUCAUUAAUCAAGCUAAAUACACCAAGGAAUUGCUCAAAAGGUUCGGUAUAGAGGAAUCAAAAUAAGUUGGAACACCAAUGUGCACAUCUAUCAAACUUGACAAGGAUAAAGGAGGUAUAAAUGUUGAUGAAAAGAAGUAUAGAGGUAUGAUUGGCAGCUUACUUUAUUUAACUGCAAGUAGACUUGAUAUCAUGUUUGCUAUUUACUUGUGUGCUGGUUUCCAAUUUUGUUCAAAAAAAUCUCACUUGCUUGCUGUGAAAACAAUUUUUAAAUAUUUGAAAAGAACAUUGAACUAUGGUCUUUGGUAUCCUAAAUGUCAUGAAUGUCCUUUAUAUGGUUUCUCGAAUGCUGACUUUGGUGGAUGUAGAAUAGAUAGAAAGAGUACUAGUAGUACAUGCCACUUUCUUGGUAAUUGUUUAGUAUUUUGGUUAAGUAAGAAAUAAACCUAUUUCAUUGUCUACGGCCGAAACGGAAUAUGUUACCACUAGUGCAUGUUAUACUCAAUCGAUGUGGAUGAAAAGUACCUUGAAUGAUUUUGAAUUAGUAUAUGAUUGUGUGCCUGUGUAUUGUGACAAUAAAAAUGCUAUAAAUUUGACAAAAAAUCUCAUUCAACAUUCUAGGAUAAAGCAUAUUGACAUAAAGCAUCAUUUCAUUAGAGAUCUCGUCCAAAAAGAUGAAAUUUGUGUGCAAUAUGUUUGUUCAAAGGAUCAAAGUACUGACAUUCUCACAAAAGCCCUUCCACUAGAUCAGUUUAUAUUUUUAAGAACAAAAUUGGGUAUUAUUGAAAAGUUUUUUUGAAAAAUUAUCUGGUCACACUUUAUCAAACGUCUGACAGUGUUCUUGAUCACUUUUCCAGAAAAUUUGGUUUUGGACGAUAAUGUCAGACGCUUCACUUCGUUCAACCGUCCAACACUCUAAAAAUGCUUGUUAUAAGUCAGUUUUCUCCUUCAUUCAGUUUAUUUUUCUAUCCGUUAUAUCAGACGCAACUUCUCAUCCUCUCCUAUUUUCAAAUUUCAAAGUUCGUCUCUCUUCUGAACAAGUUUCAAGAAAUUAAUUAGUUCAAAGCCUUUACACUCUUUUUACCCGUUCAUAACCCCUCAUAACUUCCUCUAACUGCCAACUAGUCUAUAAAUCCCAAUUCUCACCCGAAACCCUAGUCACUUAAAAGUCACUCUCUCUGGAUGAUUCAAGCCCUCAUUAUAAUUAAUACCGCACUUUUAGUCAGUCUCAUACAUAUUUUCAUCAUUCUCCAUAACAAAAACAAUCUGCAUUUCAUCAUGGUAAGAAUUAGGGAAGGAUCUGUCAGUGCAAGACGCACCACCAGGUUCAGGUUGAGGGAUGAAGAUACUGAAAUUAUUGAGCCCUCUACCACUAAAUUUCCAAAAAGGGCGACAAAAAAACAUGGUGGAAAAGGAAAAGGUUCGGCCCAAAAAAAACAUUCAGAGAAAUGGCAAACUACUUCCGCUGAGCAAACUGCAUUACCUCUUAUCAGUGAUAGUGAAGAGGAAUUGGAGCAGCUUACUAAUGUUGAUGCAUCUGUCACGAAAUCACCCAGAAAAGGGACUGAACCUCAUUGUAAAAAGGGGAAAUGGUCUGCUAAAAAGAAUGGGACAGUUCAAACUAAGGAAAGGCAAACUGCUGAUCCUUCUGUUGAGCAAAUUGAGGAACAGCAGACUGUUGAGCAAAAUGCUAAGAAUCAGCAAGCUACUGAGACUUCCACCAGAAAGUCACCAAGAACAAGGUUUGGUGGACAGACCGAUAUACAUGAUACUCCACGAAAUGGAAAAAGGAAACGAACUGCCAGAGAGCAACCUGAGGCUCAGAUUGCAGAGGAAUCUACCUCAUUGCCAAAGUUCAUUGAUGAUGAUGCCCGAGAUAGGUUCGAAUGGGUUUCUCAGAAGGACUUCAUCACCCAAUGGGCAAUUAUCCCUCAUGAAUUCCGUAAGUUUGACCUUGAACCUGUCAUUAAGUUCUUUAAAUUCCAAAAAUGGAUUCAUAUUUUGACCAUUCCCAACACCUACUACCCUGACAUGUUUCAUCAAUUUUUUGUCAAUCUUAGGAAGGGUAAAUCCCAUACUGAUCUAGUCUCACGAGUAAAUUCUGUUGAUAUAGAAUUAAAUCCUGAUAUUGUCAACACUGUUAUGAAAAUCAAAAUUGAAUAUGGUUUUAAAGGAAAAAUUGCUAACUUUUUUUCAUAUGAACAAUUUCUUUCUGCCUAUAAUCACUUUCAUAUUGCAAAACUGAUAACUUAUUUUCAAACUCAUUUUAAUACUCUUACUGAGGCAAGAUUGGAAGAUCUCAAUCCUCAAAAUUUGAUCAUCUUCUCUAUAAUUUCAUCUAUUAGUUCCUACUGAUGGUUAUAGGACAGAUGCCAACAAAAUGGAGCUUUACCUGUUUUUCUGCUUUCUUGAAAAAAUUUGAAUUGAUUUCGGCUUUGUUAUGUGUAAAUUCUUACUCAAAAUCAGCACUGAUAGCCGUAGAAAACUUUCCUAUGAAAAAUUUCUGAUCCCAAUUUUUGCUCAUUUCAAAAUUCCCUUCACUGACAAAUCACCAAAAGAAAGUACAUCUAUUGUCUUUUCAAAGGCAUAUUUUGAAAGAAAAAAUCUGAACUUUUUUUUAUGGAAAAUGGUGCUACAAGGAAACUGUUUUGGAGACUAGGAGAAAGAAUCAUCAUGAAACACCUGUCUCCCCUAGGACUCCUCAAGAUCAGUCCAUGUAUAUUUCAUCCUUUACUAUCCAUCCUAGAAGGUCAGCCACUACGCCCUCUUCAUCUAACUCUGAGGUUAUUUCUUUGCUUGAAAAUCUCAAACAACACAUUCUACUCCUUGAAAAUGGUCUAAUGAUGACCAUGCCACCCGACCAACAAGCCACCUUCAUUGACAAAAGAAAUUUGCUUGUGUGACGGCCCCACUUCCCCCUAGGGCGUACCAAAGGGUUCGGCGGGUCGCCUGCCCAACUCUCGCCGAGACUCAGUCGUUCACUACAUUCCUCAAACAGAUUACAAUAUAAAUCUCAAAAAUUACAUCAAAUGUUCCCACAAUUACACAUCCAAGUCUCCAAUAAUUAUAUGUCACAAGCGAAGCGAAAACAAUUUCCAACUAUACAUAAAAUGAUUCCAAAUCCAAAUUGUACAAAAUAUAGGCCAUCUAUUCAAGUGAAUAACCACAACAAGCCUUCCUUCGCCACGAGCCCUGUGGAGGGGAAUAAAACAUUUUUGGGGUGAGUUAGAAGCUCAGCGAGUAACCAGUAAAUUCAGUAAUCAAAUAUAUUUCACAAUAUUGCAUUUCGAUCCUUUCGAUGAUGUCAUGAUUCAGAGAUCAAAUAUACAUUUAUUGCUCUUGUGAGUCAGUGAAAUCAUGGCACUUGAACACCCAACGCUCAAAUAGAUCCAGUAAUAGUAAACAGUGAGAGAGGGAGCCAUUUGCUCCAGAUGAACAGUAAACAGAGGUGGAGACGUUGGUGUUCAGCACAAGACUUCUCCAGAACUCAGUGAAGCCAAAUCAUGUCAUGAACUCACAUGCAAGCACGCAUGAUAUGCAGUCGAGUAAAUAAUGCAAGAAACAGUUCAAAAGUAACUUUGGAAUCAGUUUAGGGUCACUCACCUCCACGGCUCAGAAACCAUCCAUCAUAUAUCAUUAUCUUGCCCGAGUCUGAGCCCUAAAUCACAAACUCAAAGCAAUCGUACAUUUUCAAAGUUCGAACAGCAUUUCCCCAUAAAUGCCUCAUUUCCAACCUACAAGGUAUCACUUACAUUUCAAACCAGGCCCACAGUCCGGCAUCCUAAACUUCAAGCCUAGGAUAAACUACAGAGAUCUGAAGCCUAAACUCUGAUACCACCUGUGACGAUCCCACUUCUCCCUAGGGCGUACCCCAGGGUUCGGCGGAUCACCUGCCCAGCUCUCGCCGGGACUCAGUCGUUCACUACAAUCCUCAAAUGAAUUACAAGAAUAAACCUCAAAUAUUACAAUGUAAAUCUCCAAUAUUUAUAUAUAAACAAAACGAAGCGGAAACUAAUUCCAAGCGUGGAACGUAUGUAUACAUCCGAUCGAUUCCAGACAUUCAUUACAAUCCCUAAUAAUAACUAUUACACAAAAGGAAAUCCAAAUUCAAACCAUACACGAGAUAAUCCAUCCAUUCACAUGAAUAAGCACUACAAGCCCUUUCUUCGCCACGAGCCCUGUGGAGGGGAAUAAAACAUUUUGGGGGUGAGCUAAAAGCUCAGCGAGUAACCAGAAAAAAUCAGUAAUCAAAUCGGUUUCACAAUAGUUCAUUUCAAUGAUGUCAUAUAUCAAUGAUGUCAUAAAUCAAAUGAUAAGUCCAGAAACAACUACAACAUUUGCAAAACAGUAAAUAUGGAGUAUCAAUAAUUCAAGAAACAUUUACAAUGGAAAGCGAUAGUAACAUUCAUGAAAAGAUACGGCUCACAGGGAGCAAUUCAUUCGAUCAUUCAUUCGUUCUCCUGACAUUUUCCUUCCUUCAUUCAUUUGAAAAUGCAUUUUUCAUUUAUCAAUAAACCCCUCGUUCGUUCGUUCGUUCAUUUCAUUCACCAAGCUCCACCAACCUCCACCAACCUACAUAGGUAAUACUCGAGUAUACCAAACGUUCACCCAAGUCCCUAAUCGCCCGACCGAGACCGCUUCUGGCUCGAGACGACCGGUAACAAGGGGCAAUGGCCAGUUCAGCCCAAAAGGCUUACAUUAUGCGCAACUAGUAUUUCAAUAAUUAAAUCCUUGAAAAUUGCACAGUUAUUUAGGUCGAAUGCGAUAAAGUACACACUCGCCUAGAAAGCUCGUUUUGGAAAUCAUUCAAAGCAGUUAACACGUUAUCAAUCAAUAAUACAAGUCAUGAAGUCAAGAAAAUAUACCAAAUAAGGAACACUCACAAGUCACUCAAACAUUCCAAGCAAGCACUAAGAGUUACUCUAAUCCCACUUGUAGGAAUGAAAAUCCGACAAGUGGGAUUAGAGUAACUCUUAGUGCUUGCUUGGAAUGUUUGAGUGACUUGUGAGUGUUCCUUAUUUGGUAUAUUUUCUUGACUUCAUGACUUGUAUUAUUGAUUGAUAACGUGUUAACUAUUUUGAAUGAUUCCAAAACGAGCUUUUUAGGCGAGUGUGUACUUUAUCGCACUCGACCUAAAUAACUGUGCAAUUUUCAAGGAUUUAAUUAUUGAAAUGCUAGUUGCGCAUGAUGUAAGUCUUUUGGACUGAACUGGCCAUUGCCCCUUGUUACCGGUCGUCUCGAGCCAGAAGCGGUCUCGGUUGGGCGAUUAGGGACUUGGGUGAACGUUUGGUAUACUCGAGUAUUACCUAUGUAGGUUGGUGGAGGUUGGUGGAGCUUGGUGAAUGAAAUGAACGAACGAACGAACGAGGGGUUUAUUGAUAAAUGAAAAAUGCAUUUUCAAAUGAAUGAAGGAAGGAGAAUGUCAGGAGAACGAAUGAAUGAUCGAAUGAAUUGCUCCCUGUGAGCCGUAUCUUUUCAUGAAUGUUACUAUCGCUUUCCAUUGUAAAUGUUUCUUGAAUUAUUGAUACUCCAUAUUUACUGUUUUACAAAUGUUGUAGUUGUUUCUGGACUUAUCAUUUGAUUUAUGACAUCAUUGAUAUAUGACAUCAUUGAAAUGAACUAUUGUGAAACCGAUUUGAUUACUGAUUUUUUCUGGUUACUCGCUGAGCUUUUAGCUCACCCCCAAAAUAUUUUAUUCCCCUCCACAGGGCUCGUGGCGAAGAAAGGGCUUGUAGUGCUUAUUCAUGUGAAUGGAUGGAUUAUCUCGUGUAUGGUUUGAAUUUGGAUUUCCUUUUGUGUAAUGGUUAUUAUUAGGGAUUGUAAUGAAUGUCUGGAAUCGAUCGGAUGUAUACAUACGUUCCACGCUUGAAAUUAGUUUCCGCUUCGUUUUGUUUAUAUGUAAAUAUUGGAGAUUUACAUUGUAAUAUUUGAGGUUUAUUCUUGUAAUUCAUUUGAGGAUUGUAGUGAACGACUGAGUCCCGGCGAGAGCUGGGCAGGCGAUCCGCCGAACCCUGGGGUACGCCGUAGGGAGAAGUGGGGUCGUCACAGCUUGUACCUCCUGUUCCUCAAGACAAUGAGAAUGUACACCAAAAGGGACCUAGAAUUGAGUCAACUGAGCAAACUCCUCGUGCUGAAACUACUCCAGGAUUCGUGCUUCCAGUUCUCAUCCAUAGGACAAGGGAAAGGCUCCAGCAACUGAAGCAGAAACUGAAGAGGAUGAUGAUGAGGAAACUAAAGAGGAAGAAGUGGAUCCUGCUCAGUUUCGCCUAGCAAGAAGGAGGUCUGGAUCGUCCAAAUUACAAUUUAGGCACCUCUAGGUUCGUGUACUUCAUGUUUAAGUAGGCAUCUCAUAUUAGACAUUUGCAUCUUCGGCAUUUUAACAUUUCAAGUACUCUGUACUCAAGAUUCUGGUUGUUUGGUUAACUCUUCUGGCUUAUAAACUAUUCAGUUAACUUCUCUAUGUUGAAUGGUUUCUAAUUAAUUUUGUUGGUUAUCUUUUUGGUUAAUUCUGUUUGCUUCUGGGUGCUUGGUAUCCCUGUGACUUCUGAUUUUUAACAUUGUUUGCUGAUAUUGGUGAUUGUUGAUUUUGUUGGAUAUUCUUGGUUAAUGAUGUUGUUGAUGACAUUGAUGUUGGAUACUGGAUUGGAAUUGGAUUUGAAUUGUAUUAAUGCCACUGGCUAUUAAGAUCUUCUAAUGAUGACAAAAAGGGAAGGAAAUGAUAACAAGUUACUACAGGAAAUGUAAUCUGGUAAAUACGUGAGGGGUAACUAUUCUGAGGGAGAGUGUCUACCUUUUUUGAUUCAUUAAGUGAGGGGAAGUUUUUAACUUAAUUAUUUUUCUCCAUCCACUGUUUUGUCAUCAUCAAAAAAGGGGAGAUUGUUAAUCUCGGUUCUUAGCUUUUGAUGAUUACAAAACAAAUGGAUGUUACUAAUAUCUCCUCAGAGACUUUUUUAGAAAUGAAGCAAAUCAGGUUCAAAGAUGAAACUGUUGCUGAAGCUGUCGGACAUACAAAAAAACUGGAUCGGAUGUCUGACAAUCAUUGAGCAACUUCGAACGUAUGAGGAACUCCAUCACCGGACGUCCGAAAGAAAUCAAAACACUUCCUUAAACUCACUAAUCUCAAUCGAACGCAGAACAUUAAAGCACUGGAUGUCCGACAGAAUUGAAAAGGAUUUUCAAACUUUACCAUCUACUUUCGGACGCAAACUUUGGAGGUACCGGAAGUCCAAAAGAAUUAAAGAAAAUUCUUCUUGCUCUCUGCCUGCUGUCGGACGUAAGAAACAAGACUACCGGACGUCCGACACUACCAAUGGCUAGUUGACUGUUCAACUACCUUCUAUCCGUUGGAAGCUUUAAUGAAGGAAUUUUUUGGUCUCCUAUAAAUAGAGUAAAGUCAACCACUUUAAAAUACUUUUGCACAUUGAGACUACAAAAGAUCUAGAGCAAUUUUAGUGAGAAAAUUCUCUUCAAAGAAGAUUUAUACUCUUAGUUGUGUAGAUUUCGUAUAAGCUUUUCUUGUGUGAGAAAAUUACUUCAAUAGUAUAGCUUUGUAAGGGUUAUCCGAGUGAUAGUAAAACUUCCUAACUUAACCAAGUAUGACUUGGAACAAGGAGGAAGUAAUCCUUCUUUUGUGCACAUAGAUUGGUUGUAAUUGAUCAACUUGAAGAAGCUUGCUCUAUAAAGUGAUAUUCAAACUCAAGAGAAGUUUGGAAUUUGGUUUGCUAUUCUAUCUCUUUUAUUUACUAUACUGCAAUAUAAAUUAUUCAUCUCUUCUACUCACGAGCAUUUGUACUUUUUCAUUAUUUGUUCCAUUGUGUGGUCAUCUAGAAAAGAGGGUAAAUUUCAUAUUCAAUCAAAAAGUGUCUCAUAAUUUGGUUAGUUUUUAAUUACCUAAAUCACCCCCCUCUUAGGUUGUCUUCGAUCCUUAUACUAUAAUUUCUAUUCCACUGGCUCCAAAGAUCAGUACAACAAUUGAAGUACGAGGCUGAGCAAGAAAGAGCAAAAUGUCUCCGUCUUCUAGCCUAUGAGCUAUAACAAAGUCACUCCAUCUUCGAUGAAAGCCAUCUUUUGUGAUUCCAAUAUUGUAACUUUUGGUUCCACUUGUUAGAACAAUAUCUAGAGUCCGAGGCUCAACUACAUUUAAUCAGUGUGCUCCAGAAUUUUCUACAAGCAAAAAGCAAGGCAUAAGAAUGUAAAGGAAUUAUGUUGCAAAAUAGAAGGAUUUGUUUUAAAAUAUAUAUAUGUAUAUACCGUGCUAUAUCUAAAUCUUCGAGUAUAAACUUAGAGCGCAUUUAGCACCAUUAGAUCAUGCCUAAUGAAUUGAUUGAUGGAUGAUGCAACAAAUCCUAAACUCACAUCUAUAGCUAUACCAUCUGUAGCACAGCAACAGGUGUGUUAGUAAAGUAUAUCAAGCGACAAAAAAAAUGAUUCAUUGUGAAAUGGAAAUUUAUGCUCCUUCUAAGAUCAGUGGUGUGUAUGGGAGCAUUGGCAAGUGCAAUGUUCAUCAUGUCCACAUUAGAUUGUGAGUUGCAGAGAAAGCAAAAAUUUCGUAGAUGAAGUUCCCUCUAUUUCAAGAAAAAAAAAUUAUAUUGCCUGGAGAGAUGUAGUUAUCACUGCAGAAAUUGUUCCAUUGUUUUUCAAAACAAGAAUUCAGAAUUUUUAUUUCCAAUGAGCCAAACCAUGAUAAAUUGUCCAUCUUCAAAACAAUUAGCAACUACCAUUUCAUCAGGGAUCGCUUGAAAUGAGAUAGACAGGUUAGGUAUGUAUUAAGGGAAAAAGUGAGCAUCAAUUUAACAGAUGACUUAUUUUUUGGUGCUUGUGUAGAAUAAAACAUAACACCAUGGUUGUCCACUAUCCAUGAAACCAAUCUCUUCAUUUUCUGUUCAAGAGAACAAAAGAAAUGCAAUUAUAUGUGUAGUUCAUUGAGUAGUCCACAUUCUAUAAUGAUGCAAAAAAUGUAUAAAAAGCCACUUGUUUCUGCGAAUGCCAUUGAGGUGAUAUAUGUAUUAUUCUAUAGCCACUGCUCAAUCAAUGCAAAUGAAAAUAGUGAGGGUUCACCCAUAUAUUUUAGAACCAUUGGACAUGCUUCAAGGAAAGACCUCUUCACAUAAUAAGUUGUCGCUCCAUGAACCUUGUUUACAGCAGUUGCUGCAAGAAUCUUUUCAUGGUCAAAGGUGCAUAGAUAAAAUUUAAUAUUGUUUCCCUUCCCAACUGCCUCCUAUUUCUAAAAGGGUCUCUUGGUUUAACCAUAGGUGGUUAAUAUCAAGAGUAUUUUAGUUCUAUAAUUUCAGCAUAUCUCAAAGCCGAUCACUAAAGCAAGGAGCAAAAACAAGGGAAAGUUUGCUGUGCCACCAAAGGAAGAAGAUGUUGAAUGUAUUUUAAAGUGAGGAUGAGCAUAGCAUGUUUAAAUAAGAACUCAAUAUACAAGGAGAAGCAUUAAGUACAAGAGCAUUAUAAUUGGUUGAAAAAAUAUGAAACCUCCAAAUAGAGCAAAGCAGGAAAUACCUCACUCAAUACUUCCAAACAAAGCCACCAUACAUAUAAUUAUUUAUAAUUCACAAUACUUGGGAAACAAGCAAAUAUUUUGAAAAUUUUCCCAACAAGACUUGCAUUACUGUAACCACAAUGAUCUCAAUCAUUAUGUGUUACAUAGUUGACCCAACUAUUCUAUUUUAACAAAGACAGAUUGUUUUAAAUAUUCUUACGAAAAUGAUAGAACACAAGUGGCAUGUUAGCCUUAAAAAUUUAUUGAAAAAAUACAAUAAUUUGACCUUUACUUGAAUGUCCAAUCUCCAAAACUCAAAUACGAUACUGGAAAUCCUAAAAGCUUAAGUCCAAAUUAUAGAUUAAGGCCUUUACUCCAUAUCAGCCAAGUAAUAAUCAUAUAAUACCAUCCAACUAAAUAAAAAAUUAUGCUCACAUAAGCUUUCAAGAGCUGUAUAUAUUGAGAAGUAAAUCUGUCAAGGAUGUUUAGAUAAAAUAGAACUUAAUCUAUCAAGGAUCAUCUCCAGCUAUUGUCUCACAAGUACAUCAUAACCAGAAGGAAAAGCAACUCAUCUACAUUUUUUCUUAGAAACCUCCAUUGUUUCAGAAGUGCAAGUGUAAACAGGCUCAUCCCUAGCCAUUAUCUCACAACCACAUCAGGACCAGAAGGAAAAGUAAAGGAAAUGGCCAAUGGAAAAUUCGAAAAAAAAGCUACAAUUCUCAGAAAGAUUCAACCAUGCUCAAGUAAUACUAACAUAAUACCAUCCAAGUAAAUAAAAAAAAUUUUGGCUCACAGAAGCUUCCAAAAGCUAUACACAUUGACAGACCCACAACAUGAAAGACCCAGACCAGAAUAAUGCCAAGCAAAGACAUAGCCACAACCUAAAAAGGCAAGUCCAAAUAUAAGUAAAUAUGAAAAGUUUCUGCUUACAAAGGCUGCCAAAAUCUAUGCACAUUAACAGAAUUAUAACACAAAAGACCUACGAGAAUAAACCAAUGAAAAACAAAAUCACAACCAGAAAAGAUGACAAGAGGAUAGAAAUGCAAAAUACAAAGAUAAAUGAGCAAAGAAUAGAAAAAUAUCCAACAAACAUCAAACCAAUGGACAGAACAAUAGUGAAAAUGGUAAAAAGAAACAUAACCAAAUAUCCAUGAGCAAACGAAAAAUAGAAAAAAUAUAAUUUACCUGACGGGAGAAAUUACAAUCAGAGCUCGCAAGUAAAGGAUCUGUAGAAAAGAGGAGCUUGUCAAAAUGGCAAAAAGAAAAUGAAGGAAAUAGAGGAAAAUACCAAAAUAACUGAUGAGAAAAAGAAGGAGAUGAAGGGGGGGAAUUUAGACAGAGCAAUAACAAAAAAUGGUACCCAAGAGCAAAGAAAAACAAAAAAAUUACAAAUUACCUGACAAAAGAAACUAUUAUUAGAGCUCGCAAGUAAAGGAUUUGCAGAAAAGAGGAGCUUGUUACAAUUUUUUUUUUUUUUAAAAAGGAAGAGGGAACCAAAGGAAAUAUUGAAAUACCUGAUAAGAGAAAAGAGAUGGAAAUGCAAGACACGGAGGUAAGCGAAGAAAACAGAAGACGAUGGAAAUGUAGAACACAGCAACAAACAUCCAAAAGCAGGACACACCUAAGCUUCACAUAGGCAGAGCAAUAACCACAUAGAAUCUGCGAGACAAAGAUGAAGUGAAAGGCAAAGAAGCUGAAAAGUGCCUGACGAGAGGAGCCACAAACAAAAUUCUCAAGACAAAGAUGAAGCGUGAAAACGGAGAUGAGAAAGCAAAUGAGAAACUCUAGGAAAAAAGGGCACAACCAAUUUGUCUUGGAAUUUAGACCACAUUGGAAGAGACAGCCAUGAUAAAAUGCGCCAAUUACCAUUCUGAAGAAAGCUCUCCUGGUAGCUCCGGACAAUGCAGCGGUGAGAGCCAAGAAAGGAAAGGAACUCGUACGGCCAUCUGUUCCAAAGCAGAAAACCCAUGGUCGACCCAAUUACCCGAACCAUUCCAAUGGAGCAUCUAGAAGUGCAAACUUACACAACUCACAUGCUCGGCACAUGACAACGACGAAACCCCUUGGUGCAUUGUAUGUUAUGUUGAUAAGAAAAAAUGCACCUAUAUGAUUCAUCUUCAUAUCUUGCUGUCUUGUUUAAGUUUGCAUUACUGUUCAUGCAUCCGAUGUAUGUUCUUCCAUUUUUUUUCUUCCAUGUGUAUGUCAAACCUAUGGUACUCAUGCACUUAAUUGUUUUUUCAAAAUCUUAAGAGUAACAAGUUUAUUCUACUGAUUUCAUGAACUUGCAAAACACAAAAAAUUUAUAAAUGCAGGGAAAUGAUCAUAAAGUUCAUAAAACACAAUAAAGGAAAAAAGAGCAAGGAAAAAACACAAAAUAAAUGCAAAAAAAAGUGGAAAAAAGUACAAGGGCAAGAAUCAUAAAAAGAAUGGGUAAGAAAGAAAGAUGCAGCACUUGCACUUGCACGAUAAGCCUUUGUUCACUACAAUGAAAAUCUCAAGCAAUGAUCAAUUACAUUAUUGUUAUCCUCUAGGCCAUUAUAUCAAGCUAGCUUACAUAAUGUACUUUGCCAAAUCAUUAGUCUCCUAUUGGGAGUCGAGCAUUUAAAAACUAAGAUGAGUUUUGCUCUACUCAUCAAAAAAAGAAGAGGAAAACAGCUUUUUGCCACAUUUGUGGUUUUAGAGCUUAUUGCACUACGUGCAUCUGGUGAUUUCAUUUGAUGCUAAAACUAUAUCGGUAUUUCCUUUUGAAUUUAAUGUAUCACAUCUUGCAAAAAAGGAGGCACAGUAUUAAGCGCAAUAAGGGGACAGGUGACCAUUUCAGCUGCAUGUCUUCUGAAUUUGCAGCCCAACUCUUCAUUGACUAUGAUCGGAUUGAUGAGAUGCCACUCACUUGUGUGUCCAGUUUGAAUCUACUGCUAUUAAAUGAAAGACAUAAAACGAGCGAGUUGUGCAUGAUAUGCGUAGAAGCAUAACUGGUUCCACGUAAUUUCUAAGUGCAUUUGAAGGUAGGAAGUUACACUACAGAUUUGUUGGCCUAUUAUUCUACAAAAUGGCUCAGUGAUCUAGAAUUAUAUCAUUGCAAAGAAUGAUUUGCUUGUUGAAGGCACUGACAAAAACAUCCAGCUUCUUGUUGAAGAUUAGAACAUCUGUGACAUCUAAGUUCCAGUUUGUUUUCUUUUCCCAUUUUUGGAAUGAGUUUAGUUUCUUAAGUCACCAAAUUUACAACAUUUUCAUGUUCUUGACAGUGGAUGCUAUUUGUCUAAAGUAAUUUUUCAUGUAUACUUAGCAUCGUUCACUAAAAUCGUGAUAUAGAACUUGACUUUUGACUUGAUAUUAUUUUCUGUUCUUCCUAGGCCUGUCUACUGCUUGUUGUUUUGUGUAGUCAUUGUUCAGAGUUUGAAGACUACUGGACCUGUAGGCUUUAAAAGUCUUGUUCACAAUUUUCUUCAAAAAGUUGGCUGCAAGAAUCUUAGAACCUGCAUUUCAAAGAGCUGGUCAGAGAAUGUAUCCUUAUUGAAAGACUGUAGUGGAUAAUUAUACUGAUUCAUUUUUUGCUAAAUAUCUUUUUAUGUUGACCAUACCAUUUUUUGGUUGAACUUAACUUUCACUAUAGAGGGACAGAGAUUUGGAGAAUUGAAAACUUUCAACCAAUUCCUUUACGAAAAUCUGAUCAUCGUAAGUUCUACUUAGGUGAUUCAUACAUUGUCUUGCAGGUGCAUAUAGCUUCCAAUAUUUCUUCCUUUGUAUCUUAUUUUGGGCCUCAUUUUUACGAAUUGAGUGUUUAUGACUGAAGGAAGAGCUUAAAUCUUUUUUAUCCUGUUUUAAGUUUGGGUACAAUGAACUGAUAAAAACUAAUAUCGAUCAUUGCAGUCCAGUUUAAUAUUGAUCAUGAGGAGGUUGUUGAAUAUGAUGAUAGAGAUGGUUGAAAUCUGACAUUGGUACUACGGUCUAUGCUUUAGUUUAGAAAUCUAGUACUCUUUUUUUUGGGAAGGAUAUGUAUUGGUCAUUACUGCUUGAACUUAUUAUGUGAGCUUUGGGACCCAACAUUUGUGGUUCACUUUUGUUUUGAUGAAUGUAUAGAUGUUCAUGGCCAUAUAUAUGAAUUUGUGGUUUUAUUCUACGUUGAUUUUGUCUUUUGUCAAAUUGAAUAUUCUGCUAUAAUUUGUUGAAAAUGCUAUGGCAAUGCUAUAUUCGUAAUGGUCAAUUUCAACUCUUCAAGACAAAGCUCAGUGACAACCUUUGACAUGCAAUUUCACUAAGUGACGAUUAUUUCUGUCACUGAAUAAUAGGACUGAUUGUGACAAGCUCAGGUUGUCACUGUAAACUUCAAAAUUGUGACGACUUUUGCUACAUCUAUGAUAAAAAUAUAGGUGAAACAGUGACAAGAAAAGUCAUUACAAAAUAAUAUCCAUUAGUGACGACUUUGUCCUCGUCAUUGAAUAACAAGAUUCUAUGACGACUUUCAAAGAGUUGUCACAUGGACCCAUUUAUGACAUAGAAUCUGUGACAACCAUUUGACAAUCGAAAAAGCCGUCACUAUAUCCAUAUAAUGACGACUUUUUGGCUUUUAGUGAUGACUUUUUGUUGUCACAAAAGACCCAUUUUCUUGUAGUGUAGUAUGCACAGAAAAGGUGGCUAGAUCUAAUUUUUUUGGGGGGAGGGGUGUUUUGAUUCGCAUUAUUUGAAUUCAAAGGGGGUGUUACCCUAGACGUAUCUUCACCUUUAUCUCUUUGAGCGGCUUGGUGAGCAUCAAACAUAAAUCCCCUAAUAGGGGCAUCUAAUUAAUCUUCAGUCCCAUCCGGUUCAAGAUUUUCAAGUACCACAUCUUCUUCCCCCAUAGCUCGUACAUUAUUCUUGUUAGGAUCCAAUCACGAAAUAAUCAACUAUUGAGAUAUCAAGUACAUAAUAAUUUAAUGACAAACAAACCACAAACAUGAAAAAUAAAAGACACAUAAUAUUUAACAUGGUUCGAUUUCAUCAUUGAGCCUAUUCCACGGAGAGAAACUCGUUCUUUAUUAUGAGAGGAAAACCCUAUAGAAGAAUAUAAAUUGAACCCAAAUCUAACCCCUGUAUACCAUCUCUCAUCUCCCAAAAACCUUCUUUCACUCCCAUGUAUAAGGCUAGCCCUUUUGUGUGCCCCUUAUGUGUCUUUGUGUAGUAUGCAAAUCCAUCCAUUUAUAGGAAAUAUUAUUUGACCAAAACUCAAAUAACAACAAGAAACCAAUUCUAAUUUCUAAAUUUACAUAGAAUAGGACAUAACUUCUAAUCCUAAACAAAAUAGGAAAUUCUUUGACUACUAUUUCAAAUAACUAAAAUUAAUUAGAAAACUAGUUACUUUCACACAAAACAAGAACCCUACCUAAAAGAAAUUGAACCAAUUUUCUAACAAAUCUCCAUCUUGGUGAAAAUUUCUUUUAGCAACCAUUUGUCUUCAACUACCAAAUAAUAUGGUAUCGAAUUACACAUUCGAAUCAAUACAGUCUUACUACCAAAUUGAUUCAAUCGGCAAAUGAAUAUAUGUAGUUACCUAGAAUCCAACCUCCAAUUGACUCGUGAGAAGGUGCCUCAAUUCACCGUCUCCCUAUGUAAGAUUUUUUCUAAUCACUACUUGCAACCAGGGAUUCCCUUCUGUGAGCUCUAACGCUAAAUAUUGAGAAAGACUAACUCCCAACAAGGUCCGACUUUACAGGAGAAAGAAGCGUCGAUAAGGGAAGCGCCUUCAAGGAAGAUUUCAGGAAGCAUUUAUUCAAUAAGAUUGAGUGGAGAUUUCUUGAUAAAUGAAGUGGUAAAGUCACCAUACUUUUUCCCAUCCUCAAGACUCCACCUAAAAUAAAAAACUCAAAACUAUCAGAGUCUUCUGGUGAAUGGAAAUUAAAUCUCUUUUUUUCUUUACAGCACAUGCCACACUACCCAAAAAACAUAACCAAAAUCUAAAAUCCAUCGGGAUGAAGUAUCAACCGUUGGAGGUAUGGGAAAGUCUUCAUCGAUUCAUGUCCAAAAUCAACAUUGGACUCCAUCUUUUCCUUGACCAUUGAAUCAGCUACCAAUUCAUUUGAUCUCAAUAGUUACCCAGGAUCCAAUCAUGAACAACCAAACUCUUGAUCCAACCAUUCAGUUUGUUGGGAUCCAAGUGCUUGUGAGCAGCCCAAUUUUCACAACCAAACUCUGAUACCACUUGUUAGGAUCCAAUCACGAAAUAAUCAACUAUUGAGAUAUUAAGUACAUAAUAAUUUAAUGACAAACAAAUUACAAGUAUGGAAAAUAGACGACACACAAUAUUUAAUGUGGUUCGACCCCACCAUUGAGUCUACGUCCACGGCGAGAAACUCAUUCUUUAUUAUGAGAGAAAAAUCUUAUACAAAAAUAUAACUUGAACCCAAGCCCAACCUCUAUAUACCAUCUCUUAUCUCCCAAGAACCCUCUCUCACCUCCAUGCAUAAGGCUAGCCCUUUUGUGUGCCCCUUGUGUGUCUUUGUAUAGUAUGUCAAUCCACCUAUUUAUAGGGAACAUUAUUUGGCCAAAACCCAAAUAACAACAGGAAACCAAUUCUAAUUUCUAGACUUGCAUAGAAUAGAAAAUAACUUCUAAUCCUAAACAAAAUAGGAAAUUCUUUGACUACUAUUUCAAAUAACUAAAAUCAAUUAGAAAACUAGUUACUUUUACACAAAUCAAGAGUUCUACCUAAAAGAAAUUAAGCCAAUUUUCUAACAAAUCUCCACCUUGACGAAAAUUUCUUUUAACAACUAUUUGCCUUCAACUACCAAAUAAUAUGAUACCAAAUUACACACCCGAAUCAAUACAGUCUUGAUAUCAAAUUGAUUCAAUCGGCAAAUGAACAUGUGUAGUUACCCCGAAUCUAGCCUCCAGUUGACUUGUGAGAAGGUGUCUCAAUUCACCGUUUUCCUUUGUAGGAUUUUUUCUCACCACCACUUGCAACCGGGGAUCCCUUUCUGUGAGUUCGAACUCUUAACAUUGAGGCAACCAAGUAGUAAAAUCACCAUACUUCUUCCUAUCCUCAAGACUGUCUCGCCACAUGUGGUUUCCAAGACUUCACAUAAAAUUAGAAACUUGUAACUGUCUGAGUCUUUUGGCACAUGAAAAUUAAAUCUCUUUGUUUCUUUAAGACACGUGCCACACCAUCCAAAAACAUAACCAAAAUCUAAAAUCCACCGGGAUGAAAUAUCAAUCGUUGGAGGUGUGAAAAAGUCUCCACCGAUUUACGUCCAAAAUCAAUAUUGAAUUCCAUCUUUUUCUUGACCCUUGAAUCACUUGCCUAGAUUCACCGUAUAUCUCCAUACUUUUCGACUUUCUAUCCUUCACCAUCAAUGUUUUUUCCCAAGCCAUUGAAACAAGAAUACCAGUCAUUAAAUUGUUCAAUUAGUAACAGCUACCAAUCCACUUGAUCUCAAUAGUUAACCAAGAUCCAAUGUUGAACAACUAAACUCUCGAUCCAACCAUUCAGUUUGUUGGGAUCCAAAUGCUUGUGAGAAGUCCAAUUUUGCAAUCAAGCUCUGAUACCAUUUGUUAGGAUCCAAUCACGAAAUAAUCAACUAUUGAGAUAUCAAAUACAUAACAAUUUAAUGACCAAUAAGCAACAAACAUGGAAAAUAGACGACACAUAAUAUUUAACGUGGUUCGACUCCACCAUUGAACCUACGUCCACGGAGAGAAACUAGUACUUCAAGUAACUAAAACCAAUUAGAAAACUAGUUACUUUCACAUAAAACAAGAACCCUACCUAAAAGAAAUUAAGCCAAUUUCCUAAUAAUUCUCUUGAAUACUGACAAUAUCCCUUUGCUUUCUUUUUGGUGCCAUCCUGCAAACACAAAUUAGGUUAGGGCAAAAUCUACCUACACUAAGCUACCCAAUCCUCAACUGGUAGCAAUAGGUAUUUGAACACGAAAAUCAAAACUAAGUCAAUCCACACUAAGGUUGGCCACCUGAAGUGUAAAUCAACUAAUUCCAAUAUUCUAUCCAACAUACACACUACAUUACAUCAAACUUUCAAUAAAUAUUCAUUCUUAAGGUACUAUAAGUAAGAUUCACACCUAGGCUCUGAUACCAAAUAAAUGUCACGCCCCAUGUCUGGAAUUUAACACCGCCACGCCCUAGACAAUGCUAAAGAUGUAAGCCAACAAAUUUCCAAAAUAAAUAUAUUCACCUUUAUAUAAACUUUCUAAAUCCGCAAAUACAAGAUCAUCCAUAACAGCAAUUUCGCGUCUUUCAAAAUAAAAGCAAGAUCAAACCUUCUACAAUAUGUACAAUAUUCGAAUCCUAUUAUAAGGUAUCUAAUAUAGAAGUACAAAAGUUAUCCUCUAACAAAAAGUCAUCUCCAUCUCCAUUACCACUCCCAAGUUCUAUCAAGGUCCACUUCAAUGAAUGCAUCAUUAACUGCAUAAUUAUAACAAAGGGGCGAGCGAAAUCUCACUCAAUAAGUAGCACAUGUAUCUCAUUAUUGGCCUGAGCAUGUUACAUACAUAAUAUAUAUUUCAAACGCCAUUAACUUACACAUAUAACUUUAUAAGAACAUGGUCAUUAUAAACAUUUCAAUGGCAUAUCAUACAUCACACACAUAAAGGAGCUCAAACCAUAAGACAACAAUUGACCCUGGAUAUCCAGUUAUUAACUUAAUCGGUUAACACGGUUCAUAGUGCUAACUACUAUACGAUUAGCCUAUUUCAUAUUGCUAAUGACAACACAGAUAGCUUGUUUCAUAUACCAACUACUUGUGAGGAACUAGUCUCGUCAAAAGUCGCUUAUACAAGAGCUCAACAAACAUGACAUUUCAUUUUACAAAUGACCAUGGCAAGAGUAAUAACAAAUAUCACAAAUUAUACUUGGUCAUGCCACUUUAGCAAUUAGACAAGUAGCUUUCAAAAUUCAUCUUUCAAAAGAUAAAGGAUACGUGCAUCACUUACCUUGAUCCAAUGGAUACCCACGCUAGUUCAAGUAAUCAAAAAAAUGGCUACCUUAUUCAUCUAGACAUAAUAAUAAAAUAUUCAAUUACAAUCUUAAAGAUACUAAACUACUCCAAAUUAUCAUAAAAAGGAGUCUAAUACUACCCUUAACGACUAAUUCCUAAAAAGGAUCAUUUCCUCAUCAAAGCAGGACAUAAGGGUUAAUUUUAAAGGGUCACUAACUUUAAGAAAUAUAGAAACAUGGCAAGAUAUUUACACAGAGUUAAAGCCCCCUGAAUCUAGUUUCCAACGCAACAAACAGCACCUAAAUCCGAGUUUCCUACAUCAAGUUAUGGCCAAAAAACUGAAAUAUGGCUGUACAGAAAAUUUAAUCCAUCCGAGAAUUAUAGCCAAUCCAUCUAAGGAUUAUAGCCAUGGAUUUCUAGCACGUUUUCAAGGCAAAAACAAGUUCCAAAUUUGAUAAUCAAGUUCCAUUUCUAUCUCAAAUCAUCUUCCAACCUCCAUAGUUGUCAAAAUCAACAUAUUUUAGCUCCCAAAGUCAUGUAAAUACAUAAACAAUCUUGAAAAUGAAUUGUUAGCUCAAGUAAUUCUUUCCCUCAACAUUUCUCCUUUUUAUAUUGAUGAUAGCCCUAUAACCAUAUGAAAAUAGAGACCAAAACAAACUUUAUACAUCAUAGCCAUGGAAGUUAACCAAAAAUUUGAACCAAAUACUACCCAAUCACCCAAUCAAAGAAAACCAAAAUCAUGUUCAAGGUUUCAUGAAAAUAUGUUGGUUAGUUGUCAAAGUAGAAUCUCCUUACUCCUCACUCCUUACUUGUGCUUGAUUUGUCAAGAAUUCUUCUUGAUUGUAAGGAAAAAGGAGAGAAAUAAGAAAGGGUUUUGUUGGAGAAGGAAAGAAGAAAGGAAAUGAAGAAGAUGAAGAAAUUUUUUGACAAGGAUGAAUAGUGAAAUCCCACUAUCACUUUAUUCUUUCAAAAUUUCACUUAUUAACACAUUGGUCACUCAAUUUAACAUCUUUCACUUUUCACCACUAAAUAGUAUUUCUUCGCAUAAAAUUCUCUACAAGACACUUGGGUAUCACAAUAAUUGUUAGGACCAACAAUUCUUAUAGACUGUCUGAGACAACAGUAUUCAUGGAUAUAAAUGAAAGCAAGAACAUUUGAUAUAGCGCUAGGGAUUUUCGUAUCAUCCUUGACAUUUAUAUGCAUCUCUUCUAUUUGGAUAUUUAUCUACAGCGAGUCUUUCUAUCGAUAAUGCCCAACUAAAUAAAAAAGAAAAGACAAUUUGCAUUUUUUCUUUUUUCUCUUUUUUUUUCCCAAUGUGUCAAACAACAAGAAUGGUAACCUCCUGUUGGAUCCUUAAUCCAACGUUGGACUUAUAUGUGAAUAAUUAUGUAUUUCAAACUGUCAAAUAAGGUUAAAUUCAAUUAAAAUGAUCAAAUAUGAUUUGGACUUAAUGUAUCUAAUAAGGUGUGGGUCUUUAAUGUGUAGAGACUUAAAGGUAUUUUCUAUUUCUAUGAUGGAUUGAAAUAUGAAUCUAAAAGAUAACAGGAAUGCUAUCUAUAAAUAGGGAUAUGGUCUCCAGGUCACAAGUAUUCUUAUUGUCAUAUUUUCUAGUACCACAAAACAGUUUUUUCCUAAUGUCCCAUCAUCAGAAAACAUACCAGAGAGAAACUAAAGUGCUCUCUCAAGAAUUGGUAAAUACGUGUUGACUUAGAAGGCUAUCCUAAAAUCUUCAAGGAUUCAAGUGCCAGUUUGUCAAUAUGAAUUUAGAUACGCUUCCGCAUUUAUAUUACAGUUCUGUUCAAAUAUCUGAUAUUGGAAUUCUGGAAAUUCCUACACCUUCUCCCUUUGAAAUUUCAGAGAACAAAACCAAAUAUUUCAUUCCUACUAAGUUAUGGGCACGCAUUACAUCAUUCCUACUAAAUUUAACUAUCUUAACAACUUAGAAAAAGCUAGCUACAUAUACAUUGUCUUCUUACAUAGAUAAAAGAUAUGCAGGGCAUAUAGAAAGAUCGUCCAAAUGGGUUUAAUUUGCUGCUUUUAAGCUUGACAUUUGUAAGACUUAUGACCGGAUAUCAUGGCAAUUUCUAUAGGCUGUUCUAAGAAAAAUGGUUUUUCCAGAAUCCAAGAUUAAUAUUGUUUUGAAGAGUAUCUUUUUUGUCCCUUACUCUAUCAUAGUUUUUUUUUUUUUUUUAACUUAGGGUUAUCCAAACUUUUUGGCCAACUAAUUCCCUAAAACUGUGUAGAGUCUUAUUCUAAGGAUACAUAGUAAGAUAGUACACAGGAUUCGAUUACGGGACAUGUUAGUAACUAUCAAACUACGGAAUUAGUCGAACUACCCGCGGGGCACUCAAUCGUAGUUAAUGGAGUACUAUCAUCGGUAAUAUAUCCUACCAGAGGCCAGGGGCGGAGGGAAGGGGGGGGCCAGGGGGGGCAACCGCCCCCCCUCCAAUUGUUAAAAAAAAAAUUUCUAAGUAAAAAAUUUUUUAUUAUAUUGUUUUGCCCCCCCAAAUAUUGAUAAAAAAUUUCACUUUGCCCCCCCUCCAAUUGUUAUAAAAAAAUUUCUAAGUAAAAAAAAUUUUUCUUAUAUUGUUUUGCCCCCCCAAAAUAUUGAUAAAAAUUUUCACUUUGCCCCCUCCUAAGGGCCCAAAUAAUAAUGUUUGAAAGUUAUUUGGACUUUGUCCAAAUAACAGAGACUCGCCCCCCCUAAUUGCAAUUCCUAGCUCCGCCACUGCCAGAGCCUUCGCCAGGGAUGCCCCCUCUGAGCAUCAUAUCUCUGCUUUAUACCAAGAGGCGUUGUCAGCUGCAUUAUGUUCUUUGGCAUCUAUAGAAUCUAUGUCCCCAAAUAUGAUUUUGAAAACCUAUACUUUGACUUACAAAAUCUUAAUUUUUUUUCAAAUCCAAUAAAGAUGGAAGGGAAAUAUAAAAAAAAAUAAGAAACAAAAAAUACAAAAUCUUUUUUUGACUACAAAUAUCAUUAUAAGUUUUAAUCUAAAACUUUAAUGGUAUUUUCUAUUUCUUUUUUAUCUAUUUUUUUAUUUCAAUUUCUUCCUUUUUAUGUUUAGAGGAAAAAAUAAGCAACGAAAGGAUAAAUUUAUCAAUUUAUUAAUUUGAUUUUGCAUUUUACCGCUGACUCUAAGUUUUAAUGAAAAAACUAAGUCACAUUUUAUUUCAAAUCAUGAGGAGGUUAUAUAAAGUUUUCAUACCAUAGGAUGGUUAUGUUGUAAACCACCAAACCAUACGGGGUAAAAGGUAAUUUUCAUUAAUCUAUGCCCACUAAGUUUCGUUGGAGCUAUUAAUGCAUGAAAAAAAAGCAUGCGCUUUUCAGCAAAAUGGGGACAUAGACAAAACGCAAAUUUGAAAGUUUCAAUCUCAUAAACAUAAUAACCACCGGAUGUUUUCAUUAAUUCAUAGUGAAAACAAGAAGAUCCGCAGUCCUAGUUAAGCAAGCAAAGCUUAUGAGUCAGUUCAUUCAAAAACUUUCGGAAUUACCUGAAGAAUGAUGAGCUUUGGUGAUACUUUUUUCGGCAAACUGCAAGCUUUCUACAAUUAAGGUUGGAAUAAGAUUGGAUACAAACGUCCUCUUUAAAUACGAGACAUCAGUUUGUAAAGAGGAAGUUAUAUGGUUCUCUUUGGGAAGCUGCAAAUUUUGGUGAUUUGAAACCAAUUUGAAAAUUGACAAAAUUCGUGCUUUCCUUGGCAGCUACUGGCUUUGAUUGAAAGAGAUGAUCUUGGCAAUGGCUAUAUUGAGUCAAAAUCAGACCGUAACGAUCUUGGCUAUGGAAUUUGGAAUGUUUUGUUUCCACUUUCCAAAUGGUAGUUGGCUUGUUGCAAGAAAGAAGAAAAAUUGCAGUGGUCUUCAUUGGCAAAAUUUGAUAAUAUCAUGGUCAAAAUAUCUAACUGCUCACGUGGGACAUCUUUUUGUAAGUAUUACUGUAUUAGUUGCUUCUAAUCCACAACAAGUCAAAAGGAAAGUUGUCUUUUAACUACUUGUUCCAAUUUAUAAGUCAGGCUUUCCAUUAAGGAAUUGAAGCCACCGCCUUGCACUCCAAGGUGGUUCUGUGCACUAAUCAAAUUGAUUUAGAUGCAUUACAGGGUUAGCAAACAAAGUUGUGGGCUUUCAAAUGAUUCUAAUGGAAUUUACUAAUGAAAAGUCUUGCAACUCAGGACUCGUACUUCAAGCUUUGUGUUUGGCAAUUGUCAACCAAUGCCUUACCAAAUCUUAAAGCGGGCAUUUGCAGAAAAUAAAAAUUUUAUUUAAUUUAUUUAUUCAAGAUUUAAUAAAUUAAGUUGAUUUUAAUUAAACUAAAUUAAAUUAUGAAAGUCCUUUAUUUUUGAACUAACAAAUUGGACCAGUAUUAUGUGGGCUGUAAAAUCAAUUAAAUAUGCAAGGUCCAUUUAAAUUAAAAUGGAUUAAUGGAAUCAUUAAUUCACAAUGGACUGUUGGGCUAGCUUAUUACUAAAAUCAAUAUUAAAUAGAUUUCAAAUUGAACCAGUAUUAAACGAAUUGUUGGGCCAGCUUAUUGUUAAAGUUUUUCACAUAUAUUGUUAUAAUAAAAUAUUUCAAAACAUCCGUAAAAAUAGUUAAUCCAAACAGAGACAUGGUUUUUUUAUAUUACUUUAAUUAAUUUUUUUUUCUUUUUUCUUCUUUGGCUGCAAAAAUUACGCACCACCAUAGGAAUAAUUCACUUAAUGAACUUCGGAGGUCUCUGACUAAAAAUAACGGAGCAAUCAUUGAUGGCAAUUUGGCAAUGGAAAUGAUGGCAUUUGACCAUGUUAUUAAUGGCACUUUAGAUCUAGCCUCAAAAAAUGCUGAUUCUAAACAUGAGGAUGGUUUCUUAGAAAAACGUUGUCCUCUUUGUUCUCUUGCUACGGUAUUUGAAGACAAUCACUAUACGCAAGCAAAAAUGCCUAAUCCCUCCUUUCACUCAGUCGCUUCAUUUUUCUUCAUUUCUCACUUGUUUGUUUUUUGGAUUUAUAGAAGAAGUCCCUUUUAAAUUUACAGAACAAGAAGAAGAUGAUGAAUGCGAGAGAAAAGAACCCUGUGGUCAUAGCACAUUGUGCUUCCUAAAUUGCCCCUUCAUUAUGUCUAGUGAAUCACACAACGGUGGAAUCUGACAGAAUGACUCAGGAUCAAAAUACAUACUUUAGAUAGUUUAGUAGCCAAAAUCAAAUUGUUAAUAGUUCAGUGACCAAAACUCAAUGAUAGCAAAAGUUUAGUUGCUAAUGAGGUAAUUUGCUCGAAAAAUAAUGAUAGAAGCAGCAAAGGGUGAAAUUUGGAUGUUCAUGCUACUGAGAAAGUUUUUGUACGACUGAUUCCCUGGAGAUUGCUAUCACUUGAGGUAGGGGAAACAACAAUGGAGGCUCUCUGUCUUGGAGGUGUCUGAAGCAAAAAGUCCUGGGCAGAAAUGUGAAACAAAAUCUGAAUUGUGGGCUUGUGUUUGCGGCUGAUGACUGUAUUAUUGUCCACCGAAGUCUUCCGCCCAAACAAGGUGACCCUCUUAUCAUCCCUGCCUCAUUAUCUACUUCAUGUUUUGCUUCUACUAACUCCCCUACCACUUAAAACGAGUUUUGGGUCGAGGGUUAGGUUAGGGCGCUAGAACUCGAGAAGGGGAUGAAGAAGAUCGAAGCUUCUGUGGUCUGGAGCUUAGGAUUGAGGAUGCUGGAGUUGGGUUUGCGUUUUGCCCGCCAAUGAUCACCCUGAGUUGCUUAAUUUGGUAGAGAAAAAUCAGAACAUGGGAGUGGCCUGGAGGCAGGUUACCCCGUGCCAGCGACCUAAUUAAUAUUGAUAUGGGUAAAAUACAGUAAACCCCUUUAUGGUUAGGAAAAUAAAUAUGAAACUCCCUCAUUGUUUAAAAAUACCCAUUUAACCUCCCUUGUGCUUUGAACUUCUUAGGAUUUUGACUGCUAACAGGUUGGAAAGCCAGUAAUAAUAUAAAAUACCAAAAAUACCCUCAUUUAUAAUAUCUCAAAAGGCACAUCUGCAAUUAGUAGAUCUUGAGUGGUACUUCAGGUGCAGAGAGAGAAAGUGGAUGAAACCCUAAACCUAUAGUACUAUCUUCUUCCAUGACAUCAAUAAACUACAGAAUUUUCGUGUGUAUCUCACAGAUGAAGAAGGCAUUUUGGUGCAGAUUGAUCGAGGGUUGCGAAGCAUCGAGCAUAGCGAUUAACAAGGUAAUCUCAUAUCUUAACCCUAACUUUACUUGUGUUGAUUGAUUUCAUGGUAGACGUUUGGUAGUAUAUUGUUGGAGAUAUUUCGAAACUUGGUAAAAGAAGUGAUAGCUUUGGCUUAGCCAAAAGUAUUGUCGACAAUCUUUAUCGAAAAAAUUUAUAAAAAAAAUUGCUAAGUAUGCAAAAAGGAGAAAAGAAUGGGUCUUUGCGGAGUAAUCUAGACUAUUGUGGUCAAUACUGGUAUUGAUUAUGUUUUUUAACCUUUUAGAUGAGUGUGUUAAUGUUGACUAUGCUUUUUUGAAACUAAAAGUGCAUGAAAUAUUGCCUGUCGUUUUCGAUACAUCUGAAAAUUAAAUUAGUAAAUUUAUCUCUGUUACUUUGGUUUAGGUGUAUAAGAAUGGAAGAUAAUCCGUUUAAGAGUAUAGACAUAUACAUGCAUUAUGGUGGAAAUUUCAAAUGAAACUGAGAAUUAGAUACACCGGCGAACAAGUGAGGAUAUUUUGUGGAUGGGACCUGAUGAAUUUUCUCCAUUUGACUUUCAAAAAAUGUAUGACACAAUUGAGUGUGGUGUAAGCAAUAUGAAUUUCUAGUACUCUAUCCCCUUUCAUGACCUUGAUGUUGGUGUUGUUAGUAUUAAGGAUGAUGCCAACAUCGAGUUAUUGACAAUAUGUUAUGAAAGGCUUCCAGAAAUACACAUAUAUGCUGAGAAAGGGCCUGAACCCAUUGAAGUUGUGUCUUUGGAAGAAUAAUUAUUGUACAAGAAAGUGACUGGUGAUAGCUUACUUGCACUUCCAUUUCGUGAUAAUUGGCAAUUGGUGUGUUCAUAUUGGAUUAUCUGCAUUUGUUAAAGGCAGUGAUAACUUUGACCCUACAGUUAUUGGGAAUGAGUACAAUAAUGAUAUUUCGCAUAUUAACUAUUGAAGAAAAGGCAUCUGUGAUGAAGUGUCAUCACAAAUGGAGUUGGAUCCAAUUUUUGUGGGACCACAUAGAGAGCAGAUACAUGAUUAAACUAAUAAAUCCAAGUGGAAGAAAACAAUAAAUGGUAAAAAAAACUGAGUGGCAAAGAGUAAAAUUAACUGCAAGGAAGUUAGUCCCGCAGUUAGUUAAAGAGAAGGAAAAAGUUGAUACAACUACAGAGGUCUAGCAGUCUGCCACAAGAAAUUCAGCAGAAGAAACAACAUUUGGGACAGAUCCAACAAAAGAAACAACUAAUUUGAGGAGAGAAAAAAUAGCUGAUGAAGGUGGAGAAAAAGAUGAUGUCGUACCAGACUAUUUAGAUCUCCCGGACUGGCUAAGAGAAGGACUAGAAGGGCCUAAAGAUUAUGAUAUAUUUGCAGGCUUAAAUGGUCAAGAAUCAACACAGGCAUCUAUUAAUUCAGGAUCUAUAAAUUUUGUUAGAGUUGGUUCAGAGUAGCAACAAGAAAAUUAGCAAGCCAAAGCUAGAAAACAAGUUGGUAUAGAUCAACAACAAGAAAAUUAGCAGGCCUAAUCCAGAAAACAAACUAGUUCAGAGCAGCAACAACAACAUCAGCAAUUGAAAUCAAGAAAACAAGCAAAGAACCAGACCCAUGAAGAGAGGAGUCAACAAACACCAGGUGUGGAUGAUAGAUGCCGUGUCAAUGAGCAGGAAGAGAACUGGAAUGACCUAGUAAAGGAUGAUGAAAAGCUAUAUUUGACAAUGGGAUAAGAUUUGAUGAAGAAAGCAUCCCUGUUUAUAGUUACUUCAAUGCGGAGAAAAAGUUUAGGAAAGAGCACUUUGAACUAAAAGUUUGACAGAAAUUUACUAGCUUCUCCAAAUUUAGGGAGACUUUAGAGGAGUGGGAAAUUAGGGAGGGCAUGAGCACAAAUACAUCAGAAAUGAAGGCUCUCGAAUCACAACUAAAUGUGCGAAGGGGUGCAGUUGGAGAAUUCAUGCAUGCAGAAUCCAGAGAACAAAGACUUUUAUGAUCAAAACUCUUAAGCGAGAGCACCAUUGUGGUAGGGAUUAUGGCAAUAGACUUGCUACUUCAACAUAUCUAAGUGAAAAAUUUCAGGCCAAGGUGAGGGAUGAUUGUGGGUGCAGUACUCCAGGCAUAGUAAAUGAGACAAGAAGACUGUUUAUGUUAGACAUUAGUGGGAAGAAAACUGCCAGAACAAAGCAGAAAGCAUUAGAGGUACUUAGGGAAAAUGACAUGGAGCAAUAUCACAGGCUUUGAAAUUGUGUAGCCACUGUAAAAAAGUCCAAUCCUGAUACUCAUAUUUCACUGCAGAUUAAUAGGCAAAGUGUUGAGGAAAAAGCUACAUUUCGGAAGAUAUACUAUGGAUUAGGUGCUUUGAAGAAUGGUUUUUUAGAAGGUUGCAGACCUAUAAUAGGACUAGAUGGCUAUUUCCUAAAGAAUCCCUUUGGAGGUUAGCUGCUUACAGUCAUGGGUAGGAAUGCCAAUGAAAACAUGUUUCCUAUUUCCUUUGCUAUUAUUGAGGUAGAGAACUAUGACAACUGAUAAGUGACUAAUUUACGUAAUAAUUGGAUGAUAUUUUAUAUUAUUUUUAGUCACUUUGGUUAUAUUAUUGGAAGAAAAUGAAUCAUUUUGGCUAUAAUUGGUGAAAAAUGCUUUUAAGUAAUUAAAUGAAGUUUUUAUCAUUUUUUAUUUGGAUUUUGUGCAUUUUGACAGUUUUGACAUAUUUUUGUAUUUUGGCUAUAACUUGAGCUACAAUGAUCGGAUUGAGAGAAUUCUUAAACCAAUUUGAAGAUAAGAGAUAGAUCUACAACUUUGGUGAAGACAUCUGAAUCCAGCCUGAAGGUUUUCCAGGUCAAAAAGCCUAAUUACAGUAGCUAAUUUCCAUUGAUCGAAGCUGAAACAGAGCAAUGAGCAGUCAAGGGUGUUUUGGUCAUUUUGCAGCCUACACAGAUCCAAAUGAGGUGAUUCUUGAUGCAUUGGAAAGUUAACUCAAGGGGCUACAAGUGUUAUGUUUUGGUCAAAGGCUAAAUCAGCUUUUAUCAUCAAGAAAAGUUUAGUUGAAAUUGAUGCAAAAGCGGAGCAGAGCUGGAAAUUGAACAAAAGUGCACCAAAAUGUCAAUGUAGUAAUCCGGCCGGAACUUGGCUGGAUUUGUGGCCGGAUUUGUGGCCGGAUUGUAGUCAAAGAAGGCUGCUCUUUACGCGGAAAACUCAAUUUCACCUCUACUAAGUCACAUGUAAUACUAGACAUGUGAGAAACAUUACCAGCUGUAAAAGGGAAGUGCAGGCCUCAUUUUCUUGACUUCCUUUGUCUUGAAAUAGUCAAAUCUUGCAAGCAGAAUGGGAUCAUCAUAUGGGAGAAUAGAGAGACAUACGGGAGAAACUUGGAGUCUGCAAAAAUGUAAUUCUUCCAUUUUCCUUAGUGUAGGAUAGUUUUAGUUUUAGACAGUUUAUCCUUUCUUGUAUGUUAGCUACAUGAAGAGGAAGAUGGAGGAUGAAGAAGGCAAGAAAAUGAACUCAUGUGACAAGGGUUACAUUCCUUCCAAACUCUUUAUCUUUUGUACUUGAUUUUAUUGUUUAGUUAAUAUACAAGUCUGGAUUUUAUGUUAUUUAUGUGUCUCUAAAAUUUAUGCCUUGGGUUUGGUUGAACUUCCUAUGAUUGUUAGUGUUUAUUAUUUAACUAUUUGAUUGCUAUGAUUUGAGCAAGUUAUUUAGUACUUUAGCUCUUUAAAAUCAUGAUUAAUCUGGUAUCAUUGAUUGUGAUUAUCUAAGGUGUCGUUUUUGCAAUGAAAAUUGAGAUUUAAUACUAUUUCAAGAAGUGCUAAACACAGGGAGUACACUCACGAAAGUAGAGGUGCACCUAUGUGGUUUUUAGUGAUUCAUUUCAUGUAAUUCACUGAAGAAAUGAACUUGUAGCUAAUUUCAUAACCAUGAGAAUAGGUAUGGAUUAGUUAUAAGUAUAAUUGAUUUACUACGAAAGUAGGAUUCAAAUGCAUAAGGAAAUUACACCAUAACUAGCCUAGAUGUAGUACUCAAUGAUCCAAAUAUAGCACUUGCAUGAGUAGUUAGGGAUACCACAACCUAAUGAGCUUUUAUUUGUUAUUUUGUAUAAUUUCAGUAGGUUAAAUUUGUUAUAAUUCAUUGAUAGUCUAAAUAAUAGAGAAGCUUUAGUAAUACCGGUAAUUGUUCACUCUUCCCUGUGGGAUCGACCCAAUAUAUACCCAAAACUACUAGUUGACCUGUAUACUUGCAGUGAACGGGUGUAAUUCGAUUUUUUUUUAACUUGUACGUAUAUUAAAAUCCCGUCAACAACUAGAGCUAGUUUUUGAGAGAAUUAAUCACCCAAAUUGGAGAAGGAAACAAAGGAAUGGCUUACACUUUCAUUUCGGAUAGGCAAAAGGGUCUUGUCUAUGUAAUUGAGGCGCUGUUCCCUGAAUUAGAGCACAGCUUUUGCCUAAAACACAUGUUCAAGAACUACAAACAAAGAUUCAAGAAUCAAAACCUUAGAGACAUGUUCUAGGAAGUUGCUGCAGUAGCAAGUAUGCCAGAGUAUGAAACUGCCCUAUCAAAUCUUGAAAGGGUUGACCCAAAGGAAGGUGACAAACUAACAAUUGCAGGAUGGCUCAAACGGUUGCCUCUAAAGCUUUGGUCCAGAGCCCACUUUAGUACUAUUUGUAGAAGUGACACGUGCAUCAACAACAUUAGUGAGUCAUGGAAUAAUUACAUUCUAAAGGGUAGAGGUGAGCCAAUAAUAACAAUGCCGGAGUAGAUUCGGAGGAGAUUAAUGCAAAGGUUGGUAACCAAACGAGAGGGCAUGCUGAAAUAUAGCAGCACUUUAUGUCCAAACAUUCACGAGAAGUUAGAGAAACUGAAGAUAAAAGCAAGAAACUGUGUCGUGGUUUAUGGAGGAAAUAGGAAUUUGGAAGUUGAUGGCUAUGGAAGGACUAAUGUCAAUUUGGAUAUAAAGACAUGUACCUGUAGUCAUUUUCAACUUAGUAGAAUUCGAUGGGUGCAUGUGGCUGCUUGCAUUCAAAGCAGAAAGUUGGAAUUCGAGCAAUUUGUUGAUGCUUGUUACUAUAGGGAAGUAUAUUUAAGGGCCUAUAACUUCACAAUUGGUCUUGUUCUUUCGAAGCAAUUCUAGGUGGAUAGCAAAAUGCAGUAUUUGAACCCACCAUUGGUGAAAAAACAACCUAGUAGGCCAAAGAAACAGAAGAAGAAGGGUCCAAAAGAACCUACAAAUCAGCAUAAAGCAAGUAAGAACGGGUCUGGCAGUCUACUGGCCGAGGUGUUUGAAAUUUAGACAUAACAUUAGAACCUGCAAAUCAGCAAUUCACCCUAAGUCCAAGCUAUACAAGAUAAUGUAACAUUUCAGAACCAAAUCAUUUCUCUAUUUUGUUUUGUUGCUGCUUAUACAUCCAGCCAUUUCGAUGUGAACUAUAAGCACCUAAAUGUGGUCUAACAGUUUCAAAUGCAACAUUCUGGCUUCUGUAGCUCAGGCUAGUGUCGCAAGUACUACUGCUACUACUCUUUCACAGGUACUAGUUCUCAAUUGCCUAUUUUUGGGUAUUGUGACCUGCUUACACACUAAGCAGUGCCACUUAUAAGCAGGAACCAAGUUAGCCUAUAAGUGGUACCAAUCAAGAAAGCUAGAAGAGUAAAUCUUCAAAGAGGAAGCAACCAGCUACAGGAAUGUCAAGAUUGCAACAUUGUGGCUCUAAGAGACCAAAAAAAUGAACUGUAGUUAUCUCUCUUUUGUUUUUUGAAUAUACUGGUUAUGUUAACCACAUUGAUCCCUUCUGGGAUUGAAUCGUAAUAUUUAUUGAAACUAGAAAACUCAGAUUUUGGUUAUGUUUUGGUAGAUUGAUACCAUUAUGGUAUGAAUGUAGUAAUAUGCUUCAUUUUUAUGGCAUUCGUGGCAGUAUUGCUGGUGACCCUUUUUGGGAUUGGAUUAUAAUAUUUACUGAAACUAAAAAACUCAAAAUUUGGUUUUAUUAUGGUAGAUUGAUACCAUUGUGGUAUGGAUGUGGCAAUAUGCUAAUUGUGACAGCCCCACCUUCCCCUAAGGCGAACUAAAGAGGUUAGCGGACUGCCUGCCCAACUCUCGCCAGGACUAACGGUGCAGUAUAAAGCGAUCUAUCACGUUCUGAAACUUAUAAUGCGCGCAACAAGGCAAAAGGGCAAAAUAACCCAAAAUAAAAGAAAUGAAAUCCAAAAUCCGCCAUGAAUAGUAACCGACCCGUCCGAAACCCAACCAAACAUCGAAAUACAUAUACAACAUAACAUUAACCAUUUACAAGCCACAAUGGCCUUUAAAAGUGAUACAAAAGUCACUACAUAUGUGGGUUGCCAAAACAAAAGUGAAAACGGCCCUAAUGAUACAUUUAGGGUCCCAUUUUAUAUACAAUACAAAAGAGGCAUUCAUCUAGUUCAUUCGGCAACCAUUUUACAAAAUUCAUUCCAAAAGAGUCAUAUUCCUGUAAGGAAAACAAAAGAAACGGGGUGAGCUAAAUGCCCAAUGAGAAUACAACCACCACAGCAGCUAAGAUCACAUAAGCAUAACCGUUCAGUUCAAGUAUGCAAAUAAGCAAUAAAUCACAUCAGUGAAAGGAUACGGACGGCUCUCAAGAGCCCAUUUCCACGCUUAUUUCUUGAUCCAACUUCAUUGACCCUCCAUCAAUGUUAAAAGUAACCAUCCGUAGACAUCACUUACAUCCAACCGUCCAACUAUCAUACCCCAACCGGGCCAGCACUCCAUUCAGUCAUUUUGGUAAUACUCGAGUUUACCGGAAUCAAGAGUCUCAUUACUACAAGAUUUCCCAGUACAGUCCCCGUGGCAUGUCAAUUAUCACGACCAAGCCCUCGCCGGCUCGAUCCAAUUGACUACCUAACGGAGUUGAGCUCAGUGAUACAGUAAGGUCGUUGGACAUUCGUCCAAACAACACCAAAUCAGUUUCCAUGAAAUGGAAUGCAAUAACUCAUAUAUCAACUUCAGUAAGACAGUGAAACAGUAGACAAUCAGUGAUACUAUCAAAAGGAGUGAGGGCGGUCAAGUACACCCUCACCUUAAUCAAUUACAAUAUCCAAAUAAGCCUUCAAGGCAACACAACCACAUAUAGCAAAGCCACAUUACAACAUUUAAAUGAGUAGUAUACUCACCAAUCACGUAAGUGAUAUUUCAUGCACCAACGUUAAAAAGGUCGCCGUGAACCCUCGUCACGUCCUAGAACACAUAAACAAAGACCAUGAGACUCGAUAACGAGUCAUAAAGCCAUACCAAUUAUAACCCCAAUAGGGUUUCAUAUGCAUAAAUAAGCAUCAUAGGUAACCAGAAAUUAAGAAAUGGCAUUAGCUUAGGCCUUAACAAAAAAAACAGUUUUCGUCAUACUUUUGCGGUAAUGGCACAAAAUGUGCUAUGCUUAUCGGAUGAGGGUGUAAGACCCACCAUCUCGAAGCUAAAAGACAGGGCUACAACAAUGUAGAAGGCCACUCAGUCCAAAUCCUAGUACAACUAGGUCAAAAAUGCAGAUUACCAAACCAGAACCGCAAUUGCAGGUUCCCAAAUCGCACUAUGCUGUAAUUAGUCUAUUUCAGUCUACACAAGUCCAAAUUCAUUGAUUCCAAAGGCAUAUGAUAGCUAAGACAUCCAGCUACAUUUCAUCAGAAGACACCAACAACAAAAUCCAAACCAAUUCCAGUCAAAAUGGCCAAUUACUUGUACAGUUUUCGCAUUCUGAUCAACCCAGAACAGCAACAGUAAAAUCGACAUAUCUCACUCUACACUAAUCCAAAUGACCUGAAAUUUUGCAGGCACUUCAAACUCAUCAAUACCUACAACUUUCAUGUUUUGAGCAAAGUCUAUUUCGGCCUCUAACCCUAUGAUCCAAAACCGGACAGAAUUAGGGGUUUUGAAACCCUAACAUUUCACAUUUCAAUCCAAAUCCAAAAUUGGUUGCAAAUAUCAACAAUUCACAUCCACUAGAGUCAUAACCCCUCAUUAUCAACCAUCAUAAACAACCACAACACCAUGAUCACAUUAAACCAGAAAAUUCCUCAAAAAAAUAAAAACUUCACUAAAUCACUUCAAAUCAAGAAAUAAAUCACAAAAGGCUUCACUAUCACUACCAUUAGGCACAAUUUAAGCAUCAUUAGGUGUAAGGGAAUAGUCAAUCAUCACUUACCUAAGAAAAAAGAUAAGAGGAGUUGUAGACCACCUUAGCUCUUCCAAAAACUUCACCAAACUCACCACCAACACCAAAUGGAAAAGUUGUAUGGAAUGGAAACUAGUUUAUGUGAUUGAUUUAGAUGAUUCAAGCUAGUGGAAAGCUUGAAGUUGGAAGAGGUUUUUCUCCUUCUUUGUUAGAGAGAGAGGGCCGGCUAUGGAGAAGAAAAAAAUGAGGAAAUUUUAGUGAAUUUUGGAGAUAUUUAACUAAAUGGGUCAAAAGGUCAAAAGUGGAAUAGUAACUCUUAAACUUCAACCCAUAAAAUGGUGACACUUGUCACACCAUUAAUGCAAUCUUAUCACUUCUUUUUCUCUCUCACAUCAAUCAUUUCACACACUCUACUUAUCUCUUAACACCCGAUAAAUUUUACACAGUAUCCGGAAUUUAACCUAAUUGGCCGAAUUUUUUCCGAACUUUUCGCACUAGUGGGUCCCACGUCCAAUAUAUAUUCUUAAUUUUCUAAAAAUUCUCCAAUACUAGAAAAAUCAUCUAAAAACUAUAAUUACUCAUAAAAUUCACCAGGAAAAUAUUCCUAAGCCAGAAAAUGCAGAAAACAUGCAAUUAAGGGGAAAAACCCUAGGAAAAAUAUUAGGGAAAUACGGGUUCUCACACUCUCUCCCUCUUAAAAAAAUUUCGUCCUCGAAAUUUCUCACCUUAAUUUCUGAAAAGGUUUGGAUACUUCUUUCGCAUUUCCUCUUCCACUUCCCAGGUAGCUUCCUCUACUCCGUGGUUUCUCCAUAGCACUUUCACUAGUGGAAUCCGCUUGUUUCUGAGCUCUUUGACUUUCCGAUCAAGCACUUGGACCGGUUUUUCUUCAUAGGCAAGCGAUUCGUCUACUUCGAUCUCCUCCGGUUGUAAGACAUGGGAUGGGUCAGGAUGAUACUUCUUUAGCAUCGAGAUGUGAAACACAUCGUGGAUUCGAGAGAGACUGGAUGGCAGUUCCAGUCGAUACGCGACCGAUCCAACCCUCUGAAGGAUCUUGUAGGGUCCGACGUACCGCGGUUGAAGUUUCUUUCCUUUGCCCGCUGUAAGACUUCGUAAGGGUGUGAUAUUGAGAAAUACGUAGUUUCUAACUUCAAACUCCAAGUCUUUUCUUCGAUUAUCAGCGUAGAUCUUUUGUCGGCUUUGAGCUGUUUGGAUUCGUUGCCGUAUCAACUUGACCUUCUCGUGAGCCUCUUCCAUCCAUGGAAUAGUUGCCGGGUCUAACGUCUUCGUUUCACCAAUUUCAUCCCAAUAAAUCGGCGACCGGCACUUGCGUCCGUAUAGGGCUUCGUACGGAGCCAUUUGAAUCGACGAAUGGAAGCUAUUAUUGUACGCAAACUCUACCAAGGUCAUGUGCUGACCCCAGUUGCCUCUAAAGUCUAGAAUGCACGUUCGUAGCAUGUCCUCGAGAGUUUGAAUUGUCCGUUCUGACUGGCCAUCCGUCUGAGGAUGAUAGGUCGUGCUCAAAUUGAGUUUAGUCCCCAGGGUUUCUUGAAACUUCUACCAAAAUCGAGACACAAACCGUGGAUCCCGAUCGGAGACGAUGCUUACAGGAACACCGUGUAGUCUUACUAUCUCAUCCAUGUACAGUCGGGCCAACUUGUCCAUUGAAUACUUCAUGUUUACUGGCAAGAAAUGAGCCGACUUGGUUAAUCGAUCAACGAUCACCCAAACGGCGUCAUGUCCUCUUUGCGUCCUCGGUAAACCUGAAACAAAGUCCAUUGUGAUAUUCUCCCAUUUCCACUCGGGUAUCUCCAAGGGUUGUAACAGACCCGACGGUUUUUGAUGCUCUGCUUUCACCUGUUGGCAAAUGAGACAUUUCUGCACGUACUGAGAGAUUUCUUUCUUCAUAUUGUCCCAGCAAUAAGUUCCUUUCAGGUCUUGAUACAUCUUGCUGCUGCCCGGAUGGAUUGUAUACUUGGACCGAUGAGCUUCCUCCAAAAUUUCCAUUUUCAUCGACUCUUCCUUCGGUACCACUAUUCGAUUUCGAUAUUUCAAAAUGCCCUCAGGACUCAAAUUGAUGUCCGUAGUUUCUCCCUUUUCCAUUUUCUCUCUCCACUUCUGUACCAUCAAAUCUUCGUUUUGCGCCUCUUUAAUGCGUUCCAGUAGAGUGGAGGUCACCCUAACAUUGACAAAUACCACCUUAUGGCUCCCAAGACAGGGUCUCCACUCACACACGGAUUCUAAUAAAUCACACUCCUUAAUCAUCAAUCCUGCUACUUGCACCUUACAACUCAAAGCAUCUGCUACCACAUUUGCCUUUCCCCGAUGAUAGUUGAUUGUGCAGUCGUAAUCUUCCAGGAAUUCCAUCCACCUUCGUUGCCUCAUGUUCAAUUCCUUCUGGGAGAAAAGGUACUUAAGACUUUUGUGAUCCGAAUACACUUCGAAGGUCACCCCAUAUAGGUAAUGCCUCCACUUUUUCAGUGCAAAGACCACUGCGGCUAGUUCCAGAUCGUGAGUCGGGUAGUUCUGCUCGUGAAGCUUCAAUUUCCUAGAGGCGAAAGAAAUCACAUUCCGGUUCUGCAUCAACACGCACCCCAAUCCUUCUCGUGACGCGUCUGCAUACACCGCAAACCCGUCCACUCCAUUUGGCAAAACUAGCACUGGAGCCAUGGUCAAUCUUCUCUUUAGUUCCUGAAAACUUGUUUCGCAUCGGGCGUUCCAGACAAAUCCUCCAUGCUUCUUUGUCAGGUCAGUUAAAGGUCCCGCCAGUUUGGAAAAAUCCUUAAUGAACCUUCGGUAGUACCCAACUAACCCUAGAAAGCUGCGAAUUUCCGUGGGGUUUUCUGGCCUCUUCCAAUUUGUCACGGCCUCUACCUUCGCCGGGUCCACCGAAAUACCUUCGUGGGAGAUCACGUGCCCUAGAAACGCUACUUUCUCCAACCAGAACUCGCAUUUACUAAACUUGGCGUACAGCUGAUGUUCCCUCAAUAUCUGCAACACCACUCUCAAAUGCUCCUCAUGCUCCUCGCGUGUCUUAGAGUAGACCAGAAUGUCGUCAAUGAACACAACGACAAAUCGGUCCAGAUAGGGUUUGAAAACCUGGUGCAUUAGGUCCAUGAAGGCGGCGGGAGCAUUUGUCAGUCCAAAGGGCAUAACGGCGAACUCGUAAUGCCCGUAUCUUGAGUUGAAAGCAGUUUUCGGAAUGUCCUCCUUCCUAAUCAACAACUGAUAGUAUCCCUGCCGGAGGUCCAACUUGGAGAAGACCACUGCUCCUUGCAGCUGGUCAAACAACUCGUCGAUGUGAGGCAGUGGAUACUUAUUCUUGAUGGUUACGUUGUUCAGCCCCCGGUAAUCAAUGCACAUCCUCAAGGUUCCGUCCUUCUUCUUCACAAAUAGAACAGGAGCCCCCCAAGGAGAUCCACUCUCGUGAAUGAAUUCCCGCUCCAAAAGAUCUUGUAAUUACAACUUAAGUUUUGCAGGCGCCAUUCGGUAAGGGAUUUUUGAGAUAGGUGAGGUUCCAGGUAAUAGAUCUAUUCGGAAUUCUAUCUCCCUUUCCGGAGGUAAGGCUACUAACUCAUCAGGAAAAACAUCCGGAAAUUCCCUCACUAUGGCCACGUCUUCCACUUUUAACUUAUCCGUAGGGGUGUUAAUCAAAAAGGCCAAAAAUCCUUGCGCCCCUCUACUUAUCAGUUUCCUACCCCGUAUGCCCGAGAUUAAAGCAGAUGAGACUAACCUACCCCUUAUAUCUAACUUUAAGGUUGCCUCGCCAGGAAUGCGAAAUUCUACUACCUUCGUUUUACAAUCCAGUUGGGCGUUAUAUUUGGCUAGCCAGUCCAUACCCAGAAUCACGUCAUACCCCUUAAUGGACAAGCUAAUAAGAUCUCCUAAAAAUCUCUUUUCACUUACCCAUACAUCGCAGUCCCUAUAAACCAUACUAGUCACCAACCGUUGAUUCCCCGUAGGUGUACUAACCUCUAGGUCAUAUGGUAAACUAGCAGGUUUUAUAUCGAUGCCACACAUGAAAUCAGGGUUAACAAACGAAUGAGUGGCACCAGGAUCAAUUAAAACUUUGGCAAAACGGUGGAAAAUAGGGAUCGUACCUUCUACGACCUCCGAAGACUCUGGGACCUGAUGGGGCUCUAUAGAGUACACCUUAGCUGGUACUUUAGGUUUGGACCCAUCUCCCUUGGCUGGUCCAGUAUUGGUCCUCGAUGAUGGUUGGCUCCCCUUUCCGUCUUGUUUCAGGACCGGGCAUGUAGCCAAUUGGUGGUCCGCGCUUCCACAUCGCAGACAUUUGCCCUAUUUCCUCCAGCAAUUAUUUUCGGUGUGGUUUGCUUUUCCACAAUGCCCACAGGGACCACGGGGUGCCAAAGCCGAGCCACUCUGAGCGUUUCCCCUUUGUCCUCGCCCAGUUUGACCACCCCUGAACGGAGUCCCUCUGCCUGAACCAGACUGUCGACCACCACCCGUUCCUCGUCCGAAUUUAGAUGGAGUAGUCUUUUCACCCUGUCCGGAAGUACUCCCAGGAAAGCCACGCUUCUUAGCCUGUAAGUUUCGGACCUGCAGCCGUGUACUUUCAACUCGUUGGGCUUUUUCCAUUGCCUCGCUAAACGUAGUGAUUUGAGCCGCCGCGAGGUUUUCUGGAUCUCAACGUUCAAACCCUGAAUAAAGCGCCUCACCCGUCGUUGCUCAGUCAUGAUUAGCUCAGGCGCGAAUUUGGACAGGCGGGUGAACUGACUCUCAUAUUCCGCCACAGUCUGAGCCCCUUGCCGGAGCCGGAUAAACUCGUCCUCCUUCCUCUCCUGGACUAGAGGAGGGAAAAACUUUACAUUAAAUUCUCGGAUGAAAUUCACCCAUGUCCUAGGCAUCUGCUCCCGCUCCCAUUUCUGUCUAAUUACGUUCCACCAGGAACGGGCAGCCCCCUCAAAUUGAAAUACGGUAAAAGUCACCUGCCGUUCGUCUGGGUAAUGUAGAGCUGCAAAUAUAUCAACCAUCUUCUCAAGCCAUUUCUCAGCAACGUCAGGGUCGGGUCCCCCAACAAACUUUGACGGGAAAAACUUUUGAAAACGUUCUAGAGCUCUAUCUUCGCUCUCAAUAUGAUGGCCAGGGUUUCCGGGGUUAGGGUUUGGGUUCUGGCCCUGUUGUUGCACUACUUGUGCUAGUAAAUUGGUCAUUUGCUGCAUAGCAGCAGCUAUUUGCACAUUCGGAUCUAUUUGCGGUCCAGGAUUGGGUCCAGUAGAGGUUUCCCUCGUUUCCCUAACCGGUGUGGGUUGUCUAGUUCCGCGCCCACGUCCCCGACCACUCCGUGUACCUUCCAUGAGUUUUAUUCGGUUUAGGCAAGAAUACUAAACCAAAGUAGUAACAAGACAUAUAAGUAACACUUAAACUUUGCACAAUAACACAUAUUUAUACAGUCCAAGCAUAAUCACAAACACACAUACAUACAAGCCAAACACAUAUAUACAAUCAGUCAAGUCAAGUACGGCCAAAGCACGUACAAACACAAACGAUCCCCCCGAGGAUUGGCCUAUCAAAAGAGAUUUACGCGUAGCUAACCCAACCCAAAACGGUUAGCUAAGGCUCUAUCCCUAUCCCUAUGUACAUACAAAAACCACCAACUAUCCAAAAGAUGCCUAAAGAUCAAGGCCUAGUCAGUCGCUGGGGUCUGGGAUCCAGGCGACAGGGUAGACUCCUCCCCCGCCUCAGCCCCCGCAUACGAAGCCUCAUCACUAGACUCCUCAAGACCAUCGUCACACAAAUUAAGGAUCGCCUCAGCGCGACCCCUGACUUUGCGAGCCCGCGUAAUCUCGCGCUCGCGUGCAGUCCUCAGCUGAUCGCAGAGGUCGUCAACUCGGUCCUCGACCUCAAGCACGUCGUACUCUAACUCUUUGAUACGUGCGACUUGCUUCUCAUUGGUUGCCUUAACCUGAGUCACCUCAGCUUCCAGCGUAGCAACCACCGCUUCCAACUUAGUGUUGUCAUCCUCUAGCUCCUUACGCUCCUUUGCCACAGCCAAAACUAAGGCGUUCGGGUAAGCAUAAGUAUCACGGCACCCACACCGUCGAAGGCGGUUGGCCGGGCUCCAACGCACCACGGCCCCCUUCUGCCUGAUCUGAUAUGGAAUCACGGGAAGUGCUCUGGGAGGUCUCACUCCCGAAGGACUAGCACUAGGGUCACCACUCGCAUCCAUCCUAUAGCAAAGGAAGAAAUAACAUGAAUACACUUAAUAGGCAUAAACAAUAGAAUCCUCAAGUCAAGCAUUCCUAUAACACCCAGGCUAAUUCAAACCUAGACUCUGAUACCACCUGUGACAGCCCCACCUUCCCCUAAGGCGAACCAAAGAGGUUAGCGGACUGCCUGCCCAACUCUCGCUAGGACUAACGGUGCAGUAUAAAGCGAUCUAUCACGUUCUGAAACUUAUAAUGCGCGCAACAAGGCAAAAGGGCAAAAUAACCCAAAAUAAAAGAAAUGAAAUCCAGAGUCCGCCAUGAAUAGUAACCGACCCGUCCGAAACCCAACCAAACAUCGAAAUACAUAUACAACAUAACAUUAACCAUUUACAAGCCACAAUGGCCUUUAAAAGUGAUACAAAAGUCACUACAUAUGUGGGUUGCCAAAACAAAAGUGAAAACGGCCCUAAUGAUACAUUUAGGGUCCCAUUUUAUAUACAAUACAAAAGAGGCAUUCAUCUAGUUCAUUCGGCAACCAUUUUACAAAAUUCAUUCCAAAAGAGUCAUAUUCCUGUAAGGAAAACAAAAGAAAUGGGGUGAGCUAAAUGCCCAGUGAGAAUACAACCACCACAGCAGCUAAGAUCACAUAAGUAUAACCGUUCAGUUCAAGUAUACAAAUAAGCAAUAAAUCACAUCAGUGAAAGGAUACGGAUGGCUCUCAAGAGCCCAUUUCCACGCUUAUUUCUUGAUCCAACCUCAUUGACCCUCCGUCAAUGUUAAAAGUAACCAUCCGUAGACAUCACUUACAUCCAACCGUCCAACUAUCAUACCCCAACCGGGCCCGCACUCCAUUCAGUCAUUUUGGUAAUACUCGAGUUUACCGGAAUCAAGAGUCUCAUUACUACAAGAUUCCCCAGUACAGUCCCCGUGGCAUGUCAAUUAUCACGACCAAGCCCUCGCCGGCUCGAUCCAAUUGACUACCUAACGGAGUUGAGCUCAGUGAUACAGUAAGGUCGUUGGACAUUCGUCCAGACAACACCAAAUCAGUUUCCAUGAAAUAGAAUGCAAUAACUCAUAUAUCAAGUUCAGUAAGACAGUGAAACAGUAGACAAUUAGUGAUACUAUCAAAAGGGGUGAGGGCGGUCAAGUACACCCUCACCUUAAUCAAUUACAAUAUCUAAAUAAGCCUUCAAGGCAACACAACCACAUAUAGCAAAGCCACAUUACAACAUUUAAGUGAGUAGUAUACUCACCAAUCACGUAAGUGAUAUUUCAUGCACCAACGUUAAAAAGGUCGCCGUGAACCCUCGUCACGUCCUAGAACACGUAAACAAAGACCAUGAGACUCGAUAACGAGUCAUAAAGCCAUACCAAUUAUAACCCCAAUAGGGUUUCAUAUGCAUAAAUAAGCAUCAUAGGUAACCAGAAAUUAAGAAAUGACAUUAGCUUAGGCCUUAACAAAAAAAAACAGUUUUCGUCAUACUUUUGCGGUAAUGGCACAAAAUGCGCUACGCUUAUCGGAUGAGGGUGUAAGACCCACUAUCUCAAAGCUAAAAGACAGGGCUACAACAAUGUAGAAGGCCACUCAGUCCAAAUCCUAGCACAACUAGGUCAAAAAUGCAGAUUACCAAACCAGAACCGCAAUUGCAGGUUCCCAAAUCGCACUAUGCUGUAAUUAGUCUAUUUCAGUCUACACAAGUCCAAAUGCAUUGAUUCCAAAGGCAUAUGAUAGCUAAGACAUCCAGCUACAUUUCAUCAGAAGACACCAACAACAAAAUCCAAACCAAUUCCAGUCAAAAUGGCCAAUUACUAGUGCAGUUUUCGCAUUCUGAUCAACCUAGAACAGCAACAGUAAAAUCGACAUAUCUCACUCUACACUAAUCCAAAUGACCUGAAAUUUUGUAGGCACUUCAAACUCAUCAAUACCUACAACUUUCAUGUUUCGAGCAAAGUCCAUUUCGGCCUCUAACCCUAUGAUCCAAAACCGGACAGAAUUAGGGGUUUUGAAACCCUAACAUUUCACAUUUCAAUCCAAAUCCAAAAUUGGUUGCAAAUAUCAACAAUUCAGAUUCACUAGAGUCAUAACCCCUCAUUAUCAACCAUCAUAAACAACCACAACACCAUGAUCACAUUAAACCAGAAAAUUCCUCAAAAAAAUAAAAGCUUCACUAAUUCACUUCAAAUCAAGAAAUAAAUCACAAAAGGCUUCACUAUCACUACCAUUAGGCACAAUUUAAGCAUCAUUAGGUGUAAGGGAAUAGUCAAUCAUCACUUACCUAAGAAACAAGAUAAGAGGAGUUGUAGACCACCUUAGCUCUUCCAAAAACUUCACCAAACUCACCACCAACACCAAAUGGAAAAGUUGUAUGGAAUGGAAACUAGUUUAUGUGAUUGAUUUAGAUGAUUCAAGCUAGUGGAAAGCUUGAAGUUGGAAGAGGUUUUUCUCCUUCUUUGUUAGAGAGAGAGGGCCGGCAAUGGAGAAGAAAAAAAUGAGGGAAUUUUAGUGAAUUUUGGAGAUAUUUAACUAAAUGGGUCAAAAGGUCAAAAGUGGAAUAGUAACUCUUAAACUUCAACCCAUAAAAUGGUGACACUUGUCACACCAUUAAUGCAAUCUUAUCACUUCGUUUUCUCUCUCACAUCAAUCAUUUCACACACUCUACUUAUCUCUUAACACCCGAUAAAUUUUACACAGUAUCCGGAAUUUAACCUAAUUGGCCGAAUUUUUUCGAACUUUUCGCACUAGUGGGUCCCACGUCCAAUAUAUAUUCUUAAUUUUCUAAAAAUUCUCCAAUACUAGAAAAAUCAUCUAAAAACUAUAAUUACUCAUAAAAUUCACCAGGAAAAUAUUCCUAAGCCAGAAAAUGCAGAAAACAUGCAAUUAAGGGGAAAAACCCUAGGAAAAAUAUUAGGGAAAUACGGGUUCUCACACUAAUGGUAUCUUUGAAAUAGAUAGGUGACAUCUUUGCUAAAACUGAUUUAAUUUGACAAGUUCAUUGCAAUGUAAUCUCCAGUCUUUCAAUUUUUUUGUCCUGUAUUUUUUAAAUGUCUUGCAACAAAACAAUGUAGCUUCAUUCGUUCAUCUUAAUUAAAACCAGAAUGUCUACUUCAUUACAUCCAAUUGAAACUAGAUGUGGCAACAUGUUGGACAUAACAAAAUCUACCAUUGUGCCCAACUCCCUCAUCUACUACACAUUUUUUAUACUAAUUUGUCCUGAACAUUCAUUUCAUACAUAUAACAACUAGUGACAAAAGAGACACAACUACAAACACCAUCAUCAUCAUCUUCAUUAGCCCUGUCAUUGUUUCGACAUUGUGAAUCUUCGACUGUAGUGUCUCAUAAUGAUAUUAUAGUUAUUACUUUCCAUCCCUUGCCCAGAGAUGAAAAAUAUUUUCGCCAUUGCAGAUCCAGUAGUGAAACUCCUUCCAUGUAUGGACUUUGACAGGAUGAUUCAUUAGUGCCUGCCUCUCUACUAAUUGGGUUGCAUCAUGUCCAAAAUGAACAAGCACCAUUUUCACAUACAAAAUACAACAUAUCUUUUGAUGGAUUUUUAGAUUCCACUACCUUAAUCUUUGCUUUAUUCUUGCAAAAACAUCAAUUUUGGUACCUUAGCUUGACAUUUUCGGUUUCUUCCUUGAACAAAGCUAUGUUGUGCCCUCCAAAGCUACGCUCUUAUGAUUUUUGUCUUAAUUUUGUGUCUCUCUGUCCAAUUUUUCCAUUUGCAAAAUAACAACUAUGGUGGGUUUCAUUCGUAAGAGACAUGGAGGGAAAAAUGGGAAUGAAAACUAGUCUCUUUCAGUCACAUGCGGCCAUUAGGUCGCAUCAAUGUCACUUGCUAGCUUCCUAGCCGGUUAGUAGGUAAAAUCCAAAGAAAUCCAAAGCACCGGGGAGGGUUAAGUGGGUGUUUUUAAAUAAUGAGAGGGUUUCGUGUUUAUUUCCCUAACCACAGGGGGGUUUACUGUAUUUUACCCUAUUGAUAUUGGUGAGGUGGAAUUUGGGGCAGAACCCCUCUAAGAAUUUGUGUUUCUCCCCAGUGUCUCAAGAGGUAAUCAGGCCCUGCUUGAAUUCUAAUCCUGCUGGUAGACCUAGUUUGGAAGAACUAUUCAGGGUGAUUUGUUUAAGGACCUUAAGCCAUUUGAAAAGGUGGUAGGGAAAAUCUUUGAGGUGCGCGUUUUUUAUGGUAAGGGCACCUACAAACUGGUGAAAAUUCUUGGCCACCACCAGGGGGAAUGUCUGGUUUACCAAGCCAAGUAUGAGCCCAUCAAAAGCACUGAUCACUAUGUGGCUUUGAAGGUAAUGGAGAUGGAGAAGUGAGUUGCUCCAGAAAUCAGCUGAGAUCAGUGUGGAUGCUAAUUCCCAUCCGUGUAUCAUCGGGGUUAUAAACGAAUUUGCAAGCGGUACAAGUUAUUGUGUCUCGAUGCCCUUAUUUGAUAAGGGUUCACUGAGGCUUCUUUCAAGGAAUCGAUGAAAUGAUGGUUGACCCGACGAUUGUAUUGCCCUGGUUCGGAUGGAACCCUUAAAAGGUCUUGGUUUCCUCCAUGAAAAUCAUAUGGUUCUCAAACGUGCCAGUCCAGACGAUAUUUUUUUCUGUAGGAAUCCUUUAUGCAUUGCUUUGGGUCAUGAUGCAACUCUGUGUCAUGCUUGGAAAUCUGACAAUGCUAAAAAUUCAGUGAUAAAUUCAACGAUUGAUGAAUUCAGUCAUGCUUCAGAAGUCUAUGAUGCUGGGGAGGCUCUGACAUAUGGCUCCUCAGAUUAACUGCUUUGGAGUUGGCCUAUCACCGCAUCCCUGUCAAGACAAGAGUAGGCUUAAUGGUUAUUAUACAUCAAUCAAAACAAUUGUUUGCCUACAGGACUGAAGCACCGCUUGUCUAGGGAGAAACGAGACAGUUCGCCAGCAAUUUCGGUCACCUUGUCAGCCUAUGUCUCCCUGAAAAUCCUGCACAAAGACCAUUAGCUAUCCAGCUGUUGGAACAUCCAUUCUUGAGAAGUUGCACUAGUCUUGAAUGUUUCGAUAAGGUGCUUUAAGUAAUAUGGCCAUUUUGAAGCUUCUCCUCCCCUGAGUCUGCUUGAAGUAUUUCGUGUUUUCGACUUAUUGUUUUUUAUUUUUAAAGGUGCUCAAGUAAUGUGGCAAGUUUGAAAAGUUCUCCUGCCUAUGUUAAAAUGAGAAAUUUCAUAUUUUCGGUGUACAGUUUUUGUGCUCUUAAGUUUAUCUUGCUUACUUUUUGACAUCUUGUGAAAUUUAAGUAUUUAGAUUUUUUUUUUAAAUUUUGGGUUAAUUAUUGACCUUUUGAAAUUGAGAAUGCUUGGAUGUUGGUGUUACAACAAUUUUUUUUGGGAUGCUUCUUCUCAAAUUGUUACUUGGGAGCUUUAUUUUCCCCUGAUAAGAAGAAGAUGAGGCAUCAACAAUUAUUAUCCCUGGCAAACCAACAUUUAUUUGCAACAUGUCUUAGUAUAAUGAUGGAAUAUCUUAGUGCCUUCAGAAUCAUAUUGCAUUUGGUUAUGCAGGUAAAAUUUUCAUAGGAAGGGGAAAAUUGAAAGUAGAAAUGCCUUUAAUAAUCAUUUCACCAGUCAAUAAUUCCUUCAGAAUGCCAAUUGACACUGGAUGUUGAAACUUUGAAUGCAUAAAACUACUUUAUUGAGAGGCAAUUGGUGACAUUAUGUUUACUGAAGUGAUUCUUUGCAAUGCUACAGAACGUAUGAACUAGUUAUAAAACCAAACCGCAUUGAUAGCCUCUACUCGUGUCCUACCUCGUGAGAGCUAGAUUUGCUAAUACUUUGAAAAUUAAAGUUUUUCACCUUUUUAUCAUUUUUGGCACUGACGGGCUAUGUUAUUGCAUCUGGAUAAUCCACCUAAUUCUAUCCUAAAAUUCUAUGCAGCUGUGUUUUUCUUCUUCAUCUCCUCAGAUCUCUUUUCUUUUUUCCCCCCCUUUCCUCUCUGUUUUGAACUUAUGCCUCAUGGUAUGCCUAACUUGCGACCUUCAUAAUGAUAUGGCCUAUUUCUUAAUGUCAGUUUGCUGGCGCCUUCAAGCAAUCUCAAGUUCUUAGGAUCAGAGAGUUUGUCCAAAAUGGUCUUAUUUCUGCAGCUCUUUUGCGGAAUAUCCCAUUCUGCUGGAGCAGCAGACCUUUUGGCAAAAAGUGCUUGUGGCUUCAAUGUUUUGGAGCAGUUAGUCUUGCCUAGUCCUUUUUUGCAAUAUCUGCUGGAUUUGAAUUCUACUUAACAUCCUCAAGAAAGAAGGACAACUUGUAGUUUCCACUCUAGACAUGUAUUAUUGAGGUUGACGUUAGUCUGUUUUAGUUCUUUGAUGCUUGCUAAAUCGUGUGUUCAGUGCUUUGUACGGUUGUGUGACUUUCUUCAAGCAAUCUGUGCAUUGUUGUUUUCUCAUUCAGAAAACUUGCAAUCCUUAAUAGUUGUAAGAAAUGGAUUUUCUGUCUCCUGAUUUCAAUUAAAUAUGUAUGUAUGUGUAUCUAGUCUUUCAAAAUGGAGCUUCUGAAGUAUCAGCAUAUUUUACACUUGCAGACACUAAUUCUGGAAAAACUAGAGAUAAAUAUAUAGCGAGUUCUUUCAUCCUUGUAGUCACUGUGCUGACAACUUCCAAAGUCUCAUGAAGAGCUUAUUGUUUCCUAAAUUGUCCAUUAUGUUUGACAAUUGGCAGUAGUUCAACUUGAGGAUAUGUUGGCUUCUAGCCACUCUGGUUUCUUCAGUGCUUUAGUCUAGAUAUAUAUCGAACUCUUGCUAACAUCCUGUAUAGCAACUUGUUAUAGCUUCAACUUGAUCCAUUUUUUUGACAUGCUGGCCUUCAGUGCAUGGAAACUUGAAUUUAUUUGGUUUAAUUUUAUCAAAAGUUUGUCAGAGAAGUUUGUUUUGAGUAUCUUUUUAGUUGAUAUAGAAGACGUGCUAUGUUGAUGAAUGCACAUAAUCAGUUGUAUCGCUCGUAAAGAGCAUGCUUGGAGCAGGCUGAUGACUCCUGUUAGAAGUUUUUGGAACUAUAUAGAGUACAUACCUCAAAUAUGAUACUUGAUAUGUGCCCUCUUAAAGCUGUGAAGUCCUUGAAUGUUCCAUGUUCUGUGAAAGAUGUAUAUAUCAACAUCAUAAUAUCUUGACUGUAGGUUAGCAUCUAGACUGUAGAUCUUUUAAGGUCCAAUCAUAGAAGAAGUGGUUUAUCACCUCGAUGAAGAUUUGGUCUUGUAACGACCCCAUUUUCCCCUAAGGCGAACCAGAGGGGUCAACGGGCCGCCUGCCCAACUCUCGCCAGGACUCCGUCAAUCACUACAGUUCUCCAAAAAAUUUCACUAUAAAUCUCAAAUAUAUUUAUCAAAUUCUCCAAGAACUACAUAUCAUAAACGCUGCGGAAUGUACACGUACGUCCAUUCAAGUCCAAUCAUUCAUUACAAACCAUAUCCACAAGCUAUUACACAAGAGGCGAUCCAAAUUCAAACCGUACAAAGUGUAAUUCCAUCCAUUCCAAUUCCCCUAGCCCAACAAUUACACAAACGAUUCCAAAUCUAAACUAUACAAAUUACAAGCCAUCCAGGUACACCGAUAACGUAAUACAGCUCUUCCUUUGUUCGAAACCGGUACUCGCAUAAACACAUCAAACACGUAAUGCAGUUUAUCGAAGACUUGAUAAGGACAUAGAUAUACAUGAGAAAGGUUCAAUUGUACACUUCAAAAGACCUUGAAUUCAUUUACAUCAAAAUUUCAAGUUUUCGAGGAGCAACUCAAAACUAGCUACAUAACUAGCUCAACUCAUUUCAAAACUUGAGUCCAGCAGUGUCCCUGUAAGGAAAACAAAACAACGGGGGUGAGCUUGCGCUCGUGAGGUACCAAAUGCACAAGUACAUGAUAUGGCCAAAUAACAUAUAUGCAUAAGUGCCUUCGUUCAAACAUCCAUUUAUAAAAGGAUACAUUCGGCCCUCAAGGGCCGUUUCCGAGGUCCAUACUUGAUCGUACUCGUUGACACUCCGUCAACCAUUGAGGAUAACCAAAAACCGUAGACACCACUUCGCACCAACUCCUUCCACCAUUCACCCCCUAUUCGGGCCCACACACCUCAUAGUUUCAAAAGGUAAUACUCGAGUAUACCACAAGGUCGAGGAGAUAACACUCCACUCGCCUAUCAGAGACCCGAAGGCUCGUUAACGAAUCGCCCAAGCCCUUGCUGGCUCGACUCAAAUAACGGUCCAAGGGAAUGAGCUCAGUUUUCACAGAAAUAAUAGGGCAUUGCCCUAACAAAUAUCAAAUCACAUAUUCAUGAAAUUUCACAGUCCAACAGUAGCAAUAGUGCAAGCAAGUGGUCAAGAGCGGUAAAGUACACCCUCGACCUAUUCAAGUCAUAUAACAAGUACAUUGAACCAUUUAAUGAUACACUCACCAAGCACGGCUCACGAAGCUUAUCCGGCAAACCUCACUAUCUCGAUCAAGUUGGAAUCCUAAAACCAAAUAUCAAGUCAAGCAAAGGAAAAUUCUAACAUUAACAAGUUUCUAUUGCCUUUUGGCAUUUUAAAGCUACACCCAUCCGAUCGAAACAAAUCUUAUGGCGUUACAAAGCUAAAACAUAUGUCAACAUUUCUUAUGAAGAUUUCCAAGGCCAAAUCAUACAUUUUCAAAACCAAAAAUCUGAAUUCUAGAGAAAGAACGAAAACUGUCAUAAAACAGGAGUCUAUAAACAGUCAGAGCAAAUCAGUCAUUUUCCAGGCUACAGAGGUCCAAACAAUCUGAAAUUUUGCAGGUAGGUAGUUAACUCAUAUAUCUACAAAAUUCAUGUUUUGAGCAAAAGCUGGUUCGGUCUAAAACACAGAGAAAAUGACUGUCCAAGUUCAGUCCAGAAACAGGGGAAAAACUGAAAUUACUCUCCUUGAACCUAUCUUUGCGUAUAACCAUCCCUAACCACAAUUAAGGCCUAGAAAUCCCCACUUAACAUGAGACUAGUCUAUACUAAUCAUGUACAUGGCAAUUCCACGAGGACAAAUCAUUUCGAUAACGUCUGGAAGUACCACCAAACUUUCAAUCAUAAGAAUUCAUAAACUUAACCAAGAUUAACUCAAGUUCAAAGUAAUCAAAUGUUCUCUAAAAUUUGACAGCAUUUCCCCUUAAGUUUACACAUUUCCAACCUACCAUACAAAUACCCCAAUCAUAUAGCCAUUAACCACAAUUGCACAUACGGUUCGUAAACGAUAAAACAUAUCCAAUUAGGGCCACAAAACCCUUUAAUCAAAACUAAUUAAAAGCUUAAAGCCAACCAUUAGAAAAACCCCCAAUUAAAACCCUAGAACCGGAAAUUCAUAUUAUAAGCGUAAAUUUUCCGCAAUUGAUCACCAUUAACGUAUAAGAGCUUCCAUUAACACCAUUUAAACCACUAAUCCAAAUCCAAUCCAAGACUUUCAUAUAAAAUCAUAAAAUACCCAAUAAAUCAGAAAAUCACCAUAAUUUCCAUAAACCCAUGAAAUACUCCAUAAUACAACACAUUUAAACAUCACAAACCCUAAAUUAACCAAUUUUAGAACCAAAAGGAACUUGUUUAAGCAACUUACCACAAAUUCAAGAAGCUAACACCUUAGAGCCUUCCCUCCACAAUCAAUCCAUCUAAAAGCUUUAAACCACCUUUGAGAGCACUUGUGUGAAAUAUUUGGCAAAACCACCGAUUAAAACUCAAGAUUCAAAGAAGGAAAUCAAAGGGAAGAAAUGGAGUUUUUCUUUUCUUGUUUUCUCUCCAAGACAGCCGGGCAAGGAGGGUGCAAAAUGACGAGCAAACACAGCCAAAACAAGAUAUUUAUCAAGCACAAAAGCUGGUCAAAAGUGGCUGCCGGACAUGACACGUCACAAUCGGCCGGAAUCUGGCCGGAUUUCCGGCCGGAUUCUUGGCCGGAUUCAAGGCAGAAUCGAAACCAAUUUUUUUUCAAAAUUGCAAGGCAAUCCGGCCAUCUAUCCGGCCAGAAACUGGCCGGAUUUCCGGCCGGAUUUGGCCCUUGCCAUUUUUCGAAACUUUUCUUUUCUUGUCCGAGUUGAAAAACUGUGCUACUCCGCUCGUCCAACAAAAAUAUCCAUAAAAUGAAAACCCUACUUUUCGGGGCGUCACAAUCUCCCCUCCUUAAAACAAUGUCGUCCUCGACAUUCUACCUCAUAUACAUCUGGUCAAGAUAUCGUUCAAAAACCAUUCAAGCAUUAGAAUUCCAUCUAAUCCAACUUGUAUUCACCAGGUCCAAUUAGUCUUCCCAAAGUCGGUCAAAUACUAAGAAUUGUUCCAAUCUCACUUAUCGAAAUCAAGUACUAAGGAGUAUCCAAAUCCAGCUUAUCAAAUAGUCAUGAUCCAGUAAAGCAUGGCUUAUCAAAUAAUCACUUAUCAAUUUCAAGUACUAAAUACACGCCAAUCCAACUUAUCAAAUAGUCAUGAUCCAAUAAGGAGUUAUCGCGUAGCCAGAUAAAACAGGCAAAAGGCUUGAAAUCGGACGUAAAGUCCCAGAUAUCUGGAAGAAAUUCAGGGUGUAGCGAAGCUGCAAAUCAAAAACUCAUCCCUGGUGGUGCUGGACAACACAACAAGCUAGCACAACGGCUAUGCUUCACCAAAGAAUUUCAAUUCAGUAAGUUGGCCCUGGUGGUGCCGGACAACACAACAAGUUAGAACCACGGCUAAACUUCGCCAGAGAGCCUCAAUUCAAAAUUCCAUCCCUGGUGGUGCUGGACCACACAACAGGCAUGCCUCGCCUGAAGAAUGGCGGUGCUGGACAACACAACAAGCAAUGCCUCACCAGAGAGGUUCAGUUCACCCGCUACAAAAGAGUAGUAGCCGGUCUACAACCAUAUGAGUAUGAAUAAGUUCAAGAGUAGGGUCAAAGCAGCGCCAAUUACUUCAGGUUCAUAGUGCAUGAGUACGAGGAAGUUCAAAAGCAGGGUCAAUUAUUGCAGGUUCAGGGAGCACGGUCACAAAUAAGAGUACAAGUUCAGGUUCAAGUGCAAGUUCAAGUUCAGGGAUCAUGAGUACUGGUAAAACACACUAGCCUAACCUCUGUCCAACUAUUCACAUUCUUAAGCAGUCAUGAAAUUCAAGUCCACCUACAGGUCCAAUACCAUAUAUUCAGUGAAGUUAGGUCCAUCAAGGAUACGUAUAAACACACUCGCCUAACGAGGUCAAGUCUCAAGGAAGUUCAAUCUAGUCGAUCUCAGGCAGCUCAAGACCAAUCUCAGGUAGUUCGAGGUCAAUCCCAAGUAGUUCAAGUAUAGCAAAUUCCAACACUUACCACUCAAGUGGUGCAACUUUAAUCCAACAGGAAUACUAGAAGAGAGAUACAAAACUAAAAAUUUCUCAACAAUUCUAGCCACUACCGAAAUCUAUCAAAACCCGAGCCACAUACUUAUUGAACAAGUCCAAGUCAUUAUUUCACUCUCCUUAUUCGGUUUAGCCGUGAGUACAAUACAAAAUCUUCUGUGCUCUAACCUAUGCCAUCACAACUUAUCUCAAACUCACUUAUAAUUUCCAUUCACAUCGUCAUACAUUAAACUAUGUUCCAACCAAGAUUCAUGAGCAUUUCCUCAAGAAAAUGUCAAGUACUCAAAUACAAGAAUUCCAACUAAGAACUUCACGACUCAGAUCGUAUGGUAUUCAGCGAAAAUCAAAGUCAUAUUUUACAUAUACUACUUCCAGAAUUAGUGCCAAUGUCACCAAGUUCAAUCGGAUCACAUGCCUUUACGAAAUUAGAUCCAAUAAGUCCAUAACACAAGCUGAAACCAAAGAUUAUCCAUUCGAAGUUCAAAAUCUUCAAUAAACCAGCUACUAGUAAGAGCACCAUCAUCUCCAAGAAUAACCAAUCUUAGGUUCUAUAGCAGAGUCUCAAGUUCCAAGUUCAAAUCCAAGAAGUAAGCACAGCUUGCUAACUUACAUGUUAAAUAGAAACCAAGUCAAAUAAGCUCAUCAGUUAUUCACAAAUUUUCGAAUUCGAAAUUCAAGUAAAAUUCACCUUUUUACCAAAAUCGGAAAAUUACACAUUUUUAAAGCAUAUAUAUCGUAUUUCCAAUCAUCGCUUGCAAAUAAAACUAGGAAGUAUACAGGCAGAAAAUGCAUUUUAUUCAUUUGAUACUCUUUUAUCUUGGUUCAAAAUCAUCAUACGUGGAGUUUGGCCAGCAAACCUCGGUCUCUUAUUCCCCAUAGCCAGUACUAAUGAUUAUAUCAAUUCUUUCCACACUUACAAGUAUAAUUGCAAUUCAAAUUCGUCCAAUCUUUCACUACCAAACUCUCAUCCCAUAUUUUCCUUCAAUAUAACAUCACCUAACUCCUCAGUUUCUUCUGCAAGUCCCAAAUAAGAACUCCCAAAUAAUCAAUUUCUUUAACCCCUAAGAUCCAAUCGUCCUUGUUCACACAAUAUUCAAAUCAAUCCCACAGUCAGGCAUCCUAAAUUUCAAACUUAGGAUACGCUACAGAGAUCUGAAGCCUAAGCUCUGAUACCAAUUGUAACGACCCCAUUUUCCCCUAAGGCGAACCAGAGGGGUCAACGGGCCGCCUGCCCAGCUCUCGCCAGGACUCCGUCAAUCACUACAGUUCUCCAAAAAAUUUCACUAUAAAUCUCAAAUAUAUUUAUCAAAUUCUCCAAGAACUACAUAUCAUAAACGCUGCGGAAUGUACACGUACGUCCAUUCAAGUCCAAUCAUUCAUUACAAACCAUAUCCACAAGCUAUUACACAAGAGGCGAUCCAAAUUCAAACCGUACAAAGUGUAAUUCCAUCCAUUCCAAUUCCCCUAGCCCAACAAUUACACAAACGAUUCCAAAUCUAAACUAUACAAAUUACAAGCCAUCCAGGUACACCGAUAACGUAAUACAGCUCUUCCUUUGUUCGAAACCGGUACUCGCAUAAACACAUCAAACACGUAAUGCAGUUUAUCGAAGACUUGAUAAGGACAUAGAUAUACAUGAGAAAGGUUCAAUUGUACACUUCAAAAGUACUUGAAUUCAUUUACAUCAAAAUUUCAAGUUUUCGAGGAGCAACUCAAAACUAGCUACAUAACUAGCUCAACUCAUUUCAAAACUUGAGUCCAGCAGUGUCCCUGUAAGGAAAACAAAACAACGGGGGUGAGCUUGCGCUCGUGAGGUACCAAAUGCACAAGUACAUGAUAUGGCCAAAUAACAUAUAUGCAUAAGUGCCUUCGUUCAAACAUCCAUUUAUAAAAGGAUACAUUCGGCCCUCAAGGGCCGUUUCCGAGGUCCAUACUUGAUCGUACUCGUUGACACUCCGUCAACCAUUGAGGAUAACCAAAAACCGUAGACACCACUUCGCACCAACUCCUUCCACCAUUCACCCCCUAUUCGGGCCCGCACACCUCAUAGUUUCAAAAGGUAAUACUCGAGUAUACCACAAGGUCGAGGAGAUAACACUCCACUCGCCUAUCAGAGACCCGAAGGCUCGUUAACGAAUCGCCCAAGCCCUUGCUGGCUCGACUCAAAUAACGGUCCAAGGGAAUGAGCUCAGUUUUCACAGAAAUAAUAGGGCAUUGCCCUAACAAAUAUCAAAUCACAUAUUCAUGAAAUUUCACAGUCCAACAGUAGCAAUAGUGCAAGCAAGUGGUCAAGAGCGGUAAAGUACACCCUCGACCUAUUCAAGUCAUAUAACAAGUACAUUGAACCAUUUAAUGAUACACUCACCAAGCACGGCUCACGAAGCUUAUCCGGCAAACCUCACUAUCUCGAUCAAGUUGGAAUCCUAAAACCAAAUAUCAAGUCAAGCAAAGGAAAAUUCUAACAUUAACAAGUUUCUAUUGCCUUUUGGCAUUUUAAAGCUACACCCAUCCGAUCGAAACAAAUCUUAUGGCGUUACAAAGCUAAAACAUAUGUCAACAUUUCUUAUGAAGAUUUCCAAGGCCAAAUCAUACAUUUUCAAAACCAAAAAUCUGAAUUCUAGAGAAAGAACGAAAACUGUCAUAAAACAGGAGUCUAUAAACAGUCAGAGCAAAUCAGUCAUUUUCCAGGCUACAGAGGUCCAAACAAUCUGAAAUUUUGCAGGUAGGUAGUUAACUCAUAUAUCUACAAAAUUCAUGUUUUGAGCAAAAGCUGGUUCGGUCUAAAACACAGAGAAAAUGACUGUCCAAGUUCAGUCCAGAAACAGGGGAAAAACUGAAAUUACUCUCCUUGAACCUAUCUUUGCGUAUAACCAUCCCUAACCACAAUUAAGGCCUAGAAAUCCCCACUUAACAUGAGACUAGUCUAUACUAAUCAUGUACAUGGCAAUUCCACGAGGACAAAUCAUUUCGAUAACGUCUGGAAGUACCACCAAACUUUCAAUCAUAAGAAUUCAUAAACUUAACCAAGAUUAACUCAAGUUCAAAGUAAUCAAAUGUUCUCUAAAAUUUGACAGCAUUUCCCCUUAAGUUUACACCAUUUCCAACCUACCAUACAAAUACCCCAAUCAUAUAGCCAUAAAACAUAUAAUUAGGGCCAAAACCCUUUAAUCAAAACUAAUUAAAAGCUUAAAGCCAACCAUUAGAAAAACCCCCAAUUAAAACCCUAGAACCGGAAAUUCAUAUUAUAAGCGUAAAUUUUCCGCAAUUGAUCACCAUUAACGUAUAAGAGCUUCCAUUAACACCAUUUAAACCACUAAUCCAAAUCCAAUCCAAGACUUUCAUAUAAAAUCAUAAAAUACCCAAUAAAUCAGAAAAUCACCAUAAUUUCCAUAAACCCAUGAAAUACUCCAUAAUACAACACAUUUAAACAUCACAAACCCUAAAUUAACCAAUUUUAGAACCAAAAGGAACUUGUUUAAGCAACUUACCACAAAUUCAAGAAGCUAACACCUUAGAGCCUUCCCUCCACAAUCAAUCCAUCUAAAAGCUUUAAACCACCUUUGAGAGCACUUGUGUGAAAUAUUUGGCAAAACCACCGAUUAAAACUCAAGAUUCAAAGAAGGAAAUCAAAGGGAAGAAAUGGAGUUUUUCUUUUCUUGUUUUCUCUCCAAGACAGCCGGGCAAGGAGGGUGCAAAAUGACGAGCAAACACAGCCAAAACAAGAUAUUUAUCAAGCACAAAAGCUGGUCAAAAGUGGCUGCCGGACAUGACACGUCACAAUCGGCCGGAAUCUGGCCGGAUUUCCGGCCGGAUUCUUGGCCGGAUUCAAGGCAGAAUCGAAACCAAUUUUUUUUCAAAAUUGCAAGGCAAUCCGGCCAUCUAUCCGGCCAGAAACUGGCCGGAUUUCCGGCCGGAUUUGGCCCUUGCCAUUUUUCGAAACUUUUCUUUUCUUGUCCGAGUUGAAAAACUGUGCUACUCCGCUCGUCCAACAAAAAUAUCCAUAAAAUGAAAACCCUACUUUUCGGGGCGUCACAAUCUCCCCUCCUUAAAACAAUGUCGUCCUCGACAUUCUACCUCAUAUACAUCUGGUCAAGAUAUCGUUCAAAAACCAUUCAAGCAUUAGAAUUCCAUCUAAUCCAACUUGUAUUCACCAGGUCCAAUUAGUCUUCCCAAAGUCGGUCAAAUACUAAGAAUUGUUCCAAUCUCACUUAUCGAAAUCAAGUACUAAGGAGUAUCCAAAUCCAGCUUAUCAAAUAGUCAUGAUCCAGUAAAGCAUGGCUUAUCAAAUAAUCACUUAUCAAUUUCAAGUACUAAAUACACGCCAAUCCAACUUAUCAAAUAGUCAUGAUCCAAUAAGGAGUUAUCGCGUAGCCAGAUAAAACAGGCAAAAGGCUUGAAAUCGGACGUAAAGUCCCAGAUAUCUGGAAGAAAUUCAGGGUGUAGCGAAGCUGCAAAUCAAAAACUCAUCCCUGGUGGUGCUGGACAACACAACAAGCUAGCACAACGGCUAUGCUUCACCAAAGAAUUUCAAUUCAGUAAGUUGGCCCUGGUGGUGCCGGACAACACAACAAGUUAGAACCACGGCUAAACUUCGCCAGAGAGCCUCAAUUCAAAAUUCCAUCCCUGGUGGUGCUGGACCACACAACAGGCAUGCCUCGCCUGAAGAAUGGCGGUGCUGGACAACACAACAAGCAAUGCCUCACCAGAGAGGUUCAGUUCACCCGCUACAAAAGAGUAGUAGCCGGUCUACAACCAUAUGAGUAUGAAUAAGUUCAAGAGUAGGGUCAAAGCAGCGCCAAUUACUUCAGGUUCAUAGUGCAUGAGUACGAGGAAGUUCAAAAGCAGGGUCAAUUAUUGCAGGUUCAGGGAGCACGGUCACAAAUAAGAGUACAAGUUCAGGUUCAAGUGCAAGUUCAAGUUCAGGGAUCAUGAGUACUGGUAAAACACACUAGCCUAACCUCUGUCCAACUAUUCACAUUCUUAAGCAGUCAUGAAAUUCAAGUCCACCUACAGGUCCAAUACCAUAUAUUCAGUGAAGUUAGGUCCAUCAAGGAUACGUAUAAACACACUCGCCUAACGAGGUCAAGUCUCAAGGAAGUUCAAUCUAGUCGAUCUCAGGCAGCUCAAGACCAAUCUCAGGUAGUUCGAGGUCAAUCCCAAGUAGUUCAAGUAUAGCAAAUUCCAACACUUACCACUCAAGUGGUGCAACUUUAAUCCAACAGGAAUACUAGAAGAGAGAUACAAAACUAAAAAUUUCUCAACAAUUCUAGCCACUACCGAAAUCUAUCAAAACCCGAGCCACAUACUUAUUGAACAAGUCCAAGUCAUUAUUUCACUCUCCUUAUUCGGUUUAGCCGUGAGUACAAUACAAAAUCUUCUGUGCUCUAACCUAUGCCAUCACAACUUAUCUCAAACUCACUUAUAAUUUCCAUUCACAUCGUCAUACAUUAAACUAUGUUCCAACCAAGAUUCAUGAGCAUUUCCUCAAGAAAAUGUCAAGUACUCAAAUACAAGAAUUCCAACUAAGAACUUCACGACUCAGAUCGUAUGGUAUUCAGCGAAAAUCAAAGUCAUAUUUUACAUAUACUACUUCCAGAAUUAGUGCCAAUGUCACCAAGUUCAAUCGGAUCACAUGCCUUUACGAAAUUAGAUCCAAUAAGUCCAUAACACAAGCUGAAACCAAAGAUUAUCCAUUCGAAGUUCAAAAUCUUCAAUAAACCAGCUACUAGUAAGAGCACCAUCAUCUCCAAGAAUAACCAAUCUUAGGUUCUAUAGCAGAGUCUCAAGUUCCAAGUUCAAAUCCAAGAAGUAAGCACAGCUUGCUAACUUACAUGUUAAAUAGAAACCAAGUCAAAUAAGCUCAUCAGUUAUUCACAAAUUUUCGAAUUCGAAAUUCAAGUAAAAUUCACCUUUUUACCAAAAUCGGAAAAUUACACAUUUUUAAAGCAUAUAUAUCGUAUUUCCAAUCAUCGCUUGCAAAUAAAACUAGGAAGUAUACAGGCAGAAAAUGCAUUUUAUUCAUUUGAUACUCUUUUAUCUUGGUUCAAAAUCAUCAUACGUGGAGUUUGGCCAGCAAACCUCGGUCUCUUAUUCCCCAUAGCCAGUACUAAUGAUUAUAUCAAUUCUUUCCACACUUACAAGUAUAAUUGCAAUUCAAAUUCGUCCAAUCUUUCACUACCAAACUCUCAUCCCAUAUUUUCCUUCAAUAUAACAUCACCUAACUCCUCAGUUUCUUCUGCAAGUCCCAAAUAAGAACUCCCAAAUAAUCAAUUUCUUUAACCCCUAAGAUCCAAUCGUCCUUGUUCACACAAUAUUCAAAUCAAUCCCACAGUCAGGCAUCCUAAAUUUCAAACUUAGGAUACGCUACAGAGAUCUGAAGCCUAAGCUCUGAUACCAAUUGUAACGACCCCAUUUUCCCCUAAGGCGAACCAGAGGGGUCAACGGGCCGCCUGCCCAGCUCUCGCCAGGACUCCGUCAAUCACUACAGUUCUCCAAAAAAUUUCACUAUAAAUCUCAAAUAUAUUUAUCAAAUUCUCCAAGAACUACAUAUCAUAAACGCUGCGGAAUGUACACGUACGUCCAUUCAAGUCCAAUCAUUCAUUACAAACCAUAUCCACAAGCUAUUACACAAGAGGCGAUCCAAAUUCAAACCGUACAAAGUGUAAUUCCAUCCAUUCCAAUUCCCCUAGCCCAACAAUUACACAAACGAUUCCAAAUCUAAACUAUACAAAUUACAAGCCAUCCAGGUACACCGAUAACGUAAUACAGCUCUUCCUUUGUUCGAAACCGGUACUCGCAUAAACACAUCAAACACGUAAUGCAGUUUAUCGAAGACUUGAUAAGGACAUAGAUAUACAUGAGAAAGGUUCAAUUGUACACUUCAAAAGUACUUGAAUUCAUUUACAUCAAAAUUUCAAGUUUUCGAGGAGCAACUCAAAACUAGCUACAUAACUAGCUCAACUCAUUUCAAAACUUGAGUCCAGCAGUGUCCCUGUAAGGAAAACAAAACAACGGGGGUGAGCUUGCGCUCGUGAGGUACCAAAUGCACAAGUACAUGAUAUGGCCAAAUAACAUAUAUGCAUAAGUGCCUUCGUUCAAACAUCCAUUUAUAAAAGGAUACAUUCGGCCCUCAAGGGCCGUUUCCGAGGUCCAUACUUGAUCGUACUCGUUGACACUCCGUCAACCAUUGAGGAUAACCAAAAACCGUAGACACCACUUCGCACCAACUCCUUCCACCAUUCACCCCCUAUUCGGGCCCGCACACCUCAUAGUUUCAAAAGGUAAUACUCGAGUAUACCACAAGGUCGAGGAGAUAACACUCCACUCGCCUAUCAGAGACCCGAAGGCUCGUUAACGAAUCGCCCAAGCCCUUGCUGGCUCGACUCAAAUAACGGUCCAAGGGAAUGAGCUCAGUUUUCACAGAAAUAAUAGGGCAUUGCCCUAACAAAUAUCAAAUCACAUAUUCAUGAAAUUUCACAGUCCAACAGUAGCAAUAGUGCAAGCAAGUGGUCAAGAGCGGUAAAGUACACCCUCGACCUAUUCAAGUCAUAUAACAAGUACAUUGAACCAUUUAAUGAUACACUCACCAAGCACGGCUCACGAAGCUUAUCCGGCAAACCUCACUAUCUCGAUCAAGUUGGAAUCCUAAAACCAAAUAUCAAGUCAAGCAAAGGAAAAUUCUAACAUUAACAAGUUUCUAUUGCCUUUUGGCAUUUUAAAGCUACACCCAUCCGAUCGAAACAAAUCUUAUGGCGUUACAAAGCUAAAACAUAUGUCAACAUUUCUUAUGAAGAUUUCCAAGGCCAAAUCAUACAUUUUCAAAACCAAAAAUCUGAAUUCUAGAGAAAGAACGAAAACUGUCAUAAAACAGGAGUCUAUAAACAGUCAGAGCAAAUCAGUCAUUUUCCAGGCUACAGAGGUCCAAACAAUCUGAAAUUUUGCAGGUAGGUAGUUAACUCAUAUAUCUACAAAAUUCAUGUUUUGAGCAAAAGCUGGUUCGGUCUAAAACACAGAGAAAAUGACUGUCCAAGUUCAGUCCAGAAACAGGGGAAAAACUGAAAUUACUCUCCUUGAACCUAUCUUUGCGUAUAACCAUCCCUAACCACAAUUAAGGCCUAGAAAUCCCCACUUAACAUGAGACUAGUCUAUACUAAUCAUGUACAUGGCAAUUCCACGACGACAAAUCAUUUCGAUAACGUCUGGAAGUACCACCAAACUUUCAAUCAUAAGAAUUCAUAAACUUAACCAAGAUUAACUCAAGUUCAAAGUAAUCAAAUGUUCUCUAAAAUUUGACAGCAUUUCCCCUUAAGUUUACACAUUUCCAACCUACCAUACAAAUACCCCAAUCAUAUAGCCAUUAACCACAAUUGCACAUACGGUUCGUAAACGAUAAAACAUAUCCAAUUAGGACCACAAAACCCUUUAAUCAAAACUAAUUAAAAGCUUAAAGCCAACCAUUAGAAAAACCCCCAAUUAAAACCCUAGAACCGGAAAUUCAUAUUAUAAGCGUAAAUUUUCCGCAAUUGAUCACCAUUAACGUAUAAGAGCUUCCAUUAACACCAUUUAAACCACUAAUCCAAAUCCAAUCCAAGACUUUCAUAUAAAAUCAUAAAAUACCCAAUAAAUCAGAAAAUCACCAUAAUUUCCAUAAACCCAUGAAAUACUCCAUAAUACAACACAUUUAAACAUCACAAACCCUAAAUUAACCAAUUUUAGAACCAAAAGGAACUUGUUUAAGCAACUUACCACAAAUUCAAGAAGCUAACACCUUAGAGCCUUCCCUCCACAAUCAAUCCAUCUAAAAGCUUUAAACCACCUUUGAGAGCACUUGUGUGAAAUAUUUGGCAAAACCACCGAUUAAAACUCAAGAUUCAAAGAAGGAAAUCAAAGGGAAGAAAUGGAGUUUUUCUUUUCUUGUUUUCUCUCCAAGACAGCCGGGCAAGGAGGGUGCAAAAUGACGAGCAAACACAGCCAAAACAAGAUAUUUAUCAAGCACAAAAGCUGGUCAAAAGUGGCUGCCGGACAUGACACGUCACAAUCCGGCCGGAUUCUUGGCCGGAUUCAAGGCAGAAUCGAAACCAAUUUUUUUUCAAAAUUGCAAGGCAAUCCGGCCAUCUAUCCGGCCAGAAACUGGCCGGAUUUCCGGCCGGAUUUGGCCCUUGCCAUUUUUCGAAACUUUUCUUUUCUUGUCCGAGUUGAAAAACUGUGCUACUCCGCUCGUCCAACAAAAAUAUCCAUAAAAUGAAAACCCUACUUUUCGGGGCGUCACAGGUCUUUAUAGCUAAUACCUUACACAACCCAAGGAGAAAGCCCAAUGGAAAAUCAUAGGGUUUUACCUAUAAAAACCUGUGUUGACAGUGACUGGAGAAAUGUAGUGUUCACUGUAAGUGUUACUUUUCUACCAGGAGAUGCCUGAUAAUGUGUAUUACCGACUUUGAGUGUGUUAUAUGUGCAUUUAUGAAUGUACACAUAAAAUUCCUUUAUUGUGUCAAAUAGUUCUUUAGCUACAAUUUCAGUGAGAAUCCCCUCCCAGACUUGGUGCAGAUGUUGUACAUUUCUUUCUGUACAUGAUAUAUUUGGUUCAUUAAACUGCAAGACAUCUUAAUGUAUUUUGGCUUCUGAACUCGCAGUAAAUUGGCGUUAUGGUAACGAAUGGUUUAUGAAUCUAUUCAAAUUAAUCAGCACGUUUUGUUGUGGCUCACAUUCAUAAUUCAACAAGAUACCACUAGGGGUGUCCGGCAUGUAGCUCACACCAUCAGGGUGACACAGCCGAGCAUUAUUUCUCAAAUUUUGUAGUUAAUGCGAGACUGCUCAAUCUCAAAUGGUUCAAUUGAGCAUAAUAUUAAUGUGUGGAAUGGUAUGAUGAAAGUGGUUACUUCGAUUUGUAUUUUUGACGAGUGCACUUCAAGUUUUCAGUCUAUGCCUAUUGCUUAUGCUUACAAUUUUCUUCCAGCUUCACAAUGUUCUGACUUCUGGACCUUUAAGUUUCUAAACGUUUAACCAUAAACUGAUGCAUAGAUUGAACUCUUUUUCCUAAUCCUCUUGUUCCACCGUGUAUUUUAGAUCCUUGCACUCAUUCAGAUUUUGCAAGAUCUCUACAUAUUCUUUGCUUAGAAUUUUUUUCUUCCUGGAACUCAGAAGUUUUGGACUUGAUUUGGUGGGUCAAUGGAUGCAACAUAAUUGAACACUGUAUUACACAGGAAGACAUCCCCAAGGCGUUCCGCCCUGGAAAUUCAAAGAUGUCUACUUGAGUGAGAUUCACAUUAAAGGCAUCGAACACUGUUCCCCUUUCAUGUGACCAGUCGUAGCAUCCAUGGGAAGGCAUUGGUAGAAUGCAGAACUGACAAAAAUAUCAAGCAAAAGACUAACAUUGUUGUAGGAAGCCAUGUUGUGAAUUUGCUAGAGGGUAGCCAAAAGUGCUUAUUAGCUUCCUGGUUGCUAGGAAUUAGGUAAGUUGGUAUAUUUACAGAAGCCCCUUAUGCACGGCGUUGGGGCAACUUUUCAAAUAUGGCUGCCAAUUAACGUAGGUUGUGUUGGAUGCAUUGAUUGUAUCUCGUUACAUAUUUGUUUGGUAUGUGCUUAAUGUCGUGCAAGUUAUCAAAUAAGCAGUCGAUUGACACUUUUUUCUUCGUUUAGCUAAGUCUGUAUCUCAUUGCAUCAUGAUUUAAAAUGACACUUGAUCCUUCAUUUGGAUUGAGUCGGUCGUGAGAUUUAACUCCUUCUUGAAUUUGAAGCUGUCAAUUCUCUAGUUUGCCAUUCUUGAUCAGAAAAAGUAAUAUGAUGAUAUGAAAUAUAACCAGUUGCAUCACUUACGUGGUCAUUAACUCUGACUUUUUUGUCUCAACACUGGUUAAGUCGAGCAAGUAAAUUUAAAUGCUAAGAACUCGCAUGCAUUUAUCUGAUAAAAUUGAAGAUGACAGCUUCGAUCUUUUCUUAUUGUUUUCUGUAGUAAAUUAUACUUCUUUUUAGUUUUAUAAUUAUGAAGAAUACUUUUUAUAAUUAUGUUUACAAUUAUAUUUCUUCAAAAAACUCAAUAGCGCCAGAAACUAAUUAGGAAAAUUCAAUGGGCUUGCAAUGCUUCAGUUUUUCUUCCUUUUUUUGGUUGAAACAUAAAGCAUUCCACUUGAGUUGUGUGAUUUUAUCUUAGGUUUUGGGGUUGAGGGAUAAAAGAGGAAGACUAUUAUAUUUUGGGUUUAAAAAACUUUGUAAACUAAUAGCUACUUGUCUGUAUUCCUACUUUUCAUGAUUUACUUGUGAAAUUUCACUCAAAAUAGAAAAUAUAAAACCAUAUAUCAAAUUUCAAGAGUCAUAAGAAUCACAAGGAUUGCCCAAAUUAACAUUUGAGCUAACCUUUACUAAGUUGAUGAACCAUAGAAUAUUAAUUGUAACUUGUUUCUUUUUUGAAUUAAUUUUUCUUAUAUUAUCUGUGUAUAUACUUACAGACCUAUAUGCAUGUCGCAUUAUUUCAAUUUGAAUUUAAAUACUGAAUUUUUGUAUACGUGACCUGCAUCUAAAUGCGUUAAUGUAUACAUUCAUCUAAAUGCAUUAAUGUAUAAUGCAUUAAUGUAUACAUUGACCAUGCAUAAAAGAUGUUAAUGUACAAACGGAAAAUUUAUAAAUAUUCCUAUACUUGUCAAGCAUUUACAAUGAUAUAAUGACAGCACUUAUCAGUUUACAAUGAGAUAAGAUACGUUGAAUUUGAACGAAUCUAAAUUAGUAAGUAAUCUAAUCCAAAUCUUAAUUGACCACUAAUUUGAAAAUUCAAAAGGUAUUUACAAAUGUCUUUAACUCAGUCCAACAAGAGUACGGUAGAGCAAAUAGAAUGGUGGAAUGAUCCACCUGAUUUUGAACCACUAAACUUGCUGGAUAAUUCAUUUGCAAGUUGAUGCAUCGAAUCCUGCUUUGAUGUCAUAAAGAAACCAAGAAAAGAAAAAAGGUUCAAUAGCAAUAUAGCACUCGUGGGAUUGCUGUUUGAAAUGUAAGUUAGAUUAGUAUUGCAAUUGUCAAAAGUCAAUUUGGGUAGCAAAGCCUCAGAGGAAAUGAUUUCAUGUCCUUUUUUGUUUGUUCCAAAGUAAUCUUAAACGAGAGGUUCCGUUGUUAACUUGUUAAGGAUGUGAUCAUGCAUCGUGGCUCCAUAGUCAACUAGAGGAAAGAAGUGAUACAAAUUAUGAAAAGGGGCAAUUAAAAUUCAAGCUUUUUCUUGUGUUUCAGGCUCUGAAAAUUUUACCCUAAUGAUAAUAAUUAGGCAAUAAGAAAAGCUAAUACAGUAAUUAACAGCAAAGUCAAAUGCUGUAACGUGCUUUAUUGGCAACCCUUUGGAUUUUAUCAGUUCAAAACCAAUUACAUUUGGGCAUGACAGGAUUUGUACACUAGUUCUGAAUUUAUACACCCUCAAUUAUGGCCAAAGAAGAAAAAGGUGUACACUUCAAUAUUUGGUCAAAAAAUGGCCAACCUCAGCAAUUGCUAAACGCCUAAACCAGAUGUGCCUCCUUGAAUUUUUGUUCUUCAAAUAUUUCUGCUGAAUCGGAUAUUCAAUGUAAACAUAUUGGAAAAAUCACCAAUCAAGAUCACCUUUAAAUACAUCCCCCAUAUUUGAUCUCUUGCAAACACACUUCUUUUAUUAUAAAUAUUAGUAAGUAACUAAAAAAGUAUCCUUUGUCUGCCCUAGCCGAAAAAACACAUAGCCUCCUUAAAUGUUAUUAUCAACCUGAUUAAACAAUUAUUUUUGUAUUUAAAAAACUUCCUUUUUCUAGAUUUAUACGUUUUAUUAUAUUUCAGCCGUAAAAUAGGUAUUGAUGAUUUCAGAAAUUUGACGUUUCUCAUAAUAUUACUUAACACCUCUAAAGUUUAAAAAAUUUCAUAAACUAUUAUUGCUAAUUUAUUAGAAGUUUUACAUUAAACUUGAAAGUUCGUGCAUAUGCUCUCAUAGCUUAUAGCUUAUGUAUCAUGUCUGACAUCACCCAGUUCUCUCUUGUGACCGUCACGACCGUCGUCCACCUUAAAACUCCGAUUUCCACAGGAUCCAACUUUAACUUGUCGUUUCGACCAAAAAAAAAAAAAAGAAGACCACACGACAGUUGUCCACCUCACACUUCCAAGGACCAUUCUUUGUAUUAAUGCUUCCUUUUUUCUAAGAAGACAGUAUAGCAUAUGUUGACAAGGGUUCUUAGAGGUGGUGGGAUGAAAGAAAGGAUUGCUUUACAGGUACGUAAUCCAAAAACAUUAGGAUUUGAAACUUAGAAAGUUGACAAGAAGGUAUUAUAUAAUUAUAAGGUACGUGUCAUGGUGCGAUGUGUUGCACUACUGUCAAUCAUGUUUAACCAAAUAAAUAAAGUAAUUCUAUCAUGUUUAGCAAGGGCAGAACUAGGGGGAUGCGGAGUGGCCUCAUCCCCCAAGUUUUAUAAAAUUUAAUUUUCUUUUCCUGUAAAAUUAAAAUUUAUAAAAAUACUUUUUUAUAAAUUUAAGCUCUCACCCUUGCAAAAGCCUAAAACAUUUUAGUUUCCAUGUUAAAGUUUAGGUAUCCUAAAGGUUGCCCCCUCAAAUUAUAUUUUCUGGUUUUGUCUAUAACGUUUAGUACCUACUAGACAAAUUAAUAAUUCUAUUUUUUCAUUGUCAAACCAUCUAUCUCAAAAUUAACAAAAUAAAAACUCUUUCACUUUCACUCAUGUGGACCACAUUGAAUAUAUUCCGUCAUAAAGAAGGCAUGAGGGUCGUCCACAAGUGCAGAUCCAAUUGUACAUCUGCAAUACACGACACGGAAUGUACCUAUCUUUGAAUUCCAUAACCGUAGUUAGAUUUUAUAACACAAAUCUUCGAUAAGAAGAAAAUCAUGUGUACACGCACAUGUGUAAAGAAGUGAUAAACCAUUGGAGUUUACCUAGUGUCAGAAGAAUACUCUUAAAAUCUUUUUUACUGUCAAGUUCAAGAUUCAAAUUUCAUGCUUAGUAGUUGGAGGUAGGAAGUAUGUAAAGAAGUAAUAGGUUCUAUGUGUUUUGAUUACGAGUUAUUCAAGAAAAAACUUUUAAAAUAUUUUCUAGACACGUUUCUCAUUUACCUGUUCAUCUUGUAUAGAUUACAUCACUAAAACGUAUUUUUCUAUAAAUUCUCCCAUCCAAAUAGAUCCAGUUCUUGAUUUUUUUUCAAAAUUAAACAAAAAUUUGUUAUUGCUCAGAAUCGAUGAUGGAAGAAGCUUGAGCGAUAGAAGAACAAGUGGCGAAUGGAAACAAGGGUAGAAAUGAAAGUUUGAACCUCAUUGAAUGGUCAAAGACUCAAAGCUGUCAUGGCUUAAAUUUGAAGUCCCAGGCCGGCAGGGAAAGGGGAAUUUGCCGGCAGGGAAAGGGGAAUUUGAAGUUUAUGAAUUGAGAUCUUGAUUUCAAAUCUCUCUAUUUUUCCCACUUUUACGGCCCCACAAGUUUUCCCUGCUGAAAAAAAAAAGAGAGGGGAUUAGUGUUUGUAAGCCUAAACAUUUAUUAUGCAUGUCUUCAAGCACUUUGAUAUAUAUGAACAUCGUACUCAACGAUCCUCAGCCAAUAAGUACAGAAAUGAGUGAUCGUCUUUUUCUGCAUUUUAGGUACCUUUCUAUUUCCAUUUCCCACUCGGCCAAUAAGAAUAGAAAUGAGUGAUCAUCUUUUUCAGAGCUUUAGUUGCCUUUUGAUUUCCUUCCACGACAGUUGGGACCUCAUGGCUACAACCUUACAAAGGAACCUUGUGAAGGGGAAGAAAAAAACAGAAAAGGAACCUUGUGAAGCCCUAGUCGUUUCUGCUACUGCUUUUAUUCUUGCACGAUAUUUAUUCUCUUGGUCGAGAACGUAGCAAUAGAUACUGUUCAAUUAUGUCUCAGCAUAAGAGGAUAAUUUUAGAAACCUCCUCUAAGGUUUCUGACAAUUUUAUUUAGCCCUCAAAUUUUAAAAAUUUUCACUUGUCUCUCUAACUAUAAGUUUUUUUGUAUCAUUUACGACCAUUUUAAAAUAUAAUAUUAAAAAUUUAUUUUGGGGGGAGAGAAUACAAUUUCAUUCCAAACUUGCCCAUUUUCUUGUGAUUUCUUGAUUGUCAAAAUACACCAAAUUUUUCUCUUAAUUUUUGUAAAUUGAUCGAUAAAAAUUUAAAAAUUGAUAGCAAGAUCAGAAAAUUCUUUAAUAGCUUUUGCAUCAUUGUUUUGAACAAGAAAUGUUAAAUUACUUAAAAUUAUGAAUAAUUUACAAUACUCUUAAAAAUAACUUGAAAUAAUUUACAGUCAUAAUAUUACAACCAACCAUAAUAAUACCUUAUUGUACUAGCUUAAAAAUAAUACAAACAAAUUUUAUAUAUAAUUUUUAGCAUCUUUUAUCUUUUAGUUUUUAAACCAUCGAUUUAGAAAAAAAAAAUUAGAAAAUUGAAAAAAAUGUAAAUGAUUGAUGAAACUUCUUAAAUUUACUCAAAACACUUUACAAUUAAAAAAAUACACUAUAUUCUGUACAAUAAGAAUAAGUCUUCAAAAUUUUUGUUUUUAUUUGUUAUUAAUAUACUCAAGUUUUUGUAAUAAAAAAUAAGACAAUAAAACUGCAAAUUUGGAACGAGAUUAUAUUUACUCUCUCGAAAUGAAUUUUUUAAUAUUAUAUUUUCCAAUGGAUUGUAAAUGAUACAAAAAAAUUUAAAGUAAGAGAGGCAAGUGAAUUUUUCAAAAUUCAAAGGUGCUAAGUGAAAUUGUCAAGGUUUCUGAAAUUAUCCCCAAUAUUAAUAAGGAAUACUUGGUACUGCAAAAGAAGCAAUUAAGUAUACCUUUUAUGCAAUUAACCUACAGUAGUUUUGUUUUUCUUUUUUUUUGGUGCCUUGAAUUUUCUUUUUUAUAAUCAACAGAGAUAUCCACAUUUUCUUGAAAACCUUGAAGCCAUUUCAAUGCAUAUGGUGGAUGACAAAGGAUACACCAAUUGGUUCAGUGAUACAAUAGUAUGUACCUACAGUUGUCAACAGAUAUACAAUUGGUUCGGAUUAACUCUACUUGCACUUUUAAACUUGUAUCCCUUUUUCACUUUGCACCAUGAACUUCAAUUUUGAACACUUUACACCCUAAACUCUUAAUUUCAAGCACUUUGUACCCUAAAUUCUUAAAUUUAUUUCAUUUAAUUUCAAUCAAUUAUUAUAUUGAUAAAAUUAAUGAGAUAAAGGGAGGUAAAAAUUAAUAGCAAUGUACUUUUGUUAUUAUAUUCUUAAAUGUACUUUUGUUAUUUUCUUCAGGAAAAGACUUAAACCCCACCUGCACUAGGGUACAACAAACAAAGGUGAAUUGGAUAUACUUCCGUACGACUGCAGAACUCAUUUACACAAUGCGAUUUUGAUGCAGCAAUAAGAAAUUAUAUCAAACUUGAAAUCAGUCAUCCUUUGGGGUUCUAUAAAUACCAUCCUCCCUGUCAGUUAUGGACACAUUCCUGCCUAGCUACUUUUAGUUUCAGGCAAACUACAUAUUCAUACCUAGCUGAACUGAAAUUAAACUUUCCAUGGCAUACCAGAGCGCCUACAAUAUGAAUUACCAGAUACUACUAUGCUUGAUACUCUUCUCCCUAGUCCUUCUCCUGCCACUGCCAUCCCAUUCUGCUGAUCCAAGCCCAUUGCAAGAUUUCUGCGUUGCAGAUCUUGAUUCCUCUUUAUACAUUAAUGGCUUUCCGUGCAAAAACCCUGAUAACGUAUCUUCACAAGACUUCUUCGCCAAUGGGUUCCAACAAAGUCCAGGAGAAUUCAAUAUUUUUGACGUCAAUGUCACUCGCCAAGAUGUUCAGCGAUUUCCAGGACUCAACACUCUAGGGCUGUCAAUGAACCGAGUGGUUUUGAAGCCUGGAGGGCUGAAUGCACCCCACGUCCACCCUCGUGCAGCCGAGCUGGCUCUAGUCAUGGAUGGAAAACUGUUUGUAGGCUUUGUGACAACCGGAAACGUUUUCUACUGGAAAAUUGUGACUUCAGGAGAGUUGUUUGUGAUUCCUCCUGGGCUAGUGCACUUCCAACUGAAUAUUGGACACGAGAACGCACGCUUCUUCGCCUCGUUCAACAGUCAAAAUCCAGGGAUUCAGUUCGCCCCCCUUGCUCUUUUUAACUCCACGCCUUCGAUUCCUGAUCUCGUGUUGAGUAAAGCAUUUCAAGUAAAUCAAAGUAUCAUUGAGCUCAUUAAGUCUAGGUUUGCAACUGUGUCGACUGUGUCGACCGUGCUUAAGUCAUCUUACUAACAUCCUAUUCCAGGGUGUUGUUCAUUAUAGUUGGCAUAUUAAAUAAUAAAAUCUUCUAUAUUAUCGUUUAAUUGUAUUUUGGUCAAGUUAAUUUUUAGUAGUUUUAUUGGCGUCAAAUUAGGAUAGUUUUACUAUUUAGAAACUAGUAUUGUAUUAAGUAAUUUCCUAUGCUUGUCAGUAGUCAUGAUAUGUAUUUGGUUGGAAACAAUAAAAGUUUGAGUCUUGUCAUUGAUAUUAGUCCUCUUCAUGUAAAUUAGCCUCCAUAUAUAUAUAUAUAUAUAUAUAUAUAUAUUGGUUUUGCGAAAGUUAUCUCCUAUAAUUUUUUUUUGGGUAUAAUUAUUAGGCUCUACAUCUGGUAUCGAAUCCUAUUUGCAUGAAAUUAAUCUUUGGGUGAGUUGUCAGAGUUAGGACACAAGAAUUGCCGGGACUGUUCAAUUGAUCACGUAAGGCCAUUAUGUUGGUUUUGGAGUAUUUAAUUGGUCAAAAUUAGGCCAUAAAAUUGGUGUGAAAAUUAUUAACUUGAUUGUGGAUAUUGCUAAUGGUGACAGUUUUUGACAUGGUACGUAAACGCGGCACAAAAAAUCCUAAAUGAAACAUGAUACGGAAUAAUUUAUGUCAAAAAUGGAUCCACGCAAACAGAAUGGGUUGUAUUGGGCCAAUCCAUAGGUUGAUAUGACUAACAUGUUUUUGACACGUUAAGAAUUUUGAAAAAAUGCUACUUGCUUCCCUCCUAAUACUGCACUUAAAAUAAAUGGUUUUGUAUUAAAUUUUAUAGUUUAAGAACUAAAAUAAUAUAAUCAACCUCCUAUAAGAAUACAUAAACAACACAUAAAUCGAGACUCUGCAAAUUCACAUAUGCAACUGUUAUGAUUUUAAUUUUUUGCUUCCUUCCUUUAAUAUUCUUAUUUUCUCAAAUUGACAAGCAUAAACAACCUCUAUGAUUUUAACUUUUCACUUCGAAACUUACCUUUAGAUCAAAUAUUGCUCAAUUUUUCUUCCUUUCUUGUGAUUAAAUAUCUUUUCUAGGUAAACUUUAAUAUUUCACAAAUUUUCUAUCAUUUUUGUCUAUUUUAUUUGAACAUUUUCUAGUUUAUACUGCUCCUCUAUUUUAUCAUUUUCCCUAUCAUUUUCUUUCUAAAGUUUUUCUUUCUUGUGAAAGAAAAAAGAAAGAAAAACAAAAUAGGCUUUUUUCUGUAUAUUAUUAAUGAGAUAAUCAUGCAUCCAAAACUUAUACAAGUAAAAAUCCAAUGACAGGCUACAACUAAAUUAGAUUAAGAGAAUAUUACAUAUUUUCUUGAAAGAGAACCAUGUUUUAUUUUUCGGCAAUAUUUCUCCUAUAAUUUUGAUAUAAAAAGUUAAAUGAGUCAAUUGGGUCAAAACAUGAGAUGAACCUGUCCAAAUGUAUGGAGUAUUGCAGCAACAAAUCUUUUUGAAGAUUAAGAAUUCAAAUUUAUAUUAAUGAAAUUUACAAAUGAGAUUAUUAUUGCUGAACUUGAUUCAAUAGAGAGUUUGAUUUAAGGGAAACAAUGUUGGCAUAUUAAAUUAAAGCUAAAAAUUUGAAUUUUCUAUACUAUUAUUUAGUAGUAUUUUGGUCACACAAAUUUUUUUAGUAGUUCUACGAGAGCUAAGAUAUGGUAGUAUAUUUAAGAAUUGGAGGCUCUAGGACAUAGAGGUUCUGGGUUCAAAUCUCCAUUCCUCCUCCCCAUUUCUUAAAUCCUAUCUCUCCCCUUGAUUAGAAAAAGUUAAAAUAAUUAUUUAGAAAUUGGUACUGUAUUAGAUAAUUAUUGUAGCUAUCAAUACUUGUUUAUCAAAUCAUGUAAUCUGUAAGUAGAGUCAUAUUACCAUACCCACUUGAGAAGAUUGGAAGUUUAAUAGCCUUGUUGUUGUGGUGUUAUUAAUAUUUUAUUAUUAAUAUCAUUGUUCUUUUCUCACAUAUACGUGUAUAUGUGUAAAUUAGCCUCCCAUAUAUAUUGGGUUUGUGGAAUUUAUCUCUCAUAAUGAUCUUUUGACUAUAAUUGUCACGCCUCGUGCCUAGAACGUAGCACCACCACACCAUAGACAAUGCUAAAGGCGUAAGGCAACAAAUUUCCAAAGCAACUACAUUUACCUUUAUAUAAACUUUUUAAAUCCACAAAUACAAGAUCAUCUAUAACAGCAAUUUUGUGUCUUCCAAAAUAAAAGCAAGAUCAAACCUUCUACAAUAUGUACAAAAUUCAAAUCCUAUCAUAAGGUCUCUUAUAUAUAAGUACAAAAGUCAUCCUCUAACCCAAAGUCAUCUCCAUCUCCAUUACAACCCCCAAGAGCUAUCAAGGUCUACUUCAAUGAACUCAUCAUUAACUGCAUAAUUAUAACAAAGGGGUGAGCAAAAUCUCACUUAAUAAGUAGUGCAUGUAUCUCAUUAUUUGCCUGAGCAUGUUACAUACAUAAUAUAUAUUUCAAACGUCAUUAACUUACACAUAUAACUUUAUAAGAACAUGGUUACUAUAAACAUUUCAAUGGCAUAUCAUACAUCACACACACAAAGGAGCUCAAACCAUAAGACAACAAUUGACCCAGGAUAUCCAGUUGUUAACUUAAACUUAACCAGUUAACACAUUUCAUAGUGCUAACUACCACAUAGUUAGCCCAUUUCAUAUUGCUCACUACAACAUGGAUAGCUCGUUUCAUAUACCAACUACUUGUGAGGAACUAGUCCUGUCAAAAGUCGCUUAUACAAGAGCUCAACAAACAUAACAUUUCAUUUCACAAAUGACCAUAGCAAGAGUAAUAACAAAUAUCACAAAUUAUACUUGCUCAUGCCAUUUUAGCAAUUAGACAAGUAGCUUUCAAAAUUUAUCAUUCAAAAGAUAAAGGAUACAUGCACCAGUUACCUCGAUCCAAUCGAUACCCACGCUAUUUCAAGUAAUCGGAAAAAUAGCUACCUUCCUCACCUAGACAUAAUGAUAAAAUGUUCAAUUACAAUCUUAAAGAUACCAAACUACUCCAAAUUAUCAUAAAAACGAGCCUAAUACUACCCUUAACCACUAAUUCCUAAUAAAAGAUCAUUUCCUCAUCAAAGUAGGACAUAAGGGUUUACUUUAAAGGGUCACUAACUUCCAAAAAUACAGAAAUAGGUCAAGAGAUUUAUAUAGAGUUAAAGCCCUCUGAAUCUAGUUUCCAACGCAAUAAACGGCACCUAAAUCCGAAUUUUCUACACCAAGUUAUAUCCAAAGCAUUGAAAUAUGUCUAUACAGAAAAUUCAAUCUGUCCGAGAAUUAUAGCCAAUCCAUCCGAGGAUUUUAGCCAAUUCGUUCGAGGAUUAUAGCCAUGGAUUUCUAGCAAGUUUUCAAGGCAAAAACAAGUCAUUCUUUCCCUCAACAUUUCUCCUUUUUAUAUUGAUGAUAGCCCUACAUACCCAUUUGAAAAUGGAGACCAAAACAAACUCCAUACACCAUAGCCAUGGAAGCUAACCAAGGAUUUGAACCAAAUACUACCCAAUCACCCAAUCAAAGAAAACCAAGAUCAUGUUCAAGGUUUCAAGAAAAUACCUUGGUUAGUCGUCAAAGUAGAAUCUCCUAACUCCUCACUCCUUACUUGUGCUUGAUUUGUCAAGAAUCCUCCUUGAUUGUAAGGAAAAAGGAGAGAAAUAAGAAAGGGUUUUGUUGGAGAAGGAAGGAAAAAAGGAAAUGAAGAAGAUGAAGAAAGUUUUUGGUAAAAAUGAAUAGUGAAAUCCCAAUAUCACUUUUAUUCUUUCAAAAUUUCACAUAUUAACACAUUGGUCACUCAACUUAACGUCAUUCACUUUUCACCCCAAAAUAGUAUUUCUUCACACAAAAUUCUCUACAAGACACUUGGGUAUCACAUUCUCCCCCUCUAAUAAAAGUUUUGGCCUCGAAAUUUAACGUACCUCGUUGGUUAAACAAAUGUGAAUACUUAGUUCGCAUUUCCUCUUCGAGUUCCCAAGUAGCUUCACGAGUACUAUGAUUGGACCAUUGAACUUUAACAUAGGGAAUUGUCCUUCUUCUUAGCACUUGAUCUUUACAACCCACAAUUCGAAUUGGCUUCUCACUAUAAGUUUAAUCCUCUCAUACCAUUAAUGGCUCAUACUCCAGGAUAUAACUUGGAUUAAAUACAUAUUUUCUCAAUUGCAAAACAUGAAAUACAUUGUGAACUCUUGAUAAAGAUGGUGGCAAGGCUAACUUGUAUGCCAAUUCUCCAACUCUAUCCAAAAUUUCAAAAAGCCCAACAUAUCUUGCACUCAGUUUUCCACGUUUCCCAAAUUGCAUGACACCCUUCAUUGGUGAAAUUCUAAGAUAUAAUUUAUCCUCUUCUUGAAACUCUAAUGGUCUUCUUUUCAAAUCGGCCCAACUCUUUUGUCUAUCUUGUGCUGUUUUCAACCUUUCUCUCACUAGUGCCAUCUUCUUGAUUGUAGCUUGUACACUUCCUCCCAUAUAGAGCUUCAAAAGCUAGCAUGCCGAUACUACUAUGAUAACUGUCAGUGUAAGAGAACUCACUUAGCACCAGAGAAUCCUCCCAACUGCCCCCAAAAUCCAUAACACAUGCUCUAAGCAUGUCCUCCAAGGUUUGAAUUGUACGCUCUGAUUGCCCGUCAAUUUGAGGAUGAUAAGCUGAGUUGAGGUUUAACUCGGUUCCUGUGGCUUGUUAGAGACUUUUCCAAAAUCGAGAGGUGAAUCUAGGAUACGAUCAGACACAAUACUCACUGGGACACUAUGAUAACGAAUAAUGCAAUCCAUACAGAGAUUAGCCAAAGUAUCCAUAGAUGCAGUAGCAACCAUAGGUACAAAAUGAGCUGAUUUUGUCAGUCGAUCAACUAUUACCCAAAUGGUGUCAUUACCUCUCCUAGACCUUGGUAAUCCAACAAUGAAAUCCAUUGCUAUAUGCUCCCAUUUCCAUUCCGGUAUUGUCAAAGGCUUUAAUAAUCUAGCAGGUCUUUGAUGUUUGGCCUUUAUUUGUUGACAAACUAAGCAUUUAGACACAUAAUUCGCGAUCGCCCUCUUCAUACCACUCCACCAAUACGACUGCUUUAAGUCUCGGUACAUCUCAGUGUUAUUAGGAUGAAUAGAGGCUUGGAAGAGCAAGCCUCCGCCAUUAUUUCUUUUCGUAACUCCGGAUCUUUAGGCACCAUAAGCCGAUUCCACAUCCAUAUACUACCAUCCUUGAGUAGUUGAAAGUCGGGUAAUUCCUCACUUUUAACUUUUUCCUUGAUUUUUGCCAACUCGGUAUCAUCUUCUUGAGUUUCCUUGAUUCUCGAAAUUAAAGAUGGUUAGGCAACUAGAGUUGCGAGCACAUGCAUGAAGGAUUCUACGACCUCUAAAUUCAAUUCCUCCAUUUGUUUGACAGGUGCCGAACCUGUACAAUAAUAAUAAUAAAACCUAACUACCACCAAAAGCAAUCAAUAAUCAAUUCUAAGUACUGGAGCAGGGACUUUAGGUAUGCAAUGAGUUACUUGAUUCACCCUGUUGCUGAAGAGUUUGCUGAAUCCGAUAUACCAAAAUUAAUUAGCUAACUAAAUUUACUAACUAGUAGACAAUGGCAAGCAGGGUCGUCUCCUUAGGGGCUGGAGAGAAAUUUGUUUCUUUUAAGCCAAGACAAACAGAGGGUUUGAAAAUUAGAUGCUAAAGAAUCACUAACUAAACAAAUUAAAUGCAAAAAAUAAUUAAUUGAGAGAAAUAAUUGGAGAAACUCUAGCCAAGGGUGCACUUCAGAAAUGGUUCAUGCAACUGAUCAUCGAUUCAAAUAUAAUUCCAACAAUUAUUAAUAUAUUAGUUAUAGUUGUUAUGCACGCGAUAAACAACCAGCAUUUCCUUAAUUUCUCGAUAGUUAAGGUACAACCGUUAACUAUUUCUCUAACCAAAAAACAACCCUAGGUACGACCGUAGGAUUUAAUUUCUAGUUUGCAUUAAGAUUUAGAAAAGCCCAAUCCUAACUACCAAACACGCUACGAGGGUUUGUUUAAGUUAGAUCGUAUGUUUUCCUGACAUAAACCCAAUUACGCCAGUUGCUACCGAGAUGGAGGUAAUCAAACAAUUACGGAUUCAACUACCCCCAAUUAGCAAAUUAACUACGUGAAUAACUAAAUAUUGCGCACUAUUCAGUCAUACACAAUAGCUAUGACAAUUAAAGGUAGAAAACAUACAAAUACUAAUAAAUGAAGGAAACAGUUAAAACAAUUUAGAUCUCACAGUUAUUGUUGAACCAAAUUUUCAAUUGUCUCCUUGACUAGAAGUGGGUGAUUUGUUCAUCCUCAUUGAGAGUAACUCACGCAAUUCCAUCGAAGGAAAUUGCGUCAAUGUUUGACAAUAGAAGAACUACUCAGAGGAGAAGAGAGCCAAGCGGCUGCCUUCCUCCCCUUUUCUUAUUCCCUGGCCGAGUAGUAAUCACGCGGGAUCCGGCUUUUGUUCUUCCUAUUUUCUAGCUUUCUAAAAACACAUUGAACUUCCUCCCUCACAAUCCGUAGUAAAUGAUUCCAAAAAAAUCUCCUACUAUAGGAAAACUAACUUCCUAAAAGAUAGGUACUCAAGCGCUUAAAAGUCUCCUAAACCAACCCAAUUACUAAUUAGAAACUUGGCAAAUAAUAUCAUCUUCCAAUUAUGAUGACGACUCCCACUUGGAUUAGGAUACUGCCCGGCAUAGAAUCCCGCGCACUCCAGACUUGAUUGAUGUCUUCUCACGCGUCCACACUUUCUUGGAGGAAAAUCUUCUAAAAACUGUUAUUUCUGCACUUUCUUUCUCCAAUUGGCUAAACAUCCCCUAAACAUAAAAUUCAAACAAAAUAUGUCCAUUAAUGCAAUAUCCAAUCCAAUAAGAAAAGGAAAUUAUAAGAAAAUUAAUGCUAAAUUAGCGUUCUAUCAUUGUUUUACUAACAUAACUGCUAUCAUUCCUGAAAUUUUCCUGCUCAAAGCAUCAGCAACCUUGUUUGCUUUUUCUGGAUGAUAACUAAUGGUAAGAUCAUAAUCUUUCAUUAACUCAAGCCAUCUUCGUUGUCUCAUGUUUAGCUCUUUCUGCGUGAACAAAUACUUUACGCUUUUAUGAUCUGUAAAGACUUCACAUUGCUCCCCAUACAAGUAGUGCCUCUAAAUCUUCAAGGCAAAAACAAUGCCUGCCAAUUGCAAAUCAUGUGUAGGAUAGUUGUGUUCAUACCGCUUCAAUUGACAAGAUGCAUAAGCUAUGACCUUCUCAUUUUGCAUUAGCACACAUCCCAACCCAUUUUUGGAUGUAUCGCUAUAAAUAGUGAAACCUCCAGAUCUAGAAGGUAAGGUGAGAACUGGUGCCGAAACAAGCUUAUUCUUUAAUUCUUGAAAACUAUUUUAACAUUUAGGUGUCCACUCAAACUUAACAUGCUUUUGAGUUAAACAACUCAAGGACAAAGCAAUAGUAGAAAGUCCUUCAACAAAAUUUCUAUAGUAGCCAACUAAGCUCAGAAAACUCCUCAAUUCUACCACAUCAGUAGGUCGGGGACAAUCCACAAUAGAUUCUAUCUUCUUAGGAUCCACAAAGACACCAUCUUGAGAAAUAACAUGCCCAAGGAAGGACACACUUUGAAGCCAAAAUUCACAUUUGUUGAGUUUUGUAUAAAGUUUCUCACGCCUCAAGAUUUGUAAAACAUCUCGCAGGUGAUUUUCGUGCUCUGCUUCACUUGGAGAGUACACCAAUAUAUCAUCAAUGAACACCACCACAAAUCGGUCUAAUUGCUUUUUGAAUAUCCUAUUCAUCAAAUCCAUAAAGGCUGCAGGAGCAUUAGUCAACCCUAAAGGCAUGACGAGAAAUUCAUAAUGGCCAUACCUUAUUCUAAAUGCACUCUUUGGAAUAUCUUGCAGUUUAAUCCUUAAUUGAUGGUAUCUGUAAUGAAGAUCGAUUUUUGAAAACACCUUAGCCCUUUUAAAUUGAUCAAACAGGUCGUCAAUACGAGGCAAUGGAUACUUGUUCUUGAUCAUAAUUUUAUUGAGCUCCCAAUAAUCAAUGCACAAUUGCAUACUUCCAUCCUUCUUCUCUACAAAUAAAACUGAUGCACCCCAAGGGGAUACACUUGGUCGAAUCAAUUUCUUGUCAAGCAACUCCUGAACUUGAACUUUAAGCUCCUUCAACUCUGUGGGGGCCAUCCGAUAGGGUGCCUUAGAUAUAGGUUCUAAGUUGAGUAUUACAUUAAUCUCAAAAUCAAUUUCUCUCUUGGGAGGUAGACCUAAUAAGUCAUUUGAAAACACAUCUGAAAAUUCUCUUGCAAUUGGGAUAUCCUCAAGUUUUAUCUCUUUCUUACUAGAGUCUACUAUAUAAGUCAGAAAACAUUCACAUCCCUUCCUAAUUGCUCUCCAAGUUUGUAUGGCAGAUAAAAUGGGUAGAGACUUCUUCUUUGGUUUUCCUCAACACCCUUGAAAAGAUAAAGGUGGAAUGUUUGGGGUUUAAAAAUCAACACUUUUACACAUACAAUCUAUAUGGGCAUAAUUUUGUGAUAGCCAAUCCAUACCUAAGAUAGCAUCAAAUUAUAUUCAAUUACACUAGAUUUGCCUUAAACUCUCUCCCACCUAAAUCUAAAGUACAACCUUCAUACAUAAGGUGAGAAACUAAAACUUUUCCCCCGGGAAUGGCUACACGAUACGGGUCAUCCAAAACACAGGGUUUAAUAUCUAACUCUCAUGCAAACUUCUUUGAAAUGAAAGAAUGGCAAGCCCCACAACCAAAUAACACAUCCGCUGGAAGAGAAUUAAUCAUUUCCAUACUUGUCACAACAUCCUCUACUCCUGCUGCUUCUUGUUCAGUCACCUUAGAGAUUGUGUAAGGUCGAUCUGCACUAGAAUUCAAGCUAUUUCCUAGCCUAUUGUUGCCUCUAGUUUGCUUAGAAUUCGGGCAAUUACUCACUUUAUGCCCCAUUUCUCCACAACUAAAACAAGCUCCCGUUUUCCACCUGCAUUCUCCCGAAUGAACCCGAUGACAAUAAUCACACAACUUAGAUGGGUUAGUAGGUAGAUACCUUGGAAAAGGUUGUUGAGAAGAAUUAGCCUAUUGCGAAACUAUAGGUCUUGGUAACGGUGCUUGUCGGGGAGGUUGCAUUGGUCGAAGAGGUUGCAUUACACGAGAAGGCUAACCAUGUUGACGAAGUUGGCCUUGCAUUACGAUUUAUCUAUUUCUCCUUUGUCUCGUCUCUUCAUCCUCCUGAAGAAUGUCUUGUUCAACAUCUAAACUAGCUUCAUACAUUUGGUCACAAUUGGCAUAGAAAUUUUCAGAUAUUUUUGAUUGAAUCUGACUAUUCAAUCCUCCCUUAAAGGAGACCAUCUUCAUAGUCUCAUCGGCCAUUGUAGAAGGGACGAAGCAUCCCAAGGAGAGAAAAAUAGUGUUACUCACCCACAGACAUGGAACCUUGAUUAAGGUUAUUGAAUAUUCGAAUAUUUUGAACUCGAAUAGCUGGUGGAAAGUAAUGCUGUAGAAACAUCUUUUUGAACUCAUCCCAUGUCAAAGUACAACCUGAAGAAACCAUGGUCAGGGCUACACCAUCCCACCAUUUCUCUGCUUCACCAAGAAAGAUGUCACUACUUGAGGUCGAAUAUCUUCUGGCACCAUCAUAGUUUGGAAUUUGUUCUCAAUUUGGGAUAACUAUCUCUCUGCCACAUUCAAGUUUGGACCUCCAUCAAAAGUAGGCAAAUAGACCUUGCUAAACUCCUUGAAAUGGUACUUAACACUAACCCAUACCUUGCUCUCUUUCUUCUUGUUGUUGUUGUUGAUAUUGCUGCCAUCCAUGCAUGAACUAAUAUGCCACAGAUAAGGUAGUUGGAUCUAAUUUUAUUAUGACACCCAAACUUUUGCAUUUUAGCCCCAUAUGUGGUAAACUAAUUUCAUUAACUCUACCAUGACAUCUUAUCUUUUAUAAUUUAGUCUCGUAUAUGAUAAAUCGAUAUCAUUAAUUCUAUUAUGGCACCCUAUCCUUUGCACUUUAUCCUAUGUUUUUUUCAUUAGCAAAAUGCGGAAGGUAUUGUAAUAAAAAAAUGUAUAUAUAUUUUAUAAUUGAUCCAAAUUUAGUUAAUAACUUGGUAUAAAGUUAAAAAAUAUCAUGGAUUCCCUAUCCAGUUCUCUUGACAACACCUAGAAAAUUAUUGAUUAGCAUAGUAGGAAAACAAUGGCAAAGAAGAAUAAAUUUUAAUAUGAAAUUAAGUAAAGUCUUGACAAUUGGAUGGCUAGAGUUUAUUAUUAAUUACACUAGUCACAUUGUUUAUGGUUUAUGAAUCAGUACUUGUACUAAAUACAUUUAGUGUUUCAUGCAUGUAUUAGCAAACUAUUUUGGUUAUUUGAUCAACUAAACAUAUUGUUAGGUCUUGUCAGACCAUAAUUCGUACAUAAUUGACAAAAUUAUUAAAUUAAAACAAAAAAUAUUUACAUUAAAAGAUUUUUUUUGAAUCAUAAACAUAUUUUUAAUAAGCUUUUUAGUUUUUGAACAUUAUUUUUUUGUAGAGAUAAAAAAACCUAUGUUAGUAAAAAAAAUUAUCAAAAAACACUAAAUUUUCAUAUUCUAAAAUUUUAAUACAACAAAUAAAGUUUUAAUAUAACUUGUGAGCUAACAACUCAAAAUAAUAACCAAUUUUAAUUACACAGAGAUGGGGGAAAAAAGAGAGAUAUUAGAGAAGGCAUUGUUUUUGUAAAGAAAGGUCCAAAUAGUUUGUAUAAAAGUCACUUGAAAGUGUUAUUUUUUGGCUGAAGCUAAAAUGGAAGCGGGAAUUGAAAAUUGAAAGAGUAGAGGCGGGUGAACAAAAGAAGCAGAAACGACGUCAUUUUAGCAAGAGUUAAACAAAAACACUCAUAACACUUAGAAAAAUUUCGGACAAAACUUGCUUUCCCCCUUCUUGCCAACUUCGGACACUACAUCUUCUCCUUCUCUCCAUUAUCAUCUUGCUGAAAUUAUCCAGAAAAUCAUUUUAACCCAUCAUUUUCAUCCGUAAUUUCAGCUACCCAAAAGAUUUGGGCAGCUUUAGUGGAGUUGUAGAUAGCAAAAAUCCUUAAGUCGGGGUAGCACUUGCUUGCUGGCAAGAACACAGAAAAUUGACCAUGAAUUUUUGGGGAAAGCCAAAGUUUGAAGACUGAAUCUUAAGGAAACAAGAGCUAAGGUUGUCACAGCAUAAUUUGAGGUAAAUAAUCUGUUACAUUUUUCCAUCUAGUUUCGAUAUUUUCUGUCAAAUGUAGGUCGAGUGAGCUGAAUCUUGAGUUUAUGGGCCCAAUCUUCCACUUUAAUCUUUCAAUGGUGAGGGAUUGAGAGAGUUUUGAAAGUGAAACAAAGUGAAAGGGAAGCUAUCCUUUGUGAACUGUCCAGACCCCCUAAGAAAAUUCAUGUUUGAAUUUUGGAUGUGGAAAUUUUACUUGUAGCGAACUAUUUUUCUGAGUUUGAUAUGUUAAAAAUUGAAACAUUUUUGUGUAGUUGAUAGCGAUUUAUUAUAAUUGUUGGAGAAAGUUAAUAACAUGUGCUGUUUUUUAUGUAAUUUUUCAGUUCUAAUUCUAUUUGUAAGAGUAGCUACAUAUUAUAAUGGCUUACAUACAACUGAUUUUGAGGUAAUAGUGCUUUAAUAUUCUAUAAGUCAAGUAUCCUUUUGGGAGCCAAUUCGAUAUUUAGUUUCUAAGAGCUUAGAAGAAAUUUUGAUCAGUUUGGCGACUUCUAGAUAUUGAGGGAAUGAGAAGCUAUGCAAAGCGAGUGGAUUAUGUUGUUGGUAAGUGGAAGUGAGGCAGAUUGUAUAAUCUUAACUUAUGGCCUUUGACUUUAGAAGUUAACUGUAUAAACUUACCAUUACCACACACUAAUUAGACAUUGUUUACUCUGAUGUGGAGAAACAAACUCCUAAAUUGAUAAAUUCAUGUUAUUGUUAUGAUUGUUUUAUUGCACAUUAUGGUGUUAGUGUUGCAGUAGAGUUUACUAUGGCUUUUUAAGAUUCCUCCCUAUUGAAUUAGAGUUUUUGACCUGGAUUUACCAACUGAACGUGAAAGAUUCUGCAACAAAUAAAUGUUAGCUUUGGAGUAGAAAAGCAUUGUUGUCCACCCUGUAGUUGUAUUUGUUAGAGAAGUUAUUAAGGGGACCAAGAAUAAGCCAAUCUGUAAUGGCUUAUACAGUUAAAUAAGCCAUUAUGAAUAAAGUAGUAGUUUAGCCAUUACAAUCUGUAAUGUCAUCUGCACAUUAAUGCUUUUGCAUUGUAAUGAGAAAGUGGACUCUAUUUUGAAAAUUAUGCACUAUGUUUAAGUUUGGAGCAGCAUUAACUCAUUAUUCUGCGGCAAAUGUCUUAUACAUUUGCACGGGUAAUUAGCUCUUCAAUGCAUGUUUACUUGCUAUGUAGAGACAUUUUCACUCUGAAAUGCAACCUAAUCUGUGAUGUUUGCUUGUAAGAGAGGUGCUGCAUGUUUAUUUGAAGAGUAUAGUGCUCAAACUCGCUCAAACGAUGACUAAUGAUAGUGGUGUUUCUGACAUAAUACAUGUAAGUGUACUUUGAAACUUCUUAUUAAUUAACUCUAAAGAUUUUGAAGCUAUUCUGUGGCAUGUCAUCUUAGACAAGUUGUGUUUGACUUUGAUAUGAUUCAUAGCCUCCAAAAGAUGUGGAUUCCAAUUUGGUCUGGUUUGUUGGAGUCUCAAGAUUCUCCUAACUUCAACUUUUAUUUCUUUCCCUUUUUUCUUUGGCUUCUUUAUAUGGAAUUUUUUUGUAAAGUUAUUUUAUUGAGCAACCAAGUUAAUGCCGCAUCAAAGAUUUCAUUGGCAAGUUACUUAUUAAGUUACUAGCAGGCAUAACUGUGGCGUUGCGCGGUGGAUUAGAUAGCAUGUAUGCCUAUUUAGGUAUGAAUAAAUAGACAUUACAUGAAUAGUGAUAAUGUCACGGAAUUAAACAUCUUUUUUUUCAAUACGGAAUUAAAUACCUUGUGGUUACAUUAUCUAAGUUUUAUUUGUUUAGAUCCAUAUUCCGCGCUAAUUAAUCAUUAAUAUAUCCAUGAACGUCUAGAAGAAGGUAAGCAUUUAAUCGAAUUAAAAUUUAAUAAUAAUAUAAAAACAAUAUAGAAAGCAAUAUAACUUUGGAGAUCAAGAAUGUAAAUUUAAAAUUUAUGAUAGACAGAAUAAGGGGUAGAAAUUGGAACUCAAAACAAGGUUAAUUCUAUUUAAGGCAUUUAGAAGUACCAAACCAGAAAUUGGCACACUGCAUCGGACAAAAGCAAUUGCAUUAAUGAUUUGGAGUCUACUUACAUAAUAUUUAGAUCCUGAACAGGCAAUGCUAAGGGUACAUAAUUUCUAUAUGUUAAUCUCAGUUCUUAGCUUUUGAUGAUUACAAAACAAAUGGAUGUUGCUAAUAUCUCCUCAAAGACCUUUUUAGAAAUGAAGCAAAUUAGGUUCAAAGAUGAACCUGUUGUUGAAGCUGUCGGACACACAAAAAAACUGGAUCAGACGUUCGACAAUCAUUGAACAACUUCGGAUGUAUAAUGAACUCCAUUACCGGACAUCCGAAAGAAAUCAAACACCUCCUUAAGUUCACUGACCUCGAUCGGACGUAGAACAUUAAAGCACCGGACGUCCACAGAAUUGAAGAAGGAUUCUCAAACUUUACCAUCUGCUUUCGGGGGCAAACUUUGGAGGUACCGGACGUCCGAAAGAAUUAAAGAAAUUUUUUCUUACUCUCUGCCUGCUGUCGGACACAAGAAACAAGACUACCGGAUGUCCGACACUACCAACGGUUAGUUGAUUUUUCAGCUACCUUCUAUUCGUUAGAAGCUUAAAUGAAGGAAUUUUUUGGUCUCCUAUCAAUAGAGCAAAGUCAACCACUUCAAAUUACUUUUGCUCAUUGAAACUACAAAAGAUCGAGAGCAAUUUUAGUGAGAAAAUUCUCUUCAAAGAAGAUUUGUACUCUUAGUUGUGUAGAUUUCGUACAAGCUUUUCUUGUGUGAGAAAAUUACUUCAAUAGUGUAGCUUUGUAAGGGUUAUCCGAGUGAUAAUAAAACUUGCUAACUUGACCAAGUGUGGUUUGGAGCAAGGAGAAAGUGAUCCUUUUUUUGUGCACAUAGAUUGGUUGUAAUUGAUUAACUUGAAGAAACUUACUCUAUAAAGUGAUAUUCAAACUCAAGAGGAGUUUGAAAUUUGGUUUGCUAUUCUAUCUCUUUUAUUUACUAUACUGCAAUAUAAAUUGUUCAUCUCUUCUACUCACGGACAUUUGUACUUUCUCAUUAUUUGUUCCAUUGUAUGGUCAUCUAGAAAGAGGGUAAAUUUCAUAUUCAACCAAAAAGUGUCUCAUAAUUUGGUUAGUUUUUAAUUUACCUAAUUCACCCCCGUCUUACGUUGUUUUCGAUCCUUACAAUUGGUAUCAGAGUUUGGUCUCCUAGAGAUUAAGCUCAAUCGGCUUUGGAAUAAAAAUGACAACCAACAAUGCCAUGUUUUUUGAAGGAUAAUCUGUCACUAGACCCCCAAUGUUUAAUGGAUCCAAUUAUGUGAAUUGGAAGGAAAGAAUGAUUAUGUUCUUGUAAUCUAUUGAUAUUGAACUAUGGUUUAUUGUUAAUGAAGGUUCAUUUGAAUAACUCUACAAUUGAUGAAGCCACUCAUAGACUAAGACCAAAAAUCAGAAAUGAGUUGACUGCUGAGAAUAAAUCUCAUCUCACCUUGAAUACCAAAGGUAUGAAUGUGUUGUAUAGUGCUUUAGAUUCAAAUGAGUCUAUUAGAGUCAAAGGUUGCCGAUCUGCAAAAGAAAUUUGGGAUAAACUAAGAGAGAUCCAUGAAGGAAGUGAGAAUGUAAGAGAAUAAAAGAAAUCAAUCCUAGUUAUUAAGUAUGAAUCAUUUAAGAUGGAACCUUAUGAAAACAUUGAUAAGAUGUAUUGUAAAUUCAAUGAUCUCAUUAAAGAUUUAGAGGUGCUGGAAAAUGAAUACACCUUAGGUGAGAAAAAUAGAAAGAUUUUGAAUGCACUGACCAAAGAUUGGGAGAGUAAAGUGACUUCCAUUGAAAAAGCUAAAGAUCUAAAUACUAUGUCUAUUGAAUCUCUCAUUAAUUCUCUAACUUCUUAUGAGUUGAACCUUAAGUCUAAGGUACAAGAGGAGGAAGAUGCAAAAGUGAGAAGGAGCAUUGCUCUAAAAACUUCUCAAGAUGAAGAUGAUUCAACUUCCUUAGAUGGAGAUAAUGUAGAAGUUGAUGACAAUGAUCUUGCUCUUAUCACAAGGAGUUUUAAAAGAAUCCUCAACAAAAGGAGAUUUAGAAGAAGAGGACCUAGCAAUACAUUUUCUAAUCAGUUCAAUAAUUCAAGAAACAAAGGAAAAUAAGAGACUAAUAAAAAGCAAGCAGACAAAUACUUUGAAUGCGGCCAACUUGGACACUACAUGAGUGAGUGUCCAAUGAAGAAGAAGAAAGAAGGAAAAGUUGAACGAAAAUCAAAGUUCAACAACUUUCAAAUUACAUGGAAUGAUUGUAACUCAGAUGGUGAUAUCGAAGAGAAAGAGGAAUCUGCUCAAAUGGCUUUCAUGGCCAUUGAUGAUGAUGAGGUAACUACUUGCAACUGUCAACCUGUUGGUGAUGAUGAAUCUAAAGAUGAUGUUGAGUCUUUCAUUGAGAGAUUGCAUAAUAGCUUAAAAGAAUCGUAUGCUAGAAACAAGGAACUAAAAUAGAAAAUUAAUUUUUUGAUUCAAAACAAUGCAAAUCUUUUUCGACAAAACAAAAUGCGGAAAGCUGAAAAUGACUGCUUGAAAAAGGAUGAAAAUGUUCUACUUUUUGAGCUUGAUAGAAAAACAAAGCUGUGUGAAUUGUUCAAAAAGGAACAAGGUGACUUGAAAAGAAGAAUGGAUGGCCUAGAUAAAUUGCUUAAACAUACGAAACAAGACUGCUUUCAAAAGAGUGAAUCAAAACCUCACUUUGACAUUCACAAGAAAAGGUUGAACUCUAAUGCAAACGAAUUUAACAUCUAUAAAAGAAGGUAAGUUAGAUUUAUUAAACCUGUCUUUGUAGGAAACUCACUGACUAUGUGUAGCUUUUGUUGUCAAGUUGGUCACAUGAAAAAUAAUUACUAUGUAAGAAAGAAUAUGAGAAAUGACAUGAAAUGCAUGUGGAUAGUUAGACAUAAUGUUAACUCUCAAGGACCCAAAAAGUAGUUGGGUACCAAAUAUCAUCUUGUGAACUUUUGUGUAGGUGAGAUUGGUGAAUGUUAUUAAAGAAUCAAAAUGGUUCAUAGAUAGUAGAUGCUUAAGGCAUAUGACUGGUGAUCCCUCACAGUUCAUCAAACUCAAGUCAAAAUCAAGUGGAAAAGUAACAUUUGGACAUGAUAACAAAGCCAAAACAGUUGGAGUUAGAGAUGUUGGUAAGAAUGGCCAAACUUUUGUUCACAAUGCUCUUCUAGUUGAUAAUCUGAGUUAUAAUUUGUUGAGUGUUAGUCAAUUGUGUGACAGAAAUCUGUUUGUGCUAUUUAAAAGGCAUGAAUAUCUUAUUCUUGACUCAAAAUUUAACAUUAUUUUCAAAGAAAAAAGAGUGAAUGACAUUUAUGUAGUUAUUCUAGAAAAUAUUGAUUCUUUCAUCCUUAAAUGUCUUAAAACUGCAGAUGAGGAUCUUUGGUUGUAACAUAGAAGAUUUUGUCACUUCAAUAUAAAUUUGUUAAAAAAAAUUUCAAAAAAGAACUUGUUAGAAAUUUAUCAAAAAUUAACUUUGAAAAAGACAAAAUUUGUGAUGCUUGUCAAAUUGGAAAACAAGUAAAAGUUUCUUCAAAUCUAAGAAUUGUGUUUCUACUUCAAAACCACUGGAUCUUUUACAUCUUGAUUUAUUUGGUCCUACACAAAUUGCUAGUUUGGGUGAUAAAAUAUAUUAUUUGAUUAUUGUUGAUGAUUAUUUUAAAUACACUUGGGUUAUAUUUCUUGCUCAAAAGGAUGAUACUUUCAAAAGUUUUGUUUCAUUAUUUGCAAAAGUUCAAAAUCUGAUUGGAUUGAAAAUUAUCAAGAUUAGAAGUGACAAUGGCUCGGAAUUUAAAUUUUGUGGUUUUCCAGAAUUUUGUGAUAACAAUAGAAUCACAAUGAGUUUUCAAUUGCUAGAACUCCUCAACAAAAUGGUGUUGUUGAAAGAAAAAAUAGAACUCUUCAAGAAACCGUACGAACUAUGUUAAAGUGAAUGUAACUUACUAAAAUAUUUUUGGGCCGAAACCGUUAAUACCACAUGUUAUGCUAUGAAUAGAGUUCUUUUGAGACCUAUUUUAAACAAAACCUCUUAUGAGUUAAUGUUUGAUAAAAAGCCAAUUGUUAGUUAGUUCAAAGUUUCUGGUUGCAAAUGCUUUAUUUUAAAUAUCAAGAAACACUUUGGAAAGUUUGAAAAGAAAUCUGAUGAAGGUAUUUUUUUGGGAUAUUGUGAUAACAAAAGAGGCUUUAGAGUCUAUAAUAGAAGGACUCUUGUUAUUGAAGAAGCUAUACAUGUCACCUUUGAUGAAUCUAAUGAUAAUAUUUUCAAAAGUAGUUGUGAGGAUGAUGAUGUAGGUGUCCAAGAAGGACUCAAGAAACUCACAAUUCAUGAUCAAAACGAUACUCCACAAGAAGAGAGCUCAAAAAAAGAUAAUCCCCAAGAUAGUCAAGCAUUAGAAGAAAAUGACAAUCAUGGUGAUGCACCUAGGAAUCUUCCAAAGGUUUGAAAGUUUGUUCAAAAUCAUCCUAAGGAAUUCAUUAUUGGUUAUCCAUCCGAAAAGGUAAGAACUCGUUCCUCUUCAAAACAAUUGAUGGACAAUUUUGCUUUGGUCUCACAUUUUGAACCAAAAAAUAUUAUUGAUGCAUUGAAAGAUGAAAACUGGAUUUUAACUAUGGAAGAGGAACUAAAUCAAUUUGAAAGGAACAAGAUGUGGACAUUAGUUGAAAAAUCUCAUGAUCAUCCUAUUAUUGGCACAAAAUAGGUGUUUAGAAAUAAAAUGACUGACAAAGGUGAAGUGGUGAGAAAUAAGGCUAGACUAGUUCUUAAGGGGUAUGCUCAAGAAGAAAGAAUAGACUUUGAUGAAACAUUUACUCCCAUAGCAAGACUAGAAUCUAUUAGAAUGUUUUUGGCAUUUACACGUUUCAAGAAUUUUAAAUUAUUUCAAAUGGAUGUUAAAAGUACUUUCUUAAAUAGUUUUAUUGAUCAAGAGAUAUAUGUUGAUCAACCUCCCGGUUUUGAGAAUGAAAUGUUUCCAAAUCAUGUGUUUAAACUCUUAAAAACUUUGUAUGGUUUAAAACAAGCUCCAAGAGUAUGAUAUGAAUGCUUAAGUGGUUUCUUGAUUGAAAAUGGUUUUGAAAGGGGCAUUAUAAACACCACUUUUUUCACCAAACGAUGUUCCAAUGAUCUACUAAUUGUGCAAAUAUAUGUUAAUGAUAUUAACUUUGGUGCUACUAAUGAGUAUUUGUGUAUGAAUUUUUUCAACUAUUAUGCAAAAAGAGUUUGAGAUGAGCAUAAUGGGAGAAUUGAAUUUUUUUCUUGGGUUUCAAGUGGAACAAACUCGAGAAUAAACAUUCAUUAAUCAAGCUAAAUACACCAAGGAACUGCUCAAAAGGUUCGGUAUGGAGGAAUCAAAACAAGUUGGAACACCAAUGUGCACAUCUAUCAAACUUGACAAGGAUGAAGGAGGUAUAAAUGUUGAUGAAAAGAAGUAUAGAGGUAUGAUUGGCAGCUUACUUUAUUUAACUGCAAGUAGACUUGAUAUCAUGUUUGCUAUUUACUUGUGUGCUGGUUUCCAAUUUUGUACAAAAGAAUCUCACUUGCUUGCUGUGAAAACAAUUUUUAAAUAUUUGAAAAGAACAUUGAACUAUGGUCUUUGGUAUCCUAGAUGUCAUGAAUGUCCUUUAUAUGGUUUCUCGGAUGCUGACUUUGGUGGAUGUAGAAUAGAUAGAAAGAGUACUAGUAGUACAUGCCACUUUCUAGGUAAUUGUUUAGUAUUUUGGUUAAGUAAGAAAUAAAAUCCUAUUUCAUUGUCUACGGCCGAAACGGAAUAUGUUACCACUAGUGCAUGUUAUACUCAAUUGAUGUAGAUGAAAAGUACCUUGAAUGAUUUUGGAUUAGUAUAUGAUUGUGUGCCUGUGUGUUGUGACAAUACAAAUGCGAUAAAUUUGACAAAAAAAUCUCAUUCAACAUUCUGGGAUAAAGCAUAUUGACAUAAAGCAUCAUUUCAUUAGAGAUCUCCUCCAAAAAGAUGAAAUUUGUGUGCAAUAUGUUUGUUCAAAGGAUCAAAGUACUAACAUUCUCACAAAAGCCCUUUCACUAGAUCAGUUUAUAUUUUUAAGAACAAAAUUGGGUAUUAUUGAAAAGUUUUUUUGAAAAAUUAUCUGGUCACACUUUAUCAAACGUCUGACAGUGUUCUUGAUCACUUUUCCAGAAAAUUUGGUUUUGGACGAUAGUGUCGGACGCUUCACUUCGUUCAACCGUCCAACACUCUAAAUAUGCUUGUUAUAAGUCAAUUUUCUCCUUCAUUCAGUUUAUUUUCUAUCCGUUAUAUCAGACGCAACUUCUCAUCCUCUCCUAUUUUCAAAUUUCAAAAUUCGUCUAUCUUCUGAACAAGUUCCAAGAAAUUAAUUAGUUCAAAGCCUUUACACUCUUUUUACCCGUUCAUAACCCCUCAUAACUUCCUCUAACUGCCAACUGGUCUAUAAAUCCCAAUUUUCACCCGAAACCCUAGUCACUCAAAAGUCACUCUCUCUGGAUGAUUCAAGCCCUCAUUAUAAUUAAUACCGCAUUUUUAGUCAGUCUCAUACAUAUUUGCAUCAUUCUCCAUAACAAAAACAAUCUGCAUUUCAUCAUGGUAAGAAUUAGGGGAGGAUCUGUCAGUGCAAGACGCACCACCAGGUUCAGGUUGAGGGAUGAAGAUACUGAAAUUAUUGAGCCCUCUACCACUAAAUUUCCAAAAAGGGCGACAAAAAAACAUGGUGGAAAAGGGAAAGGUUCGGCCCAAAAAAAACAUUCAAAGGAAUGGCAAACUACUUCCGCUGAGCAAACUGCAUUACCUCUUAUCAGUGAUAGUGAAGAGGAACUGGAGCAGCUUACUAAUGUUGACGCAUCUGUCACGAAAUCACCCAGAAAAGGGACUGAACCUCAUUGUAAAAAGGGGAAAUGGUCUGCUAAAAAGAAUGGGACAGUUCAAACUAAGGAAAGGCAAACUGCUGAUCCUUCUGUUGAGCAAAUUGAGGAACAGCAGACUGUUGAGCAAAAUGCUAAGAAUCAGCAAGCUACUGAGACUUCCACCAGAAAGUCACCAAGAACAAGGUCUGGUGGACAGACCGAUAUACAUGAUACUCCUCGAAAUGGAAAGAGGAAACGAACUGCCAGGGAGCAACCUGAGGCUCAGAUUGCAGAGGAAUCUACCUCAUUGCCAAAGUUCAUUGAUGAUGAUGCCCGAGAUAGGUUCAAAUGGGUUUCUCAGAAGGACUUCAUCACCCAAUGGACAAUUAUCCCUCAUGAAUUCCGUAAGUUUGACCUUGAACCUGUCAUUAAGCUCUUUGAAUUCCAAAAAUGGAUUCAUAUUUUGACCAUUCCCAACACCUACUACCCUGACAUGCUUCAUCAAUUUUUUGUCAAUCUCAGGAAGGGUAAAUCCCAUACUGAUCUAGUCUCACGAGUAAAUUCUGUUGAUAUAGAAUUAAAUCCUGAUAUUGUCAACACUGUUAUGAAAAUCAAAAUUGAAUAUGGUUUUAAAGGAAAAAUUGCUAACUUUUUCUCAUAUGAACAAUUUCUUUCUGCCUAUAAUCACUUUCAUAUUGCAAAACUGAUGACUUAUUUUCAAACUCAUUUUAAUACUCCUACUGAGGCAAGAUUGGAAGAUCUCAAUCCUCAAAAUUUGAUCAUCUUCUCUAUAAUUUCAUCUAUUAGUUCCUACUGAUGGUUAUAGGACAAAUGCCAACAAAAUGGAGCUUUACCUGUUUUCCUGCUUUCUUGAAAAAAUUUGAAUUGAUUUCGGCUUUGUUAUGUGUAAAUUCUUACUCAAAAUCAGCACUGAUAGCCGUAGAAAACUUUCCUAUGAAAAAUUUCUGAUCCCAAUUUUUGCUCAUUUCAAAAUUCCCUUCACUGACAAAUCACCAAAAGAAAGUACAUCUAUUGUCUUUUCAAAGGCAUAUUUUGAAAGAAAAAAUCUGAUGUUUUUUGAUGGAAAAUGGUGCUACAAGGAAACUGUUUUGGAGACUAGGAGAAAGAAUCAUCAUGAAACACCUAUCUCCCCUAGGACUCCUCAAGAUCAGUCCAUGUAUAUUUCAUCCUUUACUAUCCAUCCUAGAAGGUUAGCCACUAAGCCCUCUUCAACUAACUCUGAGGUUAUUUCUUUGCUUGAAAAUCUCAAACAACACAUCCUACUCCUUGAAAAUAGUCUAAUGAUGACCGUGUCACCCGACCAACAAGCCACCUUCAUUGACAAAAGAAAUUUGCAUGUACCUCCUGUUCCUCAAGACAAUGAGAAUGUACACCAAAAGGGACCUAGAAUUGAGUCAACUGAGCAAACUCCUCGUACUGAAACUACUCUAGAGAUUCGUGCUUCCAGUUCUCAUCCACAGGACAAGGGAAAGGCUCCAGCAACUGAAGCGGAAACUGAAGAGGAUGAUGAUGAGGAAACUAAAGAGGAAGAAGUGGAUCCUGCUCAGUUUCGCCUAGCAAGAAGGAGGUCUGGAUCGUCCAAGAUUACAAUUUAGGCACCUCUAGGCUCGUGCACUUCAUGUUUAAGUAGGCAUCUCAUAUUAGACAUUUGCAUCUUCGGCAUUUUAACAUUUCAAGUACUCUGUACUCAAGAUUCUGGUUGUUUGGUUAACUCUUCUGGCUUAUAAACUAUUCGGUUAACUUCUCUAUGUUGAAUGGUUUCUAAUUAAUUUUGUUGGUUAUCUUUUUGGUUAAUUCUGUUUGCUUCUGGGUGCUUGGUAUCCCUGUGACUUCUGAUUUUUAACAUUGUUUGCUGAUAUUGGUGAUUGUUGAUUUUGUUGGAUAUUCUUGGUUAAUGAUGUUGUUGAUGACAUUGAUGUUGGAUACAGGAUUGGAAUUGGAUUUGAAUUGUAUUAAUGUCACUGGCUAUUAAGAUCUUCUAAUGAUGACAAAAAGGGGAAGAAAUGAUAACAAGUUACUACAGGAAAUGUAAUCUGGUAAAUACGUGAGGGGUAGCUAUUCUGAGGGAGAGUGUCUACCUUUUUUGAUUCAUUAAGUGAGGGGGAGUUUUUAACUUAAUUAUUUUCCUCCAUCCACUGUUUUGUCAUCAUCAGAAAAUGGGAGAUUGUUAAUCUCAGUUCUUAUCUUUUGAUGAUUACAAAACAAAUGGAUGUUACUAAUAUCUCCUCAAAGACUUUUUUAGAAAUGAAGCAAAUCAGGUUCAAAGAUGAAACUGUUGCUGAAGCUGUCGGACAUACAAAAAAACUGGAUCGGAUGUCUGACAAUCAUUGAGCAACUUCGAACGUAUGAGGAACUCCAUCACCGGACGUCCGAAAGAAAUCAAAACUCUUCCUUAAAUUCACUAAUCUCGAUCGAACGCAGCACCGGACGUCCGAUAGAAUUGAAAAGGAUUUUCAAACUUUACCAUCAACUUUCGGACGCAAACUUUGGAGGUACCGAAAGUCCAAAAGAAUUAAAGAAAAUUUUUCUUGCUCUCUGCCUGCUGUCGGACGUAAGAAACAAGACUACCGGACGUCCGACGCUACCAAUGGCUAGUUGACUGUUCAACUGCCUUCUAUCCGUUGGAAGCUUUAAUGAAGGAAUUUUUUGGUCUCCUAUAAAUAGAGUAAAGUCAACCACUUUAAAAUACUUUUGCACAUUGAAACUACAAAAGAUCUAGAGCAAUUUUAGUGAGAAAAUUCUCUUCAAAGAAGAUUUAUACUCUUAGUUGUGUAGAUUUCGUAUAAGCUUUUCUUGUGUGAGAAAAUUACUUCAAUAGUAUAGCUUUGUGAGGGUUAUCCGAGUGAUAGUAAAACUUCCUAAUUUAACCAAGUAUAGCUUGGAACAAGGAGGAAGUAAUCCUUCUUUUGUGCACAUAGAUUGGUUGUAAUCGAUCAACUUGAAGAAGCUUGCUCUAUAAAGUGAUGUUCAAACUCAAGAGAAGUUUGGAAUUUGGUUUGCUAUUCUAUCUCUUUUAUUUACUAUACUGCAAUAUAAAUUAUUCAUCUCUUCUACUCACGAGCAUUUGUGCUUUUUCAUUAUUUGUUCCAUUGUGUGCUCAUCUAGAAAAGAGGGUAAAUUUCAUAUUCAAUCAAAAAGUGUCUCAUAAUUUGGUUAGUUUUUAAUUACCUAAAUCACCCCUCUCUUAGGUUGUCUUCGAUUCUUAUACUAUAAUUUCUAUUCCACUGGCUCCAAAGAUCAAUACAGCAAUUGAAGUACGAGGCUGAGCAAGAAAGAACAAAAUGUCUCCGUCUUCUAACCUAUGAGCUAUAACAAAGUCACUCCAUCUUCGAUGAAAGCCAUCUUUUAUGAUUCCAAUAUUGUAACUUUUGGUUCCACUUGUUAGAACAAUAUCUAGAGUCCAAGGCUCAACUACAUUUAAUCAGUGUGCUCUAGAAUUUUCUACAAGCAAAAAGCAAGGCAUAAGAAUGUAAAGGAAUUAUGUUGCAAAAUAGAAGGAUUUGUCUUAAAAUAUAUAUAUGUAUAUACCGUGCUAUAUCUAAAUCUUUGAGUAUAAACUUAGAGCGCAUUUAGCACCAUUAGAUCAUGCCUAAUGAAUUGAUUGAUGGAUGAUGCAACAAAUCCUAAACUCACAUCUAUAGCUAUACCAUCUGUAGCACAGCAACAGGUGUGUUAGUAAAGUAUAUCAAGCGACAAAAAAAAAUUUAUUCAUUGUGAAAUGGAAAUUUAUGCUCCUUCUAAGAUCAGUGGUGUGUAUGGGAGCAUUGGCAAGUGCAAUGUUCAUCAUGUCCACAUUAGAUUGUGAGUAGCAGAGAAAGCAAAAACUUCGUAGAUGAAGUUCCCUCUAUUUCAAGAAAAAAAAAAUCAUAUUGCCUGGAGAGAUGUAGUUAUCACUGCAGAAAUUGUUCCAUUGUUUUUCAAAACAAGAAUUCAGAAUUUUUAUUUCCAAUGAGCCAAACCAUGAUAAAUUGUCCAUCUUCAAAACAAUUAGCAGCUACUAUUUCAUCAGGGAUCGCUUGAAAUGAGAUAGACAGGUUAGGUAUGUAUUAAGGGAAAAAGUGAGUAUCAAUUUAACAGAUGACUUAUUUUCUGGUGCUUGUGUAGAACAAAACAUAACACCACGGUUGUCCACUAUCCAUGAAACCAAUCUCUUCAUUUUCUGUUCAAGAGAACAAAAGAAAUGCAAUUAUAUGUGUAGCUCAUUGAGUAGUCCACAUUCUAUAAUGAUGCAAAAAAUGUAUAAAAAGCCACUUGUUUCUACGAAUGCCAUUGAGGUGAUAUAUGUAUUAUUCUAUAGCCACUGCUCAAUCAAUGCAAAUGAAAAUAGUGAGGGUUCACCCAUAUAUUUUAGAACCAUUGGACAUGCUUCAAGGAAAGACCUCUUCACAUAAUAAGUUGUCGCUCCAUGAACCUUGUUUACAGCAGUUGCUGCAAGAAUCUUUUCAUGGUCAAAGGUGCAUAGAUAAAAUUUAAUAUUGUUUCCCUUCUCAACUGCCUCCUAUUUCUAAAAGGGUCUCUUGGUUUAACCAUAGGUGGUUAAUAUCAAGAGUAUUUUAGUUCUAUAAUUUCAGCAUAUCUCAAAGCCGAUCACUAAAGCAAGGAGCAAAAACAAGGGAAAGUUUGCUGUGCUACCAAAGGAAGAAGAUGUUGAAUGUAUUUUAAAGUGAGAAUGAGCAUAGCAUGUUUAAAUAAGAAGUCAAUAUACAAGGACAAGCAUUAAGUACAAGAGCAUUAUAAUUGGUUGAAAAAAUAUGAAACCUCCAAAUAGAGCAAAGCAGGAAAUACCUCACUCAAUACUUCCAAACAAAGCCACCAUACAUAUAAUUAUUUAUAAUUCACAAUACUUGGGAAACAAGCAAAUAUUUUGAAAAUUUUCCCAACAAGACUUGCAUUACUGUAACCACAAUGAUCUCAAUCAUUAUGUGUUACAUAGUUGACCCAACUAUUCUAUUUUAACAAAGACAGAUUGUUUUAAAUAUUCUUACGAAAAUGAUAGAACACAAGUGGCAUGUUAGCCUUAAAAAUUUAUUGAAAAAAUACAAUAAUUUGACCUUUACUUGAAUGUCCAAUCACCAAAACUCAAAUACGAUACUGGAAAUCCUAAAAGCUUAAGCCCAAAUUAUAGAUCAAGGCCUUUACUCCAUAUCAGCCAAGUAAUAAUCAUAUAAUACCAUCCAACUAAAUAAAAAAUUAUGCUCACAUAAGCUUUCAAGAGCUGUACAUAUUGAGAAGUAAAUCUGUCAAGGAUUUUUAGAUAAAAUAGAACUUAAUCUGUCAAGGAUCAUCUCCAGCUAUUGUCUCACAAGUACAUCAUAACCAGAAGGAAAAGCAACUCAUCUACAUUUUUUCUUAGAAACCUCCAUUGUUUCAGAAGUGCAAGUGUAAACAGGCUCAUCCCUAGCCAUUAUCUCACAACCACAUCAGGACUAGAAGGAAAAGUAAAGGAAAUGGCCAAUGGAAAAUUCGAAAAAAAGCUACAAUUCUCAGAAAGAUUCAACCAUGCUCAAGUAAUACUAACAUAAUACCAUCCAAGUAAAUAAAAAAAAUUUUGGCUCACAGAAGCUUCCAAAAGCUAUACACAUUGACAGACCCACAACAUGAAAGACCCAGACCAGAAUAAUGCCAAGCAAAGACAUAGCCACAACCUAAAAAGGCAAGUCCAAAUAUAAGUAAAUAUGAAAAGUUUCUGCUUACAAAGGCUGCCAAAAUCUAUGCACAUUAACAAAAUUAUAACACAAAAGACCUACGAGAAUAAACCAAUGAAAAACAAAAUCACAACCAGAAAAGAUGACAAGAGGAUAGAAAUGCAAAAUACAAAGAUAAAUGAGCAAAGAAUAGAAAAAUAUCCAACAAACAUCAAACCAAUGGACAGAACAAUAGUGAAAAUGGUAAAAAGAAACAUAACCAAAUAUCCAUGAGCAAACGAAAAAUAGAAAAAAUAUAAUUUACCUAACGGGAGAAAUUACAAUCAGAGCUCGCAAGUAAAGGAUCUGUAGAAAAGAGGAGCUUGUCAAAAUGCCAAAAAGAAAAUGAAGGAAAUAGAGGAAAAUACUAAAAUAACUGAUGAGAAAAAGAAGGAGAUGAUGGGGGGAAUGUAGACAGAGCAAUAACAAAAAAUGGUACCCAAGAGCAAAGAAAAACAAAAAUAUUACAAAUUACCUGACAAAAGAAACUAUUAUUAGAGCUCGCAAGUAAAGGAUUUGCAGAAAAGAGGAGCUUGUUACAAUUUUUUUUUUUUAAAAGGACAAGGGAACCAAAGGAAAUAUUGAAAUACCUGAUAAGAGAAAAGAGAUGGAAAUGCAAGACACGGAGGUAAGCGAAGAAAACAGAAGACGAUGGAAAUGUAGAACACAGCAACAAACCUCCAAGAGCAGGACACACCUAAGCUUCACAAAGGCAGAGCAAUAACCACAUAGAAUCUGCGAGACAAAGAUGAAGUGAAAGGCAAAGAAGCUGAAAAGUGCCUGACGAGAGAAGCCACAAACAAAAUUCUCAAGACAAAGAUGAAGCGUGAAAACGGAGAUGAGAAAACAGAUGAGAAACUCUAGGAAAAAAGGGCACAACCAAUUUGUCUUGGAAUUCAGACCACAUUGGAAGAGACAGCCAUGAUAAAAUGCGCCAAUUACCAUUCUGAAGAAAGCUUUCCUGGUAGCUCCAGGCAAUGCAGCGGUGAGAGCCAAGAAGGAAAGGAACUCGUACGGUCAUCUGUUCCAAAGCAGAAAACCCAUGGUCGACCCAAUUACCCGAACCAUUCCAAUGGAGCAUCUAGAAGUGCAAACUUACACAACUCACAUGCUCGGCACAUGACAACGACGAAACCCCUUGGUGCAUUGUAUGUUAUGUUGAUAAGAAAAAAUGCACCUAUAUGAUUCAUCUUCAUAUCUUGCUGUCUUGUUUAAGUUUGCAUUACUGUUCAUGCAUCCGAUGUAUGUUCUUCCAUUUUUUUUCUUCCAUGUGUAUGUCAAACCUAUGGUACUCAUGCACUUAAUUGUUUUUUCAAAAUCUUAAGAGUAACAAGUUUAUUCUACUGAUUUCAUGAACUUGCAAAACACAAAAAAUUUAUAAAUGCAGGGAAAUGAUCAUAAAGUUCAUAAAACACAAUAAAGGAAAAAAGAGCAAGGAAAAAACACAAAAUAAAUGCAAAAAAAAAGUGGAAAAAAGUACAAGGGCAAGAAUCAUAAAAAGAAUGGGUAAGAAAGAAAGAUGCAGCACUUGCACUUGCACGAUAAGCCUUUAAAUCUUUGUUCACUACAAUGAAAAUCUCAAGCAAUGAUCAAUUACAUUAUUGUUAUCCUCUAGGCCAUUAUAUCAAGCUAGCUUACAUAAUGUACUUUGCCAAAUCAUUAGUCUCCUAUUGGGAGUCGAGCAUUUAAAAACUAAGAUGAGUUUUGCUCUACUCAUCAAAAAAAGAUGAGGAAAACAGCUUUUUGCCACAUUUGUGGUUUUAGAGCUUAUUGCACUACGUGCAUCUGGUGAUUUCAUUUGAUGCUAAAACUAUAUCGGUAUUUCCUUUUGAAUUUAAUGUAUCACAUCUUGCAAAAAAGGAGGCACAGUAUUAAGCGCAAUAAGGGGACAGGUGACCAUUUCAGCUGCAUGUCUUCUGAAUUUGCAGCCCAACUCUUCAUUGACUAUGAUCGGAUUGAUGAGAUGCCACUCACUUGUGUGUCUAGUUUGAAUCUACUGCUAUUAAAUGAAAGACAUAAAACGAGCGAGUUGUGCAUGAUAUGCGUAGAAGCAUAACUGGUUCCAUGUAAUUUCUAAGUGCAUUUGAAGGUAGGAAGUUACACUACAGAUUUGUUGGCCUAUUAUUCUACAAAAUGGCUCAGUGAUCUAGAAUUAUAUCAUUGCAAAGAAUGAUUUGCUUGUUGAAGGCACUGACAAAAACAUCCAGCUUCUUGUUGAAGAUUAGAACAUCUGUGACAUCUAAGUUCCAGUUUGUUUUCUUUUCCCAUUUUUGGAAUGAGUUUAGUUUCUUAAGUCACCAAAUUUACAACAUUUUCAUGUUCUUGACAGUGGAUGCUAUUUGUCUAAAGUAAUUUUUCAUGUAUACUUAGCAUCGUUCACUAAAAUCGUGAUAUAGAACUUGACUUUUGACUUGAUAUUAUUUUCUGUUCUUCCUAGGCCUGUCUACUGCUUGUUGUUUUGUGUAGUCAUUAUUCAGAGUUUGAAGACUAUUGGACCUGUAGGCUUUAAAAAUCUUGUUCACAAUUUUCUUCAAAAAGUUGGCUGCAAGAAGCUUUAGAACCUGCAUUUCAAAGAGCUGGUCAGAGAAUGUAUCCUUAUUGAAAGACUGCAGUGGAUAAUUAUACUGAUUCAUUUUUUGCUAAAUAUCUUUUUAUGUUGAGCAUACCAUUUUUUGGUUGAACUUAACUUUCACUAUAAAGGGACAGAGAUUUGGAGAAUUGAAAACUUCCAACCAAUUCCUUUACGAAAAUCUGAUCAUCGUAAGUUCUACUUAGGUGAUUCAUACAUUGUCUUGCAGGUGCAUAUGGCUUCCAAUAUUUCUUCCUUUGUAUCUUAUUUUGGGCCUCAUUUUUAUGAAUUGAGUGUUUAUGACUGAAGGAAGAGCUUAAAUCUUUUUUAUCCUAUUUUAAGUUUGGAUACAAUGAACUGAUAAAAACUAAUAUCGAUCAUUGCAGUCCAGUUUAAUAUUGAUCAUGAGGAGGCUGUUGAAUAUGAUGAUAGAGAUGGUUGAAAUCUGACAUUGGUACUACGGUCUAUGCUUUAGUUUAGAAAUCUAGUACUCUUUUUUUUUGGAAGGAUAUGUAUUGGUCAUUACUGCUUGAACUUAUUAUGUGAGCUUUGGGACCCAACAUUUGUGGUUCACUUUUGUUUUGAUGAAUGUAUAGACGUUCAUGGCCAUAUAUAUGAAUUUGUGGUUUUAUUCUACGUUGAUUUUGUCUUUUGUCAAAUUGAAUAUUCUGCUAUAAUUUGUUGAAAAUGCUAUGACAAUGCUAUAUUCGUAAUGGUCAAUUUCAGCUCUUCAAGACAAAGCUCAGUGACAACCUUUGACAUGCAAUUUCACUAAGUGACGAUUAUUUCUGUCACUGAAUAAUAGGACUGAUUGUGACAAGCUCAGGUUGUCACUGUAAACUUCAAAUUUGUGACGACUUUUGCUACAUCUAUGAUAAAAAUAUAGGUGAAACAGUGACAAGAAAAGUCAUUACAAAAUAAUAUCCAUUAGUGACGACUUUGUCCUCGUCAUUGAAUAACAAGAUUCUAUGACGACUUUCAAAGAGUUGUCACAUGGACCCAUUUAUGACAUAGAAUCUGUGACAACCAUGUGACAAUCGAAAAAGCCGUCACUAUAUCUGUAUAAUGACGACUUUUUGGCUUUUAGUAAUGACUUUUUGUUGUCACAAAAGACCCAUUUUCUUGUAGUGUAGUAUGCACAGAAAAGGUGGCUAGAUCUAAUUUUUUUGGGGGGAGGGGUGUUUCGAUUCGCAUUAUUUGAAUUCAAAGGGGAUGUUACUGUGACGCCCCCACAUCUCCCUAAGUCGAACCAAAGGGUAUCCGCGGGACGCCUGCCCAACUCUAGUCAGGACUCAAGUAAUUCCGUUCAACUUAAAACCAAACCGAACAUUUCGAAGAGAGCAACAUGAAUACAAAUAAUGCAGAAGCGUUAAAACUUAUCAAGUCACUUAACAUGUAACCAGUACAUCGGGUAAUCAUAAUACAACUUAAAUCCUAAAUACACGUCAAGGCCCAAAUUUUACAUUUCAAUUCCAAAAGUACAACCCAAACCAGGGCAUAGCCAAAAUAUAGUAGAAAUCCUAAACAAAAGGACAACGAAGGGUUUCUCCAUACUUCCCCAAGAUUCGGUCAUGUUAAGGAAAACAAACUAAUAGGAUGAGCCAAUACUCAGUAAGGCCAAGAAAACACACAUGCAAACACAUAAUCCAAGUAGCGACAACAAUUACAUUGUAGGUAAGGCUAUCAAAUUCGAAUAAUUCACAUUUCGAAUAGGAAAAAUAAACAGAAACAAUUCAACGAUACUGUAGCUCUCAGGAGCUAAAUUCCACGUAGUCGAGUCAAAGUCUUGAUCACAUCUCACGUUGACACUUCGUCAACCACAUAAGUAUCAAAUCCGUAGAUACACCACUUUUCUUCGAAUCCCGUCACCGUUACACCCCCUUACCGGGCCCGCUCAUAAAAGUUUUUGAUAAUACUCGAGUAUAUCAUGGCAAUACUGCACGAGUAAUGCCGAACAAAAUCUCUCAAAUAGAUCAUGCUCUACAAAUAUCUCAUGGUUUGCUAAGCUUAUCGACCAAGCCCAUGCUGGCUCGAUUCGCAAAGUUAGCCAACGAGUUUGGGCGUCCCCCGAAUACGAAUACGAAUAUAAGUCGAUGAACAACGCUCAAAUCGACAAUUCCAAAUAGGAAUCACAAAUACGGAUCACGUAUACGAAUCACAAAUACAAAUCACAUCCACAUUACCAUGUACAAGUCGGAUACGAAUUCACAUAGCAAAAUUCGAAUAUAAUUUCAUUUGAAAGAGAACGAAUGCGAUAAAGUACACCCUCGUCUCAAAAUUUCAAAUUUACAUAACGGAUAAGAAACAGAUAACCACUUAACAACAAGUUCAUGCACUUGACACUCACCAAUCGAAAUAAGGGAGUAAGUGCAUAAACGAGCCUUUAGGUGUUCCCCUCGAGAUCCUCUUGAAGGUCUCCUAGAGCACCUGAGUAAAUAGUAAUUGUCUAUUACACACUAUCGCUUAAAACCCCUAAUUAUCGAGGAAGAUUGCACACUUGUACAAUCUAAGAAAAUUUCACGAAAAUGAGCCUUGAUUACUCGUAAAUCGAGGCUAAAAAAAUGGUGUUUUAAAACACAAGCGAAAUCUGAUUUUCAUCUUUGAAAUCAAGUGUAAAACGGUUUAGCAAUAUCGAAGGAAAAUAGAGAGUUUGCAACUCUUAAUUUCCUUUAAGUUCGAAAAUUUCAGAUUUGUCACCCAUACUUUGGAAAAUCGUAUCUCAUUCUCUACAAGUCCAAAAUUGGAAAACAUUAUACCGUUGGAAACCUCUUGGAAAUUACUAAAAGUUCUUAGAAUACACUUUUCCAUGAAUCUAAGUAAAAAGCACUCAAAAAUGAGCUUGAAAUCACUGUUCCAGAAUGUUCAGGAUUGAGCUGGGGUUGGUUUUUCGCUAACUUUGGAAAUUUGGCAGAAUUCACUCGUUGUAAAAUAGCCCUUGAAAUUUAUAACUCAAUUAGAGGUGCAAGUAAGGUUUAGGGAAGAACAAGAGGAUUGAGAAUUGGAGUUUCGAGCACCGAGAUACGGUAGCUCGAAGUUGGGAAAAUUCAAGUCUGGUGAACAAUUUCCAGAUUUGAGUUUCCAAAAAUUGGAACCUUAGCUAAGUGUCAAAACGAACUUGGAUUGGUAUAAAAUUUUGCAGUAUGUUACUCCUAUAUGAAAGGUACCGCUCUAUCAAAUUUCAGGGAAAAAUACCUUCGGAAAGGUAGUUAAUUAAUCAUCCAAAGUUCAGGAAAAUUUCUAAAGCAACCUGUCUUUUGACUUCAUUUCCCAAUUUAAAUCGUUUAAUCAAGAAAGCUAUCCAACCAUGGUUCAUUUGUGAAAUAAAGGUCAAAGAUACAUCCAUGAUACCUUUGGUAAGUGUUUAGCAUCAAGAACUUCAAUUAAUAAGAUCACUCCCAGGUUUUGUCCCAAAUCGGUCCAAGUAUUUCGGUUUUCCCAAAACAGGGCAGUUCUCUUGUUUUGGUCACAACUCAGUCAAUUUAACUCAAAAUGGAGCAUGGUUUAUGUCGUUGAAAAAUAAAUUCAUAGGGCUAUAAUAUCACAGAAGAAAUCAUUUCAAAAUUUGGCACCCAAAUAGUUCAAAAUCGAGCAUCAAUUUGCUGUCUUAUCACUUCAUUCCAGUUGAACAGAGCAACAAGACAGCGAUCUUAAAACGAUUGGUUCGGCUCACUCACAAAGAAUCAGAACAUGCAUUUUAUCUCAAAUUAACGCCUGGAAUGUCUAGUUUCCAACGCCACCAACGGCACAUGAUUUUGACAUCCGAGGACGGAGUUAUGGCCGAAACACCACCGCUGGUUAGAGCCAUACGUGAACAGUUUCCAGAUUUGCUAGUUUCACAAAAAAAAAUUCAUCUGCCCAACCAAACCUCAUUAUUUUUCAAUGAAAUUUUUCACACAUCUAAUACGUCUAAAAUAACGGUCUUAAGUCCCUUAAUUGAUCGCGCGCGUAAAACGCGUAUUUCCAAUUUUGCGCGAUAACGCUUAACUUUCAAAAAAAUUUCUUAUAACGAUUGUAUUACUAACUAAUACUUGAGCACUUAAACAUAAAAAUACCUAAUUUCAGACUAAUGUACAUGUCUCUAAUUUUUUCCAAACUUAUUGUAUCCUCGAUUCAAUUAUUUAUUCCAAUCGCAUAUUCACUAUUUUUACUUAACGAGUCUUCGGAAAUUAAAUUUUGAAACAAGUCACUUUAAAAAUAUAACUAAGCCAUAGAUCCUUUUAAUUAGGUCUAAAAAGGUUAGAAAAUAAUAUUUGGGGCGAUUGGCCAAAUAAAUAAUUAAAUGAGCUAGAAUUUGGAGUUUAAAAUAGGUAAAUUUUUGUGAGUCUUUACAUGAGUCGAGUAUUAAUUCCUUAAUGAACCUUUCUUAAUCUACCACUGAUCAUUGUUAACUCUCUAAUAUCAAUACACUCUCGAUUCAAAUAUAGUCUCGAAAAACAUGCACUCGUUGUUCCAAACUAAACGAGUUUUCGAAAAGUGAAUUUUUCUUACAAAACGCUUUAAAAAAUAUAAAUGAGGCGUCGUUCCAUAUAAAUGGAUUUUAAAUGAUCGAAAUAAAUAAUUUGGAGAAAAAUGAGUAAAUAAAUAAUUAAACAAACUACCAAUAUUCGAUAAAAUAAAAAAAAAUUUCGAGUCCUCACAUCCUCCCCUCUUUAAAAGAAUUUCGUCCUCGAAAUUCACACUUAGGAUAAUAGUCAUACCCUUAAUAGUCAUGCCUUUCAAAUUAAUCACUAACUUACACCCUCCGAUCCAUAUCUCACAAUUUCUAUUUACCCAAUUAGUAGUCAAACUUUAAUUCUAUCUUAUGAAUUUAGGGUUUUACAAAAAGUGUGUACGGUACUAGGUCACUGAGAACCUUAGAUAGACAAAUAAAAGGAAGAAUCAUAUCUCUAAUGACUUUAGUAGAAUCGGAAACAUGUUGAUAAUCUAAUGCAUAAACCCUAGCUAGUGCAUUAGAUCGACUUCCUCCAAUACUAGGCUGCUUAACGGCUGACUUUUCAGGCCUUUGGGUACUACCUCCUUCUUUUGGUACGGUCGGGCAUUUUGAUAUCUGGUGCUCGGUCCUACCACAAUACAAGCACUUCCCUUGUUUCCUAAAACAAUCUUUCUCCGUAUGGUUGAGCUUGCCACAAUAACCACAAACGACUUGGGGAGCCACAGAUUGACCACUUGGAGGUGUCCCUCUCGAUUGACCUCGUCCAUUGCGAUCUACUCUUGAUUGAGUCCCUUUUUGCAUGUUAGAUAUCUCCACUCUACCCAUCCCUUUUCCCUUUUUAAAAGGUGGGGCACUCUUAUCUGCCUGUCCCGAAUGGUUACUAGAAGUGCCCCUCUUCUUAGCAUGAAAGUCUCUAACUUGCAGCCUUGCACUCUCGACUCUCUGUGCUUUUUCUAAGACUUCAGUGAACGUAGAGAUUUGGGUUGCAGCCAAACCCUCCUGGAUUUCUACAUUAAGUCCCUGCACGAACCGUCUAAUCCUCCUCCGUUCAUUAAUCACCAAUUCAGGAGCGUACUUAGAAAACUUAGUGAACUUUCCCUCGUACUCUGCUACACUAAGGGUUCCUUGUUUCAACUUGAUGAAUUCAUCCUCCCUUUUCUCUUGGAUUAAGGGCGGAAGAAAUUUCUCAUUAAAUUCCCUCAUGAAAUUCUCCCAAGUCCAAGGGGUUUGAGCUCUUUCCCAUUUUCCCCUUAUCAGGUCCCACCAAGCGCGUGCCACUCCCUCAAAUUGGAAUGCAGCAAAAUUCACUCGCCUAUCCUCGGUAUAGUCUAAGGCGGCGAAUAUAUUGGUCAUUCUCUCUAACCAGUUUUCAGCUGCCUCGGGGUCGGGCUCUCCAGUGAACUUAGGCGGGUUGAAUUUAAGAAACCUCUCCAAGGCUCUAUCUUCUCCUCUAUCCUGUCCCCCAAGUUGGUUAAGCGGUCCUGGACCCUGUCUUUCAGCUAAGCGUUUUAGGAUAUCAGUCAUCCUAUUGAUGGCAGUAGCCAUUUGGUUAAACUCUAUAUUCUCUUGUCCUUGGGUCGGUCCAGUUGCCGAUCCUUGUUCAUUCCCUUGAGGUUGGGUCUGUCUAGUCCCUCGCCCAUGGCCUCGACCACUCUUUAGUCCUUCCAUUAUCUUAAGGGUGCCUAAUGCAGGAAAUAAAAGCGAUCACGCAAGAAAUUUCUUAAAACAAGAGCCGAUCUAGAAAACAUCAGAAAUAACAAUAAUUAACAUGUAUUUAUGCUUUUAAAAUUCAUAAAAUUAGCAAGUCGGGGGGGUAUGACAAAAAAAAACAGCACACAGGUGCCACAAAAAUACUUUUAGUCACAUACGACUAAAGUAAAGUAAAGUGCCUCAAAAGUAGGCCAUACAGUCAUACAAAAAUGCAAUGGCCUCAGCACUAGCAUCACCCCAGCUAAAUCUAACUACAUCAGUCAAAAGGGGCUAAUUUUUUUUUUUCGUUCAUUUCCAACUCAUAUCAAACUCUUGGAUCCUAUGGAGUUACAUAGGACCAUCCAUCAAUCUUUCUCUAUCUCUCUCUCUCUUAGGCUCAUCUACAUUCCACUUCUCUCUAGUCAAUAUUGUCCCACACUCAGUUAAAAUAUUCUGCGCCAAAUGUCUCAUUUCUCUUACUACAUGAACUGGAAAUCCAUUGACCUCUUGCACUUGCUCUCACGAAACAUUAGUCCAUUCUUGUUCCUCGCAAAUGGAGAUCUUAAGUCUUUAACGUUACCCUCAACUCCUAAGUACUCGGGUACAAGAAUCCGAAAUAAAAUAAUUCACAUCUCGAGCUGGCCAGUCCCAAGAGUAAAUCACCAUAUUUGAGAUUCGUACCCAACAUACAUAUUUGGUCUUUCCCAAGUAUUACGAUAAAAGAUUUAUACCUAUCACAUUCAUGAUUCACAGCUUACACUCUAAAAGAGUACUUAAGCCUUUAGUCAUUCAUAUGAUAAGGACCAUAACACCAUUUGACCCAAUCUCACCCUUCGCAGAUACCACGCGAAGCGGCUCUGAUUUUUUUUUUUCCUACAAGUGGCCACUUAACUUUCAAACCAAUCCCACAGUCCGGCAUCCUAAAUUUCAACCCUAAGAUACACUACAAAGAUCUGAAACCUAAACUCUGAUACCAAAUGUGACGCCCCACAUCUCCUUAAGGCGAACCAAAGGGUAUCCGCGGGACGCCUGCCCAACUCUCGCCAGGACUCAAGCAAUUCCAUUCAACUUAAAAUCAAACCGAACAUUUCGAAGAGAGCAACAUGAAUACAAAUAAUGCAGAAGCGUUAAAACUUAUCAAGUCACUUAACAUGUAACCAGUACAUCGGGUAAUCAUAAUACAACUUAAAUCCUAAAUACACGUCAGGGUCCAAAUUUUACAUUUCAAUUCCAAAAGUAUAACCCAAAUCAGGGCAUAGCCAAAAUAUAGUAGAAAUCCUACACAAAAGGACAACGAAGGGUUUCUCCAUACUUCCCCAAGAUUCGGUCCUGUUAAGGAAAACAAACUAAUAGGAUGAGCCAAUACUCAGUGAGGCCAAGAAAACACACAUGCAAACACAUAAUCCAAGUAGCAACAACAAUUACAUUGUAGGUAAGGCUAUCAAAUUCGAAUAAUUCACAUUUCGAAUAGAAAAAAUAAACAGAAACAAUUCAAGGAUACUGUAGCUCUCAGGAGUUAAAUUCCACGUAGUCGAGUCAAAGUCUUGAUCACAUCUCACGUUGACACUUCGUCAACCACAUAAGUAUCAAAUCCGUAGAUGCACCACUUUUCUUCGAAUCCCGUCACCGUUACACCCCCUUAUCGGGCCCGCUCAUCAAAGUUUUUGAUAAUACUCGAGUAUAUCAUGGCAAUACUGCACGAGUAAUGACGAACAAGAUCUCUCCAAUUGAUCAUGCUCUACAAAUAUCUCAUGGUUUGCUAAGCAAAUCGACCAAGCCCAUGCUGGCUCGAUUCGCAAAGUUAGCCAACGAGUUUGGGCGUCCCCCAAAUACGAAUACGAAUACGAAUACGAAUAUAAGUCGAUGAGCAACGCUCAAAUCGACAAUUCCAAAUAGGAAUCACAAAUACGGAUCACGUAUACGAAUCACAAAUACAAAUCACAUCCACAUUACCAUGUACAAGUCGGAUACGAAUUCACAUAGCAAAAUUCGAAUAUAAUUUCAUUUGAAAGAGAAUGAGAGCGAUAAAGUACACCCACGUCUCAAAAUUUCAAAUUUACAUAACGGAUAAGAAACAGAUAACCACUUAACAACAAGUUCAUGCACUUGACACUCACCAAUCGAAAUAAGGGAGUAAGUGCGUAAACGAGCCUUUAGGUGUUCCCCUCGAGAUCCUCUUGAAGGUCUCCUAGAGCACCUGAAUAAAUAGUAAUUGUCUAUUACACACUAUCGCUUAAAACCCCUAAUUAUCGAGGAAGAUUGCACACUUGUACAAUCUAAGAAAAUUUCACGAAAAUGAGCCUUGAUUACUCGUAAAUCGAGGCUAAAAAAAUGGGGUUUUAAAACACAAGAGAAAUCUGAUUUUCAUCUUUGAAAUCAAGUGUAAAACGGUUUAGCAAUAUCGAAGGAAAAUAGAGAGUUCGCAACUCUCAAUUUCCUUUAAGUUCGGAAAUUUCAGAUUUGUCACCCAUACUUUGACAAAUCGUAUCUCAUUCUCUACAAGUCCAAAAUUGGAAAAAUUUAUACCGUUGGAAACCUCUUGGAAAUUACUAAAAGUUCUUAGAAGACACUUUUCCUUGAAUCUAAGUGGAAAGUACUCAAAAAUGAGCUUGAAAUCACUGUUCCAGAAUGUUCAGGAUUGAGCUGGGGUUGGUUUUUCGCUAACUUUGAAAAUUUGGCAGAAUUCACUCGUUGCAAACUAACCCUUGAAAUUUAUAAAUCAAUUAGAGGUGCAAGUAAGGUUUAGGGAAAAACAAGCGGAUUGAGAAUUGGAGUUUCGAGCACCGAGAUACGGUAGCUCGAAGUUGGGAAAAUUCAAGUCUGGUGAACAAUUUCCAGAUUUGAGUUUCCAAAAAUUGGAACCUUAGCUAAGUGUCAAAACGAACUUGGAUUGGUAUAACAUUUUGCAGUAUGUUACUCCUAUAUGAAAGGUACCGCUCUAUCAAAUUUCAGGGAAAAAUACCUUCGGAAAGGGAGUUAAUUAAUCAUCCAAAGUUCAGGAAAAUUUCUAAAGCAACCUGUCUUUUGACUUCAUUUCCCAAUUUAAAUCGUUUAAUCAAGAAAGCUAUCCAACCAUGGUUCAUUUGUGAAAUAAAGAUCUAAGAUACAUCCAUGAUACCUUUGGUAAGUGUUUAGCAUCACGAACUUCAAUUAAUAAGAUCACUCCCAGGUUUUGUCCCAAAUCAGUCCAAGUAUUUCGGUUUUUCCAAAACAGGGCAGUCCUCUUGUUUUGGUCACAACUCAGUCAAUUUAACUCAGAAUGGGGCAUGGUUUAUGUUGUUGAAAACUAAAUUCAUAGGGCUAUAAUAUCACAGAAGAAAUCAUUCCAAAAUUUGGCACCCAACUAGUUCAAAAUCGAGCAUCAAUUUGCUGCCUUAUCACUUCAUUCCAGUUGAAAAGAGCAACAGGACAGCGAUCUUAAAACGUUUGGUUCGGCUCACUCACAAAGAAUCAGAACAUGCAUUUUAUCUCAAAUUAACGCCUGGAAUGUCUAGUUUCCAACGCCACCAACGGCACAUGAUUUUGACAUCCGAGGUCGGAGUUAUGGCCGAAACACCACAGCUGGUCAGAGCCAUACGUGAACAGUUUCCAGAUUUGCUAGUUUCACAAAAAAAAAUUCAUCUGCCCAACCAAACCUCAUUAUUUUUCAAUGAAAUUUUUCACACAUCUAAUACGUCAUAUAAACAUCAGAUUCAACCCAUUAGAUCAUUAAAAAUUGGCCUUAAAAUGGCCGAACAAGGCAACGGCAAAAUCGGAAACUUUUGCUUCUUGCACCCAAUGAAAUUUCUAUCAAUUACACACCAUUAAUCCAUCAUUUUAACCACUAAACCAACAAUAUAUCCACCAUCAAUCAUCAAAUCAGCAACAACCCAAGAGUGGGAGUUCAUAGAGCCCACCAUCAAAAUUUUCCAACAAUACAAGCUACCCAUGUGAAGAUUCAAGCUCAUAUGUGUAAUUUAACCUCCAUAGGAAAAGUUUAGAGUGUUGGAUCAUUACCUGCUUUGGUGGUUGUUCAAGUCUGAAUUUUCGGCCCUUUGAAGCCUGAAGAAAACCGUGGAAAUGAAGCUCUUCUCCUUGCCUAAGUGAAUCUCCAAGUGGUUUGUAAGUUGGAUGCAAAUUUUGAGAUGAAAUGGAGGAAGAUUGGUGCAAGAAUGAAGAAGCUUUUCUUCCUUUCUUUCCUUUGCUGUUUGGUCGGCUGUUUUGGUGUGAAAAUGGGAGUUCUAGCCGUGCCCUUAAGGUGAGAAAAGAAGGGUUUUGAUCUGGUGUGAUGGGUCCACUAAAAGCUUAAGAAUGUGUGGACAAAAUUGCUCCAAAAGUCAACUAAGGAUAGUGCGCGAACGCGCGCCUUUCGUGCUCGUUUCCUCUCGGGUUUGUUUCACUUGUGCACUAAACCUCUAAUGCACUUCCAUUCAUACUAUUAUUAUUCACUUUUAAUAGUCUAAAAUAACGGUCUUAAGUCCCUUAAUUGAUCGCGCGCGUAAAACGCGUAUUUCCAAUUUUGCGCGAUAACGUUUAACUUUCAAAAAAAAUUCUUAUAACGAUUGUAUUACUAAUUAAUACUUGAGCAUUUAAACAUAAAAAUACCUAAUUUGAGACUAAUGUACAUGUCUCUAAUUUUUUCCAAACUUAUUAUAUCCUCGAUUCAAUUAUUUAUUCCAAUCGCAUAUUCACUAUUUUUACUUAACGAGUCUUCAGAAAUUAAAUUUUGAAACAAGUCAUUUUAAAAAUAUAACUAAGCUAUAGAUCCUUUUAAUUAGGUCUAAAAAGGUUAGAAAAUAAUAUUUGGGGCGAUUGGCCAAAUAAAUAAUUAAAUGAGUUAGAAUUUGGAGUUUAAAAUCGGUAAAUUUUUGUGAGUCUUUACAUGAGUCGAGUAUUAAUUCCUUAAUGAACCUUUCUUAAUCUACCAUUGAUCAUUGUUAACUCUCUAAUAUCAAUACACUCUCGAUUCAAAUAUAGUCUCGAAAAACAUGCACUCGUUAUUCCAAACUAAACGAGUUUUCAAAAAAUGAAUUUUUCUUACAAAACGCUUUAAAAAAUAUAAAUGAGGCGUCGUUCCAUAUAAAUGGAUUUUAAAUGAUCGAAAUAAAUAAUUUGGAGAAAAAUGAGUAAAUAAAUAUUUAAACAAACUACCAAUAUUCGAUAAAAUAAAAUAAAAAUUUCGAGUCCUCACAUCCUCCCCUCCUUAAAAGAAUUUCGUCCUCGAAAUUCACACUUAGGAUAAUAGUCAUACCCCUUAAUAGUCAUGCCUUUCAAAUUAAUCACUAACUUACACCCUCCGAUCCAUAUCUCACAAUUUCUAUUUACCCAAUUAGUAGUCAAACUUUGAUUCCAUCUUAUGAAUUUAGGGUUUUGCAAAAAGUGUGUACGGUACUAGGUCACUGAGAACCUUAGAUAGACAAAUAAAAGGAAGAAUCAUACCUCUAAUGACUUUAGUAGAAUCGGAAACAUGUUGAUAAUCUAAUGCAUAAACCCUAGCUGGUGCAUUAGAUCGACUUCCUCCAACACGAGGCUGCUUAGCGGCUGACUUUUCAGGCCUUUGGGUACUACCUCCUUCUUUUGGCACGGUCGGGCAUUUUGAUAUCUGGUGCUCGGUCCCACCACAAUACAAGCACUUCCCUUGUUUCCUAAAACAAUCAUUCUCCGUAUGGUUGAGCUUGCCACAAUAACCACAAACGACUUGGGGAGCCACAGAUUGACCACUUGGGGGUGUCCCUCUCGAUUGACCUCGUCCAUUGCGAUCUACUCUUGAUUGAGUCCCUUUUUGCAUGUUAGAUAUCUCCACUCCACCCAUCCCUUUUCCCUUUUUAAAAGGUGGGGCACUCUUAUCUGCCUGUCCCGAAUGGUUACUAGAAGUGCCCCUCUUCUUAGCAUGAAAGUCUCUAACUUGCAGCCUUGCACUCUCGACUCUCUGUGCUUUUUCUAAGACUUCAGUGAACGUAGAGAUUUGGGUUGCAGCCAAACCCUCCUGGAUUUCUACAUUAAGUCCCUGCACGAACCGUCUAAUCCUCAUCCGUUCAUUAAUCACCAAUUCAGGAGCGUACUUAGAAAGCUUAGUGAACUUUCCCUCGUACUCCGCUACACUAAGGGUUCCUUGUUUCAACUUGAUGAAUUCAUCCUCCCUUUUCUCUUGGAUUAAGGGCGGAAGAAAUUUCUCAUUAAAUUCCCUCGUGAAAUUCUCCCAAGUCCAAGGGGUUUGAGCUCUUUCCCACUUUCCCCUUAUCAGGUCCCACCAAGCGCGUGCCACUCCCUCAAAUUGGAAUGCAGCAAAAUUCACUCGCCUAUCCUCGGUAUAGUCUAAGGCGGCGAAUAUAUUGGUCAUUCUCUCUAACCAGUUUUCAGCUGCCUCGGGGUCGGGCUCUCCAGUGAACUUAGGCGGGUUGAAUUUAAGAAACCUCUCCAAGGCUCUAUCUUCUCCUCUAUCCUGUCCCCCAAGUUGGUUAAGCGGUCCUGGACCCUGUCUUUCAGCUAAGCGUUUUAGGAUAUCAGUCAUCCUAUUGAUGGCAGUAGCCAUUUGGUUAACCUCUAUAUUCUCUUGUCCUUGGGUCGGUCCAGUUGCCGAUCCUUGUUCAUCCCCUUGAGGUUGGGUCUGUCUAGUCCCUCGCCCAUGGCCUCGACCACUCUUUAGUCCUUCCAUUAUCUUAAGGGUGCCUAAUGCAGGAAAUAAAAGCGAUCACGCAAGAAAUUUCUUAAAACAAGAGCCGAUCUAGAAAACAUCAGAGAUAACAAUAAUUAACAUGUAUUUAUGCUUUUAAAAUUCAUAAAAUUAGCAAGUCGGGGGGGUAUGACAAAAAAAAAACAGCACACAGGUGCCACAAAAAUAUUUUUAGUCACAUACGACUAAAGUAAAGUAAAGUGCCUCAAAAGUAGGCCAUACAGUCAUACAAAAAUGCAAUGGCCUCAGCACUAGCAUCACCCCAGCUAAAUCUAACUACAUCAGUCAAAAGGGGCUAAUUUUUUUUUUCGUUCAUUUCCAACUCAUAUCAAACUCUUGGAUCCUAUGGAGUUACAUAGGACCAUCCAUCAAUCUUUCUCUAUCUCUCUCUCUCUUAGGCUCAUCUACAUUCCACUUCUCUCUAGUCAAUAUUGUCCCACACUCAGUUAAAAUAUUCUGCGCCAGAUGUCUCAUUUCUCUUACUACAUGAAUUGGAAAUCCAUUGACCUCUUGCACUUGCUCUCACGAAACAUUAGUCCAUUCUUGUUCCUCGCAAAUGGAGAUCUUAAGUCUUUAACGUUACCCUCAACUCCUAAGUACUCGGGUACAAGAAUCCGAAAUAAAAUAAUUCACAUCUCGAGCUGGCCAGUCCCAAGAGUAAAUCACCAUAUUUGAGAUUCGUACCCAACAUACAUAUUUGGUCUUUCCCAAGUAUUACGAUAAAAGAUUUAUACCUAUCACAUUCAUGAUUCACAGCUUACACUCUAAAAGAGUACUUAAGCCUUUAGUCAUUCAUAUGAUAAGGACCAUAACACCAUUUGACCCAAUCUCACCCUUCGCAGAUACCACGCGAAGCGGCUCUGAUUUUUUUUUUUUCCUACAAGUGGCCACUUAACUUUCAAACCAAUCCCACAGUCCGGCAUCCUAAAUUUCAACCCUAAGAUACACUACAAAGAUCUGAAACCUAAGCUCUGAUACCAACUGUGACGCCCCACAUCUCCUUAAGGCGAACCAAAGGGUAUCCGCGGGACGCCUGCCCAACUCUCGCCAGGACUCAAGCAAUUCCAUUCAACUUAAAACCAAACCGAACAUUUCGAAGAGAGCAACAUGAAUACAAAUAAUGCAGAAGCGUUAAAACUUAUCAAGUCACUUAACAUGUAACCAGUACAUCGGGUAAUCAUAAUACAACUUAAAUCCUAAAUACACGUCAGGGCCCAAAUUUUACAUUUCAAUUCCAAAAGUACAACCCAAAUCAGGGCAUAGCCAAAAUAUAGUAGAAAUCCUAAACAAAAGGACAACGAAGGGUUUCUCCAUACUUCCCCAAGAUUCGAUCCUGUUAAGGAAAACAAACUAAUAGGAUGAGCCAAUACUCAGUGAGGCCAAGAAAACACACAUGCAAACACAUAAUCCAAGUAGCAACAACAAUUACAUUGUAGGUAAGGCUAUCAAGUUCGAAUAAUUCACAUUUCGAAUAGAAAAAAUAAACAGAAAUAAUUCAAGGAUACUGUAACUCUCAGGAGCUAAAUUUUACGUAGUCGAGUCAAAGUCUUGAUCACAUCUCACGUUGACACUUCGUCAACCACAUAAGUAUCAAAUCCGUAGAUACACCACUUUUCUUCGAAUCCCGUCACCGUUACACCCUCUUAUCGGGCCCGCUCAUCAAAGUUUUUGAUAAUACUCGAGUAUAUCAUGGCAAUACUGCACGAGUAAUGCCGAACAAGAUCUUUCCAAUAGAUCAUGCUCUACAAAUAUCUCAUGGUUUGCUAAACUUAUCGACCAAUCCCAUGCUGGCUCGAUUCGCAAAGUUAGCCAACGAGUUUGGGCGUCCCCCGAAUAUGAAUACGAAUACGAAUAUAAGUCGAUGAGCAACGCUCAAAUCGACCAUUCCAAAUAGGAAUCACAAAUACGAAUCACAAAUACGGAUUCCAAAUAGGAAUCACAAAUACAGAUCACGUAUACGAAUCACAAAUACAAAUCACAUCCACAUUACCAUGUACAAGUCGGAUACGAAUUCACAUAGCAAAAUUCGAAUAUAAUUUCAUUUGAAAGAGAAUGAGUGCGAUAAAGUACACUCUCGUCUCAAAAUUUCAAAUUUACAUAACGGAUAAGAAACAGAUAACCACUUAACAACAAAUUCAUGCACUUGACACUCACCAAUCGAAAUAAGGGAGUAAGUGCGUAAACGAGCCUUUAGGUGUUCCCCUCGAGAUCCUCUUGAAGGUCUCCUAGAGCACCUGAGUAAAUAGUAAUUGUCUAUUACACACUAUCGCUUAAAGCCCCUAAUUAUCGAGAAAGAUUGUACACUUGUACAAUCUAAGAAAAUUUCACGAAAAUGAGCCUUGAUUACUCGUAAAUCGAGGCUAAAAAAAUGGGGUUUUAAAACACAAGCGAAAUCUGAUUUUCAUCUUUGAAAUCAAGUGUAAAACGGUUUAGCAAUAUCAAAGGAAAAUAGAGAGUUCGCAACUCUCAAUUUCCUUUAAGUUCGGAAAUUUCAGAUUUGUCACCCAUACUUUGACAAAUCGUAUCUCAUUCUCUACAAGUCCAAAAUUGGAAACUUUAUACCGUUGGAAACCUCUUGGAAAUUACUAAAAGUUCUUAGAAGACACUUUUCCAUGAAUCUAAGUGGAAAGUACUCAAAAAUGAGCUUGAAAUCACUGUUCCAGAAUGUUCAGGAUUGAGUUGGGGUUGGUUUUUCGCUAACUUUGGAAAUUUGGCAGAAUUCACUCGUUGCAAACUAGCCCUUGAAAUUUAUAACUCAAUUAGAGGUGCAAGUAAGGUUUAGGGAAGAACAAGCGGAUUGAGAAUUGGAGUUUUGAGCACCGAGAUACGGUAGCUCGAAGUUGGAAAAAUUCAAGUCUGGUGAACAAUUUCCAGAUUUGAGUUUCCAAAAAUUGGAACCUUAGCUAAGUUUCAAAACGAACUUGGAUUGGUAUAAAAUUUUGCAGUAUGUUACUCCUAUAUGAAAGGUACCGCUCUAUCAAAUUUCAGGGAAAAAUACCUUCGGAAAGGUAGUUAAUUAAUCAUCCAAAGUUCAGGAAAAUUUCUAAAGCAACCUGUCUUUUGACUUCAUUUCCCAAUUUAAAUCGUUUAAUCAAGAAAGCUAUCCAACCAUGGUUCAUUUGUAAAAUAAAGGUCUAAGAUACAUCCAUGAUACCUUUGGUAAGUGUUUAGCAUCAAGAACUUCAAUUAAUAAGAUCACUCCCAGGUUUUGUCCCAAAUCAGUCCAAGUAUUUCGGUUUUUCCAAAACAGGGCAGUCCUCUUGUUUUGGUCACAACUCAGUCAAUUUAACUCAGAAUGGGGCAUGGUUUAUGUCGUUGAAAAAUAAAUUCAUAGGGCUAUAAUAUCACAGAAGAAAUCAUUUCAAAAUUUUGCACCCAACUAGUUCAAAAUCGAGCAUCAAUUUGCUGCCUUAUCACUUCAUUCCAGUUGAACAGAGCAACAUGACAGCGAUCUUAAAAUGUUUGGUUCGGCUCACUCACAAAGAAUCAGAACAUGCAUUUUAUCUCAAAUUAACGCCUGGAAUGUCUAGUUUCCAACGCCACCAACGGCACAUGAUUUUGACAUCCGAGGACGGAGUUAUGGCCGAAACACCACCGCUGGUCAGAGCCAUACGUGAACAGUUUCCAGAUUUGCUAGUUUCACAAAAAAAAAUUCAUUUGCCCAACCAAACCUCAUUAUUUUUCAAUGAAAAUUUUCACACAUCUAAUACGUCAUAUAAACAUCAGAUUCAACCCAUUAGAUCAUUAAAAAUUGGCCUUAAAAUGGCCGAACAAGGCAGGGGCAAAAUCGGAAACUUUUGCUUCUUGCACCCAAUGAAAUUUCUAUCAAUUACACACCAUUAAUCCAUCAUUUUAACCACUAAACCAACAAUAUAUCCACCAUCAAUCAUCAAAUCAGCAACAACCCAAGAGUGGGAGUUCAUAGAGCCCACCAUCAAAAUUUUCCAACAAUACAAGCUACCCAUGUGAAGAUUCAAGCUCAUAUGUGUAAUUUAACCUCCAUAGGACAAGUUUAGAGUGUUGGAUCAUUACCUGCUUUGGUGGUUGUUCAAGUCUGAAUUUUCGGCCCUUUGAAGCCUGAAGAAAACCGUGGAAAUGAAGCUCUUCUCCUUGCCUAAGUGAAUCUCCAAGUGGUUUGUAAGUUGGAUGCAAAUUUUGAGAUGAAAUGGAGGAAGAUUGGUGCAAGAAUGAAGAAGCUUUUCUUCCUUUCUUUCCUUUGCUGUUUGGUCGGCUGUUUUGGUGUGAAAAUGGGAGUUCUAGCCGUGCACAUAAGGUGAGAAAAGAAGGGUUUUGAUCUGGUGUGAUGGGUCCACUAAAAGCUUAAGAAUGUGUGGACAAAAUUGCUCCAAAAGUCAACUAAGGAUAGUGCGCGAACGCGCGCGUUUCGUGCUCGUUUCCUCUCGGGUUUGUUUCACUUGUGCACUAAACCUCUAAUGCACUUCCAUUCAUACUAUUAUUAUUCACUUUUAAUAGUCUAAAAUAACGGUCUUAAAUCCCUUAAUUGAUCGCGCGCGUAAAACGCGUAUUUCCAAUUUUGCGCGAUAACGUUUAACUUUUAAAAAAAAUUCUUAUAACGAUUGUAUUACUAACUAAUACUUGAGCACUUAAACAUAAAAAUACCUAAUUUGAGACUAAUGUACAUGUCUCUAAUUUUUUCCAAACUUAUUGUAUCCUCGAUUCAAUUAUUUAUUCCAAUCGCAUAUUCACUAUUUUUACUUAACGAGUCUUCAGAAAUUAAAUUUUGAAACAAGUCACUUUAAAAAUAUAACUAACCCAUAGAUCCUUUUAAUUAGGUCUAAAAAGGUUAGAAAAUAAUAUUUGGGGCGAUUGGCCAAAUAAAUAAUUAAAUGAGCUGGAAUUUGGAGUUUAAAAUAGGUAAAUUUUUGUGAGUCUUUACAUGAGUCGAGUAUUAAUUCCUUAAUGAACCUUUCUUAAUCUACCAUUGAUCAUUGUUAACUCUCUAAUAUCAAUACACUCUCGAUUCAAAUAUAGUCUCGAAAAACAUGCACUCGUUGUUCCAAACUAAACGAGUUUUCGAAAAGUGAAUUUUUCUUACAAAACGCUUUAAAAAAUAUAAAUGAGGCGUCGUUCCAUAUAAAUGGAUUUUAAAUGAUCGAAAUAAAUAAUUUGGAGAAAAAUGAGUAAAUAAAUAUUUAAACAAACUACCAAUAUUCGGUAAAAAAAAAAAAUUUCGAGUCCUCACAGUUACCCUAGACGUAUCUUCACCUUUAUCUCUUUGAGCGGCUUGGUGAGCAUCAAACAUAAAUCCCCUAAUAGGGGCAUCUAAUUAAUCUUCAGUCCCAUCCGGUUCAAGAUUUUCAAGUACCACAUCUUCUUCCCCCAUAGCUCGUACAUUAUUCUUGUUAGGAUCCAAUCACGAAAUAAUCAACUAUUGAGAUAUCAAGUACAUAACAAUUUAAUGACAAACAAACCACAAGCAUGAAAAAUAAAAGACACGUAAUAUUUAAUAUGGUUCGAUUUCACCAUUGAGCCUAUUCCACGGAGAGAAACUCGUUCUUUAUUAUGAGAGGAAAACCCUAUAUAAGAAUAUAACUUGAACCCAAAUCUAACCCCUGUAUACCAUCUCUCAUCUCCCAAGAACUCUCUUUCACCCCCAUGUAUAAGGCUAGCCCUUUUGUGUGCCCCUUAUGUGUCUUUGUGUAGUAUGCAAAUCCAUCCAUUUAUAGGAAAUAUUAUUUGACCAAAACUCAAAUAACAACAAGAAACCAAUUCUAAUUUCUAAAUUUACAUAGAAUAGGAAAUAACUUCUAAUCCUAAACAAAAUAGGAAAUUCUUUGACUACUAUUUCAAAUAACUAAAAUUAAUUAGAAAACUAGUUACUUUCACACAAAACAAGAACCCUACCUAAAAGAAAUUGAACCAAUUUUCUAACAAAUCUCCAUCUUGGUGAAAAUUUCUUUUAGCAACCAUUUGUCUUCAACUACCAAAUAAUAUGGUAUCGAAUUACGCAUUCGAAUCAAUACAGUCUUAAUACCAAAUUGAUUCAAUCGACAAAUGAAUAUAUGUAGUUACCUAGAAUCCAACCUCCAAUUGACUCGUAAGAAGGUGUCUCAAUUCACCGUCUCCCUAUGUAACAUUUUUUCUAAUCACUACUUGCAACCAGGGAUUCCCUUCUAUGAGCUCUAACGCUAAAUAUUGAGAAAGACUAACUCCCAACAAGGUUCGACUUUACAGGAGAAAGAAGCGUCGAUAAGGGAACCGCCUUCAAGGAAGAUUUCAGGAAGCAUUUAUUCAAUAAGAUUGAGUGGAGAUUUCUUGAUAAAUGAAGUGGUAAAGUCACCAUACUUUUUCCCAUUCUCAAGACUGUCUCGCCACGUAUGGUUUUCAAGACUCCACCUAAAAUGAAAAACUCGAAACUAUCAGAGUCUUCUGGUGAAUGGAAAUUAAAUCUCUUUUUUUCUUUACAGCACAUGCCACACUACCCAAAAAACAUAACCAAAAUCUAAAAUCCAUCGGGAUGAAGUAUCAACCGUUGGAAGUAUGGGAAAGUCUUCAUCGAUUCAUGUCCAAAAUCAACAUUGGACUCCAUCUUUUCCUUGACCAUUGAAUCAGCUACCAAUCCAUUUGAUCUCAAUAGUUACCCAGGAUCCAAUCAUGAACAACCAAACUCUUGAUCCAACCAUUCGGUUUGUUGGGAUCCAAGUGCUUGUGAGCAGCCCAAUUUUCACAACCAAACUCUGAUACCACUUGUUAGGAUCCAAUCACGAAAUAAUCAACUAUUGAGAUAUUAAGUACAUAAUAAUUUAAUGACAAACAAAUUACAAAUAUGGAAAAUAGACGACACACAAUAUUUGAUGUGGUUCGACCCCACCAUUGAGUCUACGUCCACGGCGAGAAACUCAUUCUUUAUUAUGAGAGGAAAAUCCUAUACAAAAAUAUAACUUGAACCCAAGCCCAACCUCUAUAUACCAUCUCUCAUCUCCCAAGAACCCUCUCUCACCUCCAUGCAUAAGGCUAGCCCUUUUGUGUGCCCCUUGUGUGUCUUUGUAUAGUAUGUCAAUCCACCUAUUUAUAGGGAACAUUAUUUGGCCAAAACCCAAAUAACAACAGGAAACCAAUUCUAAUUUCUAGACUUGCAUAGAAUAGAAAAUAACUUCUAAUCCUAAACAAAAUAGGAAAUUCUUUGACUACUAUUUCAAAUAACUAAAAUCAAUUAGAAAACUAGUUACUUUUACACAAAUCAAUACUCCUACCUAAAAGAAAUUAAGCCAAUUUUCUAACAAAUCUCCACCUUGACGAAAAUUUCUUUUAACAAUUUUUUGCCUUCAACUACCAAAUAAUAUGAUACCAAAUUACACACUCGAAUCAAUACAGUCUUGAUAUCAAAUUGAUUCAAUCGGCAAAUGAACAUGUGUAGUUACCCCGAAUCUAGCCUCCAGUUGACUUGUGAGAAGGUGUCUCAAUUCACCGUCUUCCUUUGUAGGAUUUUUUCUCACCACCACUUGCAACCGAGGAUCCCUUUCUGUGAGUUCUAACUCUUAACAUUGAGGCAACCAAGUAGUAAAAUCACCAUAUUUCUUCCUAUCCUCAAGACUGUCUCGCCACAUGUGGUUUCCAAGACUUCACAUAAAAUUAGAAACUUGUAAUUGUCUGAGUCUUUUGGCACAUGAAAAUUAAAUCUCUUUGUUUCUUUAAGACACGUGCCACACCAUCCAAAAAACAUAACCAAAAUCUAAAAUCCACCGGGAUGAAAUAUCAACCGUUGGAGGUGUGAAAAAGUCUCCACCGAUUCACGUCCAAAAUCAAUAUUGAAUUCCACCUUUUUCUUGACCCUUGAAUCACUUGCCUAGAUUCACCGUAUAUCUCCAUACUUUUCGACUUUCUAUCCUUCACCAUCAAAUUUUCCCAAGCCAUUGAAACAAGAAUACCAGUCAUUAAAUUGUUCAAUUAGUAACAGCUACCAAUCCACUUGAUCUCAAUAGUUAACCAAGAUCCAAUCUUGAACAACUAAACUCUUGAUCCAACCAUUCAGUUUGUUGGGAUCCAAAUGCUUGUGAGAAGUCCAAUUUUGCAAUCAAGCUCUGAUACCAUUUGUUAGGAUCCAAUCACGAAAUAAUCAACUAUUGAGAUAUCAAAUACAUAACAAUUUAAUGACCAAUAAGCCACAAACAUGGAAAAUAGACGGCACAUAAUAUUUAACGUGGUUCGACUCCACCAUUGAACCUACGUCCACGGAGAGAAACUAGUACUUCAAGUAACUAAAACCAAUUAGAAAACUAGUUACUUUCACAUAAAACAAGAACCCUACCUAAAAGAAAUUAAGCCAAUUUCCUAAUAAUUCUCUUGAAUACUGACAAUAUCCCUUUGCUUUCUUUUUGGUGCCAUCCUGCAAACACAAAUUAGGUUAGGGCAAAAUCUACCUACACUAAGCUACCCAAUCCUCAACUGGUAGCAACAGGUAUUUGAACACGAAAAUCAAAACUAAGUCAAUCCACACUAAGGUUGGCCACCUGAAGUGUAAAUCAACUAAUUCCAAUAUUCUAUCCAACAUACACACUACAUUACAUCAAACUUUCAAUAAAUAUUCAUUCUUAAGGUACUAUAAGUAAGAUUCACACCUAGGCUCUGAUACCAAAUAAAUGUCACGCCCCAUGUCUGGAAUUUAACACCGCCACGCCCUAGACAAUGCUAAAGAUGUAAGCCAACAAAUUUCCAAAAUAAAUAUAUUUACCUUUAUAUAAACUUUCUAAAUCCGCAAAUACAAGAUCAUCCAUAACAGCAAUUUUGCGUCUUUCAAAAUAAAAGCAAGAUCAAACCUUCUACAAUAUGUACAAUAUUCGAAUCCUAUUAUAAGGUAUCUAAUAUAGAAGUACAAAAGUUAUCCUCUAACCAAAAGUCAUCUCCAUCUCCAUUACCACUCCCAAGUUCUAUCAAGGUCCACUUCAAUGAACUCAUCAUUAACUGCAUAAUUAUAACAAAGGGGUGAGCGAAAUCUCACUCAAUAAGUAGCACAUGUAUCUCAUUAUUGGCCUGAGCAUGUUACAUACAUAAUAUAUAUUUCAAACGCCAUUAACUUACACAUAUAACUUUAUAAGAACAUGGUCAUUAUAAACAUUUCAAUGGCAUAUCAUACAUCACACACAUAAAGGAGCUCAAACCAUAAGACAACAAUUGACCCUGGAUAUCUAGUUAUUAACUUAAUCGGUUAACACGGUUCAUAGUGCUAACUACAAUACGAUUAGCCUAUUUCAUAUUGCUAAUGACAACACAGAUAGAUUGUUUCAUAUACCAACUACUUGUGAGGAACUAGUCCCGUCAAAAGUCGCUUAAACAAGAGCUCAACAAACAUAACAUUUCAUUUUACAAAUGACCAUGGCAAGAGUAAUAACAAAUAUCACAAAUUAUACUUGGUCCUGCCACUUUAGCAAUUAGACAAGUAGCUUUCAAAAUUCAUCUUUCAAAAGAUAAAGGAUACGUGCAUCACUUACCUUGAUCCAAUGGAUACCCACGCUAGUUCAAGUAAUCAAAAAAAUGGCUACCUUAUUCAUCUAGACAUAAUAAUAAAAUAUUCAAUUACAAUCUUAAAGAUACUAAACUACUCCAAAUUAUCAUAAAAAGGAGUCUAAUACUACCCUUAAUGACUAAUUCCCAAAAAAGGAUCAUUUCCUCAUCAAAGCAGGACAUAAGGGUUAAUUUUAAAGGGUCACUAACUUUAAGAAAUAUAGAAACAUGGCAAGAUAUUUACACAGAGUUAAAGCCCCCUGAAUCUAGUUUCCAACGCAACAAACAACACCUAAAUCCGAGUUUCCUACAUCAAGUUAUGGCCAAAAAACUGAAAUAUGGCUGUACAGAAAAUUUAAUCCAUCCGAGAAUUAUAGCCAAUCCAUCUAAGGAUUAUAGCCAUGGAUUUCUAGCACGUUUUCAAGGCAAAAACAAGUUCCAAAUUUGAUAAUCAAGUUCCAUUUCCAUCUCAAAUCAUCUUCCAACCUCCAUAGUUGUCAAAAUCAACAUAUUUUAGCUCCCAAAGUCAUGCAAAUACAUAAACAAUCUUGAAAAUGAAUUGUUAGCUCAAGUAAUUCUUUCCCUCAACAUUUCUCCUUUUUAUAUUGAUGAUAGCCCUAUACCCAUAUGAAAAUAGAGACCAAAACAAACUUUAUACAUCAUAGCCAUGGAAGUUAACCAAAAAUUUGAACCAAAUACUACCCAAUCAAAGAAAACCAAAAUCAUGUUCAAGGUUUCAUGAAAAUAUGUUGGUUAGUUGUCAAAGUAGAAUCUCCUUACUCCUCACUCCUUACUUGUGCUUGAUUUGUCAAGAAUUCUUCUUGAUUGUAAGGAAAAAGGAGAGAAAUAAGAAAGGGUUUUGUUGGAGAAGGAAGGAAGAAAGGAAAUGAAGAAGAUGAAGAAAUUUUUUGACAAGGAUGAAUAGUGAAAUCUCACUAUCACUUUAUUCUUUCAAAAUUUCACUUAUUAACACAUUGGUCACUCAAUUUAACAUCUUUCACUUUUCACCACUAAAUAGUAUUUCUUCGCAUAAAAUUCUCUACAAGACACUUGGGUAUCACAAUAAUUGUUAGGACCAACAAUUCUUAUAGACUGUCUGAGACAACAGUAUUCAUGGAUAUAAAUGAAAGCAAGAACAUUUGAUAUAGCGCUAGGGAUUUUCGUAUCAUCCUUGACAUUUAUAUGCAUCUCUUCUAUUUGGAUAUUUAUCUACAGCGAGUCUUUCUAUCGAUAAUGCCCAACUAAAUAAAAAAGAAAAGACAAUUUGCAUUUUUUCUUUUUUCUCUUUUUUUUCCCCAAUGUGUCAAACAGCAAGAAUGGUAACCUCCUGUUGGAUCCUUAAUCCAACGUUGGACUUAUAUGUGAAUAAUUAUGUAUUUCAAACUAUCAAAUAAGGUUAAAUUCAAUUAAAAUGAUCAAAUAUGAUUUGGACUUAAUGUAUCUAAUAAGGUGUGGGUCUUUAAUGUGUAGAGACUUAAAGGUAUUUUCUAUUUCUAUGAUGGAUUGAAAUAUGAAUCUAAAAGAUAACGGGAAUGCUAUCUAUAAAUAGGGAUAUGGUCCCAGGUCACAAGUAUUCUUAUUGUCAUAUUUUCUAGUACCACAAAACAGUUUUUUCCUAAUAUCCCAUCAUCAGAAAACAUACCAGAGAGAAACUAAAGUGCUCUCUCAAGAAUUGGUAAAUACGUGUUGACUUAGAAGGCUAUCCUAAAAUCUUCAAGGAUUCAAGUGCCAGUUUGUUAAUAUGAAUUUAGGUACGCUUCCGCAUUUAUAUUACAGUUCUAUUCAAAUAUCUAAUAUUGGGAUUCUGGAAAUUCCUACACCUUCUCCCUUUGAAAUUUCAGAGAACAAAACCAAAUAUUUCAUUCCUACUAAGUUAUGGGCACGCAUUACAUCAUUCCUACUAAAUUUAACUAUCUUAACAACUUAGAAAAAGCUAGCUACAUAUACAUUGUCUUCUUACAUAGAUAAAAGAUAUGCAGGGCAUAUAGAAAGAUCGUCCAAAUGGGUUUAAUUUGCUGCUUUUAAGCUUGACAUUUGUAAGACUUAUGACCGGAUAUCAUGGCAAUUUCUAUAGGCUGUUCUAAGAAAAAUGGUUUUUCCAGAAUCCAAGAUUAAUAUUGUUUUGAAGAGUAUCUUUUUUGUCCCUUACUCUAUCAUAGUUUUUUUUUUUUUUUAACUUAGGGUUAUCCGAACUUUUUGGCCAACUAAUUCCCUAAAACUGUGUAGAGUCUUAUUCUAAGGAUACAUAGUAAGAUAGUACACAGGAUUCGAUUACGGGACAUGUUAGUAACUAUCAAACUACGGAAUCAGUCGAACUACCCGCGGGGCACUCAAUCGUAGUUAAUGGAGUACUAUCAUCGGUAAUAUAUCCUACCAGAGGCCUUCGCCAGGGAUGCCCCCUCUGAGCAUCAUAUCUCUGCUUUAUACCAAGAGGCAUUGUCAGCUGCAUUAUGUUCUUUGGCAUCUAUAGAAUCUAUGUCCCCAAAUAUGAUUUUGAAAACCUAUACUUUGACUUACAAAAUCUUAAUUUUUUUUCAAAUCCAAUAAAGAUGGAAGGGAAAUAAAAAUAAACGAAUAAAAAGAUGGAAGGGAAAUAUAAAAAAAAAUAAGAAACAAAAAAUACAAAAUCUUUUUUUGACUACAAAUAUCAUUAUAAGUUUUUAAUCUAAAACUUUAAUGGUAUUUUCUAUUUCUUUUUUAUCUAUUUUUUUAUUUCAAUUUCUUCCUUUUUAUGUUUAGAGGAAAAAAUAAGCAACGAAAGGAUAAAUUUAUCAAUUUAUUAAUUUGAUUUUGCAUUUUACCGCUGACUCUAAGUUUUAAUGAAAAAACUAAGUCACAUUUUAUUUCAAAUCAUGAGGAGGUUAUAUAAAGUUUUCAUACCGUAGGAUGGUUAUGUUGUAAACCACCAAACCAUACGGGGUAAAAGGUAAUUUACCCAUUAAUCUAUGCCCACUAAGUUUCGUUGGAGCUAUAAUGCAUGAAAAAAAAAAGCAUGCGCUUUUCAGCAAAAUGGGGACAUAGACAAAACGCAAAUUUGAAAGUUUCAAUCUCAUAAACAUAAUAACCACCGGAUGUUUUCAUUCAUUCAUAGUGAAAACAAGAAGAUCCGCAGUCCUAGUUAAGCAAGCAAAGCUUAUGAGUCAGUUCAUUCAAAAACUUUCGGAAUUACCUGAAGAAUGAUGAGCUUUGGUGAUACUUUUUUCGGCAAACUGCAAGCUUUCUACAAUUAAGGUUGGAAUAAGAUUGGAUACAAACGUCCUCUUUAAAUACGAGACAUCAGUUUGUAAAGAGGAAGUUAUAUGGUUCUCUUUGGGAAGCUGCAAAUUUUGGUGAUUUGAAACCAAUUUGAAAAUUGACAAAAUUCGUGCUUUCCUUGGCAGCUACUGGCUUUGAUUGAAAGAGAUGAUCUUGGCAAUGGCUAUAUUGAGUCAAAAUCAGACCGUAACGAUCUUGGCUAUGGAAUUUGGAAUGUUUUGUUUCCACUUUCCAAAUGGUAGUUGGCUUGUUGCAAGAAAGAAGAAAAAUUGCAGUGGUCUUCAUUGGCAAAGUUUGAUAAUAUCAUGGUCAAAAUAUCUAAUUGCUCACGUGGGACAUCUUUUUGUAAGUAUUACUGUAUUAGUUGUCUUUUAACUACUUGUUCUAAUUUAUAGGUCAGGCUUUCCAUUAAGGAAUUGAAGCCACCGCCUUGCACUCCAAGGUGGUUCUGUGCACUAAUCAAAUUGAUUUAGAUGCAUUACAGGGUUAGCAAACAAAGUUGUGGGCUUUCAAAUGAUUCUAAUGGAAUUUACUAAUGAAAAGUCUUGCAACUCAGGACUCGUACUUCAAGCUUUGUGUUUGGCAAUUGUCAACCAAUGCCUUACCAAAUCUUAAAGCGGGCAUUUGCAGAAAAUAAAAAUUUUAUUUAAUUUAUUUAUUCAAGAUUUAAUAAAUUAAGUUGAUUUUAAUUAAACUAAAUUAAAUUAUGAAAGUCCUUUAUUUUUGAACUAACAAAUUGGACCAGUAUUAUGUGGGCUGUAAAAUCAAUUAAAUAUGCAAGGUCCAUUGAAAUUAAAAUGGAUUAAUGGAAUCAUUAAUUCACAAUGGACUGUUGGGCUAGCUUAUUACUAAAAUCAAUAUUAAAUAGAUUUCAAAUUGAACCAGUAUUAAACGAAUUGUUGGGCCAGCUUAUUGUUAAAGCUUUUCACAUAUAUUGUUAUAAUAAAAUAUUUCAAAACAUCCGUAAAAAUAGUUAAUCCAAACAGAGACAUGGUUUUUUUAUAUUACUUUAAUUAAUUUUUUUUUUCUUCUUUGGCUGCAAAAAUUACGCACCACCAUAGGAAUAAUUCACUUAAUGAACUUCGGAGGUCUCUGACUAAAAAUAGCGGAGCAAUCAUUGAUGGCAAUUUGGCAAUGGAAAUGAUGGCAUUUGACCAUGUUAUUAAUGGCACUUUAGAUCUAGCCUCAAAAAAUGCUGAUUCUAAACAUGAGGAUGGUUUCUUAGAAAAAGGUUGUCCUCUUUGUUCUCUUGCUACGGUAUUUGAAGACAAUCACUAUACGCAAGCAAAAAUGCCUAAUCCCUCCUUUCACUCAGUCGCUUCAUUUUUCUUCAUUUCUCACUUGUUUGUUUUUUGGAUUUAUAGAAGAAGUGCCUUUUAAAUUUACAGAACAAGAAGAAGAUGAUGAAUGCGAGAGAAAAGAACCCUGUGGUCAUAGCACAUUGUGCUUCCUAAAUUGCCCCUUCAUUAUGUCUAGUGAAUCACACAACGGUGGAAUCUGACAGAAUGACUCAGGAUCAAAAUACAUACUUUAGAUAGUUUAGUAGCCAAAAUCAAAUUGUUAAUAGUUCAGUGACCAAAACUCAAUGAUAGCAAAAGUUUAGUGGCUAAUGAGGUAAUUUGCUCGAAAAAUAAUGAUAGAAGCAGCGAAGGGUGAAAUUUGGAUGUUCAUGCUACUGAGAAAGUUUUUGUAUGACUGAUUCCCUGGAGAUUGCUAUCACUUGAGGUAGGGGAAACAACAAUGGAGGCUCUCUGUCUUGGAGGUGUCUGAAGCAAAAAGUCCUGGGCAGAAAUGUGAAACAAAAUCUGAAUUGUGGGCUUGUGUUUGCUGCUGAUGACUGUAUUAUUGUCCACCGAAGUCUUCCGCCCAAACAAGGUGACCCUCCUAUUAUCCCUGCCUCAUUAUCUACUUCAUGUUUUGCUUCUACUAACUCCCCUACCACAUAAAACGAGUUUUGGGUCGAGGGUUAGGUUAGGGCGCUAGAACUCGAGAAGGGGAUGAAGAAGAUUGAAGCUUCUGUGGUCUGGAGCUUAGGAUUGAGGAUGCUGGAGUUGGGUUUGCGUUUUGCCCGCCAAUGAUCACCCUGAGUUGCUUAAUUUGGUAGAGAAAAAUCAGAACAUGGGAGUGGCCUGGAGGCAGGUUACUCCAUGCCAGCGACCUAAUUAAUAUUGAUAUGGGUAAAAUACAGUAAACCCCUCUAUGGUUAGGAAAAUAAAUAUGAAACUCCCUCAUUGUUUAAAAAUACCCAUUUAACCUCCCUUGUGCUUUGAACAUCUUUGGAUUUUGACUGCUAACAGGUUGGGAAGCCAGUAAUAAUAUAAAAUACCAAAAAUACCCUCAUUUAUAAUAUCUCAAAAGGCACAGCUGCAAUUAGUAGAUCUUGAGUGGUACUUCAGGUGCAGAGAGAGAAAGUGGAUGAAACCCUAAACCUAUAGCACUAUCUUCUUCCAUGACAUCAAUAAACUACAGAAUUUUCGUGUGUAUCUCACAGAUGAAGAAGGCAUUUUUGUGCAGAUUGAUCGAGGGUUGCGAAGCAUCGAGCAUAGCGAUUAACAAGGUAAUCUCAUAUCUGAACCCUAACUUUACUUGUGUUGAUUGGUUUCAUGGUAGACGUUUGGUAGUAUAUUGUUGGAGAUAUUUCGAAACUUGGUAAAAGAAGUGAUAGCUCUGGCUUAGUCAAAAGUAUUGUCGACAAUCUUUAUCGAAAAAAUUUAUAAAAAAAAUUGCUAAGUAUGCAAAAAGGAGAAAAGAAUGGGUCUUUGCGGAGUAAUCUAGACUAUUGUGGUCAAUACUGGUAUUGAUUAUGUUUUUUAACCUUUUAGAUGAGUGUGUUAAUGUUGACUAUGCUUUUUUGAAACUAAAAGUGUAUGAAAUAUUGCCUGUCGUUUUCGAUACAUCUGAAAAUUAAAUUAGUAAAUUUAUCUCUGUUACUUUGGUUUAGAUGUAUAAGAAUGGAAGAUAAUCUGUUUAAGAGUAUAGACAUAUACAUGCAUUAUGGUGGAAAUUUCAAAUGAAACUGAGAAUUAGAUACACCGGCGAACAAGUGAGGAUAUUUUGUGGAUGGAACCCUGAUGAAUUUUCUCCAUUUGACUUUCAAAAGAUGUAUGACACAAUUGAGUGUGGUGUAAGCAAUAUGAAUUUCUAGUACUCUAUCCCCUUUCAUGACCUUGAUGUUGGUGUUGUUAGUAUUAAGGAUGAUGCCGACAUCGAAUUAUUGACAAUAUGUUAUGAAAGGCUUCCAGAAAUACACAUAUAUGCUGAGAAAGGGCCUGAACCCAUUGAAGUUGUCUUUGGAUGAAUAAUUAUUGUACAAGAAAGUGACUGGUGAUAGCUUACUUGCACUUCCAUUUCGUGAUAAUUGGCAAUUGGUGUGUUCAGAUUGGAUUAUCCGCAUUUGUUAAAGGCAGUGAUAACUUUGACCCUACAAUUAUUGGGAAUGAGUACAAUAAUGAUAUUUCACAUAUUAACUAUAGAAGAAAAGGCAUCUGUGAUGAAGUGUCAUCACAAAUGGAGUUGGAUCCAAUUUUUGUGGGACCACAUAGAGAGCAGAUACAUGAUUAAACUAAUAAAUCCAAGUGGAAGAAAACAAUAAAUGGUAAAAAAACUGAGUGGCAAAGAGUAAAAUUAACUGCAAGGAAGUUAGUCCAGCAGUUAGUUAAAGAGAAGGAAAAAGUUGAUACAACUACAGAGGUCUAGCAGUCUCCCACAAGAAAUUCAGCAGAAGAAACAACAUUUGGGACAGAUCCAACAGAAGAAACAACUAAUUUGAGGGGAGAAAAAAUAGCUGAUGAAGGUGGAGAGAAAGAUGAUGUCGUACCAGACUAUUUAGAUCUCCCGGACUGGCUAAGAGAAGGACUAGAAGGGCCUAAAGAUUAUGAUAUAUUUGCAGGCUUAAAUGGUCAAGAAUCAACACAGGCAUCUAUUAAUUCAGGAUCUAUAAAUUUUGUUAGAGUUGGUUCAGAGUAGCAACAAGAAAAUUAGCAAGCCAAAGCUAGAAAACAAGCUGGUAUAGAUCAACAACAAGAAAAUUAGCAGGCCUAAUCCAGAAAACAAACUAGUUCAGAGUAGCAACAACAACAUCAGCAAUCGAAAUCAAGAAAACAAGCAAAGAAACAGACCCAUGAAGAGAGGAGUCAACCAACACCAGGUGUGGAUGAUAGAUGCCGUGUCAAUGAGCAGGAAGAGAACUGGAAUGACCUAGUAAAGGAUGAUGAAAAGCUAUUUGACAAUGGGAUAAGAUCUGAUGAAGAAAGCAUCCCUGUUUAUAGUUACUUCAAUGCGGAGAAAAAGUUUAGGAAAGAGCACUUUGAACUAAAGGUUUGACAGAAAUUUACUAGCUUCUCCAAAUUUAGGGAGACUUUAGAGGAGUGGGAAAUUAGGGAGGGUAUGAGCACAAAUACAUCAGAAAUGAAGGCUCUCGAAUCACAACUAAAUGUGCGAAGGGGUGCAGUUGGAGAAUUCAUGCAUGCAGAAUCCAGAGAACAAAGACUUUUAUGAUCAAAACUCUUAAGCGAGAGCACCAUUGUGGUAGGGAUUAUAGCAAUAGACAUGCUACUUCAACAUAUCUAAGUGAAAAAUUUCAGGCCAAGGUGAGGGAUGAUUGUGGGUGCAGUACUCCGGGCAUAGUAAAUGAGACAAGAAGACUAUUUAUGUUAGACAUUAGUGGGAAGAAAACUGCCAGAACAAAGCAGAAAGCAUUAGAGGCACUUAGGGAAAAUGACAUGAAGCAAUAUCACAGGCUUUGAAAUUGUGUAGCCACUGUAAAAAAGUCCAAUCCUGAUACUCAUAUUUCACUGCAAAUUGAUAGGCAAAGUGUUGAGGAAAAAGCUACAUUUCAGAGGAUAUACUAUGGAUUAGGUGCUCUGAAGAAUGGUUUUUUAGAAGGUUGCAGACCUAUAAUAGGACUAGAUGGCUAUUUCCUAAAGAGUCCCUUUGGAGGUUAGCUGCUUACAGUCAUGGGUAGGAAUGCCAAUGAAAAUAUGUUUCCUAUUUCCUUUACUAUUAUUGAGGUAGAGAACUAUGACAACUGAUAAGUGACUAAUUUACGUAAUAAUUGGAUGAUAUUUUAUAUUAUUUUUAGUCACUUUGGUUAUAUUAUUGGAAUAAAAUGAAUCAUUUUGGCUAUAAUUGGUGAAAAAUGCUUUUAAGUAAUUAAAUGAAGUUUUUAUCAUUUUUUACUUGGAUUUUGUGCAUUUUGACAUAUUUUUGUAUUUUGGCUAUAACUUGAGCUAAAAUGAUCGGAUUGAGAGAAUUCUUAAACCAAUUUGAAGAUAAGAGAUAGAUCUACAACUUUGGUGAAGACAUCUGAAUCCAGUUUGAAGGUUUUCCAGGUCAAAAAGCCUAAUUACAGUAGCUAAUUUCCAUUGAUCGAAGCUGAAACAGAGCAAUGAGCAGUCAAAGGUGUUUUGGUCAUUUUGCAGCCUACACAGAUCCAAAUGAGGUGAUUCUUGAUGCAUUGGAAAGCUAACCCAAGGGGCUACAAGUUUUAUGUUUUGGUCAACGGCUAAAUAAGCUUUUAUCAUCAAGAAAAGUUCAGUUGAAGUUGAUGCAAAAGUGGAGCAGAGCUGGAAAUUGAACAAAAGUGCACCAAAAUGUCACUGUAGUAAUCCGGCCGGAACUUGGCUGGAUUUGUGGCCGGAUUUGUGGCCGGAUUGUGGUCAAAGAAGGCUGCUCUUUACGCGAAAAACUCAAUUUCACCUCUACUAAGUCACAUGUAAUACUAGACAUGUGAGAAACAUUACCAGCUGUAAAAGGGAAGUGUAGGCCUCAUUUUCUUGACUUCCUUUGUCUUGAAAUAGUCAAAUCUUGCAAGCAGAAUGGGAUCAUCAUAUGGGAGAAUAGAGAGACAUACGGGAGAAACUUGGAGUCUGCAAAAAUGUAAUUCUUCCAUUUUCCUUAGCGUAGGAUAGUUUUAGUUUUAGACAGUUUAUCCUUUCUUGUAUGUUAGCUACAUGAAGAGGAAGAUGGAGGAUGAAGAAGGCAAGAAAAUGAACUCAUGUGACAAGGGUUACAUUCCUUCCAAACUCUUUAUCUUUUGUACUUGAUUUUAUUGUUUAGUUAAUAUACAAGUCUGGAUUUUAUGUUAUUUAUGUGUCUCUAAAAUUUAUGCCUUGGGUUUGGUUGAACUUCCUAUGAUUGUUAGUGUUUAUUAUUUAACUAUUUGAUUGCUAUGAUUUGAGCAAGUUAUUUAGUACUUUAGCUCUUUAAAAUCAUGAUUAAUCUGGUAUCAUUGAUUGUGAUUAUCUAAGGUGUCGUUUUUGCAAUGAAAAUUGAGAUUUAAUACUAUUUCAAGAAGUGCUAAACACAGGGAGUACACUCACGAAAGUAGAGGUGCACCUAUGUGGUUUUUAGUGAUUCAUUUCAUGUAAUUCACUGAAGAAAUGAACUUGUAGCUAAUUUCAUAACCAUGAGAAUAGGUAUGGAUUAGUUAUAAGUAUAAUUGAUUUACUACGAAAGUAGGAUUCAAAUGCAUAAGGAAAUUACACCAUAACUAGCCUAGAUGUAGUACUCAAUGAUCCAAAUAUAGCACUUGCAUGAGUAGUUAGGGAUACCACAACCUAAUGAGCUUUUAUUUGUUAUUUUGUAUAAUUUCAGUAGGUUAAAUUUGUUAUAAUUCAUUGAUAGUCUAAAUAAUAGAGAAGCUUUAGUAAUACCGGUAAUUGUUCACUCUUCCCUGUGGGAUCGACCCAAUAUAUACCCAAAACUACUAGUUGACCUGUAUACUUGCAGUGAACGGGUGUAAUUCGAUUUUUUUUUAACUUGUACGUAUAUUAAAAUCCCGUCAACAACUAGAGCUAGUUUUUGAGAGAAUUAAUCACCCAAAUUGGAGAAGGAAACAAAGGAAUGGCUUACACUUUCAUUUCGGAUAGGCAAAAGGGUCUUGUCUAUGUAAUUGAGGCGCUGUUCCCUGAAUUAGAGCACAGCUUUUGCCUAAAACACAUGUUCAAGAACUACAAACAAAGAUUCAAGAAUCAAAACCUUAGAGACAUGUUCUAGGAAGUUGCUGCAGUAGCAAGUAUGCCAGAGUAUGAAACUGCCCUAUCAAAUCUUGAAAGGGUUGACCCAAAGGAAGGUGACAAACUAACAAUUGCAGGAUGGCUCAAACGGUUGCCUCUAAAGCUUUGGUCCAGAGCCCACUUUAGUACUAUUUGUAGAAGUGACACGUGCAUCAACAACAUUAGUGAGUCAUGGAAUAAUUACAUUCUAAAGGGUAGAGGUGAGCCAAUAAUAACAAUGCCGGAGUAGAUUCGGAGGAGAUUAAUGCAAAGGUUGGUAACCAAACGAGAGGGCAUGCUGAAAUAUAGCAGCACUUUAUGUCCAAACAUUCACGAGAAGUUAGAGAAACUGAAGAUAAAAGCAAGAAACUGUGUCGUGGUUUAUGGAGGAAAUAGGAAUUUGGAAGUUGAUGGCUAUGGAAGGACUAAUGUCAAUUUGGAUAUAAAGACAUGUACCUGUAGUCAUUUUCAACUUAGUAGAAUUCGAUGGGUGCAUGUGGCUGCUUGCAUUCAAAGCAGAAAGUUGGAAUUCGAGCAAUUUGUUGAUGCUUGUUACUAUAGGGAAGUAUAUUUAAGGGCCUAUAACUUCACAAUUGGUCUUGUUCUUUCGAAGCAAUUCUAGGUGGAUAGCAAAAUGCAGUAUUUGAACCCACCAUUGGUGAAAAAACAACCUAGUAGGCCAAAGAAACAGAAGAAGAAGGGUCCAAAAGAACCUACAAAUCAGCAUAAAGCAAGUAAGAACGGGUCUGGCAGUCUACUGGCCGAGGUGUUUGAAAUUUAGACAUAACAUUAGAACCUGCAAAUCAGCAAUUCACCCUAAGUCCAAGCUAUACAAGAUAAUGUAACAUUUCAGAACCAAAUCAUUUCUCUAUUUUGUUUUGUUGCUGCUUAUACAUCCAGCCAUUUCGAUGUGAACUAUAAGCACCUAAAUGUGGUCUAACAGUUUCAAAUGCAACAUUCUGGCUUCUGUAGCUCAGGCUAGUGUCGCAAGUACUACUGCUACUACUCUUUCACAGGUACUAGUUCUCAAUUGCCUAUUUUUGGGUAUUGUGACCUGCUUACACACUAAGCAGUGCCACUUAUAAGCAGGAACCAAGUUAGCCUAUAAGUGGUACCAAUCAAGAAAGCUAGAAGAGUAAAUCUUCAAAGAGGAAGCAACCAGCUACAGGAAUGUCAAGAUUGCAACAUUGUGGCUCUAAGAGACCAAAAACAUGAACUAUAGUUAUCUCUCUUUUGUUUGUCGAAUAUACUGGUUAUGUUAACCACAUUGAUCCCUUCUGGGAUUGAAUCGUAAUAUUUAUUGAAACUAGAAAACUCAGAUUUUGGUUAUGUUUUGGUAGAUUGAUACCAUUAUGGUAUGAAUGUAGUAAUAUGCUUCAUUUUUAUGGCAUUCGUGGCAGUAUUGCUGGUGACCCUUUUUGGGAUUGGAUUAUAAUAUUUACUGAAACUAAAAAACUCAAAAUUUUGGCCUUAUUAUGGUAUAUUGAUACCAUUGUGGUAUGGAUGUGGCAAUAUGCUAAUGGUAUCUUUGAAAUAGAUAGGUGAUAUCUUUACUAAAAAUGAUUUAAUUUGACAAGUUCAUUGCAAUGUAAUCUCCAGUCUUUCAAUUUUUUUGUCAUGUAUUUUUUAAAUGUCCUGCAACAAAACAAUGUAGCUUCAUUCGUUCAUCUUAAUUAAAACCAGAAUGUCUACUUCAUUACAUCCAAUUGAAACUAGAUGUGGCAACAUGUUGGACAUAACAAAAUCUACCAUUGUGCCCAACUCCCUCAUCUACUACACAUUUUUUAUACUAAUUUGUCCUGAACAUUCAUCUCAUACAUAUAACAACUAGUGACAAAAGAGACACAACUACAGACACCAUCAUCAUCAUCUUCAUUAGCCCCAUCAUUGUUUCGACAUUGUGAAUCUUUGACUGUAGUGUCUCAUAAUCAUAUUAUAGUUAUUACUUUCCAUCCCUUGCCCAGAGAUGAAAAAUCUUUCCGCCAUUGCAGAUCCAGUUGGUGAAACUCCUUCCAUGUAUGGAUUUUGGCAGGAUGAUUCAUUAGUGCCUCCCUCUCUACUAAUUGGGUUGCAUCAUGUCCAGAAUGAACAAGCACCAUUUUCACAUACAAAAUACAACAUAUCUUUUGAUGGUUUUUUAGAUUCCACUAUCUUAAUCUUUGCUUUAUUCUUGCAAAAACAUCAUCAAUUUUGGUACCUUAGCUUGACAUUUUCGGUUUUUUUCCUUGAACAAAGCUAUGUUGUGCCCUCCAAAGCUACGCUCUUAUGAUUUUUGUCUUAAUUUUGUGUCUCUCUGUCCAAUUUUUCCAUUUGCAGAAUAACAACUAUGGUGGGUUUCAUUUGUAAGAGACAUGGAGAGAAAAAUGGGAAUGAAAACUAGUCUCUUUCAGUCACAUGCGGCCAUUAGGUCGCAUCAAUGUCACUUGCUAGCUUCCUAGCCGGUUAGCAGGUAAAAUCCAAAGAAAUCCAAGGCACCGAGGGAGGGUUAAGUGGGUGUUUUUAAAUAAUGAGAGGGUUUUGUGUUUAUUUCCCUAACCAUAAGGGGGUUUACUGUAUUUUACCCUAUUGAUAUUGGUGAGGUGGAAUUUGGGGCAGAACCCCUCUAAGAAUUUGUGUUUCUCCCCAGUGUCUCAAGAGGUAAUCAGGCCCUGCUUGAAUUCUAACCCUGCUGGUAGACCUAGUUUGGAAGAACUAUUCAGGGUUAUUUGUUUAAGGACCUUAAGCCAUUUGAAAAGGUGGUAGGGAAAAUCUUUGAGGUGCGCAUUUUUUAUGGUAAGGGCACCUACAAACUGGUGAAAAUUCUUGGCCACCACCAGGGGGAAUGUCUGGUUUACCAAGCCAAGUAUGAGCCCAUCAAAAGCACUGAUCACUCUGUGGGUUUGAAGGUAAUGGAGAAGGAGAAGUGAGUUGCUCCAGCAAUCAGCUGAGAUCAGUGUGGAUGCUAAUUCCCAUCCGUGUAUCAUCGGGGUUAUAAACGAAUUUGCAAGCGGUACAAGUUAUUGUGCCUCGAUGCCCUUAUUUGAUAAGGGUUCAUUGAGGCUUCUUUCAAGGAAUCGAUGAAAUGAUGGUUGACCCGACGAUUGUAUUGCCCUGGUUCGGAUGGAACCCUUAAAAGGUCUUGGUAUCCUCCAUGAAAAUCAUAUGGUUCUCAAACGUGCCAGUCCAGACGAUAUUUUUUCUGUAGGAAUCCUUUAUGCAUUGCUUUGGGUCAUGAUGCAACUCUGUGUCAUGCUUGGAAUUCUGACAAUGCUAAAAAUUCAGUGAUAAAUUCAACGAUUGAUGAAUUCAGUCAUGCUUCAGAAGUCUAUGAUACUGGGGAGGCUUAUUCCUCGAAGGCUGACAUAUGGCUCCUCAGAUUAACUGCUUUGGAGUUGGCCUAUCACCGCAUCCCUGUCAAGACAAGAGCAGGCUUAAUGGUUGUUAUACAUCAAUCAAAACAAUUGUUUGCCUACAGGACUGAAGCACCGCUUGUCUAGGGAGAAACGAGACAGUUCGCCAGCAAUUUCGGUCACUUUGUCAGCCUAUGCCUCCCUGAAAAUCCAGCACAAAGACCAUUAGCUAUCCAGCUGUUGGAACAUCCAUUCUUGAGAAGUUGCACUAGUCUUGAAUGUUUCGAUAAGGUGCUUUAAGUAAUAUGGCCAUUUUGAAGCUUCUCCUCCCCUGAGUCUGCUUGAAGUAUUUCGUGUUUUCGACUUAUUGUUUUUGAUUCUUAAAGGUGCUCAAGUAAUGUGGCAAGUUUGAAAAGUUCUCCUGCCUAUGUUAAAAUGAGAAAUUUCAUAUUUUCGGUGUACUGUUUUUGUGCUCUUAAGUUUAUCUUGCUUACUUUUUGACAUCUUGUGAAAUUUAAGUAUUUAGAUUUUUUUUUAAAAUUUUGGGUUAAUUAUUGACCUUUUGAAAUUGAGAAUGCUUGGGUGUUGGUGUUAUAACAAUUUUUUUUGGGUUGCUUCUUCUCAAAUUGUUACUUGGGAGCUUUAUUUUCCCCUGAUAAGAAGAAGAUGAGGCAUCAACAAUUAUUAUCCCUGGCAAACCAACAUUUAUUUGCAACAUGUCUUAGUAUAAUGAUGGAAUAUUUUAGUGCCUUCAGAAUCAUAUUGCAUUUGGUUAUGCAGGUAAAAUUUUCAUAGGAAGGGGAAAAUUAAAAGUAGAAAUGCCUUUAAUAAUCAUUUCACCAGUCAAUAAUUCCUUCACAAUGCCAAUUGACAAUGGAUGUUGAAACUUUGAACGCAUAAAACUACUUUAUUGAGAGGCAAUUGGUGACAUUGUGUUUACUGAAGUGAUUCUUUGCAAUGCUACAGAACGUAUGAACUAGUUAUAAAACCAAACCGCAUUGAUAGCCUCUACUCGUGUCCUACCUCGUGAGAGCUAGAUUUGCUAAUACUUUGAAAAUUAAAGUUUUUUCACCAUUUUAUCAUUUUUGGCACUGACGGGCUAUGUUAUUGCAUCUGGAUAAUCCACCUAAUUCUAUCCUAAAAUUCUAUGCAGUUGUGUUUUUCUUCUUCAUCUCCUCAGAUCUUUUUUCUUUUUUCCCCCCCUUUCCUCUCUGUUUUGAACUUAUGCCUCAUGGUAUGCCUAACUUGCGACCUUCAUAAUGAUAUGGCCUAUUUCUUAAUGUCAGUUUGCUGGCGCCUUCAAGCAAUCUCAAGUUCUUAGGAUCAGAGAGUUUGUCCAAAAUGGUCUUAUUUCUGUAGCUCUUUUACGGAAUAUUCCAUUCUGCCGGAGCAGCAGACCUUUUGGCAAAAUGUACUUGUGGCUUCAAUGUUUUGGAGCAGUUAGUCUUGCCUUGUCCUUUUUUGCAAUAUCUGCUGGAUUUGAAUUCUACUUAACAUCCUCGAGAAAGAAGAACAACUUGUAGUUUCCACUCUAGACGUGUAUUAUUGAGGUUGACGUUAGUCUGUUUUAGUUCUUUGAUGCUUGCUAAAUUGUGUGUUCAGUGCUUUGUACGGUUGUGUGACUUUCUUCAAGCAAUCUGUGCAUUGUUGUUUUCUCAUUCAGAAAACUUGCAAUCCUUAAUAGUUGUAAGAAAUGGAUUUUCUGUCUCCUGAUUUCAAUUAAACAUGUAUGUAUGUGUAUCUAGUCUUUCAAAAUGGAGCUUCUGAAGUAUCAGCAUAUUUUACACUUGCAGACACUAAUUCUAGAAAAACUAGAGAUAAAUAUAUAGCGAGUUCUUUCAUCCUUGUAGUCACUGUGCUGACAACUUCCAAAGUCUCAUGAAGAGCUUAUUGUUUCCUAAAUUGUCCAUUAUGUUUGACAAUUGGCAGUAGUUCAACUUGAGGAUAUGUUGGCUUCUAGCCACUCUGGUAUCUUCAGUGCUUUAGUCUAGAUAUAUAUUGAACUCUUGCUAACAUCCUGUUCAGCUAGUUUGCUCGGAUAUGAGGUCGAAGUGGCCGGUGUGUAUCGUACUGCAGGAAAUCAGACAUUUGAUCCAGCGGAUGGGUGCAUCUCUUCACCAUAUAUUCCGUGAGGCCAAUUCGGUGGCGGACGCAUUGGCUUCUCUGCAAUUGGGAGGGCAGCAGUACUACAUCUCAGAUGCGGCUCUGCCUAUCAGGCCCAGAGGAGAGGCUCUUCUGGAUCGUCACGGAGUACCUCGGAUCCGUGAGGUGCUCACUAAGGCUUGAUUGUUUAUGUCCUCCCUUCAUAGAUCAUAUUUCGUACACUCCUUGUAAACAUUCUUUUUCUUAUCAAUAAAAUGAGACAAGUUGAAAAAAAAAAAAAGAAAAAAAAACUAACCAUUGACAGUUAAUUGCGUACUACGAAAGUAUACAACUAAUCUAUUUCUCUAUUGAAUCUUUCUUGUGGACCAAGAAUAAAAGCGUAGCUUGAUAAAGGCACUAUUAAACUUUGUACAACUAUAAAAUCUCGAAAGUUACCCAAAGUAUAAAUCAAACAACAUUGUUGUGAUUAUUAUUCUGCAUUUUCAUGAAGAGCAUGUCCGAACCUCAAACUUUUAACUAUUCUUGAUCACAGAUGAAACAGGAAGCUAAAAAACCAACUUUUUUUUUAGGGUGGAUCACUUAAAAAAUGGAAUGACAAUUGAUUUAGGGGUGCAAAGUUUAUUAUUUAUUGAAAGAUUUUCUUCAGAGCUCAGGCAACUUCAGCUGUCAGUAUUAUGAGGUCCAUUAAUUGUGGAUGAGAUACAACAUGUGGUAGUAGCUUGGUGGAAGAUUCCACUAACACAGUAACCUUGGAAAUUAGCUCUGGAAUGGGACCUGUCCCAGAAGUGUUUUUGCUGAUCUACUUGUAUCUAGUAUAGGCUUUGCUUUACUAUGUAAAUCUACAUUGCCCCCCCCCAAAACACACAAAACACCAAAAACGCCACCAAAAGAAAGGAUCAACUAAGCAAAUGCAUAUAUUCAUUUAGCCCAAUCCGCCAUAUUUUUUGUUUCAAGAAAGCUCCAAUGUGGUGGAGUACAACUGAACCACAUUCAAGAGUUCUAAGAGAACUUUCUAGUUUACAUUGGAUAUUAUGUGCACAUCAAAACUCCUUAAUCUCUAUUAACAAGAACAUGUUCACUAUCCAGGUUAGACACUCCAACAGGACUAGUAGCCUGCUUGCUUUACAGGUUUACAAUCAUAGCUGGUCUAUCCGCUUGAAAAUCAUUGAGAGCCUAGAUGAUCGUGAACCACACAGUAUAUCAAGAAAAAAAAAACACACACACACACACACAAUCACAGGUGCCUCUUUUUCCUUAGCACAAAAAAAAAUUCUGAUACAGAAAAAUUUAGAUGAGUUCGACAAAGAAAAAAGUGGAAUACAUCCCAACGUUCAAACACAUUUGCUUUAAAAACACUAAAGUUUUGGUUGACAUGAACAAGAUUUCAAGCACCUAAAUCAGUCUCAAGCAACUCAAUUGCAUUAAACAGGAAUCAGAUUUGGUGGAACCAGAUUUCAAGUGCCAUCAAGCAACUAAAUUGACAUCAAACAACCCAAUUGCAUUAAAAAUGAAGAGCAAACAAUUUAUUUAUACCUGACACAGAAGUUGCUUAUUUGCGCAAGUCUUUCAGCUGGUUAGCUAACUCAUCAUACAGGCUUCUUGUUUCUGUUUGUUGCUGUUGCAAGGUCUUAAUCAACUCUUGCUGAGCAGUGAAUUGUUGAGUUACUUCUGCAGCUCGUUUUUCUGCUUCAUCUGCUCUUUUUCGGCUGUCCUCAAUCUCAUGCCUCCAGCGUUCUACCUCAGCAGCUUGCUUCUUGGUUGCACUACGACCGCGGAUGUGUCCAGGUACGUAACCAAGUUCUUGCUCGCAUAUUUCUUUGCUAGUCAUUGAAGUUGUAGCCUGCAAUUCCCUCAUUUUGUCCUAGGCAAGUAAAAAAUAUGAUCAUUAUGUAGCUGGAAUGGAUGUCAAUAAUUUAAAAAUCCAUUAUCCAAGUGAAACAGCUCACCAAGGUCUCUUUUGCUUUGUCAUUUACCAGCCCCCCUGACUUCUUUGACUUUCGACUUAACUCAAACAUGACUAUCUCUGAAAGCUCGACAUCUUCUUUCCUUUUCUGUCCAAAUUUUCAAUUUUUUCAUUUUCAGUCAUAUGACAAAAAGGAUGUACAUGUACAACUGUUGGCUGGGUUUCAGAUUACCUUUUCCUCAACAACUCUUGCAAGCGAUUUUGUGCCAACAGUAGUGUAGCAGUCAUUUUUGGCACGAUUUUGCUUGUUACGUUCACUAAUUUUCUGCCACAAAUUAGUGAAAAUUUUAACUGACAAAGAUUAGCAAAUUUGUGAAGUGAAAUCUGAAAUUUAAUAAAAGGAUAGGUUAUUUUGACAAGCUAACCUUAAAUUCAUCAUUUUCAAAGUAGCUGACCAGCCACUUCCAAUCUUCUUCACUCACACCUUCAGGAACUUGCCUCAAUGCUUCUUGCCUUGAUUCAAAACUCUGGAAAUACUUGUGAAGCCGAUAUCGAUGGUUUCGAUAUUGUGUGUUUAACUGCCUAUUAAUAGCAGUUUUUGAGGUGAUGUGCUCUGGAAAUCGAAAGUCAUCCUACAAUAACAGUGCAAUCUACUUAAAACCAAGCAAAUCUAAAGCAGUAAAAUCUCUCAUACUUUCUGGAUGAAAUUAGAGUAUUAGCAGGACAACAAAUACCGUAACCGUGCUGUAUAUGCCUUCUCGGUCACCGGGAUUGAGAUGGGACCACUUUGGAACAUUAAGCCUAGCAGCCUUCCUAACAACACAACCCCCUUCUGUGAAAUGAAAGAUAACCACCGCUAAAUGUAUUAUAUAUAUAAACUAGAGAACUUUUAUCAUACAUUGUAAAAAAUUUUGGAUUUACCUUUAGUCUUUGCAAUUUUUACGAAACAAUGGCUUUCUCCAGUGGCUCCAAAAGUUUUAAUAACCAUUUCUUUUUAUUUUUUUGGUCCUAUGGGGGAAAGAAUAAACCAUUCUUUACAGCCAUAUAAACCCAAAAGGUCUAAAGAAAAAGCAAAAUUUCUGUUCGCUGGCAUUCUAACAUCUUGAUAACAAAAAUGAAAGAUAGGAGGCUUGGAUUGAGGACGGGUAAAAUCAUCUUGAAUUGUGCCUGGAACUCCAGGAAUAAUUGGAAAAGUCAUGCAUUUUUAAACACGUUAAUAUCAGGUUUAUGGGUUGAACUAGGUCUCUAGGAUUAUAACAAGGAUUAAUAUCUAUUUAAAUAUUACAGGUACAGAUAAGAACAUUUAUGAGUUAUCAGAGUUUGAAAAAGGUAAGAAAUUGAAAGAAGACUCCUUUCAAGAUUAAUCAAUCAAUUGACUCCAAAAUCCUCAUGAAUAAGAGUCAGCUUCUUCAAUGCAGAAUGAUCAGAGAUUACUCAACAGACCUAAAAGCUGCAAGGAAAAGACAGCACGUGCUUCAUUCAAUUCAAUCAACUCAGUUAUUUUAGACAGCAGAGUACCAGUUAUUAAUAGCUCUAGCAACAUUUUGGGUUCCCAAACAAUACGUCAAAACACUAAUAGGAAUUGUAACCAGAGUGAAGCAGACACCAAAUCUAACAAAGAAACACCAAUAUAAGGCACUGGAAUAAAUUCAACUACAGCAUCUGACUUAUCCAUGUAAUAAAAGACACAGGUGAUGAUCAAAUUUAAACAAAUGAUUGAUCUAUCAAUAUCUCUCCCCUCCAAAUGGAAAAAGCUAAUUAUGAAUGACAGGUAUCGCAUAUACUAUGUUAUGAACCUUGUGUAACAAAUUGCUAACUACUCGAAACAAAAUUUUUUACCGUUCGAAUCUGAACUUGAAUCUUCUAAUCAAAAUACAAUGCCAAACUCAGGAGGAUAAGCCUUGAUGGGUACCGACUACCAAGGUUGAAUCAAAAUUACUGCAUCUCUGAAGUCGGCGACACUAAAAUUCAGCAGAUCCAGGCGUUCGUGGGAAAGGUAUUGCAUCUCUUAUAUUAUCAAUACCAGUUGCAAAUUGCACUAACCUUUCAAAACCUAAGCCAAACCCAGCAUGAGGCACUGAAAAGCAAUUAAAGAACAAAACAGCAUGUUUAGUCAAGGUCAUUCAAAUUAACUCCACAAGGUACCCUGAAAACUAGCUUUCAAACUGAUUCCAUGCCAAGAGUGAAUGCAGCAUUUAAUAAGGCAGUGUAUUGGAACAUCAAUGAUAAAAAUUAGUAGCUGCAAGUUAUCAUCUGCCAUUUGAGACCAAGUCAAACCCCCCCCUUUUGGAAGAUUCACUAAUCACAAACGAAUAACAGGAGAAAAAGAACAACUAAAAAAUGUUGGCCUAAAUCAAUUACAACCCCCCCCCCGGGUGGCCUAAAUCCAUGAUUUCCUCAUCCGUACACAGAAAUUUCUCAAGAUACAAACUGAAAAUGCAACAUUUCAGAAGCCCAAAUUGCCUCGGAUAAUGGCAAGGAAAUGAAGCCUUUCGGGGGCAGGACAAAAGCCAUUGGAUAAUGAGCUAACAAAAAUAGGGGAAAAUUAAAAUGUAGGUUCGAAAAUGGCAAGGAAAUGAAGAACAAAGGGGGAAUACAGAUAUGAAAAUCUUAACUAUUACAAAAGAUUAACCAUUGUAUGACUAAACACACAUUGCACAACAACAUGUUAACGGCAAUUGAAACCCCAAAACAGUUUUCUGGCCAGUUCCCAAACGUGCAAAAUUCUAGUAAAGUGCAUGCUUGAUUACCAGAGAGAGAGAGAGAGAACCAGAGAGUAAAUUACAUUUAAAACAGCCAAAUAAAUUAGGCAAAUCAGUCAAGUUCUCUUCCCCUUAAGGAAGCAAUUAAAUGGCACGACAAAUUGUUUAAUUUCUCUUUCAUCCAACCAAAUUAAUGCAGUCAAAAAAUGUUCGCAUUUCAUAGCUCCUCAAAGAAAGCCGGUUCUGACCAUCCCUAACACUGUUCAUACUCCAGAUCGCAAGUGUUUCAGAGUAUUACCUUCCCCACUGCUAAUUAACAAUCUAGUUCAUAAAUUAGUCUUUACAAUAGAAGGCUGAGCAGCUUUUGAAAGCAAAAAAAAAAACACAUACCGCACAAUUAGCUGAAGAGGGGGUCGGAGAAAAGUCUAAGCUGAAGUCGCGGAACGAGGAGGGAGCUUGGAAGUGUUCUGACUUCGCUUCUUCGGCGAGCUUGACCUGAAGAUUGGCACUCGUCAAUGGUGCUUUAGAGGAGCAUUUUGCGGAAGCAGAAGGUGUUUGAGGUCCAGAGUUUUUCGGUGUUCACCAUAGAAAGGAAAGACUGAGAAUAAAAUUUGUCUAAGUGUUGGAAGAGAGAAGCGGCGAGACUUUUGUUUGUCUGUGAACAACCAAAAACGACGUCGUUUUGUAGAGAUUUCAGCCACCCGCCUCGCGCGUCUUUCAGAUUUCAGACUGGCGCUCUUUUUUUUUUGGAAUCUAAGCACGUCUUUGAGAUUCCAGGAUUCACGCCUUUAGCUUCAUACAUCUUUUUUCUUUUUUUUUUCCCUGGUCAAAUUUUUUUUUUCAGGUUUCUUUUUUCAUACUUAAUCUCUUUUGUUUUCCUUAAUCUCAUCUAUAAAUAUCAAAUAAAUUAUUUGAUAUUGGUUUCUUUUUUGUGCAUGUAUAUAUAUGUGUGCUUGUUUGUGUCUAUAUACAUCUUUUUGGGUUUGGACAACUCAAUAUACAAAUUAUUUAAGAAAUUACCUUACAAUAAAACUUACACAAUAAAACAUGUUUCAAAAAUUUAACAUGCAUAGAAUUGCUUAUAUACAGUAUAGCACUUCUUACUCAUGCUUAUCCUACUCUUUGUCUAUUACUUAGUUUUUAUAAUAAAUUAAAAGAAACAUGUAAUCAAAUAUUCUGUUAAAUGUGUUACAACUCUCAAUCUUAUUGCACGACAGAUAUUUUACUAAAUAAUUUUAAUUUUGUAUAUACCCAUUCCAUAUGAAAAUAUUUAUUACUUAUGAUGUAUUACACGUUAUACUAAUCUUUCACAGUGCUAACAUUAGACUACAAAUUAUAUUCAAUUAUACUUUUUCAAAUUAUUUCAGUUAUUGAUUUUUGGGGGUUGUUAUAAGUAAUAAUAAACAAUUCAUGAAAAAAAUUUUAUGCUCAGACAUGUCUAUUAUGUCAACUUAGCAAAAAUUACAAAUAUCUAAAACUAGUUUGUUAUUAUAUCAUUUGCAUUUUGCUAAUACAUAAUGAAUAGGGGCUAAAUUAUAAAAUUAGGGUGUCAUAUCUUCUGUGCUUUUGCUCAUAUAAAAGAAUUGGGGGCUAAAUAAUAAAAUUAGGGUGCCAUAGUAGAAUUAGUGAAAUUUGAUGAAAAUACUAUAGAAUUGCUUAUAUACAGUAUAGCACUUCUUACUCAUGCUAUCCUACUCUUUGUCUAUUACUUAGUUUUUAUAAUAAAUUAAAAGAAACAUGUAAUCAAAUAUUCUGUUAAAUGUGUUACAACUCUCAAUCUUAUUGCACGACAGAUAUUUUACUGAAUAAUUUUAAUUUCGUAUAUACCCAUUCCAUAUGAAAAUAAUUAUUACUUAUGAUGUAUUACACGUUAUACUAAUCUUUCACAGUGCUAACAUUAGACUACAAAUUAUAUUCAAUUACAUUUUUUCAAAUUAUUUCAGUUAUUGAUUUUUGGGGGUUGUUAUAAGUAAUAAUAAACAAUUCAUGAAAAAAUUUUUAUGCUCAGACAUGUCUAUUAUGUCAACUUAGCAAAAAUUACAAAUAUCUAAAACUAGUUUAUUAUUAUAUCAUUUACAUUUUGCUAAUACGUAAUGAAUAGGGGCUAAAUUAUAAAAUUAGGGUGUCAUAUCUUCAGUGCUUUUGCUAAUAUAAAAGAAUUGGGGGCUAAAAAAUAAAAUUAGGGUGUCAUAGUAGAAUUAGUGAAAGUUGAUGAAAAUACUGUAGUAUACAGUGAUGCAAAAAGUUGUCACAAAAUUGGAACCGGGUAGACUUUCAAUGACAACAAGUUAUGUUGUCACUGUAGAGAGAGCGUUUGUGACGACUUUACUUGAGUUGUCAUAAAAUCAUUUCCCGCGGCAUCAAAUGAGAUGCGCCCCAACUAUUUCGUGACGAGUUGAGAAUGACAACUUCCAAUGUUGUCACUGAUUAUGCUUGUGCUGUACUCAUCUGUGAUGACACCUAAUGUCGUCACUGAAUUAGGUUAUCUGUGACAAGAUUUUUGUUGUCACAUAAAUUUUUGUCACUGAAAAAUAUAUUUCUUGUAGUGAUGAACUUCAAUUUUGAACACUUUACACCUUAAACUCUUAAUUUCAAGCACUUUGUACCCUAAAUUCUUAAAUUUAUUUCAUUUAAUUUCAAUCAAUUAUUAUAUUGAUAAAAUUAAUGAGAUAAAGGGAGGUAAAAAUUAAUAGCAAUGUACUUUUGUUAUUAUAUUCUUAAAUUUGUUAUUGUAGUUUAUCAUGAUUUUCUUCAGGAAAAGACUUAAACCCACCUGCAAAGGCUUAAACCCCACCUGCACUAGGGUACAACAAACAAAGGUGAGUUGGAUAUACUUCCGUACGACUGCAGAACUCAUUUACACAAUGCGAUUUUGAUGCAGCAAUAAGAAAUUAUAUCAAACUUGAAAUCAGUCAUCCUUUGGGGCUCUAUAAAUACCAUCCUCCCUGUCAGUUACGGACACAUUCCUGCCUAGCUACUUUUAGUUUCAGCCAAACUACAUAUUCAUACCUAGCUGAACUGAAAUUAAACUUUCCAUGGCAUACCAGAGCGCCUACAAUAUGAAUUACCAGAUACUACUAUGCUUGAUACUCUUCUCCCUAGUCCUUCUCCUGCCACUGCCAUCCCAUUCUGCUGAUCCAAGCCCAUUGCAAGAUUUCUGCGUUGCAGAUCUUGAUUCCUCUUUAUACAUUAAUGGCUUUCCGUGCAAAAACC
rnacentral:lncRNA from 1 species